rnacentral:lncRNA from 1 species
AUAAAAGAAACCCUAGAAAAUUCUGAAAAUUUGGAGCUUAUAGUUGUGCUAAAUGUAAACAACUUACACAAUAUAAUUUGGGUCACGCACACAACGAGAUUUAAUUGAAUCAAAAUCUUAUCAAUCAAAUAACUUAUCCACUUACAUUUUAACACCUCAUCAUUACAUAAAACAUUAUAUAAAUACUUACAUACAACAAGCAUUUUUCAUAAAAAUAACAUAGGAAACAGUACCGGGUCAUAUGCAAAGGCUCAAGAGAUUUCUAAUUACUACUCAAUUUUCAUUUUAUUUACUAAAAUCAGCCGCUUACAUUGAGCUUCUUCUCUUGGAAGACGAAGAGAUAAAAAAAAAUGUAGCUAUUGGAAGGCUGGAAUGUAACACCAAUUACUCACGUAAUAUUAUUAAUUAAUUAAAGUAGUUUAUGCUAAAUUCUAAUUGGUUCGUUUUGAAGUGACCCUUUCUUAACUGCACACUUUGAUAGAAAGUGGACAGUCUAAGGUCCACAUUAAAAACUACCUCUCUUUGCCCAUAAAGUUGAAUUUAGGGAAGAUCACUUCAUUUAAAAUUCACAUUUCAAAAUUAACAAACUUUUAAAACAUUUCAAAAAACGGGUGAUAAUUAAAUUUAUUAAAUAUUAAAUAUUUAAUUAUAAUAUAAUUAAUCCACCUAACCCACCCCACCCACUCACGCACCCAUCACACCAAAUUUUAAAUUCAAAUUAUUUUCUCUUUCCCCCCCGUACACCACCCCACCUCCGGCAAGUUCUCGGCAACUACUCCGGCACCAGCGACUGUUCCGGCGACACCUUUGGCAACAUCUCCAUUUCCGGCCACUGUUCCGGCGACCUUCGACGAUGGCUCCGGCGACAAUUCCGACAACUGAGGCCGUACAUUCUUUUUUUUUUUUUGCAAUGACCUGUGACCAGUUUCAUUAGAUCUGUGACCUUGCACAUUGUGACCAAUUCUAUUAAAUUUGUGACCUAAUUAUGUGGAAUGAAUAUGCAUAUGAUCAUUGAAUUAAUUGGUUACAAAUUAUUUUUUGUCAUAAAUUAAAAAAAAAAUUAUAGGUUACGAAUUAUUAACUAAUCACAAAUCAAAAAUUUAUUAAUUGGUCACAAAUUCGAAAAAUUUAUAGGUCACAGUAUUUUUUUUUCUUUUUUUUUUUUUGCAAUGAUCUGUGACCACUUCUAUUAGAUUUGUGACUUGUGCACAUUAUAACAUAUGAAAUUUAACUUUUGACCCGAGAAUACGUGCGACGCAUAACAUAAAAUGUGACAAGUAAAUUUGAUCUGUGACUCUACAAAACGUGAUAUGUGGCCUGUUAAUAUUGAUCUGUGACCCGUUCAUAUUGAUAUAUGACUAUACAAAAUGAAAGUGACUCUUGAACUCAAACAUGUGACCAGUGACCUUAAGGACUGCUCCACAGUACUUUUUUUUCUUUUUGUUUUUAACAAGUGACAUAUGAAAUAUAAUUUUUGACCUAAAUUGUUACCCGUGACUCGUAACAUAAAAUGUGACCUGUAAAUUAGAUUUGUGGCUCUACAAAACGUGACAUGUUACCUGUUAAUAUUAAUCGGUGACCCAUUUAUAUUGAUUUGUGACCUAUACAACAUGACCGUGACUUGUCAACUCAAACUUGUGACCAGUGGUGGUUUGCAACGAAUUAUGAUAUGUAACCAAGUCACAUUUGACACAAGUCUAGUCACAGGUAGUCACAACAACAAAAUACGAUCACCACAUUACCACCGCCUGCACCACACCACUACAACCCCCUCCAACAUUAAAAAAUGGUGUUCAAAAUCACAUCUUCUCUUGCCAUUGGUGUCCAAAAUAAUCUCUAAAGAACUACUUGUCUGACUCUAUAAACAAGUUAUUUAAAAGAUCAAGCACCAAUGCAAUGUCAGUUAAUUAAAAAGAUUAAGCAUACAAGCAGAGAAGGUUGGAGAAAUAAUCAAAAAUAGAUUAUCACUAUAUUUACGACUAAGAAACUUAGAAUGGGUCAUUAAGGCCUUGUCACAAAAUAUCCAUCCACUUCAAAGAAUUAAAAUUAAGAAAAACGUAUAAAAAAUCACUAGAAAACUGAUUUGCAACAAAUGUAUCUCCAGUCCAACGAUAAAAAAUUUCCUGGUAUGAUCUAUCAUUUAUAUUUUAAAAUUGGGCUGCAAGAAUGUUUAAACAUUUUCGUCAACUUCAGAAAUUUUUGAUAGUCCAUGCUUUUGCUAGCUUCUUUUGGAAAUUAAAUGACUUCGUCGUUUCUUCCCUCUGGGUUUUGACGAGGCUUUUCCACCAUACCAAAUAUGACUUGUAAAUUAACGCCUGAAUGCUUGUAACAGCAGAUUUGUAAUUCCGCCGACGUUACUAGUUUUGACUGAUUCAACAAAAACCGCCCCUACCGCCAGAUCCACCGCCACCAACAAAAAUCAGUCGUAUUAUUAUAAGUGGUAAAUUAAGUAUAAUUAUAAUAUCUGCAGCUCAUACUGAAGUGUGAUAUUUAUUAUUUCCUAAUUUCUAACACUUUAGUUUAAAUUUAUGUAGUCAUUAGAAUUGACUUCAGUUUUGCAGUGAAUGCGCUGGUAAAUAUAUUGAUCACUUAUCUCCCAUGUUUAUGAGACUUGCCAAAAUCGGCUAAAGCUGUUAAUUUACAGGAAGGAACUUGUUUCGCGCGGGUUAGUCUCUAACAUAUAAAAAGGGAUCAGACGAUUGUGUAAGGGACAAACCUCUUAAGACAAAGUCCCAAAAAGGGGUGUUUUAUUAUCGAUGAUUUUACAAUUGGAAAAUAAAACAUAAUGCCUCCAAGGGGCGCAAGCACACGAGUACUGAAAGAAGUGUUUAAAUUUAAACUAAGAAAUUGAAAUUACAUAUUCUUUGUUUGAGAGUGUUUGAUUCGGGGUCUUUUGCUCUAUGUCUUCUCUUCCUUUUAUAUUCCCUUGGCGAUUUCUUCGUGAUCAACCGCUUAGAAACUGCUUGAUUGCUUCAUAACUACCCACUUUCUUUAUGGUAGCCAACUUGUCAUGGAACUGCCUUCUCUAACUGCUGUCACUACUCUUUGUCGUUCAAUCGUCUUCAACUGAAUUCCUUGAAUUGUGGAACGUGAUAAGGCUAUUCAAUAACUGCUUCAAUAACUGCACUUCUGGAUAACCAUAACAUCUCAUGUUUGCUAAGAUCCUGGGCGACUCAAAGGUUUGCGCGAGAACAGGGUCAUAGCUCUGGGCGACUGCAAGACACUCCAUUCGCUCAGAUCUUGGACGUCUUGCAAGCUUUGGCGAUGAUGUUACCGCAUUCAUGGGCUUCCACUGCAUUCAUUAAUAACCCUAUUUGGGCAUUUAUCUUAAAUUGCCCAGUUGGGCUUCGUUCUUUGGGCUAUCUGAUUUGGGAAUUCUCCAAUUGGGCUUCAUUUCUUGGGCUAUUCGAUUUGGGCUGCAUUUUUAGUGUGUCAACAAUUAUCCCCCCAAUAUGGCAGAAUUAAUACCAAUUAUUAAUUUUUGCCAUAUUCACUUUGUGUUUUCCAACAACAUUUGAAAUUCCUAAGAAUUUCAAUCAUUAUUUUCUUCCAUAGCCUGAAAAGGUGUGACGUUGCAAACCCUUAUAACCCGCAAAUACACUACAUUUCAUCGCACCACUAAAUCACGCCUCAUUAUUUCGCGCUUUUUCUCGCAAUACUACUGCUCAUCUUCUUGCUUCUCUGCUACGUUUCUCAAGCAAACUUCAACAAAACUUUAUUUCGUUCCCAAUGGUUGUUUCACAAACCCAAUCUGGUGACUCUUUUAGCUUUGAAAAUUUCCAGAAAAUCCUUACUCGGCCAUAUAUAACUCCGAACUUCCUUGCACCAGCCAAUGCCGAACGCAAUGAGUUCUAUCUGGGUCCUUCAUUUAACAACGCCGAAGCCGUCGAACAAGUGGUGAUGGGCCAGUUGUUCCCUUGUACUCAAGGCCCUCCAUUCCUGAACUCCUUGCCGCUGAGGCCGAUUUGUGAUAAAGGUAUUCGUACUUGGCCUAAAUCUGAUGUUGUUUUCCGUAGGUGGCAUGCUCGCCUUGUGGGCCAUGGUCCUACCAAGGCAAUUUUUGAUCAUGCUAGGAUUUCUGAUUUGUUAGAAAUCUCUCUUCAACCCCUAUUUUUGACCCAGCGCUUUUUCCUAUCGCUUUAAGUUUUUGGUCUUCUGAGUAUAAUACUUUUGUUUUCCCUCUUGGUCCCAUGUCCAUUAUUUUAAAGGAUGUGGGGCCCUAGUAAAUCUGCCACCUUUGGGCGAUACCAUUUUCCCUGAUAUUUUGAUUUCUGGUGUCGCCCCAAAAUUUGACAAAAAACUUACCGAGUCCUAUCCAAGCCUGCGAAGCUGUUAUAAUCACUCAAGCGCUGAACCUUCCCAUGCUGAGCGUGUGACCUUUUUUUAGAUUUGGCUUUGUAAAUAUAUUCUGUGUGUGCCAAGCAUGAAGCCUUCUAUGAGCUAUUUACCCAUAGUGCACGAAUUGGCACGUGGUAGGCCUCUGAAUUUGUAUUCUUUCUUUUUGGCUGCCCUCUAUAGAGGCAUGACUUCUCUUCAAUUUCAAUUGAAGAAUGGUGCAUCUCCCACUGGCAGUGGGCCUCUUUGGUUCACUCAAAUGUGGUUGAGAGCCUAUUUUCCAUCACUUGGUGCUCUAUCCUUGUCCCUUCAUUCUACUAGCUGCUAUGGGCUAGCUGUUGACCCACUGAGCCCUGUAAAUAUGUCUAGAAGGGACAUUUUUUCAUUCUUUUAUACUUUGAACUCAAUCCCUUCCUUCUUUCCUUUUCCUGCCCCUUUAACUCCAGAUUAUGUGCAACCUCCAUCCACUCUGGACAGUGCGAGCACCUCUCUGCUCGUUUGGGUUCAGUUUUUGACUGGGAGGGAGUUGUUCCAUGACAUUUUAACUGGAACCAAUGCCAAAGCUGGGGUUGAAAUAUAUGCUCCCCAAUUUUUUGCUUGCCAACUUGGUUUUCGCCAAAUUUGGCCUAAUCCCCCUUGUUAUUCAAAGAAUUUGAUAGACUGCUUCCACACCAUUAAUAAGGCUGAGGCAGAGGCUAUAGAUGCUCGCAAUAUUCUUUUGACGAGUAACUUUUCAUUAGCCCCCUUCAAUCCUAGCCGUGCCAUCCAUCCCCUUUUUGAACGACUCUGGCCAUCAGUGAAGCGCAGAUUGUUUGCAAUUGAUGCCAAUCGUGCUUUUCAUUCAUUGGAUCAGCCAAACAUUUCUUUCACUUCUCCUAUUUUGGUCACCCCUGUGUCCAUUAGGAGUCCUUCCUCCCCUGCUCGUGCUAAAUAGUCUGUUCGUCCAUCUACUUCUCUUCCUGCCAAGCCCACUGCAACUAAAAGUGCCCCAAGCCGCAAAUGGCCAGCCUCAGCAUCUCCUAUUUUAGAGGAUGAUGAUGAUGAUAAUGACACUCCUCUCAUCAUCAGGAGAAAGGUAAUUAAAUUGGUUUACUCACAAGCAUACCUUUCUAUACUUGAAACUUUUCUAUGUGCUGAUGGUUUAUUUGGAUUUCUCAAAAAAGUUCAGCCUCUCCUUUGAAGUCUUUGGUGUUAGCAGCUCCUGCUCCAUCAUCCUCUGCUGAGACUGCUUUGUCCAAACCAGCUGAUGAAAGGACUACGCUUAAAGAAAAACCUUCAGUCCCGGACUCUUCAUCACAACCAAUGGACGAGCCACCUUCUUCCCAGGGCAUUGACCCCCCAAACGUCGAACCAGAAGGUAAUAUAUUUUUUUAUAUUUUACCUUUGCUUGUGCUAUUGGUUUCUGAUUUGUUGCUUCUUGAGUUCUGUAGAUACUUCCAUGGGUCUGCCCGUUGUAGCAAAGUCUUCUCGCCCAAACAAGGGAAAGUCUUCACAAUUGGUGGAGCCACAGGUGGUAGAUUUGGCUGGGAUAUGCCACCUCCCAAGAUUGCUGAUGAGGUAACCUUUUGCUUCACUUUUAUUUUCACUUUGUUUAUUGUAGUGAAAACCUUCAAUGUUGGCCCUUUUCUUUGCAGGAUGCUGAUAAGAUUGUACGUUCCAUCCAAAACUUGUUCACUUCCUGGGGGCAAAUCAAGACGUCUCGCCCUGCUUCAAUCGGUCGUCCUUCUGCUUUUGGGAGGAAGAUAUGAAGUUCCUCAACUAGUCGAUAUUUGGGUACAUAUCUUUUAUGGAUAUGGACAUCGGUCAGGCUAGUGCUGCCAAACAUAAGGAUAAGCUUGAGCAUUUGAGUGUGAAGUUGGCACAAGCACUGACACUUCUAUCACUCAAUCUUUCUGCUGAUUUUAAAGCGACGUUGAAAGUUGUCCAUUCUGAGAUUCUUUCCUUGCUAGCCAAAAAUGUUGAACUGAAGGCCAAGAGUACUCAAUAUCUUCGCACUGUAUCUAAAAUAGAGUCUUUGCUUCUGGAGAUCAACAAAGCUGAGGACGAAUUAAAAGAAAUCUCUUCCGAAGUUGUGAUUGAAGACUCUUUGAUGACCAGUUUGGCUGCACAGAUGAAGGAGCUUCAAUCAAGGAUGGAUGACUGCAAGGCGAGAAUGGCUGCUAAAAAGCAUAAUGCCUCCUAAGGAAUUGAGCGAACCAAGUCUUUGGUCGAGCAGUACAAGAAGCUGGAGGUUGAUGAUGAUUUUGUAGCUGAAUUGGAUAUCACUUCGUCUCGACAGAGCGAGGAUUGGGGGAGACUUAGGGAAAGAAUUCGUUCGGUCUGGGACGAAUUGUAAUUAAGACAUAUAAUGCCUUAACUUUUCUUUUUGUAAUUUCGUAUUAUCUUUUCCCUUGUAACCUCGUACUGAUGUCCAUUGCUAAUUCUGAACGUAACAGCAGUCAUUAUCAUUAAUGAACGAUUAAUUUCUCUUCUUGUGUAUUUAUUGACGUCGUCUUUAAUCGUCAACCCCCCAAGCAUUUAACUACUUUAUGCUAAGAUUCUUGCACAUUUUCUCUUGAUAUUUCUGCCUCUUUUCCCAAGACUUUGGACCACUUGAUUCCAGUUACUAGGCAUGAAUGUGGCUGUUCAUAUUCUGUCUCUUCACCUUCACGCCCCUAUAAAUGCACUUAUAUUUCGCACUUUUCAUUUUCAUUUUCAUUCUCUUCUUCAAAAUUAAUUUGCUGCAAUCAUUUGGCAUUUCAGCAAUUGAUCCAGAAUUUUUGUCUUCCAUAGAAAUGGAUCAUUUGAUCCGCCCAUUUUGCUAUUUGUUUUGAUGUCACCUUUGGUAUGGGAGAUAUAGGAAAUAUUCUUUGGCCAGCGAAGUUCUUCCUAUCAUCUCCAUGUCCCCUACAAGGAGUUCAAUGAUGGAAGACAAUUUUUGAGGAUGCCGGUAGGCCACCUUGCUUGCUGAGAGUGCUUCUCAGCCUCCUUGCCCGUUAUUGCAGCGAUGCAUUUCGGAAGGCUAUGUGAUGGUGCUUCUCUUCCCUUCUGCUUGUUGAGAGUGCUUCUCGGCCUCUCUGCUUGCCUUUGCAGCAGUGCGAUCAGGAUGACAAUUAAGACCAGUUCACCUUCUUACUUGGCGAUCAAUCGAGAGAUUAGUUUGCUAUCAAUUGUAGUUUGUAGAGCUUUUAGUAUUUUGUAUCUUGCAACUUUGAAAUGAACGUUUGAUAAUAAAGGACUUUAUUUGAACGUAUUUCGCUCUGACCCUUUUUUACCUACGAUCGUUCAACGCGUUUUGAUUACGCUUUUAUUUGUUCACUUUCCCAUAAGGAAGGAACAUAUUUUUUCAAAUAUUUGCCAUUAAUGAACCUCAUGUGCUUGGUGCUAUCUAAAUCUUCUAAAUGAUAGGCCCCAUUAGGCAACACACUAUUUACUUUAUAUGGUCCUUCCCAAUUGGGCGACCACUUGCCGUACUUUGGAUCCUUGCUAUCCAAAGGGAGUAUCAUUUUCCAAACCAAUUCGCCCAGGCUAAACGACUUGGCUAUAACUUUUUUAUUAUAAAACUUAGCCAUUCUUCGUUUUUGAACUUGCAAUCUAUCUAAGACGUCCAACUUUAAUUCGUCCAGCUCCAAUAAGUUUUGGACUAGUGAUUCGGUAUACUCAUCAUCACUUAACUUAUAUUACAAACACACUCUAAUCGAUUGCACGUUGAUUUUCAUAGGCAAAACGGCCUCCUGUCCAUAAGUAAGUUGGAAAGGAGUAACUUUGGUACUUGACCGAAGCGACGUCCUAUAAGCCCAUAAGGCCUUGUUCAGACAUUCAUGCCAAUUUCUGGCAUUUUCAUCUAUCAUCUUCCUUAUGAUAUUUUUUAGAAUCUUAUUAGAAGAUUCUACUUGUCCGUUGGAUUGAGCAUAAUAUGAUGUGGAGUUCACUAAUUUAACUCCAAACUCGCUCAAGAAUCUACUCACUUGAUCCCCAUUUAAAGAAGUUCCAUGAUCCACCAUCAAGGUUUGUGGAAUCCCAAAUCUAUAAAUAAUAUGAUCACGGAUAAAUUCUAUGACACUCUUUUGGGUGAUCUCCUUUAAAGAUAUCGCUUCUACCCAUUUAGUGAAAAAGUCAGUUGCAACUAUAACAAAAGUAUGUUGCUUGGACGAUGUGGGAUAAAUCUUCCCUACCAGAUCUAUCGCCCAACCCUUGAACGGCCAGGGUUUGAUAAUGGGUGUCAUCUCUCUUGCUGGUGCUUUUUGUAUUGGACCAUGCUUUUGGCAUGCUAGACAACUUUUUGUAUAUUGAACACAUUAUUCUCACAUCUUGGGCCAAAAAUAUCCAUUCCUAAUAAUUAAUCAUCUCAUUCUUUGGCCCACUUGAUGAGCUCCACAUAUUCCUUCAUGCACUUCAGCCAUGAUCGUCCUAGCUUCUUGCAAACUUACACAUUUUAGCAAUAUACCAUCAGAGCGUUUCUUAAAGAACUCUUCAUCUAUCGGUGUAUAGUUUAGCAAACGCAACUUCAUUUUUCUGCUAUCUCCUUUAUUAGGUUCUUUAAGGAACAUUUUAAUCUCUGUCCUCCAAUCUAUUGCAUCUCCGUCUUGUAUGCAAUGAAUUUCAAUCUUUCUCGCCCUUCUUUGGAUCAGGGGCAAUAUUGUUCUAUACUCACAAGUAGACUUCCAAUUUAAAACCUUUGAAUAUCCUGAGGCCAUUUGGGCCAAUUCAUUUGCUAUAUCAUUAUAUAUCCUAUUAACACAUUGAAACUCUACCUGAUCGAAUUCUUCCAACAACUCUUGGGCGAUUUCAUAUUGACUUAUGAUGGAAUCACUUUGGCAUUUAAAAUCACCAAUCAAUUGGUGAAUUACCAAUUCAAAAUCACCUCUAACGAUCACAUUCUUUACCCCCAUAUCUAUCAUUAAUUCUGGGCCCACGAUUAAGGCUUCAUAUUCGGCCUGAUUGUUAGUGCACAUCCUAUCCAAAGUGAAUGCGAACUUGUAGCAAAUCCCUAAAGGAAUUAUCAAUGCUACUCCUACUCAUGCACCUUUAGAGGUUUUUGACCCAUCGAAAUAUAAAAUCCAAGGUUUUAAUUCGAAUGAAUUGAUUUCUAAUUCAAUUCCUUCAGGCAUGUCAAAGCAUGGAUGAUCGGCCAGAAAAUUAGCCAAGGCCUGAUUUUUCAUUGCCUUUUGGGGUAUAUAUUGUAUUUCGAAUGCUGAUAAAGCUAACGUCCAAAGGCCUACCCUUUGGUGCAAAAUAGGGCGAGAGAACAUAUACUUAACCAAAUUUACUCUAGAAAUCAAAUAACUGGUUACGGGCCGUAAAUAAGCCCUUAAUUUUGUACAUGUGAAAUACAAUGCAAGACAUAAUUUUUCAAUGGCAGAGUAAUUACAUUUACAUUUUGUUAACCGUCUACUCAAGUAGUAAAUCGCCCUUUCUUCAUCAAAUUGGUCUUCUUGCGCGACCAUUCUAGCUAUUGACUCUUUUUCAAUCGAUACAUAUACUUUCAUUGGCCGUCCUUGGAUUGGCGACACCAACACUAAUGGACUUGAUAAGUAUGUCUUUAGACUUUCAAAAGCCUUUUGAUGUUCUUCUUUCCAGACGAAUUCGUCCUGAAUUUUCAACUUUAAAAGCGACGAAAAAGCUUUAGUUCGCCCUGCACAGUUAGAAAUAAAGCGUCUUAAAAAAUUUACUUGGCCUAGAAACAUUUGCAAUUCUUUUUUGUUGCUAGGUAAUUUGGCCUCUAGAAUGGCCUUCGCUUUAUUUUUAUCAAGUUCAAUCCCCCUUUUGUGUACGAAGAAACCAAGAAAGUUCCCUGCAUUAACACCAAAUGCACAUUUCAAGGGAUUCAACUUUAAUUUAUAUUGCUUUAUUUGCUCAAAUGAACAUCUUAAUUGUUCAAAAUGGUCCUCUUCUUUAAUGAAUUUAAACACUAUAUCAUCUACAUACACUUCAACAAACUGGUCUAUCAUAUCAUGAAAAAUAAAAUUCAUUGCCCUUUGAUGAGUUGCUCUUGCAUUUUUCAAGCCGAAAGGCAUAGCUACCCAUUCAAAACAUCCGAGAGACCCAGGGCAUUUAAAGGCAAUUUUGUGUAUGUCUUCCUCAGCUAUAUAAUUUUGAUUGUAUCCUGAAUACCCAUCCAUGAAAGAAUACAUGACAUGUUCGGCAGUUGAGUCUACUAAAGAAUCUACCGUGGGCAUUGGAUAUUCAUCUUUGGGUGUGGCUAUGUUUAAAUUCCUAAAGUUUAUGCACACCCUUAAUUUACCAUUCUUUUUUAGUAUUGGCCCGAUAUUGGACAACCAUUCGACAUACCUGGUUGUUCUAAUAAAGCCUGCUUUUAAUAAUCGCUCUAUCUCUUUCUUAAUCUCAGGGAGUACAUUAGGAGCAAAACACCUAGGAGGUUGUCUAUGAGAUUUAAAAUUAAGCUUGGUUGGUAAUAUAUGUUCCACCAAAUCUCUAUCUAAACCAGGCAUUUGUUCAUAGUCCCAUGCAAAACAAUCUUUAUACUCCUUUAAUAAAGCGAUUAAUUUAUCACUAACUUCUUGAUCGAGCAUUUGGCUGAUGAAUGUUGGGCAAUCUUCUCCUUCAUUCCCAAUAUUCACUUUAAUCAGGUGGUCUUGUGCUUGAGCAUAUCCAGGCUUGAUGAUCCUCAUUACUUCAUCGUCCAGUUUCCUUGUAGGCACUUCUUCUUCUAAACAGUCCACCUUGUUGACUUCUCGGCCAAUACUUUGUUUCAACUCUAAUACUGCCAAUUUGUCUCUUAAUGCUUUCAAGGCUUCUUCUUCUUUCGUCUUGUCCUUCCACUCUUUAUUGAAAGCCAUUAAUUUGGCUUUGAAGUCCUGAAUGUCGACCAUUUGCCUUUGUUGCUUGCAACUCAUUUAAAGCUCUUUGAUUACUCUUUUGCCAAUAACUGGCUCUUCUAGGGCCACUAUGUUUGGCCUCAUCUGACUGAACAUUUCAGUUAGCACGUCCACCGAAAAUGGUUCUUCACUCUGCGCGAUAAUUUGAGUUUCUUCUCCAUCUUAGACUACUCUAACGGGUCCAUAAUUUCCUUCAUACAUGAACCUCUCUACUGAGUUUGCUUCUGCGAUAAAAGGCCUAUGAUCGGCCUGCACCACCUCUGCUUCACCCUUAUCAUUCCAAAAAACUAGGCAUUGAUGGAGCGAUGAGGGUAUACAGCGACUUUCGUGUAUCCAAUCUCUUCCUAAUAACACAUUGUAACUAGUAGGACCAUCUAUUACAAAGAAGACUGUGGUCCUAGUAGUUGUCCCUAUAGUUAUGUCCAAUGGCAUAACCCCUUUAGCUGAAGUUGCUCCUCCAUUGAAGCUUGUAAGGAUGACUUCUGUUGGGAUCAUAUCACUUUCUGUCUUUGCAAAUUUCCUCAUCAUCCUAGAUAAAAUGGUGUUUAUAGCUGCUCCAUUAUUAACAAGCACUUUUGCCACAGGUAUGCCGUUAACUAGAGCUUUAACGUACAAUGGCCUCAAGUGUUUAGUCAAUUUCAUGGCUGGUCGCUUAAAAAUAACCUUUUCGGUAGCAUCUAUUUCCACUUCCUACUUGUCCUUUGUCGAGUUAUCCUUUUGUGAUAAGUCAAUGUGCAGCAUAUCGCACUAAGCUUCCGUUUCCUGAUUUUCUUUUUACUAUUUUCUAAUGCUUCUUCUUCGGUUACCCAACCUGUGGGAGGAGGCAUUAUUCAUGGAGGUGAUCCAUACUUUUCAGAGCGAGGCACUCUCUUCUUCCUUUUGGGCAUCCCAUACAGCACGUAAUAAUCGAAAGAAUGCCCAGAUGGUUCUCCUAAUAAGUCCACUUCACGAACUCCCUCUCGAUGUAGUUGCUUCAACAGAGUAUUGUACGAUACUCCUCUUCUUCUUCUUUCUACUUCCAGAUCGAUUUCCUUUUCGAUGUCUGUCAUACCAUCGUCUUUUUCACCAUUGUAGGCCUCUCUAGAAGUUUGGCCUUCUUCACAUUCUAGCACACAUACUUUUUUUCCGUUAUCCUCCAUCUCUUCUUCUUCUUUCUCUUUAUUCUUGAAUUCAUUGGCUAGUAAAUAAUUAUUAGCCACGACAGGAGGUAACGUACCGAACUGAAUAGUAAGGGGCUGAUCUGGAUCUUCUCCAUCCCUUCUGUCUCGCUCAAACUUCGAUCUUCCAGAAGAAGUUUCUGGCAAUUCUUUCAUUGAUUCAUCUGUACCAGUCUCUUCACUAUCUUUGAGAACAUUUUGAUUAGCUACCUCGAGUAGUUUAGGCGCCUUAGGACGUGGCACUCCCUGUUGUUGCCUCAUCAUUUGUCCAUAAUUUCGUUGAAAAUGCCUUUGUUGGGUUCUAGUCAUCUCGUUGAAGGGUAUCGCCCUUCCUACAUUAUACUGGAACGAAUGUCAUACAUUUGGUUGGCAAGGUUGUGGCCUGAAUGUUCUCCCACUAUUUACUGGCCUGAACUGCCUCUCAAAAGACGGUCCCUUAUAGAACAAUGUACCUCACCCUCUACCAGGCUUAGCGUUUGGGAAAAAACUAGGGCGAUAGAGAUUUUGUCAUAUCCCUGGUUUCUUCGUAUUCCCACUCACUUCUUUUUUACAUCUUGUACACAGGACUUCAUCAUCCUUUUUUUGCUCCUUCCCUUUGAUACGUUCAAAAACACUGGGAUGUGGUCCAGGGUCUUCUUCUCCAUCAUCUAUAACCAACUUGGAUUUUUGCAACUUGUUUUUGAAACCAGACGUCACCAUGUUCACUCCAAGUGGCUGUGGAAAAGGAUUUUCAUCCACUGCCAUCUUCCUCUUAUCCUCGAACGUAAUUCGUCCUGAUUCAAUGGCAUCCUAUAACACAUGACGAAAAAUCAAACAGUUGUUAGUCAAAUGUGACCAUACAUUAUGCCACUUACAAUAUUUUUACCCUUAACUUGUUCAUGAUUUGGCAAUUUAUGUUUAUUGCUCAGUUUUAUUUGUUUAUCCUUAUAUAAUUUAUCAAAUAUAAGGUCAGCUUUGGUUACAUCGAACGAGAAUGUUCUAGCAUUUUUGUUUUCAUCUUUUAUAGGCUCAUCCUUGCCCGACAGUCUAGGCUUAGCCAUUAUAGGACAAGUAUACGUGUCUCCUUUAACUAACUCGCCCAAACAAAUUUCGAUUUGAUUGUAAUACUCGUCAUUAAUGGUAUGAACAUCAAAAUUUAAGUCUCUAUAAUAAGACCCCUUGCUAGAAUUUUUCAUUUGCUCUUCUUCUCUUAUUAAUCGUUCAUGCCUAAUCACGUUUGCACUCAAUUAGAAAAUAUCAUGAAAUUCCUUGUCUUGGAACUUCUUUUUCAAAUCAAAGCUUAGACAACCUUGAGCGAUUUUGACAAACUCUUUUUCGGGUAAAGGUACAAAACAUUUACUUCUUGCUGUCUUGAACCUUUGAAGGAAACCAUCUGCCCAUUCGUUUGGCAUUUGACGUAGAUUCGCCAAAUCGGCCAAAGUAACUUCAGAUUCAGUCUUAUAAAGCUGAUCGUGAAACAAUUGCUCCAAUUGUUUCCAUGUUUGAACAGAGUUCGCUGGGAAAUUGAUGAACCAGGAGAAAGCUACUCCUGUUAAUGAACUAGGGAAUAGCCUCAUUUUGUGGUAAUCAGUUACGUCACCACUUUGCAGUGUAAAUCGCCCUAUGUGUUUUAGAGUAGACACCUCUCCUAAACCGGUAAAUAGUGAGAAUUCUAGCACUUUAUAUCCUCUAGGCCAUGGAUAUGCUUGGUCUACCCAAUCAGGAUAUGGCUUUGUGUAAGUUGGCCUAAUGAUAGGAUGUACCCCAGAAGCCAUCUGAUCCUGCACUAUUUCCAUAAUCUGAUUCCUCAACAUGACGUUGGGGUCAUAUGGAAUUCCUACAGGUUGGUUGACCGGUUGAUUUGCUUGAGACCUGAUGUUUGGUCCUUGGUUGGCAACAAAGUUGCCAUGAUUUGGGCCAUUGUUACCAUUAGCCUGAACAUUUAUUCCAUCAUUGACACGUGGGGUAUUCUGUCCGUUAUUUAGGACAUUAUCUCUUACAUUUAGGUUACCCCCUAAGUUAGAUGUACCAUUGCCACUAUUUUGAUUUGGCAUUACACCAUCCCCUUGGUUUGAAGUAGAGGGAACAAAAGGUGGUUCUACCCCUUGAUUUGGACUUAGAACUGGGGGAUUGUGUCCCACAAUUGUCCUAGUUUGAAAAUGAUUUGCAAGAGGCACAACUGACUGACAAAUUUGGCCUACUAACUUAUUCAUUAUUUCAUUCAAAGUAUUCAGUUGUUUGGCCAUGUUGUCAUAAUGUGCAUUCCCAUUCUGGGUAAAUCUUUUCAUAUUAUGAAUAUUUCGUAGAUUUACCUGUUCAACGACAUCUUGUGUGAGUUCUCCAAGUAAUGCACGCAUGGUUCGAGGACUCAACUCUGUCAUUGGUUCGUAACGACUAUGAUUGCUCUGAUUCUGUCUAUUUGUUUGUGGAGAGCUAUGCUGCUCUUCAUAUCGCUCAAUCACAGACUGAACUCUUCCCUGACUUGCUGCUUCCUUAUUGGAUUUUUGAGGCAUAUUGUUUCACCUUUUGUAUCUUCAACACCAAACACCAAUGUCCCACUGGGCGUGCCAAAUUGUUUCGUGCCGGUUAGUCGCCAACAAUUAAAAAAGGAUCAGACGAUUAUGUAAGAGACAAACCUCUUGAGACAAAGUCUCAAAAAGGGGUGUUUUAUUGACGAUGACUUUACAAUUGGAAAAUAAAACAUAAUGCCUCCAAGGGAUGCAAGCACACGAGUACUGAAAGAAGUGUUUAAAUCUAAACUAAGAAAUUGAAAUUACAUAUUCUCUGUUUGAGAGUGUUUGAUUCGGGGUCUUUUGCUCUAUGUCUUCUCUUCCUUUUAUAUUCCCUUGGCGAUUUCUUCGUGAUCAACCACUUAGAAACUGCUUGAUUGCUUCAUAACUACCCACUUUCUUUAUGGUGGCCAACUUGUCAUGGAAUUGCCUUCUCUAACUGCUGCCACUACUCUUUGUCGUUCAACCGUCUUCAACUGAAUUUCUUGAAUCGUGGAACGUGAUAAGGCUAUUCAAUAAUUGCUUCAAUAACUGCACUUCUGGAUAACCAUAACAUCUCAUGUUUGCUAAGAUCCUGGACGACUUGAAGGUUUGGGCAAGAACAGGGUCAUAGCUCUAGGCGACUGCAAGGCACUCCAUUCACUCAGAUCUUGGGCAUCUUGCAAGCUUGGGCGAUGGUGUUACCGCGUUCAUGGGCUUCCACUACAUUCAUUAAUUACCCUAUUUGGGCCUUUAUCAUGAAUUGUCCAGUUGGGCUUCGUUUUUUGGGCUAUCUGAUUUGGGAAUUCUCCAAUUGGGCUUCAUUCCUUGGACUAUUUGAUUUGGGCUGCAUUUUUAGUGUGUCAACAGAACCUCGAUAUUUCUGCAAAUUUUUUUUGCUAUUACAUUGGAUAACUAUCCGGGCCGCUUCAAAUUGGUGGUUUAUUCCACCAUAUCUUACAUCUUUGUGAGGAGUAAUAAGAGAUUAACAUUAAAUCCACCACUUUUCACUCUCAACUGAUUCUCAAUCUGUCUUAUUCAUGAAUUUUCUGAAUCAAUCGACCUUUUGUAGGGAGUACUUGCACUGCUGCUCUUUCAUGAAACAGACCGGAAUUCAAAUACAGAGAUUCCAGGUUUUUGUCGGAUGCUGCUGCUAAUAAUUGUGUCUAACAAGCACAAAGAUUUGUAACAACAAAUUUGUAAUUCCGUCGACGUUAUUAGUUUUGACUGGUUCAACAAAAAUGCCCCCUACCGCCAAAUCUACCGCCACCAACAAAAUCAGUCUCCGGUACUAGAUCCAACAAAACCAACCCUCAAAACGACCCCCAACGCACCAUUACCACAUCUUGUAUCUACAAAACCACCACCUCACCAUUGAAAAUAUAAGUUUCACAAAGAAGCUACUGAGCGGCACCGACGUUGCGUGCAAAGCCAUCUGAAGGGGCGACUGCGACGCGCGAGCAGCUUCACCGUGAACCUAUGGACGAACAGCUUCAUAACAGCAGUCGAUGUCGCCGAUGUGUGCGAUGGGCGGGCGACCACGCCUGCGGCUUUGAAAAAUUUGAGGCGGUGGUCAAAGAACUGGAAAAUGGGGAAAGAGAGGGGGGUGUGGUGUGUGGGAGUUACGAGUGGGUAGAUAGUUGUUAGGAAUAUAUUAAUUUAAUAAAUUUUAAAUACCACCUGAAUUGUGAAAUUAAACUUAAUCUUCUUUGUUUAUGAAAACUAGUUUUUAAACCCAGGUUUCAAGGUAAUUUUCCCUUGAAUUUAUCCCAUAAAAAAAUACGUUCAAUUAAAGAGAGAGAAUAAUUUUUUGAUUUUCUUGUUUCUCUUUAUUUUGCAAGUCUAAGUCUUUAAAUUAAAUUAUCAUGGAUCAAGGUAUAUUUUUUGGUCAAAUGAUUUAUAUGUGAAAAUCAUAGAAUUCUAAUAUCUUGGUAUAAGAGUUGAAUUGCUUGGGAAAAAUGAGGCUAAUGAUUCAAUUCUCCAACUUAGAAGAAUUCAAGAAAAAGAGAAUUAGAGUAAAUUGCAUGCUAAGUUUUUCAUGAACUGUCUCUUAUGGUGCAUUUAAUUGCGAGUAUGAAAUUUUAAUAGAAAGAAAAUAAAUUCUUAACAAUUCGCUUAUUUGUAUGAAAAUUAUUAAUUAAAUGUAGUUGAUUGAUUUAGUUUUCAACUUAAAAAAUAUCACAUUUGUCCAUUUUUCUUGGUUGGUAGAUGAGAGAGAGAAAAGAGUGAAUUGCCUAAAAAAUCCCCUUGUUUGGAAUUUUUUGUGCAAAAACCCCCGUCGUCAAGAUCCUUUAGAUUUGUCAUUAAAAAGGUAAAAAAUGCCAAAAUUAAAAUAAAAUAAUUUCAAUUUCAAUACCCAAACUUUUUAAUUUUUAAAUCAAAAAUUAAAUCCAAAAUUUUUUUUAUGUGCCAUCUAUAAUCUUAAAUCUUUAAAACUUUAUUUUCCACCCCACAACUACAUAUUGAUAGUUAACGACAUUCAUUGUAAGAUGUUUGAAGCUUGGUAAACCCAUUUUGUCCGCCAACUAUGGAGACUCAUAACACCAUCUUCCGGCCACCUAACAUUUAAAAAAAAAAAUUAAUUUGUGCAAUUUAUAAGAAUUAUAAAUUAAAUAAAAGUCACAACCCUCCUUUUUCCGAAUUUGGGACCGGCUAAAAUCAAUGUAAGCAGAAUUAAAAUUGUACACGGAAAAAUUAUUUCGUGUGUAAUUUUUCUUGAAACAAAUAAUCCAUCUAUAUUAUAUGGCUACUAUAACAAAAGAUAAUGAAUAUUAGAGCAAAGAAAUUGAAGAUUGAAGUUGAAAUUAAAAUUAAAACACUUCAAGUUAAAACUGAUUGAAGAAAAUUGUUAUGAAACUCAAAAUUUAACUUAUAUUUAUAACAAAAAAUAUAAUCAUUUUUACUAAGUUUGAAAUUCAAAUUUGAAAUUUAAGUUACGAUUGACAUAAUGCAUGUUAACAACAGCUACAAUAGCUUCCUUUAAGGCAGCUUUCUAUAUUCUGAGUGAUGCUACAUCUACAAAGGAGGAUGACAAAGUAGGUUGACAAAGUGGUUGUUGGCAAAAUCUAGACCACUCAAUUCAAAAACAGCUUUUGAAAUCAAGAAAAUUCAUUGACCUUGAUCUUGCUAACACACACUUUGUCAACCAUUUUUGUCAAACUACUUUGUACAAGUAGUUUAAUUGCUAUAUUCUACUUCCAGCUAUAUAUUAGCUGCCUGUUUACUGAAGCUUUUACAUUUUUUUAAAUUCCUCCCAAGGCUUGGCUCAUGGGUCGGCCCGUGUAGCUCAAACUAGCUCGGGCUCAAAUCGAUGCCUCAAAAUAUGGCUCGGCCAGAGCCUGAGCUCGAUCCCUCAGAGCCACGAGUCAAGUCGGCUCUGGCUUUUGAGCCAUGAGCCCAACGAGCCAACGAACCAAAUUUACAUCCCUAAGUAAACAUGGAUAAUUAUAUUGGAUAGUCUUAGGCUGGUUUGAUUGAGUUUAAUUAUUGGAUCCUAAAAUAUGAGCCCAAUCAGGUCAUUUUAAUAGCUCCUAAAAAGUUGGGAAUUUAAUUGAACUAGUGAUAAAAGUUUAGGCGGUGUACAUGUAGAAAGGGCCAAAAUAGUUUCUUCGACUGAAUAGGGAAAACACUAUGUCCAUGAAUAAGAUCUAGGGGAAUUGAGCAAGACAUCCAUUAAUGUCCCUGUGGAAGUGUGGGAGAGAAUUGUUUUUUUUUUCUCGCCUUUUGGAGAACGUAAAAGUUUGAAGAAUGUAGAUUCAAGAAAAUAGUAGAAUCGUAUCACAAUCAUUCAAAAAAUAAAAAUCUACAUUACUAGUAAAUUCAGCCAAAUCUUUUAUGUGAUUAAUUAGUAUAGAUAUAAAGUGAAUUAACCUAGUCAAAUCCUAUGUUUGUAAGUUAAGUAACUACAAACAUUUUUGGCAACAUCAUAAUAGCUUGAUUUGUGUUCAAAUAUUGUCCUCAUUUGUGCUGAAUUGAGAUUGAAAAAAUUUCAAAAAAAAUUGAAUUGAAAUAGAAAAAGAGACAAAAAUCAGAAACAGAAUUGAAUUCAAGAUUUCAAUAUCAACUACCGUGGAAGACAAAUAUCUUGAAUUAAUUUUUGUUUCAAUCAAAAAUCAUAACCUGGAUAGAAGUCAAAUGAGUUUUUGAAAGCUUCUACAUCUUUAAGUUCUUUUCUAUACGAUGGUUGCUCAUUUAAAAUUUUCAUGUCUGUAUUGCAACCCCACACUCGAAUAGCAAGUCUUCUACACUUUGUAGAGGGCUUCUUUAGGUAAGUAUUGUACCAGUUGAUAAUAUCCGACUUCUCAAAAGAGUCAGCUACUCCAAAUUCUAGAGUGUCAUUAUUACACCUGUAAGACAAGCCACCAAAGGUUAAUGUUACAACAAACUAUCAGUACAAAACCACAGAAAAUAAACAAGAAAAUAUGGCAGAAUAACAAAUCCUCUGCCGUUCACCCAAAACUCGAACCACACGGCAUCAAGAUGAAGUUCCUUUCAACAAUAGGGCUCAGACUCAAGAAAAUACAGGAUUGUACCCUUCUGUAUGACCCACACCGAUCGCCCCAAACCCUAAGGUUUUCCUCUAUCAGUUAAAGGAAACCACAAGGGGUAAAAUCACACACCAAACUCUCCAAUACACAGAGUAUUAUGUAUCACAAAGACGGAAUCACACAGAAACCAGAUCCAAUCAGAGAUUGGAUUCUCACGAAGAAGAAGAGAGGGUUUGGAAGACUCUCGAACCUCAGCCGCAGCUGGAGAGAGGAGAAAAAUGACGGUCCAAGUGAAUUAGGGCAAAAGGGGCCAAGUAUUUAUAUCCAACAAAGGCACCCUUAGAUCAAGUUUCAAUCCGACGGUCAGGAGGCAUCCAUAUAACUGAAUAAGGCGUGUUUGGCUGCAUUAAAAUAUGCCACGCCCAAAAACACGUUUUAUCUACCAUUGGGCCGGGGCGGAUCGGGUCAUGUUAUUGGGCAAGAGCCUAAAUUGUUAAAACAGUUAUUGGGCUUUAGCCCAUUUGUCAUCACAGCCCAGAAAGGUCAUUGGUCAUCACAGCCCAACAGUUAACAUGACAGUUCAGAAAAGAGGUUUAAAUCACUAUACAACAUAAAAUCAACAAAGCAGUCCAUUACCUAUAACAAAUGUUUUAGCCCUGGCCAAUUCUAUCAGUAAAAAAGGGUAGAUCUUCCUAAAUGUUGCCCAUUAAUGCACCUCUGUAAUUCUCAAACAAAUCGUUGUUGAAUCCAUUCUGCAUAGUGAACAAAUAUUUAACGAGGAAGCAUAUAAAUAUAAUUCAACACUUUCAAAAACAAUAUUGCAAAAUUUCAUUUUGAAUAAGAAAUGAAAAAAGUAGAAGAUUUCAGACAAUGCAAAUAUAUGGUGUGAUCUCAAUACCUAAUAUUUCAAUGCAAAAUAUUCCUCAAACUACUACAGUGCACAAUUACUAUGCUGGCCACAAGAAAGAAUCUAACCAAAUGUUGAUUGAUGUUAGUGAAAAACAGAGAACCAUCGAGGCCAGAAUGCAUUAAAGAAAGAAGGAUUUCAAACUAACCAACAUCUCUUCAAGGCCGUUUAUGAAGUUGUCAAUCCUCUCUAGCAAGUACACAGGAUCGUGCUUAGAAGAUUGAACUUGGAAACAGUAUCCCUAUAUGCCGAAUGUUACCCAUGUGUUACAAUCAACAUCAUAGCCAAGCUGCUCUUUUGUCCUAUUUUAACAUCAAUUAAAUCAUGAAUUAGUCAUUAUUUAUUAGGGAUUCCUUUAGAUUGUAAAGAUAUAGUUUCAAUCACUUAAUAGUUGAUAUUGUUGAACUAACAUUUAUUCGCCUACUUUGACCUGCCGGAGAAGAGUUCAUCAAAUUUGUGUACUACUGCAUUUUGUAUGUACUUUGAUAUUAGCACCGACCCCACACACAUGUCAAACUAUCAAAGCAUUAACAUUGUAGAUUUUUAUGCGCAACAUUGAAAAUGUAUACGCCCAAAAAAUGAUUAGUAUAUGGGCACUUGAUGUUGGAAUAAUAAUUAGUUGCAGUAAUGUUCAGAACGGUAAAAUGCAAAAAGAAAACUUAUCGCCUGAUCGAGUCUCGUGACAGCAUGAUGUCCUAAAGUGAAAUUGCCCGUCGAUAACUGCUGCGACCUCCGUGGACAAUCACUCCCAGGAUACAACGAUCAUAAACCACUUGUACAGUAAUCACAAAUGAUUUUUUCAGAACUAUCGGUUGUACUCCAGAAUAUAUGUAAAAAUUCAAGGAUAAGAAAUUCAGAAUAUGAAAAGGAAGGAUUCGUAGAAGAUGAUUUUACUGUUUUCUUUUAUGUGUCUUUUCACAAAACGAGAUAUAGAUUUAUAUAGGCAAGAUGGAAGUAACAGCUUCCACCAUGAUCAGAGAUUAAUUCAGAAUUUUAAUGACUGAGUAGUGGGUAUUUUAAUGACUGUCAGUGGGUUGUUACAAAAACAAACAGUCAGAAAAUACUGGCUAGUUUUACCCAUUAAAUAAUAAAAAAAUCAUUUAUUUUAGUCAAGGAAGCCCAAGGCCCCAAUCAAGACAUUUUAAUAUCCGCGUGGGGAGUGACUCGAACCCCUGACGUCCCACACAAAUGCCACAUUUCCCACCACUAUGGUAGUUUAUCUAAUUUGAUUAUUUCUUUCACAUUUUAUAUUUAUACCAUAAAUAUAUAACAAUCCCCCACGUGAAAGAAAUAAGAUAAAUGAAAAUAUCACUCUGGAAUACGGUAGAAAUCAUGCAGGCUUAGGUGUCUAUCGACUUGAACCUUGGCUUUGUAUAUUCUAUCGAGCUUACUAACUGUAGAGUGAACUAUGUCUUGAACUCUACAAUUAUAAAUGCAAACUGAGACAAUAGAACACACACAUGAUUUCUAGAACAGUCAUUGAGUUCUCGCGGCUGUGUUCAUUUCGGCCAUGAACUUUCCCAGUUUCUUUGAGUGCUCUAGAGAAUUUGCCUCAAUUCUCAUAGAAAGCGGUCUCACUUCCACACUCAAAUAGGUGCUACUAUCAAGGGUGCACUGUAUCUAAAGACCCCCACUAAAUAUCAGCUAUAGUAAGCAUUAAGAGCAUUAGCUCAUCCUCUAAUCAAUACAGUUGAUACUACGCAUCAUAGGGAGGGGUUUGGAAUAAAUCCAAUGUAGUACCCCCACAGACCACUCCAAUAACUUUGUUGUCCCAUUGAACCUUGACCAUGGGAUCUCCAAUUGCAAGGUUGGAUUUCCAUUAUAGGUGAUCUAAUAAAUAAUAGGCUUUAGCCCCAUCCCUCUCGAUGUGUGUUGAAUUAGCUCUCUAGCCAAUCCUUUGGAUAAUGGGUCAGCAAUGUUAUCACUUGACUUCACAUAGUCAAUAGCUAUAAUCCCAUCCUUAAGCAGCUGACGCACAGUAUUGUGCCUCCUACGAAUAUGUCUAGACUUUCCAUUGUAGGAUGAAUUUUGAGCUCUUGAGAUAGCUGCUUGACUGUCACAAUGUAUUGAAAUAGUUGGAAAUAGUUUAGACCACAAAGGAACAUCCAUAAGAAAAUUCCUUAACCAUUCAGCCUCCUCACCUGCCUUAUCUAAAGUUAUGAACUCAGAUUCCGUAGUAGAUCUAGCAAUGCAGGUUUGCUUAGUGGAUUUCUAGGAGACAGCACCGCCUGCUAAUGUAAAUACAUAUCCACUUGUAGAUUUACUCUCAUUGGUAUUGGAAAUCUGCCACGCGAUUUAUGCAACGUGAUUUUAUACCGCAAGUGUACGGUGUCAAGUUUUGUAAUAUAGUUUUGAAGAAGGAUGUCGAACCCACAGGGAUUAAUAUUCGAAUUAAUUGAGUACUAUAAUUAUUUUAGCCCUCACUUUAUUUAGAUGAUCAAAAUGAGAAACAAUAUUUUUAAAUUAAAUUAAAAUAAAUGGAAUGAACGACGCAAGUAAAUGGGAGCAAAUUAUGAAGUUUCUUAUCAAAUUUUGAAUACCUAGGGAAUGAUUUCACCAUACCUUCGACAAUGUUUUUCACCCGUAUAACUAUUUCUAUUGAUCUUUCCAAAAUUUAUAGGCAAGAACACUAAAGUGGUUCUAUUUCCCUCUCCCGAGCGCCAAAUAAAAUCUAUUUCUAGAUUCUAAUUCCAAUAUCUCUAUUCCGAAUUAAAACAUAAAAAUUAUCAAGCACGUGAUUCUUAAUUAAAACAUGCCUCAAAGAUUCGCAUUUUCUCUCGAAACCUAUGAAAUCUAGGUUAUGUUAUCUUAGAUCACGCCUAAAUUUUGCCUCUCUCGAGUGCCAAAAUUUAGAACACCAAAUCAAGCAAUUAGUAACCAGUUAAUUGAAAGCAUUGCGCACAACAACACAAAUAAAUAAACGGAAAGAUUAAUUGAAAUAAUUAAAACGGAAUUAAAACAUGUCUAAAGCAGGCUACAUCAACCCUAGGACUAAAGUUUAAUGUAUAAUUGAAAGAAUUGACAUAAUUAAAUUAUAAAGCAUGAACAUGAGAAGAAAGGGAUAAGAAAAACUAAUUGAUUGCAGCGUGAUUUCUUCCCAAAGUUGCCAAUUUCCUUCAAUUAGUUUCAAUUUUACUCCAGCCAUUUACGUGUCUGCUUCCUCUGCUUCGGUUUCUUGUGUUUAUACAAAUAAUUUCAGCAGCAAGGCAGCCAAAUUCCUCCCCAACAGCCGAAAUAAUUGACUUCAAAAGGGACUCUGAAGUGCCUCAAUUUGUCUCCAAAUAUAAUAUUGCUGUUGCAGCCCCAAGUAAUUUCCCUCAAUUUCUAAGCUUUCACGUGUAUAUUAAUGGCGGCAGCAAUUUUAUCCCCUAAAGUACUCCAAACUCCCUCCUCAAUUUUCGUGCAGGUAUGGCGUGUGGAGAAUGUAUAAAAAUGUGCAGCCGCCUCUUUUAAUGUCUCUCCCGUUUUUUGUGCGAGACUUAUUUAUAUAUAUUCUGCCCACUCCUCCAGCAAUUCUGUAAUGUUUUUCCUUCAAUUCUCGUCUCUCUCAAUUUUCUGUUUUAUGUUGUUCCCCUCUUCAAUUAGGUCUUGUCUGUGUUGUUUAUAACUUCUAGAAUUUAGGGAACAAUAUGAGACGUGUUGGGCCCAGAAAUUAUUAUAAAAUUGGGUUUCUUUCUGGUCGAGGCCCGGGCCCGUGGUACCACUUCUUCUUUUCUUGGCUCGUUUGCACUCCUUUUUCAUCAGUUUCUACUCCUAACAAAAACAUUAAAACCACAUGGUAAAACAUCCAUAACUCAUAAUAAUUCGAUAAAUAAUAAGCUUAAUUGAUAUUAAUUUAAUGAGUGAAGUAUCACUCAUCAAAAUCUAAUUACAUCACAAUAUCCCUCAAGUAUAGCAAGGAAUUUGGUAUAAUGUAUUCCCCAGUCUUGAGUGUAUCUCAAAUACCUCAAGACUCGAAUGAGAGCAUCCCAAUGUUCAUUGUUAGGAUUACUAGUAUACCUGCUAAGUCUACUGACAGCAUAUGCUAUAUCAUGUCUUGUACAGUUCAUGAGAUACAUGAGACUGCCGAUUACUUUAGCAUACUCUAAAGCGGAAACACUAGGACUUAAAUGUUUUCUCAAAUGACGACUUGCAUCAUAAGGUGUUUUAGCAGGAAUACAAUUGUAUUGAUUAAACUUCUUGAGAAAAUAAUUCCUUCAGAAUGUUUUACUAUUUUGAUUCCUAGAAUAACAUCAGCAACACCCAAAUCUUUCAUUUCGAAGUGCUUGUUCAAAAACUAUUUAGUUUUAUUAACCACAUCUAAACUAGUUCACAUAAUCAGCAUAUCAUCAACAUAUAAGCAAAUUAUCACACCACAAUCAUUUUCAAAUUUGUUAUAUAUGCAUUUAUCCGCUUCGUUUAUCACAUAACCACUUGAUGUCAAAACUGUAUCAAAUUUUUCAUGUCAUUGCUUAGGAGCUUGCUUAAGGCCGUAAAAGGAUUUUUUAAGUCUACAUACUUUAUCCUCAAGUCCUUUUACAACAAAUCCUUCAGGCUGAUCCAUAUAAAUCUCCUCUUCUAAGUCUCCAUUUAAAAAUGCAGUUUUGACAUUCAUUUGAUGUAUAAUAAGAUCAUACAGUGAAACAAUUGCAAUUAACAUCCUGAUAGAGGUAAUCCAGCAACGGGUGAAUAAGUAUCAAAGAAGUCAACUCCUUCUUUUUGUCUAUAGCCUUUAGCUACAAGGCUUGCUUUAAACUUAUCAAUCGAACCAUCAGGUUUAAGUUUUUUCUUAAACAACCAUCUACACCCAAUUGUCUUGCAUCCUUGAGGUAAGUCCACUAACUCCCAAGUAUUAUUACACAUAAUUGAAUCAUAUUCACUAUUUACAGCUUCCUUCCAAAAUAUAGAAUCUGGUGAAGACAAAGUUUCACCAAAAGUACUAGGAUCAUCCUCUACCAAGUAGGUUAUGAAGUCUAGACCAAAGGAAAUAGUGGUCCUAGGUUUUUUGCUUCUCCUAAUUUCAGCUUCUUCUAAUUCAGACAGCUCCUCUCUAACACUGGGAGGAAUACUAAAAGAACUGCUUGGUCUUUCAGACUUUUCUUUAAACGGAAAUUUAUUUUCAAAAAAUUCAACAUCUCUUGUUUCAAAAAUUGUGUUCUUUUCGAUCAAAUUAUUUUUAGAGUCAAUGACUAAAAAUCUGUAGGCAUUACUGUGAAGAGCAUAGCCUAUAAAAACACAAUCAACAGUUUUCGAACCAAGUUUAGUUCUCUUAGGUGUCGGAAUAGCAGCUUUGGCUAAAUAGCCCCACACUUUAAGAUAUUUAUAUGAAGGUGUUCUACCCUUCCACAUUUCAUAAGGGGACUUAUUAUUUUUUUUACUAGGAAUUCUGUUAAGAAUAUAACAUGCAGUAAGAAGGGCUUCCCCCCACAUAUUAAAAGGUAAUCCAGAAGUGUUUAGCAUUGAUAUGACCAUAUCCUUAAGAGUCCUAUUUUUCCUUUCAACUACACCAUUAGAUUGGGGAGAAUAAGGUGGAGUAGUUUCAUGAAUAAUGUCAUUCUCAACACAGAAUUUAUCAAAAUCUCCAGUAUAUUCUCCUCCCCUAUCAGAUCUUAAAACUUCAAUAUUUGUCUAACUGAUUUUCUACUUCGACUUUAUAUGAAAUAAAUUUUGAAUAGCUUUCAUCCUUACUCUUAAGUAGAUAAAUAUAACAAUAUCGAGAAUAAUCAUCAAUGAAAGUUAAGAAAUAUUUAUUUCCACCACGAGUAACAUAUCAUUUUAAAUCACAUAAAUCAGAAUGUAUCAAACUUAAAAUCGAAGUAGUCCUAUCAACACAAGAAAAUGAUUUUCUAGAAUAUUUAGAUUCAACACACGUUUCACAUUUUGAAUUUGGACAAUUAUCGAUUUUGGGAAUGUUUCCCGAAGUCAUUAAUUUUUUAAUGAAAGUUUUAUUAACUUGUCGAAGUCUAGCAUGCCACAAAUCAUAAGAAUCCAACAAGUAAACGGAAGAGCUAGAUGCUUUAUUGUUAAUCACGGAGACAUUGAGUUUAAACAGACUCUCAUCUGCAUACCAUUUCCUAACAAAAGAACCACCCUUAGAUAGUACAACUUGACCACUUUCAAAUACAAUCUUAAAACCCUUUUUGACUAAGAUAGAUCCAGACACUAGAUUUUUCCUAAUAUCAGGUACAUAAAGGACAUCCUUCAAAUUAAGGAUAUUUCUAGAAGUACAUCUAAUCGUCACAGUUCCUUUCCCCUCGAAUUUUGAGGAGGAAGCAUUCCCUAUGAACAGACAUUCUCCAUCACUAGCGGGAGUGAAUGAAGAAAAUGCACCUCUCGUGCAGCAAAUAUGCUUGGUAGCUCCAAAAUCUACCCACCAAUCUGUCAUGUUGCUUACUAGAUUCACUUCUGUCACCAUAGCAGAGAAAUUCCCAUCCUCUACCACAUGUGCAUGAUGCUUCACAGGUUUUCCUUUCCUAUUUCUGCAAUCUUUUGCAAGGUGACUUGGUUUACCACAAACAAAACAGUCACCAACAAUUUUAUUCUUAAAUUGGGGUUUAGACCGAUUGUUCUUUUCUACAAAUUGUUUUCCCUUGUUUCUGCCUUUAAAAUUCUGAUCCCUUGUAAAAUUUUCAAUUGAUUUCUUAUUGCCAGAACUUCCUUCAAUAAGAUUAGCCUUGGUAUCAAAGUCUGGCCUUUCUUUACGUUCUGCCAUUCUAUUGUCCUCCUCGAUUAUAAUCCUGAUAAUCAGAUCCUAUAAGGACAUUUCUUUUCUCUUAUAUUUUAAACUAUUUUUAUACUCUUUCCAAGAAUGUGGCAAUUUUUCAAUUAUAGCUGACACUUGAAAGCCCUCACAGAUUUUAUAUCCUUCAAAAAUAAUUUCAUGAAUUAUAAUCUGCAAUUCUUCAACUUGACUGACCAGAGUUCUACAUCAUUCAUUUUAAAAUAUAAGAAUUUUCCCAGAACAAAUUUCUUAGUUCUAGCAUCUUCUGUAGCAUAUUUCUUUUCUAAAAAAUUCCAUAAUUCUUUUGCAGAUUUACAUGAGUAGUAAACAUCAUAUCGAUUUAACGUCAAACAAUUCAGAAUAUAAUUCCUGCACAUAUAAUCAUUAUGUUCCCAAUUAGCUAAAUCCUCUGUUUCCUUAUCAGUAUGAUUAUCAGCAAUUGCAACAACGGGUUUAUCUGAUUCAAUAGCAUCAACAACUUUAAUUGUUGUCAAAUAAAAUCGCAGUUUCAUUUGCCAUCUCUUAAAAUUCUUUCCAUCAAACAACUUAAGUUUUUCAGAAUACUUAGGAACAGAUAUCUCUACAGCAGACAUGGCAACUAAUUAUAAAGAUAUUUUCACUUUAGAUUGUUGGAAUAAUAAUUAAUUGCAGUAAUGUUUAGAACGAUAAAAUGCAGAAAGAAAACUUAUCGCCUGAUCGAGUCUCAUGACAACACGAUGUCCUAAAGUGAAAUUGCCCAUCGAUAACUGCUGCGACCUCUGUGGACAAUCACUCCCAAGAUACAACGAUCAUAAACCACUUGUACAGCAAUCACAAAUAGUUUUUUUUAGAACUCUCGGUUCUACUCCAGAAUAUAUGUAAAAAUUCAAGGAUAAGAAAUUCAGAAUAUGAAAAUGAAGGAUUCGUAGAAGAUGAUCUUACUGUUUUCUUUUAUGUGUCUUUUAACAAAACGAGAUAUAGAUCUAUAUAGGCAAGAUGGAAGUAACAGCAUCCACCAUGAUCAGAGAUUAAUUCAAAAUUUUAAUGACUGAGUAGGUAUUUUAAUGACUGUUAGUGGGUUGUUAUAAAAUCAAACAGUCAGAAAAUACUGACUAGUUUUACCCAUUAAAUAAUAAUAAAAAAUCAUUUAUUUUAAUCAAUGAAGCUCAAGAGCCCAAGGCCCCAAUCAAAACAUUUUAAUAUUCGCGUGGGGAGUGACUCGAACCCUUGACGUCCCACACAAAUGCCACAUUUCCCACCACUAUGAUACUUUAUCUAAUUUGAUUAUUUCUUUUCUAACAAACAAGGAGAUCGAGUGCUAACAUACGUUCAAAUUACUCUGUACACAGUUGCAGAAUAAUAACUUUAUUUUUUCUAUGAUGUUAGUAAAUUUUCAAAACUACCCUACUUAAAUUAGGCAUAACUAACGAGGAUUCUUGUCCAUCAAUUUGAACAUUAAAGUUGAGAAGUUACAUUGAACAUUUACCUUAUCAACUUAAACCUAUUUUCAACUCCCGCGUAAAACAUCGUUUUAAUUUUGAAACCAAUAUAGUAUGGACCUAGCGUGUGCAUAAGCUAAACCCUUUUCCCCGUCACAUUGUACAUUAAUCUUAUAAAAGCCCAAAAUAAAGUAAGGCUGGACAUGGUCCGAUCCGGUUCUAAUGAGAACUGAAUUGACCUAAAAUUUUCGGGUAUUUAGUAAGUGGAACCAUCGGGUCCAAAUUUAAUUAUGGAACCGUUCGGGUUAUGUUCCAUUUAGUUCGGUUCGGUCCGGUCCAUUCGAUUUCGUAUUAUAAUUAAAUUUUCUAAUAUAUACAAAAUUAUAUUAAUUUAAUUAAUGAUAUGUUCAAUAUUAGCUCUUACAAAAUAACAUAGUUCAAUCUUAUGUGUCUUUUACGUCUCUCUUUGAUGAAUUCUUCAUAAAUUUGAUUAUUAAAAUCAUAGGAAGAGAAAGAUAACGAGCUCAAAAUAAUUAAGAGAGAUGUUGUAGAGCUUUAAUUCAAUUUUUUCCAAUAAAAGCGACACUACCAUAGAGUAACAGAUUUGGAUAAAAUUGAGGUCAAUUUGAUUAAGUUGAUUUUAAACUAAAAAUUAGAUAUAGGAAAAUCAUAUUUUGUGGUUUCAACUAAAUUAACUAGUUAACAAAUGUAUUUAGAAAAAAUAAAAUAAUUUUGCUUAUUAAAAAUAAAUUAAUUAAAAAAAUUAAAGAGAUUCGAUUCUUAUUCAAUUUUUCGGGUCUUAGCCUAGAUCGAGAAUCAAAUCGUACACGUCAGUUCUUGUUUCAAAUACCCGUUCGGGUAUUUAACUUGAGAAGAAUAGUAGGGUUCGGUUCGGUUCGGUUCGGAUUCGGUUUGAUCGGUUUGGUUCAGGAGUUUUGCCCAACCCUGAAAGAAAGUAGGCAAAAGUUUUCCCUGUUCAGUAUUGGUCCAUAAGUGGGACAAUGUUGAAAAGCGUUAACGUGAUAAUAAAACUGAAAAUAAAGCAAUACUCAUAACAAAGAAAAUUUUGUGCCUUUUUAAUAAACUAGUCUUUAGCACGCGCGAUGCGCGUUCCGUACUAUUUAAAUGUGCUGAGUGUUUUACAAAUAUUGUAUAAGAACACAAACAUAUUGUAUCAUUCAAACUACCAAUAAAAUAUACUAACAACAAAGAGCAUUAAUUCCAAAAAUAAUAUGAACAAGUUCAAAUUUAAAUCCUAAUAAACUUUAGUUAUGAAGUGUUCAGACGUAAGAAAAGGAAAUACACGCUCAAUAUUAAGUACACUUGAAAGGUACCAAAAAAAAACUACCAAUUCGUGUAGGAAUCAAAGUUCUAUUUGCAUGGCACACUUUGUACACCAUGAAUAUUGGCUGUUCAUUAUUCAAAAUUUAAAGUACACGUGUCACCUAUUUGAAACUGUUUCUCCAGCAUAAUUUGUCCAACCAAUUCUGAUGUGAAGAAUCAUAAAUUUCAACACUAUGGACAAAUUUUGGUAGAUGUGACCAAGUGAAAUCCCCAGGUAUAUACUAUAAAUUAGAGUAAAAAAAUCAAUUAAUAAUGGAAUUUAGACUUAGCUGGGGAACGUCAAUGUAAAAUUAUGUUUCAUCUACACAAGUAAAGAAGACACGAGUUGGAAAAAAGUGAAGUUACAGAGGAGCACACAAUUUUUCGAUGACUAUCACGAUUAACCACCAAUGUUACUCGGAAGACAGGAUUACCCAUACAUUAAAUGUCCACUUCAUUUACAUUGGAGCCAUUUGUUACUUCAAAAGCUGAAUGGUUGAGUAUUGAAAUGUUGAAUGCAGAGUUUUCGGUAUAUUCAAACACAAUAAUAAAGUUGUUUCAUAUUUGAAAACGAUAUAAAUAUUAAAUUAAAAACUACAUGUUACCCAUUUGUCAACUAAAUCUUUAGCAAAUUUUCUGUUGGCAGUAGUCUCCUCAUCAGACUUUGACAAAAACAAUAUAACCUACACAAACAUGAAAAUAACCAGCCAGUCAUUCCUCCCAUUGCACUAUAUAUCUAGAGAAGUCUCAUUGGUAACUAAAGCUAAAAUUGGUUAACAAACCUUUCCGAGACCACUCUUCUUUAGCUGUUUCGGAAACUGUAAGCAGAGCACACACUUUUAGCACCCAUGGAAUGUUAAGAGAAACAAUAAGUACGUCAUACAGCAUCAAAAAGGUAAGAAAGAACCUUUUUUCAUACAUCAGUCAGGAUCUUUAGAACUGCAGCACGGACGUUAAUGUUAGGUAAGCUUCCAUCUGGUAGUGUUUCGAGCCAAUUCUUCAAAGAGGUUAACACUCCAUGAUCCAAAAAUUCUUGCUGAAGAUGCUUUCUGAAAAUGAACAAUCCAAAUGUGAGGAAAUUAUCACAUUGCAUGAACAAGAAGCCAAAGAAACAAUGAAGAAAGCAACUCACUUAGAAAAGACAUCAGCAAGAAGAGGGAGUUUUGAGUUUAUUUAUAGCAGGUUUCUGUUGUCUAUUCAGUUCUGCAUCUUCCUCUGCAACAACUUCAAGUUCAGCCAUGACAUUCUCAACAAGCAGUGCAAUUUCUGCAGCACUUUUCUCAGUUUUCUUCUUUUUCUUGCCCAUCUUGAAAAGCUGUUUGAUUUCAUCAUCCUCUUCUUCUUCUGCCUAUAAGGAAAGAAAAAGGUUUCACUAUUGACACCCCCGUUAAAGAACAUGCAGAAGCACUGGCCAAAUGAUAUUGUGGACAUAAAUAUAUGCUGGUGAUUACAUUUUUGACCAAAAAGUACAUAACAGCUAUCCACAUUUACAAUGCCAACUCAUCCAUCACAAGUAGACAGAAAAUUCAACAAUGGGAAAAAAAUCUGAUUUCAGCAAGCAAAGAAAUGAAAAGCAGAAGUAUGCAACCUGAAAAGAUACGUGUGCGCCAUAGAAAUCCACCAUUUUUUUUUUGCAGUGACCAAAUAUACACACCAAAAAACAAAUGGAGAGAGAGGGAAAUGAGGAAGGUGUUUAUGUUUGGACGGAAAAUGAAUUACAAUCCAUGUAUAAAUAUGCAGAAAUUUUUGCCUUGUAAAUGAUAGUGGCACAGUGCAUUAUAGGUCCUUAAUGAAUUUGUUUAAUAAUGAUAUUCAAGUAAAGAUUAAAUUCCGAUGUUCUGAUCCAGUUACAUAUCACAUUGCAUCACCAUAUAUGUUAUAUUAGAGUGCAAUAUGCAAGUAUAAUAUACUCCAGUGAGAAGCAUAUGAACUGAAAAAGUACCUUACAACUUGAUGAACACGUCAAAAAAAGCACUUGGACCUGGAGGAACACAUAUAGCAUGACUACUGUUACUAUUAUUCACAAUAGCAAUCAGUGCAUCAAGAUUCUUAGGUUUUCCCUCAUGUUCCUCACCGAAGUUAACAACAUCAACAACCACGCUGUUCUUUUCAAUUUCGUCCUAAUCAUCCCCAACUCCUUGACAUAUUUUACAGGGACUAAAAUCAUAAGUUAAUACUUCAAUUGUAUUAUAUGGAUUUGACUACAUAGUAGUAAAUUAGUAAUUAAUUAACUCAAAAAAAAAAAAACCAUAAGCAUCAUUGGGUAAGAUGAAGAAGAAGAAGAGGAUGAGGAAAUCAUAAAUGCGGAUCAUUGGGCAAGAAUUGACACAUGAAAAAAAAAAAAAAAAAAAAAAUUGGGCAAGAAUUGACACUUGAUAAAAAAAAAAAAAUCCAAAAAUGCGGAUCUUGAUAUAUUGGAACGAAUCAUAAAUCAAUAAUACACAACUCAUCAAUCUACAGGACACGCAAUUUAGUUGAAAGAAUCAACUGAAAAGUAAGCUGAGAACUAAUCGUAUGCCUGUGCAAGGCACAAGCUUUAUUCCUUUUUAAGGUAAUGUUAGUGUAUCGAGCGUCAAGGAUUGACAAAAAAUAUGCGGUGUGGAUUAGAUUAGCAAAAUGAAUUAAUUUUAUGAAGUAAAUUGGCACGACACAAAAGUCACACACAAACGCACAGAUAAAAAGAUAAUUAAGGAGAAGAGACAAUGACUUAAGCCUAACUAAAACUUGAGGAAGGAUUUUACUACUGCAAUGAAUCUUGCACAAUUUAGUAUAUGCAACACAACAGAUUUCACAUGAGAAGAUGAAUGCAGCAUUUACAAAUUGAAGUAUAAGAACAAACUUUAAAGAAAAAUGAAGGGAAUGACCAGUAGUGAGGUUAUGUAUGUAUUUUGAAUCUAACCUCUUCAUAAAUGAUUAUCACAUAUCUGCAUGAAAACAAAGUAAAUGAGGUUACCAGAGAUGGGUUUCUAUUAGCAAUCAUGAUGCUCAGUCCAUUUCCAAGCUUCAAAAGCAAAAUCAUUAACUGUAUUUUCAGUUUCAACCUAAAAACAUAAAAUACUGAAAUGUGUUAAUGCAAGAAUGAUUUAACCCCACAAGGUUAAGGUUAAAAUGCUAACUCAUUAUUUAAAAAUACCAAUUGAUUCCAAGGCAACAAUAAAAUGUAUAAAUAGUUGUUCUUUCUUUGUACUUCAUCUUCUCCAUUUUCUACAGCAUCCUUCUCCUUCUUUUGGCUCGAUUCCAGUUUCCCAGUUAUAAAAGAAUGCACGCACAUUUCUUCUUUCUCUAAACACAUAAUUUGAAACUUAUGGUCAACUUCUAUGAUUGGGAAUAAUCAACUAUCAAAUGAUACUCAACAACAUUUUAAUAAAGGAAUAUAUAAGACGAGAGAAUAGUAAAUCACAAAACACUGUCCAAUGACAACAGUAAAAGUUCGCAGAAUUUUAUAGAAGUCAUGAGUAUGCGGAUAUACCUCAUAUUACGAUUAAAGAUUUUCUUUCUAGAAGGCAUUGAUUUAAACGUGAUAACUUCAAAACAUUGACCAUAAUAGCAUGUGACAUUCAUAGGGAAUCCAAGCAUAAAGUUAAUAACAAUAUUGCAUCAUCUAGCAAGCUAAUUUUACGCUCACUCGAUUGGAAUUUUAGAAAGAAAUUCUGCAAACUCAAUAUAGAAUCAAUCGUUAGAUACCAUUCAAUAAUGAGUAAGAAGCCAAUGAAGGAAUACCAUGGAAAAACUAAUGCUACUAAAACUAACCUUUGUUUAUAUGGUCCUAAAAAUAAUUCUUGUUAUGUGCUCCAUAGGGCUGUAGGCAAGAUACUUGCACAUUUCAUUUUCAAUGUACCUUUUGAACAAUGAUUCUACAAUACCAUGUACAACACCCAGUAAAAUGCCUAUGAAUGAGAAAGUUGACAUUCAGAAGGAAUAAGAACACUUGCUAUCUCGUAUAAUUAUAGACCGUAGAAUGCAUUUGAAAUGGCUUUUAGCGUGACAAAAGAAGACAAGUCAUUGAAGAGAGAAACUUAAAAAAGAAAAUGGAAGGGAGAAAUUAGAAAAGAAAUUAUAAUACAACGUCAUUCUAAAGAACAGAUCUGUGGUAAGCUCACCUGAAAAUAAAGAAGUAAGUUUUCAGAUGGCAUCGUGCUUCCAUCGAAGAAGUACCAAAUAAUCCAAUCAUCUUCAUUGACAUCCUGAAAAAAGAUUUAUAGAGAUGGUUAUUUAGUAUCCUUUUGUUUAAACUUUGAUGAGAACAAUUCAGCAGCAAAUGUUUAUAAGAAUUAAUAAUAUCUAACGUCCUUCAACUUGGAAUUUCAAAUGACGGAAAAGAUAAUCUCAAAGUGGUAAGCAAUGUUUUAUGGCAGAAAUAAUGGACAAACAGAAGAACAUCUGGUUUCAUCCACCCGGAUAUCCUCUUAAGAAGGUCUCGAUAGUUUUUCAUAUGCUAUUUUUUAAAGAAUAAAACAAGUUGAUUAGCCAUGCCAACAAUCCCAAACCUCAAAGCCCAGUUUGGGACUUUAGAAAGAUUAAGUACUUCAAACAUUUCAAUGGAAAACAUUUUGUCAUUGAAAGCUUCCACGUUAAAUGUGCUAAUAUAUGGAACUAUGACAUUGACAUUCUGAACUUGAAGACCCCUGUGGGGCAGAAGAAUUAAUGUCAGACAAAUGUCUCUCCACAAGUUUGUUUUGGGGAAGAAUUAGGGAAAAAAAGGUAAUUAAUAUAUGCCUUAAAUGUUUGAAAAUAUACAUAAACCGAUGGAUCUUGUUCCUGUUUCCUAGAGGAGCUGAAAGUGGUAUAGAAGAAGUUUUUAAAAAAAUUAUCAUACAAAUGAAAUAAGCGUUAAGGAAAUCUUGAUGGAAAACUUAAAAGAAACUAAAUCAAGUUUUGAUCAAUAAUAAAUCAUUUAGUUAAUAAUAAGUUAGUGAAGAUUGAGCAUCUCAAACUUGAAAUGAUUCCAGAAAUAUACACCACAUUUACAAAGGUCACUUAAAUUGUCAAUGUGGUGAGAAUAAAGAUUAAUAGUAAAAGAAAGAGAGGAAUUUUUUAAAGACAUCUAACUGAACAAAAAUGAAAUAAUUUCAAAAUCUAGUUAACGGUACAAAGAAUAAAACAUUAGCCAAAAUAGUACCAGACUAUAGGCAUUUGUUAUUGGGAAGCGCAAUCAAUCUCAAUCAAUUGAGAACAUUUAAUUGAAAUAUUAAAAGGAAAAAGUCAAAAGGCUACGUUGUUUUCACGCUAAUUAGAAGUCCUAAAGAAGCAACAUUCAUGAAUGUAAAAGGAAAAUCUUUAUUCUACAGUGUGGAAAAUACUGUUUUCCCAAUUUCUAUAUCAGAAGCAAAUGAAAUGAAAAUGCAACUAUAAGGUUCAACAUUUAAUUUUGAUAAACUAAAAAAAAAACAAUGAAAUCAAAUAUGAACAUUUCCAUGAUUCUAGUAGGAUGAAAUUGCACAUAUAAAGUUACAAAUAACAAUUAGAAGGACUCCUAUCUUGAGAAUUAAAACUCAACAACUACAAUAGAGAGUGAGCAAAGAUUUGGCCAAAAAAUAAUAUAAUUCCUCUUCUCGAAUCACACUAAUUCAGACACUCGGAAAUACCUUGGUUCCAAAUACGACAAGUCCUAAUUCAUCAUUCUUGUUGAAUAUCAUCUGCGUAAAUGCAAAAAGAGAUAUUAGAAGUUUAGAUUAAAUACAACAAUGCCAAAAUUCACAGUACAUUGAACAGAGACGUUGAUGGCAAAAAGAAAUUCAAAUAAUAAACUAAUUAAUGGACAUUCUUUUGCAAUAACAUAAAACAAACCUUUUGGACUACUUGCAGCACAGCCUACUUGGUCGGACCAACAUCAAGCAUCAGAAGUAGACCCUCCUGUUAAGUAAAAAAAAUACUAUCGGAAAGGGGGGUAGGAGUAGGGGACUACACCAUAGAAAAACUCCACCUAAUUUUUCUAAAAACUAAAUGAUGUAAUAAGUUUACUUUGAUUACCAUUUUGAGAACUUAAAUCAGCUAAAACCCAACCUAAAUUCCUGAUUUUACAUGUAUUUCUAAUUUUGCAUCCAUUUCAACAACACAACGUAAUAACGAUAUACAUCCGACGCAAGCCCCCAGGGCACAUCUCCAAGUGGUAAAAGGAAAGGGUGGAGAAAUCCAACUUUACUUGAGGCUGCUGCGUCAAAGGUUCGAAUCCUGAAAUAUAGAUUUGGCUCUUGGGUAAGUGCAAGUGUACAAGCAGCCUUCACCCUGUACCCUUGGAGGCAUAAUCUGCAAGAGGCGGUCUCUUUUGUGCCAUAAAACUCUCAACUUUCCAUCAAAGUAGACAAUUAUAAAACUACCAUUUCUCAAUUGGGCCAAUAGGAUUUUAGUAACAUUAAUCACCUUUAAUUAAUUCUUUAAUAUUACAUGGGCCACAAAUAAUUGGUUUUACAUCCUGAUCCCAUUAAAUUUUUUGCUACAGAAAAUAAGAACCCUUGGGGUGGGAAAUAGAGUAAAAGUGAAAAGACCAAGAAGUUAAAAAAAAUGCAAAUACCUUAUCUUGCGAGAACUUGCUGCGAUCUGAUUUUCAAACAAGUCGCAUAGAAUGCAAAAGGCUGCAUAGAGCCUCAACCAAUCCUACCAACAAUAAAAUAUACUGUGAAAUAAAUACGCUUAAGAAUUAAGAACUGUCUGCAAUAAAACUUAUUGUCUAGUAAAAUAUUCUCUUUCUUACAAAUAAAGAGUGGUGGUUUUAUUUAAAAACUCCAAUGACACAGAAUUAUAAAUACUGAAAUCACUAUACCAAUAAGUGCUAAAACAUAAUAACCUGAUUCUCGGGAAGAAAGUUAUGGAAGGAAGUUGAACUUAGUGUUGCUUCCUUCUCUUGAGAAUACAUAUUUUUUGAAACGAGAAGUUUUGUGUCAAUGGUGGCCUCAUAAUCCACAUCCUGCAAGGGAAAACAUAAUACAGUUUAUGAUCAGAAUAAGUAAUCGUAGUUGUUCCAUUUGACAGAAUUUCAAAUACAUAGCCAUUGCAAAAGAAAGGGACAUGAAGGUCACAUAGGAACUCAUGCAGAUUAAGUUCCUAUAUCAAGACCGAGGUUGGGAAAAUAGAAUUUUGGUUUCAACGGAAAUUUAUAAUGUGAGGUAUCAUUGACCAACCAUUUCAACACAGGCUGGUAAAUGACCUAAAUUAAACGCUGUGAACAGGUAGCAAACAACUCUUCACAAGCAGAUCUAGAGCCCUCACUUGACACACUAAUAUGAUAGCUUUUUCAAGUAUAUGAUAUAGGUAGCAACUACUUCAUAUGAAAUUCAAGUUGCAGUUGCAUAAGGACGGAAGAGAAAGAUCUUAUGCAUUAUAUUGAUGAUGGUUUCCGUAUUAGGGCUGGAUAUGUUGAACUAAUACUUAAAACCAUUUUUUAGGUUUUUUCUAAUCUGUUCAUGAACUCACAAGUCAUAAUGAGCAAAAAAGUCCAAAAAAAAGCAUCUAAAGCACAACCAGGCAGUGAUAUGAAAAAGACCUUUAGCUUUUACAAAAUUGAAAGUUGUGAUCAAUUCAAUAAAUAAAAAUGUAGUGUUAAAUAAUCUAGUGCAAUGACGAGGCUUAUAACAGUGGAAUAGUGAAGAAAUAUACUAAUGUUUUUUCCCUAUUGCAUUCCUAAUCUUUAAUAAGAUACUUAAAGAUGUUCCAAAACAAGGUAAAGUUUGGGGGUGCACUUUCUUAUGAAUGGUUCUAGGCGAAAGGUUAACUACUGCUUAUCAAAAUCAGAAAAAUAUGAUCAACGCACAUAACAUCUAUUCUUACUCCCAACACAAAUGAACAAAACAUACAUACCAUGGAAAAUAACAGCAAAGUCAUUAGCCUUUCAAUUAGCUUAGCAACAGGCAAUGCAGUAAUUGAUUUGUCCUUGUUAUUUUGUACUAAAGAAGAUGAAAGAUGCAUGUUGGUACCUGCUCGCUGACAAUGCCCUGUUUUCUUUGCUAUUGUUAGCUGAUGACCUGGCUAAGAUUAUUGUUGACACAUAAAAAUUCAGCCCAAAUCGAACAGCUCAAGGAGUGAAGCCCAAUUGGAAAAUCCCCAAAUCAGAUAGCCCAAAGAACGAAACCCAAUCGGACAAAUCAAGAUGAAGGCCCAAAUAAGGAGGCCUAAGAACGCGGUAACACCAUCACCCAAGUUUGCAAGUCGCCUAGAAUCUGAGCGAAUGGAGUGUCAUACAGUUGCCCAGAGCUGUUACUCUAUUCUAGCCCAAACCUUCAAGUCGCCCAAGGUCUUAACAAACAUAAAGCGUCGUGGUUAUCAAGAAGUGCAGUUAUCAAAGUAGUUAUUAGAGCAGCCCUAUCAUGUUCCACGAUUCAAGAAAUUCAAUCGAAAGCAGUUGAACGAUGAAGAGUAAUGGCAGCAGUUAAAAGAGGCAGUUUUCAUGACAAGUUGGCCAUUACGAAGAAAGUGGGCAGUUAUAAGACGAUCAAGCAGUUUUUAGGGCGGUUGAUCACAAAGAGAUCGUCCAUGAAGUAUAAAAGGAAGAAAGGACAUAGAAGCAGAGACCAAAUCAAAAACUCUCGAAUAGAGAACAUGUAAUUUUCAUUUCCUUAGUUUUUAAAUUUAAACACUUUUCUUUCAGUAACUCGUGUGCUUGCGCCCCUUAGAGGCACGUUGUUUUUCAUUUCCAAUUGUAAAGUCAUCGCCAAUAAAAAAACACCUCUUUUUGGGACUUUGUCUCAAGAGGUUUGUCUCUUACACAAUCGUCUGAUCCUUUUUAACUGUUAGCGACUAGCCCGAGCGAAACAAUUAUUAAAUAAGGAAUAUUAAAAUUUAAUACAAAACAAUAUAUGGAUAAUUAUAUUAAACUGAUUAAGAAAUGAAGAAAGAUAAUAGAACCCAAGAAAGCACUGUAAGUAUUAUGCCCUAGGUCCAAUCAACUUUGGACAUAAAUACUUUUAUAUGUAAUUAAUGCAAUUAAAUGGCAGAUCUAUUAUUUAAUUAAUAGACAAUUAAAUAAAUAAUAGAGUCCGUAGAUUCAAAUAUUUGUAAUUUGUUAAUCACAAUGAGUUGUGAUUGUGAGAUACAAAUUACAUCUGAUUGAAUUUUAAAUCAUCCGUGGUCGUAAGUAAUAACGAGAUACGGAUAUCGUUAUUACAGAUAGACUAUCACGUGUGGCAUUUCUUACUUGUGAAGUAAGUAACUGAUCUCACAAGUUAAAGUGUAGUGACACUUAAAUGAAUACGUGGAUGUUUUGUUAUAAAACAAAACAUUGGAGACCCGUCGAGAGAUUCCACAUGGAUAACUAUCUGAGUGUCGGUGGUUAAUCUCUAACGUUCGGUAGUGAAAUUGGUCCUUUGACUUGAGGUCGUCAUAGUACCUUAUAUGAGGACAGUCAUACUUUGGCGGUGUUGGAUGUUGCUCUGAAAAGGGCCGUUAAUACGACAUCGUUCGAGUACAUCAAGAAUCGUAUGAAGGUUGUGAUUGAUCAAUAAAGGAUUCGUCACUUUUAGAUAGUAGGAGAUUAUGAUCUGCGUUUCAUUCAAUUAAGUCAAUGAUGAAAUCCUUGACCAAGGUGUACUCAUAAGUCGAAAAGGAGUUUUCGAUUUAUAUUGACUUAAUAGUGGAGUGAAAGAUAUGAUCGAUGAUCGAGAUUGACACAACUCCAUAUCUCGUAAUUGCGGAUCAUAUUGACGAAGGGAUUAUAGUUUCACGGUAAACGAACGAAUUUGAUUUUGUCAUACCACGUGACAUUUCCUGUCACGUGUAUUGCCCUGACACAUUGCUAGAUGUCAAUCAGGGACGGCGAAUGUGAAUUGACGAUAAAUUAAAAGGGUGUUUUAAUUUAUCAAUUUUGAUUAGAUCAAAAUAAUAUUUCACGUCGUUGGUAUCGUGGUCGGGAACCUAAUGGGUCACACACAAAAAAGAAUUGAAAGAUUGCAAAUUGCCAAUUGGUUAAUUUAACAAUCGUUGGAUAAAUUAAUUAAUUGGAUUUGUUAUUUAUAUUUUCGAAUUAAUUAAUUGGAUUAAUUAAUUCACGGACCGGGUUUAAUUAAUUGGAUUAAUUAAUUAUUGGACCGGAUAGGGCCGAGCCUGUUUGGGUUUAUAUAAAUAUAUAACUAGGGUUUGAGGUCCAUAAAGUUUUAUUAUUCUUGCUGGCACAAGAGAAAACCCUAUAAGCUGCAAUCUUAUUCUCUGUGUGGAUCACCAUUGGAGGCUGGACAAUUGGACAGCUGUGGUGGCGAAUCAAGGUUAAUGGAACGAAAAGAAAAGCAAAAAGAUUGCAGAUCUGGAAAAGGUACAAUCUUGUCACAAUCUCUAUCUAAACACAAAGGCGAUUCUUGGUGGGAAUCGAAAAUUAUUUUAAAUUCCCCUUUGCAUGUAUAAGUAGAUUCCCAACAAGCACAGUGUUAACAAAUCAAGCUAUUACUUGCCAAUUGAAAAAGUAAAAACAAGGUGUAACAUUGGAAUCGUAAAUAAAUUAUAUAUAUAUAUAUAUAUUUGUCUGAUUCACUUUGUAUCUUAUACGUGCUGCAAGUUUAACUGAAGAUAUACUCAUCAAUAAUUAUCUUAACAUUACCCCAAGAUUCUAAGCUGUUGUAGCUGUUUCAGCACUGUCGUGCUUGAAUGGAUUAAAAACAAGGAAGAGUGCUAUAAAGUGCCAUGGAACUCCUGCACUCUACUUUCUUCCUAUAGAAACUUUCGAUUGAAUAAUAAGGUUAUCAAAUAAUGAAAAAUAAUUUAACCAUUUGCUUGGUGUUAAUAAUAUGAUGUAGAAUUAACAACUAAAAAGAGUGAACAUAUUACCUGGUAUGCCACUGUAAGUGGUCUUAACCGACGUCAGCAAACUUAUUAAUGAUAGAAUAAAUCUUUCGUUGUAUAUUUGAUUUGAUAUAUAAGAGCCCCAAGAUCUAUAAAUAAAAUCAUAAGAACAUUCAGGGAAAGUAAUAAUUUAUGUAGUUGUUCAUUAGAAGAGACUUAACUAAAAGACCUGUUUAGGGUACAUUUGCUACCUUGAACCAGUGCUAUGGCGUAGUCAAUUUUUGCUGUAGUCUCUUAUGUGUUUGGAAAACAUGGAUUGGCAAGAGUAGAAAGAGAACAAUAUAAUGUACAUGUAAGUUUAUUGAAAACGUAAUUUAAACAUACAAAGGAGGAAAUCUAAAAUAUUUAUAAUAGCAAGCAUAUUACUCACAUAGAUUAAUAUAUGAAUGGAAAGAAAUUAUUCAUUGAAAAAUAGACACUGAGUAAUAAGUUUGUUGUCAAACCCGUUGAAGGAAGGGCAGUGCCUGCAGCUGUUCAAAUUGUAUGCUUGUUUCUUCUUCAAAAGGCAGCUUUUAAGGCAGCGAACUGCUGCCUUUUAAGCCUUCAAUUUAAUUUUCUUUUUUUUCUUUUUUUUUUUUUAUUAAAAAGCUCGCGAGCUCACGGGCAGUCUCAGGCAAAGCCCGUGUCCCCAAAAUGGGGUUCGGCCCGAACCUAGGCUCGAGUCUACCGAGCCCCGAGCCGGCGAGCCCGAUUGCCAUCCCUAGGGCAGGUUAUGUUACAUAAGAGUUGUCAACAAAUUUUAAUAUUUAAUAUUUGCCUUAGUAUUAUAAAUCUUGUCUACCGUACUUUAUCAUAGUAACAUUGAAUAGCAUAUAGAUAUUUUAGUAGGACUAAUUUAAGGAUUUAAAUAAUUUAACGGUAUAUAAAAUAACGAUUAUUAUUAAUUAGCUUAAAUUAUAAUAAUUAGACGUCAUUAGCUUAGAAUAAAGAUUUCCCAUGUAUGCAAUUUUGCAAAUUGUGAUUAUUUAAAUUGUUUGUUUGCAUGAUUAUCUUAAAUUUGAAAAAUGUUUAAUCACAUUUAAAUAAUUAGAUUUUUAUAAAACAAGAUUUAAUAUAUCAAUGUUGGGCUUGCUGGAUAAAUUACAUUAAAUCAUGUAUUUGAGGCUCGAAAAAAUUUUAAUUCGGAUAAGUUAAAUCUAAGAUAUUAAUGUUUAAAGAAAUUGCUAUUUAAUAGUAUUUUAUUGGAGUUUAGCAAUUGAGCCGUCCAUGGUCGACUGUCCACGGGUCAUGGUGGAUAACUAUUAUUUUAUUUUAAAGGCAUAUCCUAAUAUUGAAUCCUAGUAUUUAUACAUGAAAUGAUUGGUUGGUUGAUUUAAAACCUGUCCUAGUCAAGGUCUAUUUUGAAAUCAAUUUUAAACCAAUUGGUAGAUUGUCCACGUGAUAGCCUUUAACCCAAAUUGAUAAGUUUUGAUCUGAUAGUGUACUUUAUCUACGAAUUAACCUAUCAUGAAAUUUGUAGGAUAAAACGUGUAGCAGAUGUGGUGUUUUAUCUGAGAUUUGUAAGGUGGCUACACGUACUACACUAUUGGAUGGAGAUAUUAGUUUUUCCUUUUAUUUAAAAAGGAUAAUUUUAUAGUACAAUCAGCAUUUCACAAGAUUUUGACUUAUAAUAUAUUCUAGGGAAACUCAACCAACAUGCACGUGUCCCACUUUUCCAUAAAAAGCCUGCAUUAUAAAUACCAAACAAUGGACCACAUUAUUCACCACACAAAUUUCAUAUACAUGUACGUAUGGCAGAGAGAGAGAGAGAGAGAGAGAGAGAGAGAGAAUAGUUUAUGAAAUCGGAAAUUUUGCAUACAUCAAAUACCAUAUUUUCCAAAGCAGAGAAAAUGAUUUUAAACAUGCAUUCAGAUUUUUAAAAACGAGGUAAGAUACAUAUGUGCAAGUUAUUUUCGUUUCUAUAUGCUUUUGUAUACAAUUAAAUAUGCGUAGAUUGCUAGUAGACCUUCGGAUUCUAGAGAAAGAAAUGAAAUUCCUUCAAGAAUUUAAGACCUAAGAUGAGUGUGUUGCUUGGUCAUUGAUAUACUCCAUCAGAGCAGAGUGGUAUGAAAUGUAGAUUUUAUUGUUAUAUAUCUGUAUAUGAAAACUGCACGUAUCUUACUGUGUAUUUUUAAAUACUCACUCUUACAUUAAUUUUACAGGUUAGUUCGGAUCGACUGGAACAGUGACGAAUUGGUGAUGCAGGCUGUCAAAUGAAUCAAAGGAAAAGAAAAAGAAAUAAGUUUGCCCUAUUUAAAUUUACCAAUUAAUUUAAUUUUGUUCAAAGCGUAUUAUUUGAAUUAGUUAGGAGUUUAUGUUAUGUUCAGAUACGAUUUUCAUGAUUUAAAUUUAGAUUUAUAAAUGUUACAAUUAUUUGUUUAUUAAAGAAUUUUAUUUUUAUAGUUCCACACUUAAAAUAAAGAAAAUGAGUUAUUCGUAACGUUCGGGUAUUUAUGAAAAUUUUGGGCAUUACAGUUGCAGCACAUACGACCUUAGCACGACUUUCACAAGAUAAUCAAAGUAUCAAGCCCCUCUUAUUGAUACAGUCAAUAUUAAGGAGGGUUUACAUGUUACAAAAGAUCUUCUCCGCUCACUGAUAGUACUAUCUAAGAUGCUCAGCAUUCUAGGGUUCGGGUAGAGGACUUUCGCCCAGAUCUUCUAGUUUAUAUGCUCUUUUUAGUAGAACUCUUUUUACUACAUAGGGCCCUUCCUAGUUGGGACCCAAGGACCUAGAUCCGAUUUCCCUAGUGGUGAGGAAAACCUUUCAUAAGACUAAUGAUCCUAUUUCAAACUCCCAUUUCCACAACCUUUAAUUAUAGUACCUAGCAUUGCGGUGCGUUCCCGAGUUCGGCAUCAUUUCUCUUUUCCUCCACUAGGUCUAGUUUUCUUUGAAGAGCCAUUUGAUUACCUUUUUCGCUAUAGGCAGCCGUGUGGAAUGAUGAAAUCUCGAUUCCUAGUGGAAUUACAGUCUUUACGUUGAAAGCUAAGGAGAACGGGGUUUCACCCAUGCUGAUUCUUGUAGUGGUGGGAUAUGACCAUAGCAUACUGGGGAGUUCUCCAGCCCAUUCCCUUUGUGCGCAUCAAGCUUCACUUUUAAUGUGUACUUGAUAAUCUUGUUGAUGUCCUCGACUUGGCCAUUGGCUUGUGGGUGAUUCGAUGUAUAGAAGUGUUUCUUGAUACUGUACUCUUCACAAAAAUUUGCAAAAUGAGUGGAUGGUGAUGAAAACCUAGGAUCAGAUUCUGUCCAUUUAGAAGUUUAAGGUAGUUUUAACCUUUUCAUAUCCAUUAAUGAUCUCUUGGGCCUAGAAAGUAUAUCUUAAGGAGUACAAGGUUGUUGACAACAAUUGGAUGACAUUGACGUUCAUAAUUGGACUCGAGAAAUAGCGAGACUUAUUUGAUUAGUUUGUAAUGUCAUCAGUAAUUUGAAAUAAUGAUUUCGUCUAAUUUUUAUUUUAUUUUUUUGCGUGAAUGGACGUAUUUUGAGAUUGUGUGUGUUAAGAUUAUUAAAUGGAGAAUUCUCUUUAAUAUUAGAUGGUAAUACAAGUGAUUUUUCGACGUUGAACAAAAAAGGAAAUUGACAUACACUCCGUAGGAGCUUGCAUACACACGAUGGCGAAAGAUAAGUAAAAAUUCAUUUGCAACCACUAUGCAAGAAUCUAGUAUAUGUGAUAUAGUAAUGUUGAAAUAUUUAUAUAACUUUGAUAAGAGGCUUAUAGCACCUCAUAUGAUGAUUACGAUCAUUAAGUAUGAAUUUGCGGAACCUAUUGACAUCAAUUUUCAUUAAGCAUGUCAUUCAUGAGCCAUUUUCAUCAGCAUGCACAACAUGUGAUCAUGGUUGAAAAUCCUACAUGCGAAAUAUGAUUUCAAAUUGAGUUUUCUUUAUAAAUAUUUUAUUGACCACCACUAAGGUACCGAGGCAUGCUUAUGUGAUAUGUUUGGCAUCGCGGAUGAUUGCAAAGAUAGACAUGGGAUGAGCCUUUGGUGAUCACGAGAGGGUGACCACUCGACUGUGCCCUUGUGAUAUUAUGAUUAUAGGCGCUGUCGGUUGUGAGACUUCUUGGGUGAUCAUAGGGGUAUUUAGGGGAUGGGCCUGUAGUGAUCACGAGAUAAUGGUCCACUCGCCAGUGUCGAUUUCAUAUUGGUCAUUUGAUUAUUGAUAUUGAUAUUAUGCAGAGCUCUAUCCAGUUCAUAGUAGGUGGGUCAAGGGCCCAAUGAUUUGAAAGAUUUCAAAUGAAAUGGUUUCGAGUGGACUUUGAUAAAUAUUGUAAUAUGAUGCAUCUUUAUCGGGAUGUUAAAGUGAAUAGCAUAGUGACAUAUAUCGUUAUUGUUCAUAUUCAUGACAUGCAUGAUUUUUGUUUAAUAAGUAUUGGCUUAUGUAGUUCUUGCAUUGUAGGUGAGCCUGAAACUACAUAAAGAGCACGGCUAGCUGUGGAACUCUUACAGGAUUCCAGAGUUCGAUGUACAUGGAUGACGACUUGUAAGGUUAUUUUGUGGGCUGCUAUUUUGAGCUUUGGCCUAUUGUAUUGUAUGUUGGGGAUCCUGUGUUGUAUAUCUCUUGACAUGGCAUGUAGACAUGUUUAUAAUCUCAGAAUAUAUAUGUUUUACGGCGAUAUGAUUUUGAUUUAGAGACAUAGCUUAUGUCGUCUUAUCAGGUGAAAAAAUGUGUGAAAUUCUAUAUCUAGGUUGAAUCAUCAACUUUAUUUCCACACAGGUUAAUGGAUAGUUAUCUAUUUGAAUAGGGGCGUUACAAUCCUUCAUUAGAUUUGUCAAUUGCUUAUUUUCAACAUCUUAAAUAAUGUUCAAAUUGCAGAAGCCUGAACAUAAAGGGAUCAAAGUGUGUGUGUGUGUCUAUAUAUAUGAUGCCAGAUACAAGAGGAGAAUUAUAAGAGAAGGGGGGAGAAGAAGAGGAAGGAGGGAGAAAAGAGACAAGAGGAAGAGAAAAUUUUCAAUUUAUUUCAUAAUCAAAGGUGGUUAUACUACAACGCAAAAAAUCCAUUUAUAGAGUGCAUAAACUAGUCCUAAUUAAAGUUGGAAAUUAUUAUAAAAUCAACGAAAUCAAAACAUUGAGAAAAAUGCUAAAGGUACAUUACCUUGUACCUUAGGUAUGGACACCUGAGGCGAGGUGCCUGUGGGCCCCUGCAUGCGGCAGGCGUCUCGCCAUUAUGGACUCCUGGGUGUAGGGGGUGAUGUACCCCUAGCAGAGCCAAAACAUUAAUUAUGUUUUCUAGAAUAAAUUUCAAAAUUAGAAACUAAAUAUAAUAAUAUAUCUUUAAUAUUGAAUCAUUUAUCCCCGACUGAGAGAACUCGACUCCGACAAGGUAAACUGAAACUUCAUACUCCAAGGUUGUUAUCUUUUGUCUUGGCCAAAUGCCUAUAUUGAACCCUGGACAACAACAUCUCUCUAAACUCGUACCAAGGAGGACAAUCUUUCUUAUUAAUCAAAUAUCUUAACUGAUCACUUGAUGACAACUGAAGCUGCAAAUCAUCUUGAGGAUUAUGAUCUAACCACGGGGAAGAUCUCCCAUUCUAACCAAAUUGCGAUAGGGAACUCCAAAAAUCAAAAACUCAUGCAACUCAUCCACAAAAUUUUCAACUAGUUGUGCAUAAAGAGGAGCAUAGGGAAUUAGCACUGUAAACUAGCAUGUAGAAAAAAAAUGACUGCAACAUCAAAGGCUCGAAUGUGCCUCGAUAAGGAAAUAAUUCUUCCACAUUGAAAAUGUAACUUUCAUUCAAAAAUCUUUUUCUUUAAUAACGUUUUCUUUAUGAGUAUGAUCAAAAAUCUUUUUCUUUACUUGUGUAGGAAACUGAAUGAAUGAAAUACACAAUAAAGCGUAAUAAAUAUCAUUGGGGUCUCCACACUUGUGUUGUACCUCAAAAGUAAGCUCAAAAAUUUCAUGAUUGAAAAUAAUUUUUCGUUUUAAUUUGGCAUGAAAUUUAGGAAAAUUUAUAGCAAAAUGAAGAGCUAAUAUAGUAUGUCGAUAAUUGGUGGGCAUUAUUCUAAUACCAAUAGGAAAAGUGUGCAAUUGAAUAAUGGCCUUGAAAAAUAAUGUUGCAACCAAGGAGCAUCGUGAAAUAGAGGAAAUAUCAAAACAAAGUCAACGUGAUAGUCAUGAAAAAUAGUAGGUAAUAUCAAUUUAGGCACAAUGUCGAUCACAUAUGGAAUGAUUGACUUUGUUGGCAAUGUGAUAGGUAGAUUCUCAACUUUGUUAGAGUGAAGUGUAUCGAUUACAGGUGUGGAUAUGAUAAGGAAUAUAGAUCUCUCAUCCUAAAGUGAAGAAACGGUUGCACUAUGAUCAUCUAAAGAAACAUGAUUUUAGAGAUUGGGAUAAAUAUGGUUAGAUAGUCUUUGCACAAGUCGCUAGAAGUCUUUCAACUACGUUAAAUGCAAUUGAAAAGACUUCUUUAUUUUUCUUUUCCACGCUAUUCAAAAGAAGGGCAAUCAAGUCUAGAGAUAAAUUGUCACUCUCUUCUAAUAUGAGGGUCAUAAUAGUCUCUAUGAAUGUGAAGAUAUUACCUAGAGGAGUUCUCCUAGGGCUAAAAUAAAAUGCUAGAACAUUUCAACUAUCAUAUGCUCACAAUUUAGAUCCAACAUGUUGAUGCAGUAUCUCACAUUAGCCGUAGUCUCUAAUAUUCUAAACCCCUUAGCAUUUAUGUAGGUGGAUUUGUGAGUGAGAGAUGCAAAACUUGAUAUCAUUAAUGAGAAGAUGUCAUGCAUUGUCUUAUCACUAUAAGGGGUAUCGGGGACCAUGCCACGAAUUAUUUCACUAAGGCAAGAAGUAACUGCAACUUGUAUAGCAAAAUUUGAAUGUUUUAAAAGCUCCUCGGAGACCAAUGCCGUAAUAAGCAUUGAAGGAGAUGUGAGCAUUGAUAUAGCAGGUGAUUGGUCAACCUGUGAAAGUAAAUUGUCAGUUUCUUCAAGUAAAGAUAAAAGACACAUAGGUCAAAGAAGUUGCUUCCCAUUUUUCAACAAUUGGAUUCCUAACUUUAGAUAUUCAUGCCAAAACAUGGUUCUAAAAUAAAGAGACUAAAAAUUAAAAGAAAUUUUUCUUAUAUUUCUAUUUUCCUCAAUUAAUAAGCUAAAACACCGAAAUAAAAGCACUGUUCAACAUAAAAGAAUUUGAUACCUCACAAAACUCAAAAAAGUUAUAGGGCCCGUUUGGCACAGCUUUUGCUUUUGCUUUUGCUUCUUGUAGAAGAGCUUUUGGAGGAAGCUAUCUUAAUUUUUGUUUGAAAAUUAAUAUUUAAAAUCACUUUCCAUUCUGGAAGUGCUUUUGGAGGAAGCCACAUUAAACCAGCUUCCUCUAAAAGUUUUUCUAACCACCAAAAGCACUUUAAACAAAAUUAGUCAAAUGGUCCAAAAGCAGCUUUUGGGUCUCAAAAACUCCUUUUCGCUUUUCAAAAGCCAUCCCAAAUGAGCCCAUAGUGUUUAGAGUUAAACAAGCUGAUUUUCCAAUUCAGUACAUCCCUUUGGCCAAUCAAACCAUUCCAUUGCGUGAUCAUAAGUCAAGCAAUCUCAAUUUCCUGAAUCACCACAAAUCUAAAGCCGAUAUGAUCGAGAUGGAAGUGGACGGUAAAGUAGGUGAGAUGACAAACAUAGUGUAGACUGCGUAGCUAUUAUCUGAUUGGCGACAGUUUAGAGAGAAUAAAGGUUGGCGGUGGUGUGUCGAUGUAUUGCCGUGUGGAUGGGACCUGGUACUGUCUUGUUGACUGCUUGAGUGGGUAUUAUGCAAUUAGGAAGUUGGAUUAUGGCGGCAGUGGUUACGAGGCAGUGGGUUAUAUGUGGUGCAGCUAGUUGCGAAGUCAAAAGGUGUGUCCAGGAAGAACAGUAAAGAGCAGAUGUAGAGACGGUAGACUAAAUGUAGGAGUUGCGUGAAGCUAAUUUAUAGUUGUGGGUCGGGGAUUUGUAACUAUUGGAGUGGUUGGUCUACCAGCAAAUGAAGGGGAAGACGGCGGCGGUGUAGACUAGGGAUUGGAUCGUGAAGAAGAUGAAGGACUUGGGCUAGGUAAUUUGACCAUUGUAAUGGUCUAAUGUGUUUGUAUUCGACUUGGGUUUUAAGGGUUUGUGGAAAAAAAUAGUUUGUGGUUUAUGGGUUUAGGCUGUGGAUCAUUGGGCUUUGUGCGAUUAUAAGGGGCUGAGAGUUUGGAAUAAGUGGGCAGCAUGUGUAUUUGGGGGUGUAAUUUUGUGUGUAUUUUGGGGGUGUAAUGUUGUGUAGGGGUUGGGUUUUAGAGGCUUGUAGUUAGCCGAGCUUUUGGGAAUCGAGUGUCGGGCUACCUAAUUAGGCUGUUGGGAUUGAGGGCAAUUGAUUUUGAUGAAUAGCAAUAAAGGACUUCAUAUGAUAGCAAACUGAAUUAUUGAACGCAACACUCUAAAACGAAUUUUUUCCUUCUCUCUCGCUCUCUCUCUUGGGAACAAAUACUAAUGCACAAAGAACAAUUUGCUCCUUUUUAUUAACUUUUUUUCCUAUCUAUCUAAGAACAAAGAACUAUAAAGAAAAUUGAAAAUUGUUGUUAUUGUUGUGAUGAAUGCUUUUCUUUCUUAUGCUAUUCUUAAGACCUUUAAUGUAUAAAGGUAGUUGUAUGGCUUGGAUGGGUGGUGGAAAGUGGUGAUGUGUAUGUUCAGAUUAUGUGCAAAUGGUUGAUUGGUAUGAUUUUUUGAAAUUGAGAAUAUGUAGGUCAAAGGAGAACGAAUUGCUCUGAUGACAAAUUGAUGCUGGAUUCAAGAGGGGAAUUGUAGGAGAAGGGGAAAGGGGGGGAAAUGAGUGGAAUGAGGGAUAAAAGAGAUAAGAAGAGAGGAAGAAAUUCAAUUUAUUUCAUAACCAAAGGUUGUUCUAUAACAAAGCAAAAAGACCCAUUUAUACGGGGUUUAAACUAGUCCUAAUUAAAGCAGGAAAUUAUUGUAAAAUUAACGGAAUCAAAACAUUAAUUAUGUUUUCUAAAAUGACUUUCAAAAUUGGAAACUAAAUAAAAUAAUCUCUCUUUAAUAUUGCAUCAAUAUGUCUUCUACAAGUAUAUUGAUCUCAUCCAUGUCGAGAUUAUUUAUUCCAAAAAUUUUACUCUUUUCCCAGCAUUAGAAUCAUGCAUGAAUUAUUGAAUAGUACCUAGAAGAAUAUCAACACAAUAAUCAAGUGGGUAGCCAAAAUUAACAAUAAAUAAAUAAAUAAUGAAAAUUUUGAAUCCAAUAUAAACUAAUAAACUUAAACAAAUACUUUAUUCCUGACAAUGGCAUCAAAAAAAAUUGUAAACCUAUAAGCGUACUCGAUCAUUAAUAAGUAACAGAUUUAGUAAAUUGAAAGUUAUUGUUCUAUAGAGAAUAAAUUCAAUUCAAAUUUCCUAUAUUUUAUGGAAUUCGAAUUGUAUAAAACAAAAGAUCUCUUUUUUAUUAUAUUUUUAUUCUAAAUUAAUCUAAAAGAAUAUGUAUAAUUAGGAUUUUUAUUAAUUUAUGGAUGUUGAUAUUAGAUUUCGAGUCCACUUAUUAUUUUCUAUUUCAAUUCUCACUUUUAUGUAAUUUUAUUUUGUUCUUGACAAGCGAUAAAGGGAUAAUAUAUAAUUUUCUCUUUCAAGAUAAAUUAAAAUUAUUCUAGUCACGACCCCCGAAUCUACUUCUAGCUUGAAUUCGAAUGUAUAGAAUAAAUUAAAUUUUAGAUUAUCUAUAUGAUUACACAAGUGAUAAAUGUUAUUCUUAUUAUCUAUUGCACAUGUAUUAAUUUUGCCUCGAUCUGAAUUUAUUGUGAGUCUCUCAACACUCCAACAAGUAAUUUAUUAUCUAACGGGUAAUGAAGCAAUUAAAUAAUGCAAUAGAUACACAAAAUUAAUCAAGAAAUACAAGAAUUACUAAACUACUAGUUUCAAUUAAAAUUAAUAAAUACAAGAAUGAAAAAUAUGUUUCGUCCAAUACAAGGAAUCUAGUUAAAUAUGUUUCUAAUGAUAAAACAUUAAAAGAAUGAAAAACAUUAUAUGGAAUUUAUAAAUAUAAGAAAGAGAUGUCACGUCUAAUUCUUCAAGUUCUUAAUGUUUCUUGAAUAUCAACCUUCGAGCUUUAAUUCUUCGAGUUCUUAUUGUUUCCUAAUUCAAUCCAUGUGCUAGAUUUGUUCUUCCCUUCAACUUAUGAUGAAUGUCCUUUGUUUCUUGAAUGAUUUUAUGAUAUGGUAGUGAUUUGAGAAUUUAAAGAGAGAUGCUUUAAUGGCUGCCCAUGUCUUCACUAUAUAAAGUGAGAUUAGUUCGAAUUUUUUAUUCAAAUUGAAUCCCAGAAGAGUUUCAAUUGACUAUGGAAGCUAGCUCGCGGGCAAGGAAAAAUGGAAUUGCAAUCAUUAGUAUUUUUAUCGUAACUUUAUUUCCCAAUAUCCGGUUGUGGUAAUCAAAGUGUGUUAGAAAGCUAACUCAAAGGCUACGAUUAUUCUAGAAAUAGAAUUUCUCCAAUUCGAAUAUUUAAUAUGCAAAAAAUGGACCUCAGACUCCAGAUGAAAAUCUGGAUUCUAAAUCGCGCGUUUAGAAAUUGAUUUGUGAAAUACUUUUGAUUAUAUUUCCACUCAUUUAACCUUCAAUUGCAUCCAAUUGAUCCUAUGUGACCUUCGAUCAUUGUUUUGUGGUCUAAAUCAACGAUUGAAUGUUUGCACUUUGAUCCCCAUUUCUUUCAUUUUUUAUCAUUUUUCUUCCUUUGUUCCAUUUCCACCAAUUUGCCUCAAAAUUUACAUAACAAACAAAAUUAAGACAUAAUUAAUUAAGCACCAAUUCAUUCAAAUCAAUAAUAGCUAGUCUCAUUUAAUGGCCCAAAUAAGUGGGUGCAUGGGGUCUCGUGACCCCCAGCUUUUGGAUGAUUUUUUUUGGGGUCGGUACGGGAUGUUAAACAAAGUCGAAAUAUCGCAUUCUUAGUACCAUUUCGAAGUACUCAUAACCUAGUUUUCUAUAUUAUAAACGGCACACGAAAUGGCCAAUCCAGGUAAAUAUUACAAUUUGUCAAAGUAGGUCAUUCCAAAUUGGAAUUUCAAGAAUUUUGAAAACAUGCUAAUCCUAAAAAAAAUUUGACAAUCGUAUAUCAGUUGAAUCUAUAAAUCGCCUACAUCAUCUUGAAGUUCGUUCCAAGAACUAUAUCAUAGAUAUAUUGAAUGAUCUAAUGGAUAUUGAAUCAGUUAUGGCACUGGUUAUAGAUGAAAGAUUGCUAUGGAAAUUCACAUUUUACUUUAUUUAUAAGCAAAUCAAAUGAUACAUACGAAAUUACAAGCAACAGUGCAUGAAGUGUGUCAAAUAUGUCACCAGUAAAAUUUUAUAUGUAAUGUUACACAACAUUUGGAGAGUUCUAGGUUAAAAUAUAUUGAUAUCAAGUUAUGGAUUGCAAUAACUACAGAUGCCAAUGAAUCAACCCUCUGAAUUUAUUCCAGUGGAAUACUUGAAGCAUUAGGAUGAGGUUUGUUGAGAAAAUAUAAAAAAAUGCCAUUCUAGAGAAUAUAAUUAAUGUACUCAAUGUGAUGUAAAAGGAUAAUCUUCCUUUAAAAUUCAUUGAUCAUCAUAGAAUCAUGACAUUUUUUCCCAUUAAAUAGAGUCGUUGCAUUAUUUGUGUUGCAAUGUAAUAGUAUCACAUUAAGAUUUGUACAUAAAAAAACUUCAAAUGCUAAUGCAUUUAGAUGAUCAAUUCAUUUCGAUAUUUUACUAGAUGCAUUGUAUAGAAAUUUCUCGAUAAAAUUACAUAUUAAUAAAAUUUAAUUCGUAUGCCUAAAACCUAUGAAAUGCCUCAAACAUAUUUUUUAUGAGCGCUGGAGUUUCAAAGGUUGAGCGUACUGGGUUGGUCGCUGCCGUGAGAAUUUUGAACUCCCAAGAUCGAUGUUUCAAUUUCCAUGGAUUCUUGUUUCCAAAUUUUCCUUUAUUUUUAAGAACUGAAACUUAUUGGCUGCUAUAGCCUAAAUUCAAGGGAAUACAUAUCAUCCCAUUUUUAACUUAUUGUUUUAAAUUUUGAACGACACCCUAAUUUUGAGGGAUUCAUUUAAUAAUAUAGUAAGCUACAUGGUAUCCAAUUAAAUCUUAUGUUGGUUUAAAUUUAGGAAUUAAUAGCAAACCCUAUCAUGCUAUAUAUACAUAAUGGUUGACAUAAUCUUUACAUAAUGUCACAUGAGAAUAUAUUAUUAGACUAUUUAAAAUAUAGUUAGUUUUUUCAUCUAAUCACAUCUUGCCAUUACAUAUUAUAUCAACCAUUAUAUCACAUACUUUAUAGUAGGAGUGGGCGCGGUCCGGUUUGAUCCGGUUCCAAAGGAAAUCGAACCGAGCCUAAUACCAAUGUGAAUUUUAGAAAUGGAACCAUUGGUUUCAUAAUUAGCCAUGGAACCGAACCGAAAUCGAGACCGAACCAAUUGGUUCCGAUUCGGUCCGGUCCGAUUUUUUACAUUUAAAAUGUCAAAAUAAAAUAUUCACUAAUAAAAACUCUAAAAAUGCUACAAACGUGAUACUUUUAACAAAAUAUAGAAAAAUCGAACAUACUAUUCAAAGAUUUAUUUAGAUAUAGAUUUACAAAGUGAAAACAAAAUAAAAAUUUCGCAUCUUAUAAAUGAAAUUUUAUAUUGUAAAUAAAUUUAUUUAGAUAUAGAUUUAUCUAAUAUUUUAAUUUAGUUUGAGAAUCAAUUAAUCAAAGGAUUAUAAGAAGAGACAAGGAAAGAAUCAAAGAGAAGAAGGAAAGUGUUGGAGUCUAAAAUAAAAAAGGAAUUCGAUUAUUUUUGAUAAAAGUAUUGGAGAUUGAGUCAUAUAUUUUACCCAAAAAAAUGCAAAAAAAAAAGAAAAAGAAAAAAUCCAAUGAGAACCGUCUGGUUCCCAUACUAGAAUCGGGAACCGAUCGGUUUUUAAAAAUUUGUCCCGAAAUCAAAUUAUUUUUUAGAAGAUCCGAAACCGAACCGAUCGGUUCUAAACGGUUCCGAUCCGGUUCCACCGGUUCUGGAAAAAAGUGUUCACUCCUACUUUUGUGUUUCUUCUUUUACUUAAAAAAUUACAGUAAAAAUGGAAUAAAAAGAGAUAAAAUGUAUAAUAUGAAUUAUUUUAUUAAUAGGGGUAAUAAAUGUAAAUUCCUCAUCAAAAACACCCUAAUUUAAGGUCCACUUGGACUACAGUACUCGGCCCAGAAAAAUCAUGGGGAAACAUGAGCCCAAUUCUCCCCCAACAUUCCAACCCCACCUGUAUAAAAUAAAAUUUCUCCCCCACUCCUAAAGUCAUACGCCAUAUCUAUUUUACGCUGCAGAUCUGUGAACUGGAGAAUUCGCCAUUGGGAGUAGUAAGCUUUUUCUUACUUCAACAAUUUUCUUGCAUCCAUUCUCACGAAGGUGUUUUGCUUCUAAUAUCCAGAUUUGAUAGGUGUGUUUAUUGUUGGGGGGGGGGGGGAAUUGUUUAUUAAUCUGCUAUUGUACUGUGACAUAAUUACAGAAGUUUGUUUAUUUAAAUUGUUUGAAAUGCUCAAAUAUUUUCAUUGGAUUUCCUAAGAUUAAAGAAUUGAUGUUGUCAAAUAUUUUGAUUCUUUGUUCAACAUGUGGCUCUGGGGUUUAUUUAUAUUUGAAAGCCUUUGUGUAUGUCUGAUGUGGAAUCAGUCGAAAUUUGAACUGUGAUCACUUACAUUGCCAAAAAUCAUAUCCUAAUCUGGAGUCGAGAUUCUGAUGUUGAUCAUCCAACCAAAGAUGUAUGUUAUUCGUGUCGGUAGUCUCUUUAUUUUUUAUUUUUCAAUUUUAUACAUAUGUUCUUAUAUCUAGUUUUGACAGCUAUAUAAUAUAUUGUAAUUGUUUGUUCCUUUUCUAAGACAUUUGAAAAUAAGGGUUCGGAGGUUAGGUUUUUACCGAGAUUCGGGACCUCGACUUCUCUAAAGUACUCUGAUGGGAAGAAUUCAGUCAAGCAUUCGGCGUAAAUAUUGGGGUUUUCACAGCCCUUUGUGUGAUUGUGGGGUUUUGAUUGAAAGUACAGUUCCGCCAUGUCGUCCCCCUAGGCUGGACCGUGUGAUUAAUAACUGCUCGUAUUCGAGGAGGUCGAUUUUGCCUGUAGAGUUCAUCAAAAAGGUUAGAAAGAGAAAUUUGAGGAGAAUAGAACCUAAGGAGGAUGAUGAUGGUGAGCUGGAGAACACUAAGGAUGAAGAAGGCGAUGACUAGGCUUCGGUUUCAAAAUUUGCUGGUAAAAAGAAAGGGAAGGCCAAGAAAGAUGGAAGCAAUAAUGCGUUGAGGGCUUCAAGUUUUGGUUUACUUGGAGAAGGAGAUGAUGAGGAUAAUGAAGAUUCAGGAAUAACAAAGAGAAUGUUGAUUAUGAAAAAUCAGGAUAAUGAAGUAGCAGGUUUUGCACCUUGUGAGAAGCAAAUUACUGAGCUUCCUAAAGUUGGAAAGGACGAGAGAGCACUGAAAGUGGCGAAGAGGAAGUUGGGCACCCACAAGAGAGCAAAGAAGCGUGAAGAGAUGGCAUUUGUUCUCCGGAAUCUGAGGUGAAUGACAGUAAUAUAAAUUGUUAAGUAAUAAGUACUAUAGUUUUUGCUCGCAUUGUUUUGAUGGACUUGAGCCUAACUUCUGUUGCUUGAUGGAUACCUAUUUUCAUAAUUCUUGAUUUUAUUCAUCUGUAUUUUGGCAAUAAAUGGUUAAAUUCAUCCAUUUCCCGUAUGAAUGCUCACAGUUUGUUUUAAUUCGAACAAUACAGGGCUGCUGGACGUGGAGAAAAGAAGUAAACUGCUGCACUUGAUUUCUUAGGAGGGUUUCACGGUUUACAUCAAAUCAGAGAUAAGAUUUGAGUUGUUUAGCCACUUUAUAAACUUAAACUGGAGAUUGUAAUUUUUAUUUGACCGUUUGGAGAAGUUUGUUGAUGAGACUUGUUUUUUAUUGAAGGUUUUGCUAACCGUAUUUUUCUACUUGAUAUUCAUUUGUGAUUUGCAUUUGAACCUAACUUAUCAUAUCAUUGCUAAACUUCACUUAUUGUAUUUUAUUUAUUUAUUUUACAUUUUGUAAAGCUAUGAUAUCUAAAAGCCACAUAGUACAUUAGUUUAAAAUCCAUUCAUUACCCAAUCACGGGAAAGAAUAAAAGCAUGUCUAUAUGCUUAAUUGAAAUUUCCCAUCAAGGUAAUAAAACCUGGAGCCAUCGGUGUACAACAAAUCUUGAGAUUGUUAAUUCUUAUGUCAUUUGCCAAUAAAGUAAUCACCUUUUUGAGCGGUUAGUAUAUCGAGUUAAGUGCUUAUCUUUCAGAGUAAUGCUAUUCAUCUAGAUUGUAGGUGGCAUUAAAAGAUAGGUACACUUAAAUUGCUAUACAUGAAGUUUAUAACAAGGGUUAACGAAUAUUGUUCAACUGAUGGUUUUAAGUAAUUUGCGUUGAUCCUCUUGUUCUCAGUCUUUCAAAUUGGAAAGAGGUCUAGCAAUCAGUCCUAUUGAUGAAGAAUAUUAAAGAUUUUUUAAAGUAGAAAUUGCAAACAAGAUACGAGUUCUCUUAAUACAAAUUUUGUAAAAUCAUCUCAAAUGUUAAUGUAGAUUGCUUAAGGCAUUUUGUGAUUUAUCCAAAUUAAAAAUGUCUGAAAGAAUCUGUGUUCAAUGUUAUUUGAUCAUAAUGUUUCGUAGAGGUCAUGAGUUGGCGGAGUAGAAGAUUGCUUUGGAAAUUCAAUAAUAGAUACUGUCCGUUGUAUUCUACGAUGGAAAUUAAAUUUGUUUUGGCAGGGAAGGGAAGGGCAUAAAAAGGAUAGGACAUAGAGAUCGGUAUUUAUAGUCCAUAUUCUGUUUCAAUUAAUUUUAGAAUUUUACUACCUGUGUAGACAAUGGUUAUAGUUUCUAACUUGUCAAUUGACCAUUUUAAAUUUUCUUUUUUGGAGAAACUUCGCAGGGCCACAUGCAUAGACAGCAGGGCAAUUGUCAACUUUUCAUCAAGUUGUGAUAUAAGCUAUAUUUCAAGGGAACUUAAUCAAUUAUUGAUGGAACAAGGGUACAAACAAUAUGCUGUAAAUAAUUCUCUUCAAAUAUAUUUCAUUUGCUUUCUUAAUUACCAUUUAAAUCCUUUUCGUUUCUUUUCACAUCAAUAAAUUGAACGCUCACAUAUAUUAAUUGAAGAAGAUUCUCGAUCUAGAAUAUCUGGGCUCUGUGAUGCUCGGAUGCUUCUUUUCGGCCGGCAUACCCGUGUCGACACGACACAGGUACAGGUAUGAGAGUCAAGGGCGAACUUGUUGGAGUUGAUUGCUGCAUUGUUGCAAAGAAGAACCUCAAGCAGAGAAGAAACUCGGGAACGGAAGGGUUAGGGAAGGAAGAAAGAGUGCUGGAUUGCGCCUUUUUUCCAUUAAGUUUUGGGCCAUUAGUUUUGGGGUCUUUCUUUUUAAAAAAAAUUACACAAUGACAGGUGUUUGGAGAUCAGUUUUAAAAAAUCAGGUCCAAAGUUUAAUUAAUAAAAAAUUAGGUUUAUAUAUAUAAUUAAUCAACCUCUAAUUAAAUCCCCAAAUCAAUUCCAAUCCCUAAUCAUUUCAACCCAUUUCCAUUACAAAAAUUUUCCCAUCCCCAUCUCUCCCUUCUCUCUUCAUCGCCAGUGACACCUUCGAACUCUGCAACCGGUAAUGAAGGUGACGCGUCGGUGCCGACGAAGGAGGCGACGCGGUUUUUGAUUUCGGUUUAGUAGCGUCGCAAUGCUGCAAGUGAUGGUUUCAGCCCCGUUUCUUCCUUCUCUCUUUGACGCCGCAAGUGAUGGUUUCGGUUCCUCUGUUGUUUGUCAUUGAUGGUGGUGGUGUGGUUCGUUGACCGAUCGACGUCGUCAUGCGCAAUGAUUCUCUCGGUUGCGACAGUGGCGUGAUGCCGUUUCUUCUCUGCUCACGAUGGCGACGGCGAGGGUGUUUGCGAUAUGUUGCUGUGAACUUCGAUUUGUUCCAGAACCAUAGCCUUUUGCGAUCUGCAGUAGCUGUUGAUGUGGUUGGUCUGUAAUUUACAAAAGCAAUGGUAUAUUGUUCUAUGUGUUGGUUAUGGUCCUGGUGACUAUUAUGAUUUCCGGCAGUGGUCGUGUUGCUUGUGCGGUGUGGUGAUGGUGGCAUUUGUGGUUAUGCAAGUGGUGACGAGGUGAUCGUGCAGGAGGUGGUGGUGGUUGUAGAUUGUGUGGUUAGACGGUGAGUGGUUGAAAUUUUCUCUGAUUUGAGGUGUUUUACCAAUUCCUGGUGUUUCUCUGGUGGUGAUGGUGGUGGUGGAAUUAUUGGUGGUGGUGUAUAUGACCUUUGGUUAAAUCUGUUACCUUAAAAUUGGGUGUGGUCAUUGUUUGCAGUGACCAAAUAUUAGUGUUGAUUUGGGAUCGUGGCCGAUAUGUCUGGUGUAUAUGAUCAACGAUUUGGUUUGUGACUUUGAAAUUUGAUAAUUUGUGAUUAAAAAGUAAUUUGUGACCAAUAUAUAAAAUGUGAACUAUAACUUUUUUGGUCUGUGACCAACGAAUAAAUUGUGAUUGUAAGUCUAUAAACUGUGACCUUAAAAUUCGAUCAACUAUGAUUAAAAAGUAAUCUAUGAUCAUCAAAUUUAAAAAUAUGUGACAUGUGACUUAUACAGUUUUUGAUAUGUGAUAUCGAAAUAAUCUGUGAUUUACAAAAUUUUUGAUUUAUGACCUUGAAAAAUCCGUGAUCAAUUAAUUUGUUGAUAUGUAAUCAGUAAAAAAAUCUGUGACUUAUAAUUUUGUUCAUGCGACUAUUAAUUGUGUAAAUGUGAUCUCAUUAUAUUUAAUUAAUAAAAAAUUUAAUUAAUUAACUAAAACUUGAUUUUUGCAUUAGUUAAACUUAAAAUCUGAUUCUUGAACUGUGCAUAGUUAAACCAUGAUUUGUGAAUUUUUCCCAUGUUAUCAAUAUAGGUCAAAUUGAACAUGUAACCUUCAACUCUUAAACUUUUACAGUUUGAUACUUAUAUUUUUUUCUUUUGCAUUUUAAACAUUUACAUUUGUUCUAUUUUGUACUUCAUUCCCCAACAACAGUUUCUAAUUUUUUAACACUUCGAGAACAUUGAAAUUGUGUAAAUAUAGGAUACUUAAAAUUGUUGUCAUAUAAGUCAAAAACAUAUUUAAAAAAUCUUUUUCAUUGGGCCUUCACUUUUGGGGCUUUCUAGUUAAUUUUUAAUAUUAUUUUGGAUUAAUUUUUGCUUCUUCGUUUUUCAAAAUGUUUAUAUGAAAAGCUAAAAAAUAAAAGAUUUUUUUUUAAUGAAUUCUAACGAUUUAAAGGGAGGUUUGUGUAAUUUGCCCCAAAAAAUAAAGGGAAAUUAACAUGGAUUGUAAAAACAUUAACAAACUUUGCCAAUCAUUUAUUAUUUAACUUUUAACACGUGAAUUUUUGGAAAAAAAAAAUGAAGUCUAAAAAAAGUAUCCACGAACCCAUAUCCGAAAUUGACUCUUUUUAGCCAUAUCCUCGUAAUCUACUUUUUAAAAAAUAAAAGAUCCGGUACUUGGAUACGUAUCCGUACCAAAGUCCGAGCAACAUUGUUGAUGUGUACAAAAGAUUUUUGAAUGGGUAAUGACGAAGUUAAUGACUCCCAUGAGUUUUCUGUGUGUCUUGGGAGAAUGGAAAUUUUUUGAUAUUUAUGGUAUCAAAUCUUUUGUCACAUAUUAGUAAAUCUAUAUUGUUUUAUACUAAUCACGCACUUCCUUUUUUAUAAUAAUAAUAAUUCUACCAAUAACAUAUAGGACCUUGCGAGAAAAAAAUGUCUGAGUUGCUUGGGUAUUGUCACCUAAUGCAUUUCUCCUAUUAAAAUCUAUGAAAAGUACCUUCCAAAUGUGUUUCUCAAAACCAAAUCCAAGGUAAUAUAAAUAUUGCUAUGCGUUUUCCACAACGUGAAAUUACCGCAAGUGUAUGAUGUCAAGUUUUGUAAUAUAGUAUUUAAAUCCAAGGUAAUAUAUUGCUAUGUGUUUUCCACAACGUGAAAUUACCGCAAGUGUAUGGUGUCAAGUUUUGUAAUAUAGUAUUGAAGCAAGAGUGUUCAACCGUAGGGAUUGAUAUUCGAAUCCUACUAAGUACUAUAGUUAUUUUAGCCUUCACUUUAUUUAGAAAAUCAAAUUUUGAAAUGAUGUUUUUAAGCUAAAUUAAAGUGAAUGGGAUGAAUGAUGCAAGUGAACAAAGGCAAAUUGUAAAAUUUAUUAUCAAAUUAUGAAGGUCUAGGGAAUGUUUUCACCAUACUAUCGCAAUGUUUUUCAACCUUUAUAACUAUUUCUAUCAAUCUUUCCAAAAUUUAUAGGCGAGAACACUAAAUUAAUUCCAUUCCCUCUCUCGAAUGUCGAAUAGAAUUUAUUUCUAUAUUUUAAUUCUUAUAUUUCUAUUCUGAAUUAAAACCUAAAAAUUAUCAAGCACGUGAUUCUUAAUUAGAACAAGCCUCAAAGAGUUCACACUUCCUCUCGAAACCUCCAAAAUUUAGGUUAUAUUGUUUUUAGAUCAAAUCUAAUUUUUCCUCUCUCAAACGCUGAAAUUUAAAGCAUCAAUCAAUAAAUUAGUGGCCAAUUAGUUGAAAGCAUUGCGCAAGAAUCAACAUAAAUAAAUAACCAGAAAGAUCAAAUGAAAUAAUUAUAUGGAAUCAAAAUAUGUCUAAGUAGGCUACAUCAAACCCUAGAAUUAAUGCUUAGUGCAUAAUCGAAAUAAUUGAUAAAAGUGAAUUAUAAAGAAAGCACAUAGAGAAGAAAGAAUAAUGCUAUUAAUUCCCAAUGGAGUUGCAUCCCCAAUCUGGAUGGAUAAAUAACUUCCACCUAAAAUUUAACAAAUGCUAUUCAUCCACCUAGAGUGGGGAUGCAACCCGGAUGAAUAGAAUUACUCGAGAAGAAAAGGAAUAGAAAAACACGUUUUGCUGCUCUAUUUCUUCUCCCAAUUGUCAAUUUCUCUCGAUUAGUUUCCUCUUCUUUAUCCCUCUUCAGCCUUGUCCUUCAAAUUCUUCCUGUGUGUUGGCUGGAUUCCUUGCCUGUUGAUGAAGAUUUUUCUCGCACUUUAAUUUUGUCUUUGAUGGCCGAUAAAUCCCUAAUUCAAGCUCUCUAUGUUUUGCCGGCUAAUUCUAGCUUCCUUUCCCUCGUUCCUCCUCAACUAAGUUUUCUGGACUGCAUAUAUAGUUCUUUGGAGUUGCCAUCUGAAUUGGUAGUGGACUGGGCCAAGAAAAUACUUAAAAAAUUCUAGGCUUUCUUCUGCUCAGGCGCGGCGCCAUGGUGCCAAGAUGAGUUCUUGUGCUGGUGCAGCAGCGUCAGCAUCUCUGCUCUCUUCAUCUUCGUUGGGCAUUGCGGCGCCAGGAGCUGGUGCCGCUGUGCCUAGCUCACUGCUUCCUUUCGCUGCUUCGACUGGGCAUGAGGGGCCCAUGGUUCUGCCUUCUUCUCUUCAUUUUUUUCUCGUGUCUUCUUUCUUCAGUUCCUUCACUUAUCUUCGUUUAUGCUUUCCUUGCUCUUUCUUUUCACCAUUUCAAAUACCUAGUCACAUAACAUUAAAACCACAUUUUAGAAAAUCUAUAACUCAAUAAAUUUAGCUAAAUAACAAGCUUAAAUGGCAUUAAUUUAAUGAGUGAAUUAUCACUCAUCAAAUGUAAAUCAGAACUCCUAAAACUAAUUAUGUUUUGCUGUUUCAUUCAUCAUAUUUUUUCUUCACAAAAUUCCUUUGUAGCUAGGGGAUCAAUUAAUUGUUAGCAAAAAAGCAUUCUCAUUGCAUUCUCGUCAUCAAGGAUAUAAUAAGAUUGAUCUUAGGAAUAUUCUUUCCAUAGCAGAUUUGGCCAUUUUGGUCAGUAGCAUUUUGGUCCUUGUGUCGGGUACCAUUCUGGCCAUUUUUGCACGAUGUGUUCUGUCCAUUUUCGUCUGUUUCAGCUCCAGGCUAUUUUGUAUCCUUAUGCACAACCUGAUUUUUGCCUACUUUUGGAUCAUUCUUAUUGUCCAUCACAACCUGCCUUAGAUACAUUGCACCCUGACAUUUUGUGAUCGAAGCAUUUGCAAGUAGAGCAAAACUUUGGCUCAUGUUCAUAGUAAACCUCUUGGUUUCUAACCUUACCCGUUGGCAACUUAAUUUCCACCUUACGCACCAAAUCCUCAGCAGCAUCAAUUUCAACCAAGACCCUUGCAUAAGAUACUCUACCUUUUGAGGGUGUGAGUUUAUCAGUUACAAUUGGUUUGCCCACAAUCGAGACGAUUUUUCCCAAGGCUCUUCCGUUCCAGCAAUCCAAAGGUAAUCUCAGCAGGUUGAUCCACACUAGCAUGGUAUAAUCUCCUUUUCAUCCAACUCAAAACACUUUGGCAUUAUUUUUAAACUUAUGUACUUUUACACCGUUUGAUGAAAAGGUGUAAAAGUUUAUAUCUAGCUAAAGUUGGUAGUUUAACUGAGGAAAGCAUAUGGGGAUACCAGCCCUGAUGGACAUAGAUGGUUUCGAUAAAGCUUGCAGGAUAAAGAAAGAUUAUUUAUCAAUAAUUAUAGAAUUUCUUGAUUAUUGAAUAGAAAGACAAAAUUUAAGAAGUAUUUUUAUACUCAACAUAAAUUGAAAGCAAAAAAGGUAUGACCUACACUUAGGCAACCUGGACACUAAUUCCAUCUUAUAAUCUGAGUUUAGAUGGAAUGUAAAAAGUAUUUAUUGAAGACAAUUCAAGGCGAAAAGGAAAUUACAUGCUGUCUUUUUGUCAAGUAAUAAAGUAUAUAAAUCUUUCACACAAAGUAAAUGACAGUAGUGAGAGUUGGAGUUUAAAGAGAAAUGAAUGGAAUCAUACUUUUCUAUACACCUUCCAUGGAUCCCAAAAAAAUAAAUUGCAAAAAAUAUAAAAUGCCAAUACUUUUGAAUUACCAAUGAAAGACAUAUUUUUACUAUUUAUUGGUAUAAUGAAUGGGCAGUUCCACGAAAAUGCAAUGGUGUAUAGUUUUAGAUUUGAAGAGAACUUGCUUUGCCACCUUAUAUAAGGGAAUCCGGUUGAUUGAUUCUCCCAUUGCAUUUUUUGUCAAUUAUGGAUUCUAAUGGUUAUCAAUCAAUCUCCUGUGUAUAGAAUAUAAUCUGUCCAUAAUUGUAUAUUCCUUCUUUGGCUGCACUCAUGCACUAUAUUAAGAUGUAUUGCACAGGAAUAAUAUAAUUAACAUUUUAGCCAAUAUCUCUUAUAUGGUAUCAGAGCGUUCCUCUCUCACGAGAACAGAAAGUAUUUCCAGCCUCCAUGUCAACCCCAAGUGUGAAUUCCUCCCUUUCCCUGGUGACUCAACCGACCUCUGAUUCGACUGACCUUCCGUUGAUUGCUAUCAACACCUCCAGCCAAUUACCCUAAUAACUUACAUCCUCAAAUUAUCUCUCCGACCGUGCAACCUUCCUUACCAUCCUUAUUGGAUAUGAUCUGAUGGGAUACUUGGAUGGCACCCUCAAGUGCCCUCCUAAACCUGCUGCUAGGUCUUUUGCUGCUGUCUUGGCUCGUUUUGCACACUGGUGCUAACAGGAUCAAUUGCUUCUCAAUGCCAUAUUUUCCUCAGUUUCUGAAACUGUGAUGCCUCUCAUUGCCAUGUCUUCUACAAGCUAUGAUGCUUGGCAACAUCUUGCCUGCUUAUUUGCAAGCAAGUCUCGGGCUCGUAUUAUGCAGCUAAAAGGAGAUCUGACCCUUAUUCAAAGGGGCUCUCGCACGGUAUCUGAGUUUCUUCAUGCCGUCAAGGUGAUCGCUGAUGAACUCUCUUUAAUAGAUGCGCCAGUUUCUGAAGAUGAUUUGACAUUGUAUGUCUUAAAUGGCCUCGGUCCGGAAUUUAGAGAUAUGGUUGCUCCAAUUCGCACUCACGAAACUGCCCUAUCUUUUACAGAAUUAUAUGAUCUUUUGGUUGGUCAUGAACACUAUAUUAAAUGCAUGGAUGGAAACACUUCGACUCUGGUAGUUACAGCCAAUUCCUCUCAGCGAAGGUCGUUCAAUGGUCGCAACAAAAAUGGCAAGCACAAGUCCAAACCUCAAUUUAACAACAUGCAAGCUACUUGGAAAUCAUCUGUUGUCUGUCAAUUUUGUGACCAGCACGGUCACAGUGCCAAAAAUUGUGGCAAACUGCAAUCCCGACUUGUUGCACAUUGUACUACUUCCUCUGCCCCACAGAAUGGAAAAUGGCUCCUCGAUUCCGCUGCCUCCCACAACAUUACUUCUGAUCUGGCUAACCUCUCCAUUCACUCGGAGUAUGAUGGACAAGAUGAAGUUGUCCUCGGUGAUGGUACUGGUUUAAGAGUUGCACGCAUUGGCUCUACAACCCUUUCCACCAACUCACGUUCUCUUUAUUUAAAUGACACCUUACGUGUUCCACUUAUACACAAAAAUCUGAUUUCCAUUCACAAAUUUACUCUUGAUAAUGAUGUCAUUGUUGAAUUUCACCCUUUGUUUUAUCUUGUGAAGGAACGGAUGACGGGAAAGGUGCGCAUGAAAGGUGCUCAUGCGCGGUAGGUGUGAAGAUGGGGUGUAUCCUGUAGCCUUACAACCUUCCUCCUAUCAAGCUAAUGCUCUCACCUUGGCUGGAACUUGUACCUCCUUUGAUCGGUGGCAUCAAAGAUUGGGGCAUCCUACUCCUAAGCUUUUGUCCUCCUUACUCCGUAGUUACUCCCUACCCGUAUCUUCUAGCAAGUCCAGAAUGUCUUGAUGUUCAUCCCAUUUUUAUCCAGUUGUCUGCAAUGCUUGAAAAACAAUUUUCCACUCCGAUUAAAAAUUUAUACACGGAUAAUGGUGGUGAAUUCCUCGCACUUCGCCCAUACUUGGCUGAACGUGGUAUUAGUCAUUAUACCACGGCUCCUCUUACCCCCCCAACAAAAUGGUAGUGUUGAACGUUGUUAUCGUCACAUUGUUGAAACUGGUAUGACUCUCCUAUAUCAUGCACCGGUUCCCUCUACCUACUGGACUUAUGCCUUAGACACGGCUGUCUAUCUUAUUAAUCGCCUGCCCAUCCUUUUACUCACUCGUAAAAGUCCAUUUGAAGCUUUAUUUCAUCGGGUUCCUGAUUACGACAAAUUACGCACUUUUGGCUGCCAAUGCUAUCCUUGUUUAGUUCCCUAUCGCACGCACAAGCUUCAAACCAAGUCUAUUCCCUGCAUUUUUGUCAGCUACUCUCUAACCCAAAAUGCCUUCAAAUGUUUGGAAUGUUUGGAUUUGUCCACGGGUCGGCUAUAUCUCUCUCGCCAUGUUACAUUUGAUGAAACUUCAUUUCCAUUUAAACAUUCAUCAUCUGGUAGCGUGUUUAAUGUCUCCCCUCCUAGUCAUGUGCAUCAAUCACCUGCUCUCAUCACACCAGUUCCUCCUAUUCAUGUUGUAGCCUCGACAGACCCUGUCCGCACAACUACCACGCCUGCUGCUCCUACAAUCUCGUCACCUUCUGAUGGUCAAGGUAUGUCAUCUGAACCCAUUUCCAAUGCCCCAUCUAGUUCAUCACUUCACACUACCUCUACCUUAAAUGUGCCACCUUCACGUACUCACCAUAUGGCUACUCGUGCCCAAAAUAAUAUUUUUCGUCCUAAGCAGCUCUCUGUCACCACAAAACAUCCCAUUUCACCACCUUUAGAGCCAUUGUGUAUGACUCUGGCCCUAAAAGAUCCUCGGUGGCGUAAGGCUAUGGCUGAUGAGUUUGCUGCCUUAGUAUCACAUGGCACUUGGAAGCUUGUUCCUAAACCUCCUGGUCCUACCAAAAAAUUUCAUGGACCUAAAUUCACAAACAAAAUUGGGAGUCAUCCAAUAAAAUGUUAGGUUUCAGUCUUGAAUAUCUACUCCAAAAGACUUUCUACAGAAAUGCCUAAAACAUGAUUAAAUCAUCUCAAACACACCAAACAAAAUGAGUUCACCUUAUUGCACCUAAAAAAUGGCUCCUCUCUUCGUUCAUUCUUCCUAGAAACAACCUGUGCACUAUAUGUUACUCUAUCCUUCGGCUUCUCGAUCAGAAAGGGAACCAGUGCCAAUAGAUGGCAAGACUGUAACAUCAAAAUUAUCAGCAUAUUAUUCUAUAGUUAUAGAUCAUUAUACUCAUAAUUAUGAAAAUAAAAAAUAUAAAAGCAUCUGCAAAAUUCUAUUAAAAAUAAUAUUAAAAAAUAACAUAUAAGCUGAAUUGAACUAACCAUAAUUGAGCAUUUUAUUCCAACAAUGUAUGGGGAUAAAUCGAAGUGAGUCAGAAUCUUUUACUGAAAAGCUAUGCAAACUUCAUUGACGGGUAAAUGGUACAUAUCUUGAAGUACAACUGUACAAGUUUAUCUAUAAGUUAAAUAAACGUCUCAGGUCUUGAAAUAAAGGACAAAAUAGAAGUGCAACAAAAGAAAAACUUGAAUGCAGGUUGAAUUCUCACUAGGAAAUCUGGACCCUGGUUGUAGUUUUUUGGUGUAAAAUCAUGCAUUAUGAUAUUAUUAGUUAUUACUCGGAUAGACCAUAAUAAACACACAAAAUAUUUUCUAAUUUAAAAGAAAAGAAUAAGUUCAACAAAGAGUUUAAGGCUGAAAACUGUAUAGUCGUGUAUGCAUUGCUCAUGCCAAUAUAUCGAUAUAUUCAUUAGGUCACGAGAUUGGAAAACAAGAAGUUUGCCACCAAAACUUUUCAUCGCUAAGAAAGUAGCCUGAAACAAUCAAGAAGAAUAGCAUGCAACACUUAUAUAUAUAUUGUAUGUAUGGAUGCAUAUAAAAAUCUCAAACUUUUAUUACAGGCCCCAAAACCUGAAUCAACUAUUAAGAAACAUCAAUAGGAUGGUUCUAGCAGUAGCUCUAAAGCGGUUCUCCUUCAUAUUGAAGAACCAAAGAAUACAUGCUUAAUCAUCAUCUCAUGACCUGCACAAGAAAAAUUAACAAAUAUAUGACUCAGAUAUAUCUUUCCAUCUUCAAAAGUAAAAGAAUAAUGGAAAAGCUCAUCACUUAUUGUCGAGUAAAACAUAUAUAGAUAUAGUACAAAGAAGCUCAAACAUGUCUUUCCAUUUUCAAAAGUAAAAGGAUAUGGAAAAGCUCAUCAUUUAUUCACUACAACAAAAAAAAAAAAAACCCUUUUGCAACACUCAAAGGCAACAUUCAUUGAUUGAAUGUUGCUAAGGGAGGCUAUGACAACAUUUUAAUAAGUGAAUGUUGCGAUUGGUUAACUUUAUUGAAUUUUAACAACAUUCUUUAAAUGAAUGUUGUCAAUGUCACUUUUAGCAACGUUCAAUGAACGUUGCGAAGAGCUCCAUUUUUUGCAAUGCUUAGUUGUUUUCGCAACUUUCAACUGAAUGUUGUAAAAACUUAAUAUGAACGUUGCAAAAAAUUAUCCAACCCAAACCAAAAGAAAAACUCUAAUUUUUCCAUCUUUUCUCGUCUCCGCCUCUCACUCGUCUCUCAUGUGUUCCUCUCUUACUGCAAGAAAAUAGGGGUACUUUUAAUUUUGACCCGGUCAAAGGAGCAAAAUUUCAGUUUGACUUCCAAAAGAAUGAAUAUUAUGACAUUCGCCUCUUGUAUGGUAAAAGACAAAGAUACCCUUAAAUGUUUUGUACAAUUACAAAAUCAUAUAUUGUUGAAAAGGCUAUACUACCCUUUUACUUAAUAAUUGAAAACCAAACAUUUCCCCACUUAUAAAAACUUCAAAACGAGCUUCCAACACAGAAAAAACUCUCAUCUUUUCAUCUGCUUGAACCUCAAAAUCUAGAAGAACUUUGGAACGUUGAAGCUGAAAAUUUUUUUCACAUCAAUUACUUCAAAUCGGUAAGUACAUUUAAUCAUGUUUAAUUUCGUUUUAAGUAAAUUAGUAUACGUUAAAUAGAGAAAUUUUAUGUCGACAUAGUUUUUUUUAACAGAACCUAUCAAAAAAAAAAAAAAUUAAACGGAUGUAUAACUUACGUUUAAAUUACGCAUGCUUAAUUUCGUUUUUAGAACGGUAUUCUCCUACGCCAAACUGGUUUAGCUUAACAAACAGUCGGAAAUAGUCUGAAACAGCCGGCUGUUGGAUGUUUAACAGCCGGAAACAAACAGCCGGCUGUUAGGCUGUUAAACAGCCUUCGCUGCAGCUAAUUUUUUGUCUUUUUCUUUCUUAUAAUUAAUAUUUGAAGUUGAUUAAAACCAUUUCCUCAUGCAGAUAUGAUAAUCCCCGUGUGUUAUUUCGGUGAUUUCAAAUUAAAUGAAAAUAAUCGGUGGGAAUGGAGAUGGACGAGUGACAUACGUGGUUGUAGUGCAAUUCCCGUAACAGAAAGUACACCAUAUUUAGAAAUGUACCACGAUUUGCAAAAUAAGCUGAAUGUCGAUCAAUCUCAAUACGAUAUGCAAUUGAGAUAUCUAUUCAACGGUUAUGGGGAUUCAUCCAUUCCGAUGCCACCGGUAUUCGUUACGAAUGAUGCUGAAUUGAAUUAUCUAUUAGAAUUGAAUAAAAUGCAUCGGACUCCGACUGUUCUUGGUGUGACUUUAAUUACGAAGGAUGUUAUCGAAGGUGAACGUGAAGAUUCGGAUAGGGCGGAUAACAAUGAUCGAGGUUUUUGGGAGACAGUGGAGAUAGUUCCUGCGGAUGAUGUGGGUAUUCCUGAGACAGUUGCUUCUGAUCGUGAUGUCGCUGUUACGCGCAGAAUUCCGUCAACAGUUGAAGACAGUGAGAACAUAAACGACUUUACAAAUGAGAAUUUGAUUGCUUUAUCCCGACAGAGACACGAGCCUGGUGGGAGCUCACAGGUUGGAACAAGUGGACCGUCCUCGAAUUCUUCCCGUGUGGCUCCCGAUGAUGAGAACUUACAGGUCGGGCAACUUUUUGAAACCAAGCAAGAUUUGCAGGAAGCUGUGCACCGGCUGACAUUAAAAUAUAACUUUGAGUUCAAGGUAAAGAAAUCAAACAAGUCAUUGUUGACAGUUGCUUGCGUCGAAAAUAGUUGCAAUUGGCGCUUGAGAGCAACUAAGAUGGACACAAAUGAGUGCUUCGUAAUUCGCAAGUAUUUACGGGAACAUACUUGCGAAGUGGGAAUUCUUCGAAACGAUCACAGGCAAGCUCGAGCAUGGUUUAUUGGUCGGCAGAUAAUGCACAAGUAUCAGGAUCCACGGACGAUCUACAGACCCUCAGACAUCAUUAACGACGUCCGUCGAGAGUACGGAGUGGUGAUGAGCUAUCAGAAAGCGUGGAAGGCCAAAGAAUGUGCGUUGGAGGAUUUAAUGGGAUCGGCUGAAAAGAGCUAUGCUAAAUUGGCUAGGUAUUGCCAUAACAUGGGGACAACUAAUCCUGGCACGGCAUUUUUUAUUGAGACGGGGGGUGAUAAUUGUUUUAAGUAUUUCUUCAUGGCUCUCGGACAAUGUAUUCGGGGUUUUCGAAAUGCAAUGCGACCCGUAAUUCUAGUUGAUGGUACGACUCUGAAAGCUAAAUAUCAAGGUAAAUUAAUUAUUGCUACAUGUCAAGAUGCCAACAUCCAAAUUUACCCUAUUGCAUUCGGCAUAGUCGACAGCGAGAAUGAUCUGUCCAUGCGUUGGUUCUUUUCUAAACUGAGGGAAGUGAUCGGGGAAGUCGAAGACCUUGCCUUUGUAACCGAUCGAGGACAGUCUAUAAUAAACGGUAUCGCUGAAGUAUUUCCUGAGGCACAUCACGGGUAUUGCAUGUACCAUAUACAAGGUAAUUUGAAGACUAUGUAUCGGGGCACAGGCAUCGUUUCAUUGUUCAAGAGAGCAGCCGAAGCUUACAGUGCUGAAGAGUGUAAUAAGUUCAUGGUCGAGAUAGGAAGUAAAUCAUUACCGUUGGAGUAUCUGACGAAGAUGGGGAUCGAACAUUGGGCGCGGGCAUACUUUCCAGGACGUCGAUACAACAUGAUGACGUCGAAUAACGCGGAGUCUCUCAAUGCAUUGUUUAAGAAGGAUCGAGAGUUACCAAUUCUCGCAAUGAUUGAGAACAUUCGUAACAAGCUACAACAGUUGUUUCAUGACCGACGUGCGGCAUCAGAGAGUUGCACUAGCGAGUUGGCCCCAGCUCAAGAGGAGAAACUGUUUAAGGCGACAGAGGUUGCGAGGAAGUUGAAUGUGGAAGCACUAGAUGAGUUUCUCUUCUCCGUGCAAUGUGCACGUAAUACGGCAUAAAUGGUGGACUUGACUGAUAACACGUGCACUUGUACGAGAUUUCAGUUGGAGAGUUUUCCAUGAGCAUACUGUUGCGGUGGCCAUGUAUCGAGGCUUUGCUGCGAGAACGUUGUGCUCUUUGUAUUAUACGACUGAGUCUUGGAGAACAGCAUAUGCCGAGACUAUAUUUCCUCUGCCGAAUGAAGUCGAGUGGGAAGUUCCCGAGCACAUUCUCCCAUUUCAUAAUUUGUUACCACCAGCAAUUGAACCGCGUGGUCCUGGACGUCCAAGUACAUCUAGAAUACCAUCUACCGGAGAGUUUCCUCGACCGCGUAGGUGUGGCCGCUGCAGAGCCGUAGGGCAUACUCGGCAAUUUUGUACCUGUCAAAUUCCCCUAAAUGACGACUAGAUAGGUACGUGAAAUGAAUAAUAUUUCCUUUUACUAUACACUGUUCAAUAUUUGUUAUUUAUAAAUCUUCAAUAUACAAAAAAUAGUUCCGCACUCGGCAUACGGGUAAAAUAACAAAGAAUAAUGAAAUUUCCAAUUUGAAUAUUAUAUUACAUUGAACACAAAUUUACAAUUAUUUCAAAAUUACAAAAAUAAUUAAAUUUCCAAUUUGAAUGUUAUAUAUAUUGAACACAAAUUUACAAUUAUUUCAUAAUUACAAAAAUAAUUAAAUUUACAAUUGAAAUGUUACAUAUGUAUAACUGAAAUUUAUGGGUCAACAUUAAAUUCGAACAAAUCGCAUGCUAGCUUUUUUCUCCAGUUCUGUAUCCACGACUGGUUGAUUUCAUCAACCUUAUGUCUUAUACUUAAAAAUUCAACGUACUUAAUGGCAAAUAUGCCACAGUCGCCGCUGCAAUUGAACAAGAAUGAAUCAGUUUAGUACUGUGUAAAUAAAAACUAAAUCUGAAAGAUGAAAACAACAACGUUCAAACACUUACCUUACGGACUGUCGCGCUGUCGUCGUGUUCCGAACGAUCCGCAAUUUGUCCUGUACAUUUAUCCCCGCUCGUCUGGCCAUCAUAGGAACAAUGACAGCCACGGACUCCAGAUUUUGCUCCAACUGGCCCUGUGUCAAACAUGAAUGAUCUGGGUCGUACACAUAUAUAGUCGAGUCAGCAAAAACGAUCUCCAGCGUAACAUAGUGUUUAUUGAUGCACGCUGGAAUGUACAUAUGUGUACAACCCUCCUAUGAUUUUCCCGCGACACUCGGUGACAGUCCUAUCACCCACUCGAGCGCUUUCCACUUGGCAUUGUCCACCUCUCUAAAUAAGUUCGGGUACGUCCCAUCGAUGAACGUCCUCCUCUUGGCCUCAGCCGUGAAGGGGGAAACAACAUACUGUGACGGCACUCUCAAUCUCUUGCCGACCACCUGCUCCGUCUCAUCAACAGCAUGUCUCUUACCCUCAAUCACGCCGGACGUCCUCUCGACCUCCGGGGCCACCUCCUCCGCCCCCUCCAUGGGGGCCUCCCCCUCCGUCGCCACCUCCUCUGCCCCUCCAGUCGGGGCCACCCCCUCCGUAGUUCCCUCUCCCAUCCCCAUCGGGGCCACCCCCUCCAUAGACAACCACAAGGACUCCAAUGUCUCAUCACGCCAAAAAUAUGGGUGACCCCCCUCUCCAUCACCAUCUCUGCCACCCUCUCGAUCAUGGUCUCCACCAUCCCCUCUGUCCCCCCAUCGUCUGCCGGCUAAAUNNNNNNNNNNNNNNNNNNNNNNNNNNNNNNNNNNNNNNNNNNNNNNNNNNNNNNNNNNNNNNNNNNNNNNNNNNNNNNNNNNNNNNNNNNNNNNGUUGUCCUCCUCCCUGAAUAAGUUCGGGUACGUACCAUCGAUGAACGUCCUCCUCUUGGCCUCAGCCGUGAAGGGGGAAACAACAUACUGUGACGGCACUCUCAAUCUCUUGCCGACCACCUGCUCCGUCUCAUCAACAGCAUGUCUCUUACCCUCAAUCACGCCGGGCGUCCUCUCGACCUCCGGGGCCACCUCCUCNNNNNNNNNNNNNNNNNNNNNNGAUGGCCCCGGCGGAGGUGAUGCCACUAGCGGCGGUGAUGCCCUCGACGGAGGUGAUGCCAAUGGCGGGGACGAUACUCUCGGCGGAGAUGAUGCCGAUGGUGGCGGCGAUGGCCCCGGCGGAGGUGAUCGUCGAUCAGCUGGACCGCCCUCCUACAUAAAUAAAAUGAAAAAUUAUUCAAUAAAUUAUUCAAUAAAUUAUUCAAUAAAUUUAUACGUCGAUCAUAUUCAAUAAAUUAUAUUUACGUAUAAUAUAAAUCACAAAUGCAUAAUACUUACCUGAGGAUCGUCGAGGAGGGCCGAUAACUGCUUCCCGGUGGGACAUCCCUCCGCUCGCGAUGAUCUCCAAUGAUGCAUCCGAGGGCAGCGUGUCUCCCCUCGCUAUGCAAAGCGGGCCCCCAGUACAGGAACUGUCUCAUACACCCAAAUUUGUAACACAUACACUUAUUAAGCAUCAAUGUAAUACACUAAAACUUUAACUUUGAUUAUAUUAAACAUUUACCUGCACUGCUAACGGCAAUCCAUAUGUAUCGUAUUUACGCAUCGACCCCCUGGGCCUCGAGUGCGAUCUGGUGAACACAUGUACGGUGUCUUCGUAGCAUCUUCGGCUCCACGGAUAGUUGUUGAACGCAUCAAUGUCGUCAACAACUUGCAAAUGAAAAAUGUCGAUAGCAGUCUUCUUGUGAUGACACCUCAUCACACUCUCGAGGAUGUAGACCAGCCCAAGCUUCAAUCUAUCUAGCAUAUGGUCGCACCCAUGGCCGGUCCUGAGGCGAGGCAGAUGAGGCCUGUGCCUCAGGCCCAAAGCUAAAGGGGGCCUCGUUUCCAUGGCCAAUCUUUUUUUUUUCUUUUUUCCAAUUAAAUGAAGAAAGGAAACUGUGAAUGAAGAAAUCAUUUUCCUUUCUAGCUCACCUCUCGCCUCUCUACUCCGACCAGAUCGACGAGGAGUUAGGGGUCCGCAGGAAUGUUCAGAGCCACCGAGCAUUGCAUUUGCAGGGGCGGAAUUGCCGAAGAGGGACUCUGGGAAAGAACCAGUCACUGACUCACCAGAGGAAGAAGAAAACCCAAAUUAAUGACCCUUUUGUUUGGUUUGGGCUAAUGGGUUGAUAUGGGCCUUUUUUGUUUAAAAUGUUAGGCCCAAAUCGAAAUGAUUUGCUCUCAUAUGCAUUUUUUUUUUAAUACUGUUGGUUUUAAUUGGAAGGAAAAAUGAAAAUGGCUGCCAUGGAAGAACCAAUUCUCUCCAGACUAAACCGGUUGGAUAAUACUAUAAGUAAACUUAUCGUCUCUUUCAUUUUUUUUUCUGUAUUUAUUUAUUGGACUAUAAAUUAAGAAGCCCUAUGAGUUAUUAUUUCUUGUUAAUUUGGGUGGAAUAGUAAAAAUAGAAAAAGAAAAUGAUAAAUUCUUCUUGGGUUUUGAUAACUAGGAUGUUACAUAGAGGUACAAGAGAUUCGAUAAUUUGGUGUUAAUUUGAGUAUUAGAUUUUGUGUGUGUUGGUAUUAGUUUUUAAGCUUCUUGUCAAGCUAAUAAAAGUGCUAGUGUCUUUAUCAAAAUGUUGAAAAGAUAGAAUUCAUAGAAAAAAUGUCACACUGUUUGAAGUAAUAGAAUAUUAUGAAAUAAUAUGAACCUAUAUAUAAGAUUACUCGACCUGCUAUUUACACCCCCUCGUUAUUUGAAAAUCCAAUCAACUAAUAUUGUUUACCAAUAUUUGGAAAUUUUUUGUGACAGUCACAAAACAUGCCUGAUAGAAGAACAAUUCAACAUGUUAUGGUUGGUUAAGGAUUGUUGUUUACCAAUUAAGGUUAAGGAUUCAAGUAUUGAUACCUCCCACUAUCCCGUAUAAAAAAAUAAAAAUAAAAAUUCAUGCCCUAUAGAAAGGGGGGAAAUUUUUUGUUAGUGUCAAGUGGUUUUAUUUCAACUUGGAAAAUUAGUACUGCUUCAAGAUUCUUCAUAUUAUUAGAGGUAAGUUUUCUUCCUUUGUUAGUGUAAUUUCUUUGAGUAUAUUUGGGAUUUUAUUGCUUUAAUUUAUUGGAUGGAGUAUUUAUGGAUUUAUUUGAUUGAUUUGAAUGUAAAAUUGCUGAAAUUUCACGCUUGCUUUUUGGUAGAAGGUAGAAUGAACAUUUUUUCUUCCUCUAUUAGUGUAAUUUCUAAUGUUUCACUCCAGUAGUUUGUUUCGAAUUUAAGCUUUUAUGAAAUUGAUUAGUGUUGGGCCCUAAUUAUUUUGUAAAGUGAUUAUUUUAUUUAAUUUGAAAUUUACAGAAUUCUAUUUCAACGUUUGGAUUUAUGUAGUGGUAGUAGUUUUUGCCCUCAUGGUAAUGCAAAUCACAGCGAUCAAACAUUUGAAAACUUAGAAAUGAAUCUUACAUUUUCCAAAAUUCAUUAGAAGUAGACUUCUAAUAUAUUUGGUUGUUGUUUUAUUAUUAAGUUUUAAGUUAGUAGUAGGAACAGAUAUAGGGUCUCCAGGCCCGAAAACCAUUUUUUUUUUAUUUUUUGGUCAAAAGGGUUUUUUUUUAUGUGUAAUUUUUUUUUUCGUGUAUUAGUUUGGUUUGAAAUUUUUUAGCCCGGUUUUGAAUCCAAUACUAAAUCCGUCCCUUGUUAGCAAUAUGUUGCAUACAAUAAUACACUAGUGGGUUUUAUAUUUUACGUUGAUUUUGGGGGGCCUCACUUAUGGAAUUCGCCUCAGGCCUCGAAAGCCACAGGACCGGCCCUGGUCGCACCCCCUGAUCGCGACCAUCAAGUCGGGUAGAAGCACCGACCCAUAUCCCUGGAAGUACGUCUCGUACAGCCUACUGCUUCUCUCCAUGNNNNNNNNNNNNNNNNNNNNNNNNNNNNNNNNNNNNNNNNNNNNNNNNNNNNNNNNNNNNNNNNNNNNNNNNNNNNNNNNNNNNNNNNNNNNNNNNNNNNNNNNNNNNNNNNNNNNNNNNNNNNNNNNNNNNNNNNNNNNNNNNNNNNNNNNNNNNNNNNNNNNNNNNNNNNNNNNNNNNNNNNNNNNNNNNNNNNNNNNNNNNNNNNNNNNNNNNNNNNNNNNNNNNNNNNNNNNNNNNNNNNNNNNNNNNNNNNNNNNNNNNNNNNNNNNNNNNNNNNNNNNNNNNNNNNNNNNNNNNNNNNNNNNNNNNNNNNNNNNNNNNNNNNNNNNNNNNNNNNNNNNNNNNNNNNNNNNNNNNNNNNNNNNUGUCGUAGAAUAUCUUCGUGCUGAUCAUCGAGCAGCUCCAAUACAGCAGUAAAACUCUCAAAGCUACUGUUCCAAGUAACUUUUCCCGACAUCCGUCUCAACUCUGCAUCUAAAUGAUACUCCAUCCUGUAAAAAUUCAAAUGUUAUAGCAUUANNNNNNNNNNNNNNNNNNNNNNNNNNNNNNNNNNNNNNNNNNNNNNNNNNNNNNNNNNNNNNNNNNNNNNNNNNNNNNNNNNNNNNNNNNNNNNNNNNNNNNNNNNNNNNNNNNNNNNNNNNNNNNNNNNNNNNNNNNNNNNNNNNNNNNNNNNNNNNNNNNNNNNNNNNNNNNNNNNNNNNNNNNNNNNNNNNNNNNNNNNNNNNNNNNNNNNNNNNNNNNNNNNNNNNNNNNNNNNNNNNNNNNNNNNNNNNNNNNNNNNNNNNNNNNNNNNNNNNNNNNNNNNNNNNNNNNNNNNNNNNNNNNNNNNNNNNNNNNNNNNNNNNNNNNNNNNNNNNNNNNNNNNNNNNNNNNNNNAAAUUAAAUAAAUAAUUACUUUACCUUUUUCUAAAAUUUACACUAUUCAUAUUAUUUAAAUAAAUUUAAAAAAAUAAAUUAAAGAUAAUUUCAUAAAAAAAAUAGAAUCAACAUUGUUAAAUUUACAAUAUUUGAAUUAUUAAAUUAUAUAAAAGACAAAUAUAAAAAUUAAAUAAAUAAUUACUUUACCUUUUUUUAAAAUUUAGACUAUAGAUAUUAUUUAAAUAAAUUUAAAAAAUAAAUUAAAGAUAAUUUCAUAAAAAAAUAGAAUCAACAUUGUUAAAUUUACAAUAUUUGAAUUAUUAAAUUAUAUAAAAGACAAAUAUAAAAAUUAAAUAAAUUUGAAAUAAAAAAUUAAAGAUAAUUUCAUAAAAAUAAUUUUAAAAAAUAAAUUAAAGAUAAUUUCAUAAAAAAAUAAUCAACAUUGUUAAUUUUACAAUAUUUCAAUUAUUAUAUUAUAUUGACAAUGAUAAAAAAAAAUUAAAUAAGUAAAUAAUAUAAAUACUAUUUAAUCAACUAAAAAAUUUAAUUAAUUACAAAAAUUAUAAAAAAAAAUUAAAAUUAAAAUAUUUUAUCUGGGCGGUGAACCAACCCAGAUGCCCGACUGUUAACAGUUUGGGCCGACUAUUAACAGUCGGCCUGACUGUUAACAGUCGGUUUUAGGCGUUCCAACACCCGGUGGCUAGGAAACGGCCGGAAACCGCUGUUCCCGGCCACUGAGCUCCCAAAAAAUGGCAAAAAAUCUCAUUUUUCACAUUCCAACAUGCCCAUGGAUCUAAUUUCAACCAAAAUUACUAAGGAUGCUAACUAUGAAAAAAAGCAUUCGAACUGGAGUUUUGAUCAGAAAACUAACCGGUUCUUUUACUUUCACUGUAGAUGAUGAUCGUUGAUUGCGACGUUGGUGUAACUCCGGUGGUCGGUCAGUCGGAUUUCUGCACUGGUCGGUCGGUCGGUUCGGUCGGUGAGAGAAUUAUCAAACAGUCUGAAGGGUAAAAUGGGAAAAUACUGUGAAGUUUUCUUUUUAACUUAAUUUGUUUUUUUUUAAUUCAUUUAAUUGGUCAAAGGCCAAUGUCAAUUUUUGCUACAGUGUAAGGGUCAUUUUUGUGUAUUUCCUCAAGAAAAUAGGACAAUGGAGACAAAAUUAUCCAACCCUAGUUUUCUUCUCCAUGUUCUUUCUUUCUCCGUUCUUUUUUUUAUCUUCCCCUUUUACCCAAACGCUUCUUUUCCAAUAAUUACAGUCGUUCAGUCGGAUCAUCUGUUCAAUCAGCAAUCCAAGUUUCUUAAAAUUUCCCAAAUCACGAAAACCGGGGUUGGGUCAUUUAUACAUCUAAUUUAAUCGGGUUUGGGUUAGCUGUGGCCUCGAGUGCUUUCACCGGAUCCAGUUUUAUUAUUAAGAAGAAGGGUCUUCAGAGAGCCGGCGCCUCCGAUUGUCGUGCCAGUAAGUAUUAUAUUUUUGUUAAUUUUAGGGUGACACUAUUUACAUCCACAGUAAUUAUUUUUUUAAUCUUAUGUAAAUUUACCUGAAGAGACAUGUAUAAAAUUAAAUUAAAAUAUAUCAUUCUAAAUUCAUCCACUCAUAUUUAUUUUUACUAAAUUCUUUUGAACAUUUUUAUAUUUUUUCAGAAUUUGUGUUUACCUAAAAUAGUAAUUUUUUUUAAAUUCUAAUAUUUUAGUAGGGAUGAAUAUAUAAAAACCAUGGAUGUAAAUAGCCGUACCCUAAUUUUAUCUCCUUCAUUUUUGUCGCCAAUUGAAGAAAAAAUUUCUGAUUCUAUUGCAUUAUUUUGUGGAAAAAAGGUGAAUUUUGAUGUUGUACCAUUUGCUUCAUUUAUUAUUAAUUUUUUAUUUUGAUUCUGGAUAGUAAUAUUUUUUCUGCAAUUCAUAUUUUCUCCUUGUGAAUAGUAGAAACUAUUUUUCUCAUUAUAUUUAUAUAAUGAAGUUUUUUUUUUUUUAUGUUGUACCAUCUUCUUCAGUUUUUAUACCUGAUUCUGGAAAUUUUUAUGCAAUGAAAUAAAGAAAUUAGCAUAUGCAGUUUCACUCCCUCUUCUUCCCUGUGAAAAAAUCUCUAUGAAUUUUAAUGAUAUUAAUCCUUAAUUUGUUUUGAUUUAUUUGUGGUCAGGAUGAGAAGUGCCUAUUUAUAUCUAAUGGGUUAGUAUUUUCUCCAUUGCUAUCGGUUAGAUGGUGGUGAUUCAAUCAAUCUGUCACUUCUCUAUGAUUAUUCUUUCUUUCAAAAUACACCUACCUAGGUUCGACCUUCCAAAGUGAUGGUUAUCUAUUAAUGUUUUAAUUUUUGGGACAGUGACAAUGCCACAAAGUUUAUGUCCUUGGUUGAUCGUCACAUAACUAUCUUCUUUCCCAAAAGUUGGUAAGCGUAUUGGGGCAGGUUUAUUUGUUUCGUAAUGUUUGAUUUCAUAGUUAAUACUCUUUUAAACUGGAGAAAUGUCUGCAUUUGAUAAUGUUGUUGGUGGAAAGCUGAAACUUAAUGGGAAGGCUCUGGAUGUAAAAGCUGGUGGAGUGAAGAAAAAGAAGAAGCAAAAGAAGCACCACGAGCAAAUUUGUGGAAUGUUAAUGGGUAAGGUUGGGGCACAUUAUUUAUUUUAUUUAUCUUUGUCCUUUUAUGUUCUAAAUUUAUUUAACUACUACUCUUUGUACAAGUUGAGUAAUGGUAACUCAUGUAGACAGUGUACCCCAAUCAUUGGUUUGUUUAGUUGUUUAGUUGUGUCUGUUGAAGUUAUUGGUGUGCCUAUUUCAUGAGUUAUAACAACUAAAUUGUGAGGACAAUGUUUGGGGAAGGACAGUGGAGAAAAAAUGCUUAUUACAUGUGUAAGUUUUUAUGUAGUAGUUUCAACCUGUUAAGUGAUAGUCUGUUCCUAGAAAAUAUAUCAAUUUUUUCUCUUUGUUUUAGUUGUCAAUGUUAUUUAUGGCGUAUGAAUGAGUGUGAUGAGGGAAAAGAAUAUAUUAUUUGCAUGCAUCUUAUAUUCUAGAUUGAUUUAUAGACUUGGGAUCAUUAACAUCAGAUUUAGAACAUCUGGUUGGGCCAUUAAACUAGGUGCUGCCAAUGAACUUAUGCUAUAUACCCAAAUCUUGAAAUUCUUGGCCUAUACUUGACAUUCCUUCAACUUAUUAAGAUAAAGAUUAUGUGGGUUUGAAAUGCAUCCAGUAAUAUCUGUGCCUGCUAGAAAAAAAAAACAAUAAAUUCAGUGUCAGUCAUCUUGAAUUUAAGGUGCUGCACAUUUACUGAGAUUGCAGAUAAAUAUCUUGGUUUAGUUCUUCGUAGAAUCUGUCAAAGACACUGGAAUCGGAAUAUACUUGGAAAAUCUCAUCCUCAAAUAAAUUUCCCUGGGGAAACUGUAUGUUCAUUUAGCUAGAGCAAGUUUGAUUUGCUGAUAGAUUCUCGGGUUGUUGAAGUUGUAGACUUUGUUGAUUAAUAUGAUCACAUACUUAGGGGCAUCAACUUCUUAUUUGUGUCUUUAAAAUAGCUUUGUCCAUUUCUGCUGAUGGUGUAUCCAAUCAUCAUUUCAAUAAGUUGGUUGUUCACGAAAUAAUUCUUUCGAUUUAAAACUACCGCAAGUGUACGGUUCGUAACAAGUAAUAAAGUGGAUUUUUAAAAGUCCGAAUAUCGUCCCUCAGAGAUUGAGUAGUUCAAUUCUAUUUAAUCUAGUCUUAACCGAAUCUAAUUGAGUGAAAAUGUGAUCUAAGUGCAAAAAGUCCCAAUUUCAACUAAAAACCCUAAUUUCAAUUGAAAACCCUAAUUUCGAAAUUUCUCUAAUUAAACGACUUAAACACUCAAGUAAAUGAAAUUAAGCAAGUUUAAAAACUAAUUUAUUAAAAUGAAUAAAAUUAAAGUCACUAGGAUCACGAAUCCCCAAUUGAAGUUAUAAAAACCCUAAUUUCAUAAAAUUAAUGAUUCGAUGAAAAUUUGCCAAUUCAAUGUUCCUAUUCUAUCCAAUAUACUCUCUCGAUAUAUAUUAGACAUAUUCUUGUACACCACCAGCCUAUAUCUCUAUGGAUGAUGCAAACAUACAAGAAUGCAUGUAGUUUUGUGAACAAUUUAAGAAUUACAUAAAGCAUAGGGGUAUAUCUCUAUCCCCUAUCGGACCCUAUGUUAAUUUACACCUUAUCGAACCUAUUCCACUUCUCUCGAAUGUAAGAAACAAGUCAUCAAUACUCACACAAUCAUUGGCCACUAAUUGCGGAAGAAAAUUAAUGCAUGUAAAUCAAUCAAAAUAUCCAACGAAUCUUUAUAUCAAGUUCAUGAAAUAUAGAAUUAAAAUAACAAACAACGGUUCAUCGAUCACCUAGUAAUUAAAACCCUAGCCUAGAAGAUUCAUAAUUACAGAAAACAAAACGAAAUUAAUGAUUAGAAGGAAUAACACCCUUAUGGAAGUUCUUGAAAUCUGAAUUCUUGAACAAAACCUUGAAAACCCCUUUGAAUCCUUGUGAAAUCGGCUUCAAGUUUGUGUUCCUUGUCUCCAAAAGUUGUAUUCUUCUUCUCCCUGGACGUUCUGCCCUUUUUCUGAUGAAUCUUGGCUUUUAUAUCAUGUCCCCACGGAGCCCCCAAAGAGUUUCAAUUAAAAACGGGAUUUCAGAAUUUUUUAUCGACCUUAAAGCCAUGCGGCCGCAUGGUUCAAUUUUUCAGCUCAUUUGGAUCCCUGCAAUACCCUGUGCGGCCGCAUGGUUAUAAAAUUUUUCCUCCGGACAGCUUUCAGUAUUUUGGUCAUAACUUUCUCUCCCGAUCUUCGAUUGAAGUGAUUCAAAGUGCAUUGGGAAGAAAACUCAAAGAUGUACAUUUUUGAUAGAAAUAGGCUUCCUCAAAUUCUGAUGUUUACUAUGCCAAAAAUGAAUCUCAAGUAGAAAUUCAAAAUCACGAGCAUAACUUUUUCGUCUGAAAUUUGAUACUUGAUAAUACUUCGACCAUAUUUCACCUCUUGACUCCUUUCCUCAUCCGAUUGAACUUUAACACUCUUGAAUCUUCAUUUCAUUUCCCGUCUCAUCUAUGGAUUAUUUGCAACUUGGUCCUCGAUCUAUCGCUUUGUUCCGUUUUGGUCCUUUUUCGACUCUUUUCUUCUGAAUUCGAUCUUUUCCAUAGAAACACCUACAUAGCAUGAAUUUAACAAGAUUAAGUCAUAAUUCGACUAUUUUAUCCAUGUUUAAGUCAUGUUCGUGAGCUAAAUAAGUGUGUAAAAACACACUUAUCAUUGGUCUCCCAAAAAUAGUGAUAAAUGGUUGCUGAUUAGUAGUCUAUAAUUCUAAUGUUAAUGCUGUAGCAUGGGAAAAUAUAUGGCUCAGAUGAUGAGAAAUGUUUGAAGUACAUUUCGCAUCUGAUUCAUUAUGCAUCAGCCCUUGAGCAUAAUAAACAUGAAUUUCCAACUUUUCCUUGUAUGUUUUAGCAUAUCGUGCAGCUGGAUGCUUUUGAACGUGGAAAACUUCAUUUCAAGACUCGAUUCUCGUCAAACAAAAAACUUGGUGAAAGUCCUAAAAAUUUAGCAUGUAAGGCGAUUUUACAUUUUCUAUGUUAAUGUCGAUGAAGUUCAAUUAUUUUCCUUAGAAAUGAUUAAAUUUGAUAUAGUUUACAGCAUCUAAUUGAAUAUAUGACGGUGUUGGUGAAUUGUUUCAAGGUUGAAAGUGGUUGGUGAAUACUAGCUCCCGAGCUUUCUUUUUUUGAAAACAUGGUGAAAGUCCUUUGUAGAGUUUCCAAGCUCGACUAAUCAAUUGUCACAUGGCUAAGGUAGAGAUUCAUGACCUUAUUUUGUAAUCAGGAUUUAAGUUUUCUACAACUCAUAUCAAAUCCAUAUAUUGUAAUUGUGAGUUGAAUUACAAUAGUUAUCUUUAUGGCAAUGAUGCGAGUUUUAUGUUUAUUUUUAUCGAGUAAUGAAAUUAUUAUCAAAUUCCAGGACCAAAAAAUAUUUUUCAUUUUUUUGGUUUAAUUGAAAUUUGUUAUACAAAUAUAAAAAAAAAAUAUAAAAUUGAGAAAAAGGUAAAUUGACCUAUAGCAACGGUCGGAGAAUGUUGCAAAAAAUAAGGAUAAAGAAUGGACAACAUAUGAAAAACGUUGCCAAAAAUAUUUGCAAUGGUCAUUGAACGUUGCCAAAACAUUAUCGUAACGCUCAGCAGAUAUUGCUAAAAGAUUUUUUGCAACAAUCAGUGAACAUUGCUAAAAAAAAAAAUUUUGCUACAGUCACUGAACGUUGCUAAAAUGUUUUUUGCGACACUCGCUGAACGUUGCAAAAAACUAAAGGCAACGUUCUUUAGGAGUCUUUUGCAAUGGUCAAAGAACGUUGCCAUAUCUCAAGACUCUAAAGCAUCCCACAACAUACACGUGAACAAUGCAAAAGGUAAUAUGCAACAUUUUUUGUCUGCUUUAAAAGGCAAUUUUUGAUAUAGUGAUUUUUAAGUAAAAAAGAUAUAGAUAUAGUACAAAGAAGUACAACUCAUUCACACUCAAAAAAUGACACAUAAUUGAUAGCCUCCCUGCAAGUGUAACGAGUGUCAACCAUUUUUAACCAAGAUUAGUUUCAUCUUGACUAUUGACACUCUUUAUUGGAAGUUAAAAACAAGAGAAGUGGAAAUCAUGAAUCUCUAACAAUUAAUGUAUAGCACAAAGCAAAUAUAGAGGAAUAAAGAAGCAUUCUUUUCUUUUCUAUCUUUACCUUAGGAACAUCUUUUGCAUGCACAUAUAUGACAAUGAAAGAAAAUCAAUUUUAUUCUAAACAUCCCAUGUGUUAAUAAGCUAAAUUAAAAUUGAAAUACAGCAAAGUUAAAAGUUGCAUCUAUUAAAGACAAACAUAAAAGCGAGAGCAAAAUUCAAAGGGGGAAAAAGGGGGGAAAUUCAUAAUCCUGGUGUAUUUGUUUACAACUAUUCAAAAAUCAAGUACAUAGUUUGAAAUUUCAAAAUUCGGGUAUAUAUUUAUUAAUUAAAAAUAUUUAUUAAAUAAAGAUAAUAAAGUCACAGUCACACGAUUAAUAGUUACAGAUUCAUAGUUAUAGGUCACAAAUUUAUUUAUUGAUCACAGAUUAAAAUUUUUUUAUAGGUCAUAGAUUAUUUCGAGAUCACAGAUAAAAAAUUUACAGGUCACAGACUAUUUCGAGGUCAAAUUAACUGGUCACUGAUGUCAAAUUCCUAUGUCACACUUAAAUAGUUGGUCACAAAUAACUAAAUGGUUGGUUACGUGCGUCAAAUAGUGGUCAAAUACCACCAUUACCAACACUAUCGCACUCUUACUACCAUCACGGCUACUUGUGGCCACCCUCACCACGUUACCGUCGCUGCCACCAUAAUAGCACCAUCACCAACAAAUCGCCACCACCAGAUCAAAUAAAAUGCCAAAAAAAAAUCAAGACAACCACAGCCAACAACAACCAUCUCCGUUGUUGGAGACCGCCACGACUGUCGCCAACAAACACACCAACAAUACCAAACCCGCAACCUCACCAACACUACCAACAUCACCACUACUAACACAAACGCCUCCAUCGACGCCAAAAAACCACCAUAACUGCCACCACCAAACCCACCAACAAUACACAACCCACAACCUCACCACUAUCUUCACCGCCAACAGGACCACCUCUUCUUUAUGACCACAACAUGCCAUCAUUGCACAUCGAUGCUACUUAUAGACUGCAAUGCCUAUUGCAUACAGUGGUGGUCCCAGUCCCAUCGUUGCACCGAAAUCCGAACAUAGAACUCACAAGUACUGCCAUAUGAAGUUGCAAUUGCACCAACCGUCGUCGCAUUGUCAUCAUCGCUGAAGCGAUGACUACAGCACUACCUACCAAAACUUCCACCACCGCUUUAGCAUUAGCGCACACGAUCUGAAGCAACACUCAUAUCAUGGUCGGAGAUUCUCUUCUAAUGCUAGCGCCACCACUAUUGAGAGAGAAGAGAUAUUAGGAAAAAGAAAAGAUGUUGUGAUGUGAUCCAAGAGUCGAGCCCGACAAACACAAGUGCAGAACGAGACCCGUUGAUAAUCGAAGGCGGACCGAUUACGCGUUCGAGAGCAAAGCGGGUGAAACAAGCAACGAGGUUGCUAGUUCAAUCAACUAUUGAUGGGAUGACGUUUGGGAUGCAAAACAAGGAAACUUUCAUGUUCUGGUCAAGAGUCGAAUCAAAGUGGAUCAACUCAAUACAAGGGAACAAAGAUGAAGGCUGAAUGAGCAACCAUGCGAUCGCAUGGUUGUAAUCUGCAUACGGCACACAGCCAUGCAGGGAAUUCCAGGUGGCAGUGCAAUUGUGCCAUGCGGUCGUAGCCCUUAACACCAUGCGGUUGCAUGGUACAAAUUUUGGGCGAAAGUUUCCUUUUUCCGAAUUUUCCUUAUUUUGUUAGAUUUUUAAUUUUUGGAAGAUUCUUGUAAUCUUUGACUUAUGAUUCUCGAAAUUUUACUAGAUUUUAGGGUUUUGAGCAAUUAGUAUAAAUAGGAUAUAUCUCCUUCAUUGUGAUUUUUACAAGACACUUAUACAUAAUUUGAGAGAAUUUUAAUAGAGAGACUAUUAUGCUUUCUUCUUCAUUCUUCAUUGAUCGAUUGGAACUUAUCAAGGAUUGUAAUUCUUGUGGCAUUCUAUAACUCGGGUGCAAAUCUUGGAUUGUGUACUCAGGGGAUCCUUCAAAGUAACGUUUUUGCUAGUUUUGUUGGUUUACUAAUUUAGGGUUCAAUCUCCAAACCUCUAAUUUGGCUUUUAUGGGUUAUGGAACAAUCUUGUUGUGGGUUUAAUAGUCAACGCUGCUAUGGGAUUCGCAUAAGUUGGUAUCAGAGCGUAGGCUCCAAUUAACAUGGUAUAUCUUUUGUUUUCUUCGUUGAGUCUAGUUUUUAAUUUUCAGCGUUUUUGUUAAUUUUAUUUCUUCGUUCUUUGUUCUUGGGUCAUUUUUGUUCAAUUUGUUGGUGGUUAACUUUUGUUAUUGUUUUUGAAUAAAAAAAGGAAAAGAAAGAAACCGAUGAAAAAAAGAAACCGAGAAAAAGGCAACCAAAAAAAGAAACUAUAUUGUUAUUUUGUUCAAUUGCUACCAACAUAUUUUAAUUCAAUUCUCGAGUUAAUUUCAACAUUGAGUCAAUUACUUUGCAAGUCUUUAGUCUCCAUUAAAUUAGUCGAGUCACGUUAUUGUUUUUAUCAAUUUACGUUCCCUACUAGAGUUUCUUAAUUCCAUUACAAAUUCUUUGAGUCUUUUUGGGUUUUACAAUUUCUGAUUUAUAUUCGGGUUAGAAUUCCAUGGGUUAUUAAAUCCUUUAAGUUCAUUAUUGAUCUUUGGAGCGCUUGGAAGAAAGCACCGAGUGGUAAAAGGUAGAGUGGUGAGUUUAAUAGAGGGAAAAAGCCAAAAUUUGUGUGAUUUUUGAGUGAAAAUCGGUAAGCUAGAAAAUUUAUAGUUUUAGGAUGUCAGAAAGAGAAGAUUCAAAUUUGAGCCAAUAUAGCAAUCCCAACAAUUUUUUUGAUGAUAUGAUACGACGUUUUGAAAGGGUGCUGGAAGAUUUAAAGGAAAAAGUAGAUACGCAGGCAGCUUGGAUGGCACAAAUAGGUCCAGCAAUUGUUAAUCUUAGUAAAGGGCAACCAGUUGAGGGGUCGAAUGCUAGAGGAUCGGAUAGGCGAGAACUUUGGGAGGUAAGUCGUGAGGAGUAUGAUAGUGAUAUGCAUGAUUAUGAGGCCAAUGACGUUGACUUGGAAAAAAGAGAAAUAUGGGUGAUAGGAUAGAAAGGCAGGGUAGGCAUAAUGUUGGAGUUGAUGUAGAUGGUAAUUUGGGAAAUAUUAAAAUAAUGAUACUGCAAUUUAAGUAGAAAAGUGACCGGGAGGCGUACUUAGAAUGGGAAAGGAAGGUUGAAUUGAUUUUUGAGUGUCACAACUAUUUGGAACAGAAAAAGGUGAAAUUAGCGAUUCUCGAAUUAUUGGCUAUGCAAUAUCUUGGUGGGAUCAGGUGGUUACUUUAGGCAUGGAGGGAGACCAAUUACUUAUUGGGAUGAGUUGCAGACGUUAAUGAGAAAACAAUUUGUUCCUAAUCACUAUUAUAGUGAGAUCCAUGAAAGGUUGCAAAGCUUGUAUCAAGGGUCAAAGAGUGUAGAAGAUUACCAUAAGGAAAUGGAGAUGCUUAUGAUUAGGGCGAUGUAGUAGAGGAUCGGGAAGCUACUAUGUUACAAUUCUUAAAUGGGUUAAAUAGUGAGAUUACUAAUGCAGUUGAAUUGCAGUACUAUGUAGAAUUAGAGGAUACGUUGCACGUUUCCAUGAAGAUGGAGAGGCAAUUGAAGAGCAAGGGGACAACUAGGCAACCAAUAGGUAUUUUAGGUUCUAAUUCAUCUUGGAAACCAAUGUGGGAUAAUAACAAAGGUGAUAGGGCUGUACCUAAAGGUAGGAAUGAUUGGCAAAGGGGAAAAGACGAAAGCGCUUGCAAAAUAAUACUAAAAUCGGAGUCGCAACCAUCAAGAAGUAGAGACAUCAAGUGCUUUAGAUGUUUGGGGUUGGGGCACAUCGCUUCGCAAUGCCCAAAUAAGAGGGCAAUGGUGUUGUGGGAUAAGAGAGAGGUAAGCAAAAGUGAAGGUGAUUAUGAUGACAUGCAGGCCUUGGAAGAGGUUAGUGAUGGGGAAAAUUUUGAAGGAGCCAUUGGGGAUUUACUUGCUGAAAGGAGAGAUCUUACUACUCACAUUAAGACGGAUGACUUGGAGUUGCAACGGAAAAACAUCUUCCACACUCGAUGCCACGUGAAAAAUAUGGUAUGUUGUGUAAUUAUUGAUAGUGGUAGUUGCACAAAUGUAGCUAGCGUAGAAUUUGUAGAAAAGUUAAAUUUAACAUUGUUGAAGCAUCCUAGGCCAUAUAAAUUGCAAUGGCUAAAUGAAAUUGGAGAAGUUAGGGUCAAUAAAAUGAUGUUAAUAAAUAUAUCAAUUGGUAGUUAUCAGGACGAAGUAAUAUGUGAUGUAGUACCGAUACAAGCAGCGCAUAUCUUAUUGGGGAGACCAUGGCAAUAUGAUAGGAAAGCUAUGCAUGAUAGGUAUAGAAAUCGCUACAGUUUCUUCGAGGAUGGUAGGACUAUCACUCUUGUACCAUUAACACUGACGCAAGUCCAUGAAGACCAAAUCAAGUUAAGGAAUGAGGAAGAGAGGAGAGUGAGUUGAAAAAAGGGGAGAACUGUAUAAACAAGAAAAAUAGAGUGAAAAUUGUAAGAUCGUGAGCGAGAGAGAAAAUUGUGAGGUGGCUAUUAGAGAGAAAAAGAGAGAAGAGCCAUAAGAUAGAAAAGAAAGAGAGUCUUUCGAGAGAAAAGAAAAAUCAUGAGAGAAUUUCUUUGCAAAAGAGAGUGAGUUGAGGAGGGUAAUAAUCGAGAGGAGAGAGAUGUUUUUAUUGUUGUACAAGAAAACACUCCUCCAUUAUGAGGAAGCUAACACCACCUCUCUAGUUUGGCUAAAAUUGUUUUGCAGGAAUUCCAAGACGUAUUCUCGAAGGAAAUACCGAGUGGAUUGCCACCCAUUCAGUGAAUUGAACAUCAAAUUGAGUUCAUACCUAGAGCAGUUAUUCCGAAUCAACUAGCUUAUCGGAGUAAUCUUGAGGAGACCAAGGAGCUUCAGAGGCAAGUGGAGGAGUUGAUGGGAAAAGGCUAUGUUCGGGAAAGCUUGAGUCCGUGUGCCGUUCCAGUGUUGUUGGUACCAAAGAAAUAUGGGACAUGACGAAUGUGCGUGGAUUGCAAAGCCAUCAACAAUAUUACGAUAAAGUAUCGUCACCCUAUUCCUAGGUCAGAUGAUCUGUUAGAUGAGUUGUAUGGUGCAUAUGCUUUUAGUAAGAUAGACCUUAAAAGUGGGUACCAUCAAAUUUGUGUGAGAGAAGGUGAUGAAUGGAAAACGGCAUUUAAAACUAAAUAUGGUAUAUAUGAAUGGUUAGUUAUACCUUUUGGACGCACAAAUGCAUCGAGCACUUUUAUGUGCUUAAUGAACCAUGUUUUACGUGCUUUCAUUGGAAAAAUUUGUUGUAGUAUACUUUGAUGAUAUCUUAAUCUAUAACAAAAAUCUUUAUGAGCAUGUGGGAUAUUUACGUUGUGUGCUGGUAGUAUUAAGAAAGGAACAAUUGUAUGCUAACUUAAAAAAGUGUACAUUUUGCAUGAAAAAGCUAUUAAAGUAGACGAUGAGAAAAUUAAAGCUAUUAAAGAUUGGCCUACAUCUAAAAGCAUAACUGAAGUUAGGAGUUUCCAUGGAUUGGCUAGUUUUUAUAGGAGAUUUGUAAAAAAACUUUAACACAAUCACUACAUCACUUACAGAGGUAGUUAAGAAAAAUGUGGAUUUUCGUUGGAGCGAUGAACGGGAAUAUGAAUUCAACACUAUUAAGCAAUGUUCUAAAUAGCGUAAUGCGUGGUGAUGCUCGACCCCAAGCUAAGGGCUAUGCGAGAUUAAGCGAGGCAAAUGCGUAAAAAAGUGUUAAAAAGAAUUUUCUUAUUUUAAUAUUAUUUUUAAUUUUUAAUCAAUAAAAAAUUUAUUUAAUAAUUAUUAAUUAUACAUACUAAACAUCCAAAAUAGAUUUAUAAAAACUUCAUAAAUUUUUUUCAAAAUUUUCAACAAAAAGAUAAGUUCCAAAUUUAAACAAAAGUAGCAUAAGAACUUAAAUCCUAUCCAACUCUUUAUCAGACUCCUAUUCAAUAUCAUCAUCUUCAUCUAAUUCAUCCACCGUGUCGUCUGAUACAAAAUCCUCCUCGUCAAGCUCCCUCAUAUCAUUCUGAGCAUUUCUAUCUCUUGAUGAAGGUUGUAAGAUUUUAUUUUCCACCCAAUCAUACUCCUCCUCACAACCCUCAACAAUCCAAGAUUGUGCAUUAGUUGCAUCACUUUCUAAUAGAGUCUCUAUUUUGCCCUUUUUCUUCUUCAUGUUUGCCAACCUUGCAUUAAAUUGGACAUAAAUCAGAUUGUUUAUCUUGGUAGUGUCAAGUCUAUUCAUCGCUCAUUAGUAAGUAAAAUGUAACAACCUAAUAAAUACUUACCCCUUCAAAAGAACUCCAAUUUCUUUCACAACCGAAUGAACUAGUAGUCAAACCAAGUAUCCUUUUUGCCACGGUCUUCAAAUUGGGUGUUUCAUUCCCAUAAAAAUCCCACCAACUCACUAAUAAAUGAAAGUAAAAAGUAAGUUAUUUAAUAUUUAUAAAAUCAGAUAUAAAUUAUUGAUAUGAGAGAGAGUAAUAUGUUAACAUACCCGGUUUAUAAUUUUCAUCAUUGUUCUCACAUGCACUUAUUGCAAGCCUCCUUCCAAAUGAACCUUCCUUUUGGACAUAUCUUUGCAACUCAAUAUUUAUCACAUGAUGUUGCAUUUGAUCAUUAGGAAAGAAUUUCUCAACACAAGCAAUCAAAUUAUUUAUCAUGAAUGAAUCAUCUUUGAUACAUGGAUUCUUGAAGAAAUAGAAUGGAUUCAAAAAAUAAGCCGUUGUAUGAAGUGGACUAUCAAGGCGACCUUUACUUUUAACAUCAAUAAUGUCCAAGAUUGGCCUAUAAUCACAUUCCCUCUUCAAUAUGUUCGCAAUGUCAUCCUUUGCCUUUAGUAGCUCUCCAUAAACAAAGCCUAUUGAAGGCUUUUCUUCCCCAUCAACAAGUCUAAGAACUUUCAAUAGUGGAGUGAAUACCUUCAAACACAAGUCUAUCAUGUUCCAAAAAUCGUUCGGAACAAUAAUAUCAAAUGCCUCUUUUCCCUUUUUAGACUUAGACCAUUUCAUGUUAUCCCAUUCAUUGCUAGUCAUCAUACUUCUCAACUCUUGUUUUUUAUCAAGCAAGCUUUGCAAUGUCAAGAACGAGGAUGCAAAUAUAGUGACUCCUGGCCUAACUAUCUCUCUUUUUGUGAACUUUCUCAUCAAUGCCAAAGUCUUGUGAUGUGCAUAAAUGAAAAUAGUGAAUGAUUUUCCCUUGUUAAUCACUCCCUUGAAGUUGGGAAGUUUAGAGAUUCCUUCAAGCAUAAGGUUUAAAGUGUGAGUGGCACAUGAUGUCCAAAAUAUGUUAGGCCUUUGUAAUUCUAACAAUUUUGCGGUGGCCAUAUUAUUGGAAGCAGUAUCGGUUAUAACUUGAACCACAUUUUCAACCCCAACCUCUUUAAUAUAAUCAUUGACAUAGUCAAAUAUAUAUUGACCUGUAUGAGCAUCAUUUGAAGCUUCCUUUGAAGAAAUAAAUGUGGUCCCCAAUUUACAAUUAACACAAAAAUUCAUGAUGCUUCUUCUUUUUCUAUCACUCCAAGCAUCAGUUAUGAUUGAACACCAUUAUUUUCCACUCUUCUUCUUGCUUCUUUAAAGUUUCUUUUGUCCUCUCCACCUCUCCCUUCAAUAGUGGCUCCCUUAAUUGGUACUGGAAAGGAGGAAUGUAACUCGGUCCAUAUUGACCAAGAGCUUCAACAAAUAAUUUAAAACUAUCAUUAUCAAUGGCAUUGGAAGGAACUCCGGCUUCAUAAAUCCACCUUGCUAAAUAUCAAUGAACCUCUAAUAACCUUUUUUUAGCUAUUGCAUCAUUCAUAUUUUGUUGUCACAAUUUCUUAUUUGAACUCAUGAAGUAUCAUUGACAUUGAUAGACCUUGCAAAUUGAUCCAUAGGUCCCACAUUAAUAGGCCUUUUCCUAAUCCCUCGUUCAAUAAUAGCAAUUUCAUCUUCUUCCUCACCUAUUGUAGGCAAAGAUAUAUUCACAUCUUCCCUCAACUUAGCAUCAUUCAAUAUCUUCUCUAUUUUUUUAGACUUUGUCCCUUGAAUUGCCUCAACACACUUAGCUUUUUGUUCUUGACUUGCUUUAGGACAUGAUGCCACACCUCUUUCCUUUAUCCCUGCUAUGUGAAAUUUAUGCCUAGAAAUUCCUCCCUUAGUAACCUUAUCACAUAAUAUGCAUUCCACAUUAUUGAGAUUGGAUGUAUCUACCAAAAUCGUGGUUUCCUAUCCAACAUUUUCGGAAUCCCUUUUGAGUUUACUAGCUUUUGAUAUGGUUGAAGAAUCACUUUCUUCCAUUGGUUCCUAAAAAAUAGAAACCAUAUAAAAUUUAUAAAAAUUGGGGUUCAAUGUACUAAAAAUUCAUGAAUCAAUUCAAUACUAUAAUGACCACAAUUCACAAAAACACUAACAAAUUCAUGACACGUUUAUCCACCUACCAAUCCCAUUUGAUAUGGAAAAAGAAUUGGUAAAAAUUAAAAUUGAUAGUGUACAGCAAACGGAAAACCCCACUGUGACUCCAUUAACUCAUUAGCCAGAACUUCAUUAACUCUCUAGUCACUAGAGAAAACCCCACUAUCUCUUCCAUAAUUCCAUUAACUCAUUAGCUACAGUGAAAAUCAAGUACAAUUAACAUACAAAAAGUUUGUGUGCUAGCCCACAAUUCUGUCACUCCCACCGUCCCACUUCAAGAACUCGCCCCCAACCUCUACUGACCUAGGUCUCUCUCUCUCUUUUCUCUCUCACACAAAUGGGCCAUAGCUAUCAAUUCUCAAUUCUUCGAUGUCCAUCUUGAUUGUAAUGAUUCAUUCUAAUUCCACACUAAUAUUUCAAUUUGAAGAUAUUUUUGCCUCAAAGAAAAUAAAAAAAUCUACUAAUUCUUCAACAAACAAUGGUUUCCCAUUUUUCGACAGACUUACCAGCAUGUAGAAACUGAAAAUUGCUUGUUGAAGUCGACCGACCAAGCAAGCAACUGUUGGAAGAGAGUACCGAGAUGUUGGAGAGGAAUUUUUGGGAGCUUCAGCCUUCAGUCGUCUCUUCUAUUCUAGUGCUCUGAAAAUUGGGCAAGUAAAUGGUAAUUCAUUGAGUUUAAACUUUAAAAGAAGCGUAAUUUUUUUAACAAAAAAAAUGAUAAUGUGCGCCUUGACGCAAUAAUGAGCGCCAAGGCGUGAAAUAAUAAUUUUUUAAUAAAAAAAUGAUAAUGCACGCCUUGGCGCAAUUAUGUGCGCCAAGGCGUGAAAUAGCGAUCAACACAAAACGUUGACCGCUAAAUUACAUGCCUUGACCCUUUGCUUAGCAUUUUGCUUCCGCGUCGCACCUAGAUGCGCCUUUUAGAACACUGCUAUUAAGGAUAAAUUGUGUAAAACACCUGUUUUAGCGUUACUUUAUUAUAACAAAACUUUUAAGAUUGAGUGUGAUGCAUCAGGGAUAGGUAUUGAAGCAGUUUUAAUGCAGGACAAAAGAUCGAUAGCCUAUUUUAGUGAGAAGUUAAGUGGAACUGCAUUGAAUUAUCCAACAUACGAUAAGGAGCUAUAUUCGCUUAUUCAGGCAUGGGAGAUUUAGCAGCAUUAUUUAUGACCAAAGGAAUUUGUUAUUUACACUAAUCACGAGUCAUUGAAACACUUACGGGGUCAAGAAAAGUUGAACAAGAGGCAUGCCAGAUGGAUGGAGUUUAUUGAAACAUAUCCAUACGUCAUCAAAUAUAAGCAAGGUAAAGAAAACAUAGUGGCAUAUGCGUUGUCUCGAAGGUAUACAUUGCUAACUUUUCUUGGUUCUAAAUUGUUUGGUUUUGAACACAUUAAGGCAUUGUAUGAAAAUGAUGUAGGUUUUUUUGAAAUUUAUGCUUCUUGUGAUAAAAGGGCUAUUGACAAAUUCUUUAAACAUGAGGGUCAUUUAUUUCGGGAAAAUAAAUUGUGCGUACCUAAUUGUUCAAUACGAGAGUUAUUGGUGGGAGAGGCUUAUAGUGGUGGACUUAUGGGGUACUUUGGGAUACAAAAGACCUUAGAGAUGUUAGGUGAGCAUUUCUAUUGGCCUAAGAUGAAAAGGGAUGUUGAAAGAGUUUGUAGUCGAUGUAUAACUUGCAAACGUGCUAAGUCUCGAGUUUUACCUCAAGAACUAUACACACCAUUACCUAUACCUAGUGAGCCUUGGGUUGAUAUUUCAAUGAAUUUUGUUUUGGGUUUACCUAGGACUAAGAAAGGACGGGAUUUAAUUUUUGUGGUGGUAGAUAGUUUGGUAAAAUGACGCACUUUAUACCAUGUCACAAAACCAACAAUGCCACACAUAUAGUUGGCUUGUUCUUUAAGGAAGUAGUACGUGUGCAUGGGAUUCCAAAGAGUAUAGUAUUGGACAGGGACAAUAAAUUUUUAAGUCACUUUUGGCGAGUUUUGUGGGGUAAGUUAGGCACAAAAUUGUUAUUUUCUACAACCUGUCACCCACAAACCGAUGGACAAACUGAAGUAGUCAAUAGGACGAUGAUUCAAUUGUUGCAUACGGUAAUUAACGAGAACUUGAAAAAUUGGGAAGAUUCUUUACCUUUCAUUGAAUUUGCUUAUAAUCGUGCUACUCAUUCUACUACUUCGUUCACUCCGUUUGAAAUUGUUUAUGAUUUUAAUCAACUAACACCGUUAGAUUUAAUUCCAUUACCUGUGAAUGAAUGAGGUAGUCUAGAUGGUAAAAAGAAAGUAGAAUUGGUGAAAACACUUCAUGAGAAGGUAAAGUUGCAGAUCGAAAACAAGAGCAAGCUUGUUGCGUCACAGGCAAACAAAGGGAGAAAAGGCGUGACAUUUGAACCAGGAAAUUGGGUUUGGGUGCACUUCAGGAAGGAGCAUUUUUCGGAUCAAAGGAAAUCAACUCUUCAGCCACGAGGAGAUGGUCCAUUUCAAGUCAUCGAGAAGAUCAACGACAAUGCUUACAAGCUAGAUCUUCCAGGUGAGUAUAAUGUUUCAGUAACUUUUAAUGUAUCUGAUCUCUCUCUCUCUCUUUCUCUUUGAUGCAGGUUCAGAUUCAAGGAUGAAUCCUUUUGAAGAGGGAGGGGAUGAUGUGAUCCAGGAGUCGAGCUCGACAAAGAUAAGUGCAGAACGAGACCCGUUGAUAAUCGAAGGUAGACCAAUGACGUGAUCGAGAACAAAGCGAGUGAAAUAAGCGAUGGGGUGCUAGUUCAAUCAACUGUUGAUGGGACGAUGUUUGGGAUGCAACACGAGGCAACUUUCAUGUUCGGGUCGAGAGUCGAAUCAAAGAGAAUCAACUCAAUACAAGCGGAUGAAGAUGGAGGCCGAAUGAGCAACCAUGCGGUUGCAUGGUUGUAAUGUGCAUGCGGCCCACGCACCCAUGUAGGGAAUUCCAGGUGGCAAUGGAAUUGUGCCAUGAGGUCAUAGCCUUAACACCAUAUGGUCGCAUGGUAAAAAUUUUGGGUGAAAGUUUCCUUUUUCCAGAUUUUCCUUAUUUUGUUAAAUUUUUAAGUUUUGUAAGAUUCUUGUUUCUUUGACUUAUAAUUCUCGAAAUUUUACUUGAUUUUGUUACUUUGACUUAUAAUUCUCAAAAUUUUACUAGAUUUUAGGGUUUUUGGCAAUUAGUAUAAAUAGGAUAUAUCUCCUUCAUUGUGAUUUUUUUACAAGACAUUUUAUACAUUAUUUGAGAGAAUUUUAAUAGAGAGACUAUUGUGCUUUCUUCUUCAUUCUUCAUUGAUCGAUUGGAACUUAUUAAGGAUUAUAAUUCUUGUGGUGUUCUAUAACUCGGGUACGAGUCUUGAAUUGUGUAAUCAAGGGGUCCUUCACGCAACAUUCUUGCUUGGUUUGUUGGUUCACUAGUUUGGGGCUCAAUCUCUAAACCUCUAAUUUGGCUUUUCUGGGUUGUGGAACAAUCUUGCUGUGGGUUUCGUAGUCAACGCUGCUAUGGGGUUCGCAUCACGUUUCCCCUACUAUCACUGCAUUUGUUUAGAGAAAGAGAAUAGAGAUGGGGAAGUGGGCUGAAAUUAGGGUUUGAAAUUGGUGGAUAUAUUUAUUAAUACCUGAUUUAUGAAUAAUAAAAUUGACCCCUUGAUUUUUGAAUUCUAAUCUAUAAACACUUGGAAUUUUGUAAUUUCCUCAAUUCAAAGCCUAGUUUAGAGAGGUUAAAACAAUACAUAGCCAAACCACCAAUUAUCCCUCAAAAAAUCCUCCAAAUAAUAAAUGAGUUAAGAGACAAUAUUGACAUCUAGAAAGGGAUAAAUACUACUAUAACUUACCUACCUGCUUGUUUUUAUGAAAUAGAACGUGUAGUUCAAUAUAUAUUGAGAAGUAUGCAUGGUAAAUAAUGACUUGGACAAGGUCGCAGAAUUCGUUACCGCACGAAACACAUCAUCACCUUUUACUUCAUGUGCCUGCCAUGACAAAUUACAAACUUUAGUUAAUGUGAUAAUUAAUACAAAUUAUCUCAGUUGGGUUGUGCAACCAAUAGUUACGUAUACAUGCUUAGGUUUUCCCUCCUAUAUGAUCAAGUAAACAAUCUGACAUGGAAAGUAACAGAAAAGGAAGAAAAUGUAAGAUAAAAGUUUCAUGAACUCAUUGGAACAAAGAAAUCAACACAGGGAGAAACUAAAUGAACUGACAAAGAAUGACACAGAAAGAAAUCAACAGAUAAGUCAAUCUUGUUGAAUUCAAAUUAGAGCUCCAAGAACUCUGCUUCAUACCUCCAGCCAAAUAGAAAUGGUCUCGAUUCCAAUAAAGAGGCGUUGGCCAUGAAGAUGGUGUCUCCGUUCUUCACAGCCUGCAAAAGAGUUUAAAUUAAUGUAGCAUCUGAUUAAUUGCUAUAAUAAAAAAUAGAGUGCAUUCAUGCAACUGUAGAGCUAAACAUCUGCCGAGUGAAUUUACAAUGGAUGUUAAGUACCCUGAAAAACAUAAACAUUGAAAAUGACAAUUUUUAAUGCUUUGGUCAAAAUUAAGUCUUGAGUUUUACAAGAAAAAUAUGAAAAGUGAGGCACUAACAUGUAUCUCAAUUCAUACAAAAAAUUGUGAGAAUGCUAUAUCCUGGCAAAAUAAGUGAUAAAUAACUACAUGGGAGAGUAUCUACAAUAAUUUCAACAUUAUAAGGAUGAAGCAUUUCUAUUGAAGUAAAUACAUGUAGCUCUUUGACUUUUUCGAUGUUAUUCAUAAACAUUUGUGAAGCAAUAGUACUACUGUGCUCAAACCCUUGCCAUGUUAUGAAACAAAGGAAACUCAAAAAAGAAAAAAUAAAUCAAAUAAUUAUGCUUAAGGCUAGGAGCAUUUAAAUCAUGAAGUGUUUGGCAAAGCUGAUUGGCAGAACUUCGGAGGAUGGUUCGUGGCCUUGAUCAAGCUGUCAGAAUAAACUUGUCUUCUGCCUUAAGUUUUAUAUCACCAUGGUAUCUAGCAUAACCUGAAACAAGUUGAUAAUCAACUUGCACGUAGUUCAGUCGAAAAAUAAAUAGUCUUCAUGUCUCUUAUCUGUUUAUACCAAAACCUUUAGUUUAAUUUUGAAUUUGCUAAGUCCAAAUUUACAAUUAACAAUUUUCAAAUUUUAAUUGAAAAUUUUCUUAGUCAAAAUCAAGUUUUAGUUGAAUUAUAUUAGGAGUUUAUUGAGUUGUAAUCAAAAUCAAAAUAGGAUUUAUUGAGUCCUACUUGUGGUAAAAAUAGUUUGGGGUUGGUAAUGUUGACCUAUGGUUGACUUCACAUUUUGAUUAUAACAAACAAACUACUUAUCACUAACAAUCGCAUUUGAGUGAUUAUAGAAAUUAUGACAAAGCUUGAUCAAUUGAAGACAACAAUAUGAGCAAAUGCAAGACGAGUUGAGUGACAUGACAAAUUCAAGACUUAUACUUCAUCAAGUUCCGACAUUGAAGACAUUAGAUUUAGACUUCUUGAAUUCAAGUGUAAAGUGUAAAAUACUUUAAUAAUAGGCAAUAUCAUUUGAAGCUCAAAAUAAAUCUUUAUGCAUGACGAAAGACAACAUUUCAAAUACUCUUACAUGCUAAAUUAUUUUUCAAAGGUACAAAUUUUAUUGCAUAUUUGGAAAUGACAAAAACCUUGAAAAAUAAAUAUUAGAAAUAUUCCUAAAACGAUCAUGGACUUUUCCAAACGAUAAAAAGAUAUUUUUUUACGAAAAAUGAUCGUACCGAACACGUCCGGUAAAGCAAUUUUGUCCAAUGGUCCGAAUAAUGACCGUUCUGAUUUCUGACCAAAAACGGCUCAUUGACCGUCCGGUAGGUAUCGGACGUUCAAUAGGUGUCAUCUGGUAGGGCAGAAAUUUUGACGAUUUUACUGCUAUAAAUACCAGAUCAGUUUGCAUUCAAUAUACAACUUCUAAGAGCAUUAAAGUGAGAUUUUCUUGAGCUUAACUAUUAUAUACUUUUUACUCAUUACUUAUCUUUAUCAAUCCAUACUUGAAAAAUCUUUGAAAAUCAUUUUAUCAAAGUUCUUUUCAUAUCUAACACUUGAGCUGCAUUCAUUGCCAUCCAUUAAAGUGUUAGCCUAUUUUUCUCUCAUUAUACUCAACUUUGAAUAUAUUAUUCAUUGACAGAAAAGUUUCAAAUUGUAAACUUAAACUUGUGAGUCGUGUUGAAGUCCUGUAAAGAUCAACAUUGUAAAAGGAUCGGUGCUCCUUAAUUGUAAGUCACCAUAAGCAUUGUAAGGGUUGGAUUACACCAUAAGUCAAUCAAAUAUAGUGAAAAAGGCCUUACUCAUUACGGAGAGCUUGCUAACGGGGGACGUAGAUCGUGAUUGGAUCGAACCUCAUUAUUACAUCGUUUGCACUCUUUUUUCCCUUCUUCUCAUUACUCUUGCAUUAUCUUGUUUAUUCAUUAUUUUGAUAGUCAUUUGCUUAUAUUUGCACUUAUCUUCGAAAAAGUUUUAAAUAAUCAAUUCACCCCCUCUUGGUUAGUUGUUCUUGGGCUUUCAAUUGGUAUCAGAGCUUGGUACUCUUUUUUUAAGAUUCUACAAUCUUGAGUAAAAGGCUAAUCAAGUUUUUCAAAAUAUCGAGCGGCACUCUACAAACUUAACUCCUUUCUUUGAUGGUACACAUUAUAACUAUUGGAAGGCUCGGAUGAUGAUCUAUGUUCAAUCUAUUGAUUACAAUAUUUGGGAAGUUAUAGAAUAUGGUCCAUAUGUUCCCACUAAGACUAUUAAAGUAGAUGGUAGACCAAACCAAACUAUUCCCAAAUCUGGAGAAGAAUAUGAUGAUGAAGAUAAGAGAAAACUAUCAUUAAAUGCCAAGGCAAAAAAUUUACUUUGUUGUGCACUUGAUAGAAAUGAAUUUAAUCGAAUUAGUACAUGUGAUUCGGCAUAUGAUAUUUGUCAUGCUGUUGAAGUUACUCAUGUUGGCACAAGUAAAGUUAAGGAAACAAAGAUAAAUAUGUUAGUUAAAGAAUUUGAAAAUUUCUUUAUGAAACAAAAUGAGCCUAUUGUUGACAUGAUUACUCCUUUUAUCGAUAUUAUGAAUAGUCUUAAAGAUUUUGAUUGUAAAUUUACUAACGGUGAAUUUGUGAGUAAAAUGCUUAGGUCUGUAUCAGAGGAAUGGAGUCCGUUGAGGAUGUUGAUCGAAAAUACUAAGGAUGUAAAUUUAUAUCUGUUGGAAGAGCUCUACGGCACAUUAAUGACCUAUGAGCUAAAUAAUGCCAAGGUUAAGGAGAAAACAAGAAAAUGCAAGGAGGAAUCAAAGGAGCCUCCUAAACAACAAAUUGCAUUAAAAUCAGCAAUUGAAGAAGAAACAUCAAAUGAAAGCAUGAGCAAUGAAGAGUUUGAUGAUUUAGUUCUUCUUGUCAAAAAAUGGAGAGGCUUGCACAAUAAUCGAAUAUUUCAAAAGAAAGAAGAAAGAUAGAAACAAAAAGAUUAUUUGCUAUGAUUGUGACAAGCCGGGUUGCAAGAGAAUUGAGUGUCCAAACAAAAAGAAAAAUUUCAAGAAAAAGGCACCCCAAGUCACAUGGGAUGAUAGCACGAUGAAGAACAAAAUGGGAAUGAUAGUCAAGAUGAAGUGACAAAUAUGUGCUAAAUGGCAAUCGACGAUGAGGUAUGUUCUUAUGAUGGGCUUUCAAAUUCAUAUGAUGAAAUACUUGAAAAUUUUGAAAAACUUGCUUUGAAUCAUGCUAUUCUUAAAAAGAAAACUCUAUUUCAAGAGAAGAAAUCAAGAAAAUUUUGAAAAAACAAAAAGAGAAUAUUGACCAUGAUUUUUUGACAAAAGAAAACAUUUCUAUAAAAGAAAAGGUUAAUGGUUUAACAAAAAUUUUCCAUAAGUUUACCAAAGGUAAGAGAAAUUUUUUUUUUAAUGCUCGUAGCCAAAAGUGCAUUUUUGAUAAAGGGGAAAUUGGAUACAAACCCUCUCUAAAACAAAAAUCAGUCAAAAAUAUAUUUGUUAAGGCUUCAAAUACUUCAUGUAGUUUUUGUAAUAAAAGUGGACAUGUUGCUUUUAAUUGUGUAACUAAAAAGAAAUUAUUCUUGAGAACAAAUACAAGUGGAUACAAGAAUCCACAAAAACUAACUAUCAAGGACCUAAGUUUGUAUUGGUACCAAAAGUCAAAACUUAAUUUGUCUUUGUAGGUACCAAAGAAAAUAAAAAGCAAAUAGUUCUUGGAUAGUGGAUGCUCAAAGCAUAUGACCGGAAAUCAAUUAUUAUUAUCAAACUUCCAAGAGAAGGAUGAAGGCCAUGUGACCUUUGGAGAUAAUGCCGAAGGUAAAAUAAUCGGCAUUGAAAACAUAGGUAACCACUCCUUGCCCUCUAUCAAAAAUGUUUUAUUUGUUGAUAACCUUAAACAUAAUUUACUAAACAUUAGUCAAUUAUGUGACGAAGGAUAUAACAUAAAAUUCAAUUCUACCAAAUGCCUUAUUAAGGAUGCUAUAUCUAAAGAGGUGAUUUUCAUAGGAAGCCGAAGUAAAAAUGUUUAUAUUAUAAACAUCGAAUUUGAAAAUAAUGAAAAGUGUUUACUUAGUUUGAAAGAAGAAUCAUGGUUAUGGCAUAGAAGACUUGGACAUGUAAACAUGGAUCUUCUUCCAAAAAUUUCUUAAAAUUGUUUUGUAAAAGAUUUACCAAAUUUAAAAUUUGUGAUGCUUGUCAAUUUGGAAAACAAAUCAAAACUUCUUUCAAAUCAAAACUUUACACUUCAACUACAAAACCUUUAAAACUUCUCCAUAUGAAUCUUUUUGGAUCUUUUAGGACUGCUAGCUUAGGAGGUAAAUAUUAUGCUAGUUAUUGUCGAUGAUUUUUCAAGAUUUACUUGUGUUAUAUUUUUAAGCUUAAAAGAAGAAGUUUUGAAAACUUUUGAACAUUUUUGUAAGAAAGUUGAAAAUGAAAAAGGCUAUUCUAUUAUAACUAUUAGAAGUGGCCAUGGUGGGGAAUUUGAUAAUGUUGUCUUUGAUGAUUUUUGUAAAGAACAUGGAUAUGAACACAACUUUUUGGCUCCUAGAACACCUCAACAAAAUGGUGUCGUACAUUACAAGAAAUGGCUCAGACUAUGUUAAAUGAAAAUAAUUUGCCUAAAUAUUUUUGGGCCGAUGCCAUUAAUACCGCUUGCUACAUCAUUAAUAGAGUUUUAGUAAGCAAAAAUAAAACUAAAACUCCUUACGAGCUUUGGAAAAAUAGAAUUCCAAAUAUUAGUUAUUUCAAAGUUUUUGGGUGUAAAUGUUUUAUUUUAAAUACGAAAGACAAUUUGGGAAAAUUCGACUACAAAACCGUUGUUGGAAUUUUCCUAGGAUAUUCAUCGACUAGCAAAGCAUAUAGAGUUUUUAACAAACGAACUAUAGUCGUUAAAGAAUCCAUGCAUGUUACCUUUGAUGAAACUAACUCAUUUGAUCGAGAGAAAGGUGGUGAUGAUGAUGUAGGUUUGGAAGCCCCCUUUGAACAAAUGAAAAUUCAAGAUCAAAAUAAGGAGGCAUGAAAUGAAAAAAAAUAGAAGAGUCAAAUGCUCAAGAGAAUGAAGAAAGACAAAUUGAAGAACAAAGUGAUCCCCCGUUGCCAAAAGAAUGGAGGUUUGUUCCAUCUUAUCCCAAAGAGCUAAUAAUUGGCGAUCCAUCAAAAGGUGUCACUACUAGAACCUUUCAUAAAAAUCAUUUUAGUAGUUGUGCAUUUAUUUCUCACAUCGAACCUAAGAAUUUCAAAGAAGCCGAGUUUGAUGAGUUUUGGAUUCUAGGGAUGCAAGAAGAAUUAAAUUAAUUUGAAAGAAACCAUGUUUGGAACUUAGUCGCUAGACCAAACAAUCAAACCGUUAUUGAAACAAAAUGGGUAUUUAGAAACAAAAAAGAUGAAAAUGGAAUAAUUGUGCUAACAAGGCUAGAUUAGUGGCCCAAGGUUAAAAUCAAGAAGAAGGUAUCGAUUUUGAAUAAAUAGUUGUACCCGUAGCAAGAUUGGAAUCCAUUCCUAUGCUUAUUGCAUUUGCAUGUUACAAAGGUUUUACACUUUAUCAAAUGAAUGUUAAAAGUGCAUUUUUAAAUGACUUUAUUCAAGAAGAAGUUUUUGUUGAGCAACCACCUGAUUUUAAAUAUCACAAGUUUCUGGAUCACGUAUUUAAACUUAAAAAGUCUCUUUAUGGUUUGAAACAAGCUCCUAGAGCCUGGUAUGAACGUUUAAGCAAAUUUCUUCUCUCAAAUGGUUUUUCGAUUGGAAAAGCGGAUACUACACUUUUUGUAAAAAAUCAUAAGGAUGACAUGCUCAUUGUUCAAAUUUAUGUUGACGAUAUCAUUUUUGGUGCUACAAAUGAUCAUCUUUGUGAAGAUUUUUCAAAUUGCAUGAGUAAAGAAUUUGAAAUGAGCAUGAUGGGUGAAUUAAAAUUCUUUCUUGGACUUCAAAUUAAACAAACAAAAGAAGGGAUUUUCUUAAAUCAAAAUAAAUACAUAUUAGACAUGCUUAAGAAAUUUGAUAUGCAUGACAUUAAACCUAUGAACACUCCAAUGAGCUCGUCCCUAAAGCUUGAUAAAGAUGAGCAAGGCACAUACAUGGAUGUCACAAAAUAUCGAGGUAUGAUCGGAUCUCUUCUUUAUUUAAUUGCUAGUAGGCCUGAUAUUAUGUUUAGUGUUUGUUUAUGUGCUCAUUUUCAAUCUAAUCCUAAAGAAUCACACUUAAAGGCCGUAAAAAGAAUUUUUCGUUAUGUAGGUGGAACUAGGACUUUAGGACUUUGGUAUCCAAAAGUAUUCACAUUGACUUAAUAAAUUAUUCGGAUGUCGAUUGGGCCGGAUGUAAUGUUGAUCGUAAAAGCACGAGCGAAAAUUAUCACUUUUUAGGCUUUGCACUUGUAUCUUGGUCUAGUAAGAAACAAAACUCUAUUGCACUAUCCACCGUCGAGGCAAAAUACAUUUUGGCUGCAAGUUGCUAUGCACAAAGACUUUGGAUGAAACAAAUUCUAUGUGAUUAUCAUUUGACUAAUGAUCAUGUGCCCGUCUUAUGUGAUAAUACUGGUACCAUAAAUUUGUCUAAAAAUCCUGUCUUACAUUCACGAACUAAGCAUAUUGAGAUUCAACACCAUUUUCUUCAUGAUCACGUACAAAAGGAGAUAUAGAAUUAGAAUUUAUCAAGACUGAGGACCAAUUCGUUGAUAUUUUUACUAAACCUCUCGCACAAGAAUGUUUUUCAUAUAUUCGAAGAGGAUUGGGGAUUAUCGAUGAAAAUGAAGUGAACGAAGUUUGAAAAUUUUUAUGUUUUUUUUUUAAUUUUUAAAUUUUACGUCACAAAUAUUGACCUUUAAAAAAAAGGUGGAAGCAAAAAAACCUACUAGAUCGUCCGGUACAUACCGGACAAGCCUAUAGGACGAUCCGAUACCAAGCCUUCUUUGACAGCAAAAUCUUUUAUCGUAGCAAACGAAUCCGGUACCUAUAUCGGACGUCUGAUAGAACGAAAUUUCUUUUAAAAUGCGAACUGAAGCACUUCUCUCUCAUUUUCUUCCUCCUUUCUCAACUUUCUCUGCCUCAAAUCCUUCCUCCAAACUCAAAUUUACUUCACACCAUAUCAUUUCUUCCAUUAAACCACAAUUUCAUGACUUCUCCACCUUAAUUUAUCCGAAAACCUACACAUAAUCUCCUAAUUUGCAGUGUUUUUUCCCAAAUCCAAGCCCUAAUUUCAAAAUUUUCAAAACUUUUCAAAUUCUUCCCAUGACGGGCACUAAGAGGAUUGGCAAGAGGUUGAAGCAGAUGGCUAGACACUCUCCAUCCCCUUCUUCGGACGAAGAUGCGAAUUUGGAGACUGAGGUGGCAGGGAAUCCCUUUGAGAAAUCCACCGUUCUAUUAGGUAAAAACAUUGAUUUUUUGGAUUUUUCUAUUGAAGCCCUGCUUUUCAUAUUGAGGAAUUUUUUGAAAAUAUGGGAUGGACUUCGGUAUGUACUUUAGAAGAAAAUACCUACCCCCAACUUAUGAAGGAUUUUUACAAAAAGAUGGUUAUUACUCCCGGUUUGGAUAGAAUAUCUUGUUUAGUUAAAAAUGUGCAUGUCACCAUUGAUAAAGCUCUAAUUAGACAACUUCUUCAUCUUGAACCAUGUGAUAUCCAAGUGUUUGCUUAUAAAGCACAUUCGAAUAGGGAUAGUUACAACUCAAGUGAUGCAUGCCGUCGUGUGACGGGAAAAGAUUUUGAAAAUUUUACCAAAAUUAGAGCUAAUCAACUCACCCUACCUUGUAAAGUGUUGCAAAAUAUCAUUGCAAAUGUUAUUCUGCCAAGGAAAGGGCAUCGGGAUGAAGUUAAUUAUUUUGACAUAUUUAUUCUUGAUUCUUUCCUUGUUGGUCGUAAAUUAGUUUUUUUGACUAUUGCCUUAGGUCUUAUGAAACUUAUCCACACUUCCCGUUAUGCCAAAGCUUUGCCUUACAGAAUGCUUUUAACAAAAAAAUUUAAACACUUCAAUGUCCCUCUUGAUGGUGAAUCCGUUAUAAAACCUCACCCCACUGAUGCCAUCAAUAUUCAAACUCUCAAAUGGAUGAAGAUUUAUAAAACACAAGGCCAAUGGGUGGCUUGCACCAAAGGGUUCUAACCCACCUCGGGUCCAUCUACACUACCUUUCGAAGUGCAAGAAAAAGCAAAUGACAAUGUUCCAUUACCUUCGCAUCUACCUUCCAUUCAACCCUCGGGUGGAUCUUCCUAUCAUCGUGGUUUCACUUUCACCAAGGAUCAUUACAACCUUCUCAAUGGGCGCCUCGACUCACUCACUUCAUCAAUUCAUCAAAUUCAAGCUCGACAGGACGCCAUUCUUGCACAACAGGCAAAGAUGCACGCUCAGCAGAACGCCUUCUUUGAAUACUUCUACGUACAGUUUCCUCCGCCGCCUCCUUCGGCGCCUUAGUACUUGUCUUUGAAGUCUUUCCCUUAUCAAAUCUACUUUGAUGCUUUUAAACGCUCAUCUUGAUAUUUUUGACUUGUGAAGUUAUAUUUUGAUGCUUUGUCUUCUACUUAAUGACAAUGCCUAUGGUAAUGCUUGAUAUACUUACAUUUUUUUUUUCAAUUGUUCAUUUUCGCUUAUGCCAAAAGGGGAAAAUUAUUUUGAGAUGAUAAUAUGCAUUUUUGUACAUGAAAGGGGGAAUACAUGUAUGAACGAUAGGGGAAAUUAUUCGUUAGCAUGUGCUUUUCAAUUAUCAACAUUCCUAUAUAUUAUCUCUUGUUUGUCAUAAUCAAAAAGGGGAAAAUUGUUGACCUAUGGUUGACUUCACGUUUUGAUUAUAACAAACAAACUACUUACUCACUAACAAUCGCAUUUGAGUGAUUAUAGAAAUUAUGACAAAGCUUGAUCAAUUGAAGACGACAAUAUGAGCAAAUGCAAGACGAGUCGAGUGGAAUUGACAAAUUCAAGACUUAUACUUCGUCAAGUUCUGACAUUGAAGACAUUAGAUUUAGACUUCUUGAAUUCAAGUGCAAAGGUAAAACGUUUGAAUAAUUGGCAACGUCAUUUGAAGCUCAAAAUAAAUCUUUAUGCAUGAUGAAAGACAACGUUUCAAAUACUCUUACAUGCUAAAUUAUUUUUCAAAGGUACAAAUUUUAUUGCAUAUUCGGAAAUGACAAAAGCCUUGAAAAAUAUGUAUUAGAAAUAUCCCUCAAAUGAUCAUGGACUUUUCCAAACGAUAAAAGAUAUAUUUUAUGAAAAAUGAUCGUACCGAACGCGUCCGGUAUUUCUAGCGAACAUCCGAUAAAGCAGUUUUUGUCCAAUGGUCCAAAUAAUGACCAUUCUGAUUUCUAACCAAAAAUGGCUCGUUGACUGUUCGGUAGGUAUUGGAUGUCCAAUAGGGGUCAUCCGGUAGGACAGAAAUUUUGAUGGUUUUACUACUAUAAAUAUCAGAUCAGUUUGCAUUCAAUAUACAACUUCUAAGAGCAUUAAAGUGAGAUUUUCUUGAGCUUAACUAUUAUAUACUUCUUACUCAUUAUUCAUCUUUAUCAAUCUAUACUUGAAAAACCUUUUAUUGAUUUAACCUUUGAAAAUCAUUUUAUCAAAGUUCUUUUCAUAUAUAACACUUGAGCUUCAUUCAUUGCCAUCCAUUAAAGUCUUAGCCUAUUUUUCUCUCAUUAUACUCAACUUUGAAUAUAUUAUUCAUUUAGAGAAAAGUUUCAAAUUGUAAACUUAAACUUGUGGGUCGUGUUGAAGUCCCGUAAAGAUUAACAUUGUGAAAGGAUCGGUGCUCCUUGGUUGUAAAUCACCGGAAGCAUUGUAAGGGUUGGAUUGCACCAUAAAUCAAUCAAAUAUAGUGAAACAUGCAUUGCUCGUGACGGAGAGCUUAGUAACGGGGGACGUAAAUCGUGAUUGGAUCGAACCUCCUUAUUACAUCGUUUGCACUCUCUUUUCCCUUCCUCUCAUUACUCUUGUAUUAUCUUGUUUAUUCAUUGUUUUGAUAGUUAUUUGCUUAUAUUUGCACUUAUCUUCGAAAAAGUUUUAAAUAACCAAUUCACCCCCUCCUGGUUAGUAAUUCUUGGGCUCUCAGGUAAUAUAGUCCUUGAAUGAGUCAAAGAUAUUCAAAAGGAUCACAUAUAAUUAAUGGAAGGAAAUUAGAAAUCAAAGGAGUGUCAAAGUGUUGCACAAAUUUUGCUUCAAACUCUCAAUCACAAGUUGCAACACAUUUUUGCACAUAGAAAAUAUUCGAAUUUGGAAGAUAUUAUUCCAAAAGAAUUGUAGCUCUUUCAGUUAUCUUUCCAACACACUUUGAAUCACCUCAAUUUGACAUUGAAAGAGGAUGUUAUGAUGAAAAUACUAACCACUACUCAAGGACAGCUUGUUGGCCACGAGCCUGGGCACUCAAGUGAUGGUUCAACAAUCAACUCUUCGAGUUUGUGUGAAACACUGGUUUUUCAGUCAAUUUUCAUCACAAAACACCUCCAUUAUAAAUAUAUAGCCCCAUGAGCAUCCCAAAGGUGUGUUGUAUCAUUAUUUCACAUUAAAGAUCACAUUAUUGAAGAUCAAACACACAUUCUUUGAUUUAUUGAUUCAACCUCAAAAUUCAUUAUUUUAUAUAGUUGUUACCAAACAUUUUUCCAUCAUUGGUUAAGCCUUGAAUCAAGUCAAGAGAUUACACGUUGAAGAUUAUACCCUUAUUCUAAUAUCUCUUGCCUCAGCCAUAUAUCAAAACACAGAAAGAUCUUUGAUGAAGUACCAAAAUAAGCCUUACCUUCUCCAAUUAACCUUCAGAGUUCUCAAGUUUUGGAAAAGAGGGACUUGGAGUUCCGGCGCUCAAGAAUGAGGUUCAUUGUUGAUCCAUAUGGAAAGAAUAGUAACUUGGAGAUCUAAGAGAAGUGGGGACGUGCACAACUAAAGGAAUACCUCAAUGAUUUAUAAAUUAGGUGGUCAGAGUCAGUUAAGAUUUAGCAGUGUUUGAACUAAUUGAAAGUUAACUAUUUUGGUGGAUUUUAUUGGCAAGCUUGUGAAGAAUUUUCAAAGGGUUUUUCCUCCGUGAUCAUAUUUGGUGUUAUUCAUUACUUUUUUUUUAUUUGAUAGACACAGAGGUUUAAUUCAAUUAAUUAAACUUAAUCAUCUAGAUAACAAUUAAUAAGUAACUUGCUACUUUUAAUUGUUUAAUUUCGCAUACAUCUGCUAAUUAUUGAUUUUAAUUAUGAAAUUUCAAAAUUUAUAUUCAUAAUUACUACAAGCCUUAACACAUAACCAUAAAAUAGGAAAACUGUAACUCUAUGUGGAGUUGGAAGUCAUGUUGUACGUUGACUGGGUUAAAUAGGGAAAUUGCUAAUGCCGUUGAAUUGCAACACUAUGUGGAUUUGGAGGACAUGUUGCACAUUGCCAUGAAGGUGGAGAGACAAAUGAAGAGGAAGUCAUGUUGUACGUUGAAUUUAAAUAGGGAAAUUGCUAAUGCCGUUGAAUUGCAACACUAUGUGGAUUUAGAGGACAUGUUACACAUUGCCAUGAAGGUGGAGAGACAAAUGAAGAGGACGGGGACAGCUAGGCAACAAUUAGGUUCUUCGAUUUCUAAUCCAUCUUGAAAGUCGAGGUGGGAUAACAUCAAAAAAGGGAAUGGGGCUAUACUUAAAGGUAAGAGUGAUUGGCAAAAAAGCAAGGAGGAUGGCGCUAGCAAAACAAUACCAAAAUCGGAGUCGCAACCAUCCAGGAGUGGAGACAUCAAGUGCUUUAGGUGCUUGGGGUCGGGGCACAUUGCUUCGUAAUGUCAAAAUAAAAGGGCAAUGGUGUUGCGGGAUAAUGGAGAGGUGGUGAACGAAAGUGAAGGCGAAUAUGAUGACAUGUCCGCAUUGGAAGAGGUUAGUGAUGGUGAAAAUUUUGAAGGAGUUGUUGUGGAUUUACUUGUCGCAAGGAGAGUUCUUACUACUCACAUCAAGGCAGAUGACUUGAAGUUGCAGUCGGACAACAUCUUCCAUACUCAAUGCCACGUUAACAAUACAGUAUGUAGUGUAAUUAUUAGUAGUGGUAGUUGCACAAAUGUCGCUAGUGUAGCACUUGUAGAGAAGUUAAAUUUAACAUUGUUGAAAUAUCCUAGGCCAUAUAAAUUGCAAUGGUUAAAUGAAAGUGGAGAAGUUAGGGUUAAUAGAAGUGUGUUAAUAAAUCUAUCAAUUGGUAGUUAUCAGGGCGAAGUAAUGUGUGAUGUGGUACCGAUGCAAAUAGGGCAUAUUUUAUUGGGGAGACCAUGGCAAUAUGAUAGGAAGGCUAUGCAUGAUGGGUAAAAAAAUUGCUACAAUUUCGUCAAGGAUGGGAGGUCUGUUAAUCUUGUACCAUUACCACCGACGCAAGUCCAUGAGGACCAAAUUAAAUUAAGGAAUGAGGAAGAGAAGAGAGUAAGUGAGUUAGAAAAAAUGAGAGAUAUGUAUGAGCGAGAGAAACAAAGAGAAAACUGUGAGAAAGAGAACCGUGAGAUAGUAAGCAAGAAAGAAAAUUGUGAGGUAACUAUUAGAGAGAAAAAGAGAGAGGAGCCACAUUUGAGAAAAGAAAGAGAGUCUUCCGGGAGAAAAGAAAAAUCACGAGCAAAUUCCUUUGCAAAAGGAAGUGAGUUGAGGAGGGCAAUAAUCGAGAGGAGAGAAAGACGUUUUUACUGUUGAGGAAGCUAACACCCCCUCCCUAGUUUGGCUAAACCUGUUUUACAGAAAUUCCAAGACGUAUUUCCGGAGGACAUACCGAGUGGAUUACCACCUAUCGAGAAAUCGAACUUCAAAUUGAUUUCAUACUGGGAGCAGUUAUUCCGAAUCGACCAGCUUAUCAAAGUAAUCAUGAGGAGACAGAGGAGCUUCAGAAGCAAGUGGAGGAAUAGAAUGGAAAAGGCUAUGUAAGGGAGAGUAUGAGUCCAUCUACCAUUCCAGUGUUACUAAUGCCAAAGAAAGAUGUGGCAUGGCGAAUGUGCGUGGAUUGCAGAGCCAUCAAAAAUAUAAUGGUAAAGUAUCAUCACCGUAUUCUAAGGUUGGAUGAUAUGUUAGAUGAAUUGCAUGGUGCUUGUACUUUUAGUAAAAUAGAUCUUAAAAGUAGGUACCAUCAAAUUCAGAUACGGGAAGGUGAUGAAUGGAAAACGGCAUUUAAAACUAAGUAUGGUUUAUAUGAUUGGUUAGUUAUGCCAUUUGGACUCACAAAUACACCGAGCACUUUUAUGCACUUAAUGAACCAUGUUUUACGUGCUUUCAUUGAAAAAUUUGUUGCAGUAUAUUUUGACGACAUUCUAAUCUAUAGCAAAAAUCUUGAUGAGCAUGUGGGACAUUUAAGUUGUGUGCUUGCAGUAUUAAGAAAUGAACAAUUGUAUGCUAACUUUAGAAAGUAUACAUUUUGCAUGGAAAAAGUGGUAUUUCUAGGAUUUGUAAUUAGCGCUAAUGGGGUAUAAGUGGACGAUGAGAAAAUUUAAGCUUUAAAGAUUGGCCUACACCAAAAAGCAUAAUUGAAGUUAGGAACUUUCAUGGAUUGGUUAGUUUUUAUAGGAGAUUUGUAAAAGAUUUUAGUUAGGGCUGGACAAAACUCCCGAACCGAACCGACUGAACCGAACCCGACGGUUCUUCUCAAGUUAAAUAUCCGAACGGGUAUUUGAAUCAAGAACCGACGGGUAUGGUUCGGUUCUAGGCCAAGACCCGAAGAAACGAAUAAGAACCGAAUCUCCGUAAUUUUUUAAAUUAAUUUAUUUUAAAUAAGUAAAAUUAUUUUAUUUUUUCUAAUAUAAAUUUAUUAACUAGUUAAUUUAGUUCAAACCACAAAAUAUGAUUUUUCUAUUUCUAAUAUUCACUUCAAAAUCGACUUAAUCAAAUUGACCUCAAUUUUAUUUAAAUCUGUUAUUCUACUGUAGUAUCGUUUCUAUCGGAGAAAAUCGAAUUAAAACUCUACAACAUCUCUCUUAAUUAUUUUGAGCUCGCUAUAUUUCUUUUUCUGUAAUUUUAAUAAUCAAAUUUAUGAAGAAUUCAGUAAAGAAAGGCGUAAAACACAUAAGAUUGAACUACGUUACUUUGUAAGAGCUAAUAUGAAAUAUAUCAUUAAUUAAAUUAACGUAACUUUGUAUACAUCAAAAAAUUUAAUUAUAAUACGGAAUCGAAUGAAAUCGAACCGGACCGAACCGAACGGAAUGGAACCAAACUCGAACGGUUCUGUAAUUAAAUUUGGACCCGACGGUUCCAUUUACUAAAUACCCGAAAAUUUCGGGUCGAUUCACUUCUCAUUAGAACCAAACCGAACCAUGUCCAGCCCUAAUUUUAGCACAAUUACUACACCACUUACAGAGGUCGUUAAGAAAAGUGUGGAUUUUCAUUGGGUUGAUGAACACACUACAAAAAAAAAAAAAGAGGCUCCCGUGACCAUUUUUUUGGUCACUAAAGGUCCAUUUUUGGUUGCUACAGAACUACAGCUACUAAAUAAUUGUGGUCGCCAACUGGUCGCUAAUAGACCGUCGGUGAAACAUUACAGCGACCAACUAGACGUGGUUGCUGGAUAUAUAUACUACAGUGACCAAUAUUUGGUCGCUCAAAUGGGAAACCAUGGUCGCUGGUAAGCAUAAAAAUGGGAGUGACCGUCCUUUGCAACCAACUCCGUGGUCGAGGAAGGCAUUAUAUUUGGUUGCUAAAUGUCUAUAGUGACCUAGUGUUCGUGGUCGCCAAUCCACCAUCUAUAAAGGUAUUUAGUGACCAAUGGAAGUGGUUGGUGAAUGGUAGAGAUUUACCGACCAAGUAAUGGUCGCUAAAGGACUAGAUUUCACCACAAAAUUCAUCCUUUUGCAACCAAUAUUUGGUCGGUAAAACGCAAGUGGUAACCAUUCAACAACCAAAAAAAUGGUCGGUAAAGGGAUUGGUUAAAUUUGCAUCCUAUCACGACCAAAUGUUGGUCGGUUAAUGAAUUAGCGAGGAAAAAAAAAACUUUUGCCAUAUCACAACAAUCAAUAUUUGGUCGAUGAAAAGACAAAUAAACCAAUAUUUGGUUCUAUGACAAUUAAAGCACAAAAGAACAUAAGAAGAAGAAAUUAACAAACAAUAACUACAAAAGAAUAAUUGCAAUUGCAUAUAAAAGAAUUACAAAUAGUCAUUACAUAACUUUAAAUGUCCUACAAUUAAUUACAAAAUAUGUCAUGCACCCUAAUAAAAAAUGAGUCUACACUUUAAACACAAAUGGUGUACAAUAAACAAAAAGUAAGCGAUUCUUUCAUCAUCUUGCAUCAUAAGCAUCCCAAUGAUCACUAAACCCACAAGAUAACCGUUCUAGAAGAAUGUGCAGGGCACCCUUUGUAUAUCAGAGGCGCUUAAAAAAUUUUGUCUUUAGGCUCCGACUUUGAAAUUUUUCCGUGAGCUUCAGAUGUUCGCUGUUUCCAACCAAAAAUAAAAAAUAAAAAAUGCACAAGUGAUGAUAUCACCAAGAAAGGGGAAAAAAACAAAGUAAUGAUAAGAGAUCAUUAAAGUGUUGCCAUAUUCAUAAGAAAAACAAGAGGGAAAAAAAAAAGUAUUCAUCAAUAAAAAGAGCUGAACUUUAAUCUCAUGUUCACUUGUAAUUCCAUGUUUUAGCACUUUCAAUCCAAGUAUAAAUUGCUGCUUAUAGCAGUUGGUUAAGAUUGAAAUAAUAUCAAGCGAAGCAGAAAUGGGGGUCACAAAAAAAUAAUAAUCUCACAGGAUAAGAUGUAGAAAACAUCAUCUCUGAAAUAAAGGACAUUUUCAAUCACUUGGCAACUCGUUCUUCACAUGAUACAUAAAUUUGUUCCAACAAAUCAAAUUCUUCAUUCUAGCAAACAACUAAGAUGUCAUAAAACCACAACUUAACAGGUAUUCAAUCACUUAACUUUUCUCUGAAUUCAGAAAGAACAAGUGAUUGCCUUCAACGUAUGUCAUCCUUAACUGAGGUGCUGAAGUUGAAAAAUGUGAAAGGACUCUACACAUGACUGUACGCAGUUAAAAUAGUGUUUGGAAGGACACUCAGCUAUCCUUGUCCACGAGAUUAUAGAAAGUUUAAGUAAUAAUGAUCUUAGAUUUAACAGUUGAUAGGACCUAGACUUGGGAACUCUGAGGUCCUAAUUCUAAAAGCAUCCUUAAUAUCCCCUUAUGGAGCUCUAAAUAAUAGUCACCAAAGAACAUCUGCCAGAGAAUGGAUGAAAGUUUGUGUCAUGCAAACUGAAAAUCCCACAAAUUAGCUAUGAAAAACCAAGAGUGGAUAAGGGCAACUAAAACCCUAGUAAGCUAUAUUAUCAAAUCUACUCCCCACAAAAUAGUUUUAAAAUCUUGCAUUUAGCUGAUUCCUGAAUGCUUGGGUGUAACUUAACUAAUAAUCUCCAUACCUUCCUGCAUUUGGUUCCUCGACAAACGGACAGUAGGACCUUGGAUCAUAGUCUGAGUUUUUCGGAUCACUUAUUCUUAUUGCUUAAAUUUGUUUGUCACGAAAAAUGAGGGUCAAUUUUUACUUCAUUCUAGAAAAACUAGGAUCUUGUAAACGAAUGUUAAAUAUGAGAAUAUUGAUACCAUUUUUCCCUGAGUUGAAGACCAUGCACGUUGUCAGCAACCACCACUUAACAGGUUCAUUGUUGGCCUCAGGAAUGGGCUCUGACUUUUUAUAUGGUUGCACAUUACCGUAGUUCAUAACUAAUAAAACAGUAGUUAUUAGUUAAUUGCUGCCAGGAAAAUAUGUACAAAAAUGAAAUGCUUGGCCCAUGCUGAAGAAUGAUAGUUUACCGUAAAGUCCACGACCCAUGCUGCAAUCUGAUCAACAUUUGGCUUUAGAUAUUUCUUUCCAUCAUUUGUUUGUAUGAUUAUCAAAGGAACCUGAUCGUCCUUAAUUCCAAAAAUGCUGUUCAUAGAAACCAGCAAUAUGACAAGUUAGUAAUGAAAUGUAAGCAAAAUAGCAAGUUAACCAACCGGAAGAAAAAUAUGUACAUUAAACCUGGAAAGCACCUUGACUACCAUAGGUCCAAAUUUUUGAACUUGCCAUAUUUUCCUUAUAACUUCAGUAAUAUAAUCACAAUACUACGGCACCAACCGAUGGAGGUGGUGGAGGUGGAGGUGGCGGAGGCGGAUCAUUAGUCGGCCCAGUAGAAGGAUGCUGACUCACGUCCAUUCGUGCAAUAAUACUCUGGAUAAGUAAAGCUUGUUGCUCGAGGCGCUAUGUAAGCUGGCUAAUAAGAUUAUCCUUGUCCUUAUCAUUCUGAGUAAGAAGUUCCAACUGUUCCGUUUUGUCCUUAUCCUUCUGAGUAAGAAGUUCCAACAGUUCUAUAACUUUGGAAGGAGCUUUCCUUGUGUUGAUAUAUGACUUGUGCGGAGCAGGCCCAAUACCAGAAAUAGUUCCAGCACUCCUACCAAUAACUUGAGCGCGUAUUGCUGUUUCAUCCAUGAUGGAUGCAUGAUCCUCUAACUGUAAUUGUGAUUGUUGCAACUCUACCAUCUCUUUCUGCCAUAAAAAAUCAAAAUGUUAUCAAAAUAAAUAAUAUUUAUUAUAAAAUACAUUAGUGUUACAGGUAAUAUAUCUUACGUAAUGCGACUCGACUAGUUGGUUAUCCCGUCCUUUUGCUGUUGAAUGCAUCCUCCUAAAUAAUUCGAUGGGACCAACUGGUUCUUCCUGUGUAGACUAAGAAAUAUGAAAAAAUAAAACUUUAUUAAUCAUCAUAAUAAUGGAGCAAAAUUACAUCAUAAGAAACAAAAACACAUACUCGAAAAUGGCUUUGAAUUUGUCAGGUAAAUGCACAAAAUAAACACAUAAGACAGUAGUGAUUUUAAUUACCAGUGCUUCCCUAGUUGCAACGAAAGAUAUUGUCCCACCAUGAUGAUUAUAUGGAAUUUUUGCUCGGUUACGUGUCGCGGCUGCAGAGCGCUUCUAUAAAACAUAACACCAUAAAUUAAUUAAUUAGGUAAUACAUUCAUCCAACUUACUGAACAACAUCAUAAAGUAAUAUUGAAAUGCUUUAAUACCAGAAACCCCUCGCUUUCGAAGUGUGCACACAUCCACUCCCAAUCAUCUUGUGUUUUAACGAUAGACGGCUUAUGUUGUAUUGGAUCCUUUCCCUCUAGCUUCAAUUCUUUGUAUUUUUUAUGACAUGUACUUCGAUGUUCUUUGUACCUUUCACGACAAUGUCUUUCAACAAUUUCGAACAUUUGUCCAUCAUUUAAAUCAACAUCAAAUUUUUCUUGCAGACGCCUAUGGGCAAGUUCCUUGUCAUGAGGAGUUGCUGCACUCCAACCAGUCAAGCGCUGAGAAACGACAUUCUGCAUGAUUAUGCCAAUUUCAUUAGCAAACAGAGAGGAGUUCACACCAAACGUGCGCAUAUCUCCCUCUUUAGCUUGUACAAUAAGCUUUUGCUUACACCUAUCCAUUAUUUUUUGUGAAGCCAGUCUACGACUAAGUCCACGCAUUCUUUUACGAGGAAGAGCUAAAACAUAUUUAAAGAAAAUUAAAGUUAAAGGAAAAGCAAGAAUCAUUUUACAAUAUAUUCAGCUUGCAUUAAAUUCAUACCAUUGGAUGCCUCAUGGGCAGGAGUCGAUUGAGCUAUCGUGUUUACACCAGAAUGGGUUGUUGAAGGUGCUGAAACGGGAAGAGGUGAUGGAAUAGACUGCUGCCCUUGUUCGUGAUGAGAUGGGCUUCGAUUACUGGAGUUUUGAGGAGCAGCAGAUGCUAUAGGUGGGAUGUGCUUAAACUUUCUUUUUGGCGGCAUCUAUAUAUGCAGGAACAAAACAACAAUUAGAAGACGAAAAUUGCAGAUUUCUGCUGUUUUAGAUUUCUGCAAGAAUGAUGGACAAUCCUAGUCUAAAAAGAAGAAAUCAUACUGUAAUAGUGAACAUCAAUAGACUUGGCAUAAACCCAAGAUACAGGUAUACAAAACAAGAGAGGAAGAGCUUUCUGUUUGGAGAGAAGCAUUUAUUUAAAGAAUAAUUUCUUUUCUUUUUGUCCAGACUUCUUUUCCUUUAGGAUAAAUUCAGGUAAAACUGGAAUAAUUUCUUCUCUUCUUGUCUAAACUUCUUUUCCUAUAAGAUAAAUUUAGUUAAAAACUGGAAGAAAAUUUGAAAAUCGAUUAAAAAAUAUACUACCAGAUUUGACGGGUAGAGAAAUACAACCAAAAUUACACUGUGCUAAUUUUGAGUGAUAAAGUCCAAAAAAUUAACCAGCACAAAUUUUUAGUCAAGUUUACAACACUUUAUUAUAAGUAAAUUCUAAAAUAAAGAACUGAUCCCAAUACACUAGUCAUUUUCAUUAAUCAAACAGCAUAUUCUUACCUCGACAUCCUCAUUGUCAACACCAACAAUACAAUUAACAUUUUCUAUUUUCUUCUACAAUUCCCACAGCCUUUGCAUACAAUAAAUAUUAAAUAUCUAGCUAAGUAAUACAUAGGAAAAUAUGGAUCCUUUCGGAUUGAUGAUUCAUCUCUAAUUCCUUUGCAUAUUCAAAAGUCAUUAGCAACAACAAAUAAUGUAAAAGGUCGUCAAAAAGUGUACCAUAUACGAGUCUAGCAACAACCGAAAAUCAUAAAAACUUCGAAUGUCUUAAAACAGAAAAUCACAAAAACUUCCUAAACUCAUUUAGUGGAAUUGAAAGUAUUUAAAAAAAAAAAAAAAAACAGAAACAUUUAUAUUGUCAAAGAGUAAAUUCAUACCGUUCCAACUUUGGGGAGAAUCUUUUCCACAGCAAUAAAGAUUAGUAUGAUCACUGCACACACAACAGAAAAUGGAUUUUGGAGAUGGUGUUGCUUUGGUGACGUGGUCGAGUUCUGUCGACUGUGAAGCACUAUAGCAACCGAAGUUCUGGUCAGCUUCAGAUGAAGAGGCGAAGCGUUCUGGUCAGUUCAGAUGAAAAGGCGAAGCGUUCUGGUCAGUUCAGAGAUGAAGAGGCGGAGCGGCUUGAACCUGCAGAAAUUCAAACUUUACCUUUACCAAAUGGGUCUCAAUGAGUUUAGGGUUAGAAUUAUGGAUUAAACUAUUUGUACAUAAUUUUUUAAACAAUGAUUUACACACCCGCCGAGGGGCGGCCAAGGGGUGGGCGUGUAAAUCAUUGACCAGAAUUAUAUUGCCAAUGACUUUUAUCCACAUUGUUGGGCCAGCCGGGUCGGGUAGUUUCAAGUUUGUGUUGAACAAAUUGUAAAUUUGUUUAUAAGUUUUUAAAUUGUAAUCAAUGAACUAAUUGUUACCUGUAAAAUCUUUGAAUAGUGAUCGUAAAAUAAAUUGUCACAUAACAAAAUUCUGAUUUCUGAUUGAAAAAUAAUAUGUAAUUAAUUAAAUCGUUAAUUUUUUAACAAAGCGUAUAGUUAUGUAACUGUAAUAUAUUUAGGAUAAUUAUAUUACCACUACAAAAAUUGUUAAGCUCACCACAUUUUUUUUAUUUACAUAAAUAGCCUUAAAUGAAUUUACAUAAGUGGGUUUUUUAUAUAUUUCUCACAUAAAAUAAUUUAUUCUUCUACCACAGUCAUAAAAACUUUAAAAAUUUAUCUUCUAUCUCGUCCGUCACUGGAUUCCUCGAAAACAUACUAAGAGAACUCUCUUUAAAUUUACCACCAGUGAAACCAAGAUCAACAUACAUAACUAGGGUCAAAUUUUUAUCUUGGCUAGAAGAUAGAUACAACCCUUGUACAUUGUCAAUGACUUUUGAAGUAAUCUCUAGGCCUUCUGUUAAAGGAUCAUCAAUGGCAAAUGUGGUGCCGAACGUGGUCGAAUCGUUCGGUUUCCCGGUAGCAUUAGCACUUGCCACCAUCACUGCCGUGGGUUUAUUCCCACUAAGGGUGUCAUGGAGGAAGAAAUGAAGUUGAGUUUUUUACAGCUUCACUGGUUCAUAUAGUUUACUUUGCACCGAAUGACAAGAGUUGGGAUGAUAACGAAACUUUCUACACGCCAUAUGGUUUUCUUCUAGAGAGAGAUUUUGCUUAUGUUGAUGAAUACACCACAAAAUUAUCCUUUUUAAUUUCGUUUGUUGGAUUUGUUGUGGUGCAAUUAUCGAAAAUGGAUUUAAAUUGUGGUGUUAUUAUAAUGUGGCAUGGUUAAUAAGUUUUGUGGUGAUAAUAUAAUUACUCAUAUAUUUAAUUAAUAAAAUAUAUAAUUAAUUAAUUAAAUUGUAAACAUCGAGUCAUAAAUAGACGAAAUCGUAGAAGCAGUGGGAAUUCAUUUAGAGGAUACAAUGGCCCGGUUUAAUCUCAAAAUAAAUGACAGUGUUGACUUUCUUCAGUAUAACGAGAUGAGAUGUAGCUUGUCAAUUUGAAUCCAAUUCUUUAGGUAUAACUUUUGUUGAUCACAUUUUGACACGUAAUUUGUCCUUUCUCACCAGUUCGUCAUAAGAUUUGGUCUAAUUCUGAGAAAAACUAUUUUCAUUCUUCCUUUCCCGAAUAUCUUACAAGACCUAUCUAAGAGAGCAGGGGUGCUUCUCGAGAAGCAAUCAUACGUUCUUUUCUUCAUAACGAGUUUCCUUUUAGAGUUGACAUGCUUCCUUAAGCUCUUAGCAUUAUCGAUAUAACUCUUGUUAGAACUAUUUGAUUCUUAAUUGAUUUGGGCCAAAGUUCUAAUUGAAACCACCGAAAGAACCAAUGACAAAAGACGGUCUUGAUCAAAUUGUUUUCAAAUCUUUGUGGUUCAGUAUGAUGCGAUUAAAAAUUGAUUGGGUCGGUUUUGAGUGAGUAUUGGCCAUGACUCUUAAUGGCAAUUGUGUGGAUCAUGAAAUUGAUCAUAAAAUUCUCAUGUGUGGGACAUCAUACUUUGAACAUGUAGCGGAUUUGUCACUUCUAGGAUAAUGGCGGAUUUAUUUUUUUAUUGUUAAUUGAUUUGGGUGGGGCCAAAAUGGAUAAUUGAAAUCAAAAGAACCAACAAUGAAACUUUGAAAAAUUAUACUCAGUGUUAAGCGUAUUUGAAGAUUGGUUGGUCAUACAGCUAGAAAAAAUAUGCAGGAUACAACUCUUCAAUUUGUUUAGCAACCAAGUGAAAGUUGGUUUCCAUGUCCAGCAACCAUUAUUUGGUCGCUGAAGUAGUUUGGGUCCCGCAACCAUAUAUUGGUGGCUAAAACAGCAUACAAUUAAGGCGGGAUUCUUCCCACCAAAGGUAUUUAGCGACCAUAGUUUGGUCGCUGAAUGGCUAAAAUUUAAUGCAAGAUACUUCCCGCCAACUUAUUUACCGACCAAAGAGCGUUGGUUGCUGGAUAUUGAUUCCAGCAACCACGCAUUGGUCGCUGAAUACCUUAAAUAUUCAGCGACCACUUUUUGGUCGCUCAAGAUUUCUAAGAAUAGUAAAAAAACACGGGGGAGGAAUCGCUCCAAGUGGUACUGCAACCAACUUCUGGUCGCUGGAGAGUAUACAUAGGCAGCGACCACAGUUUUGUCGCUGAAUAGUUUUAAGAAAAGUAAAAAAACACGGGGGAGGAAUCGCUCCAAGUGGUACUGCGACCAACUUCUGGUCGCUGGAGACUAUACAUAGGCAGCGACCACGAUUUGGUCGCUGAAUAGUUUUAAGAAAAGUGAAAAAAAAGGCGUGGAGGUAUUGCGCCAAGCGUUACAGCGACCAAAUAUUAGUCGCUGAAGUGUUCAAUAUUCAGCGACUACAGUGUUGGUCACUGCAUACAGGUAUCAGCGGCCAAUUUAAGGUCACUGGAUGGUUAAAUAUACAGCGACCACAUCUUUGGUCGCUAAAAGUGUUCAAAUAAUAAGCGGGAUAUAUCCCGCCAAAAGGUAUUCGUGACCAAUCGAUGGUCGUUGAAGGUUUAAGUAUGCAUCGACCACGUAUUGGUCGCUGAAUGAGGGGGUAUAGCAACUAAGAAAUUGUUGGUCGCUGGAUAGUUGUCGCUGAAGGCCUUUCCAAAAAAUAUCCUAUUUUAACAUACCAAAACUUUCACCAACCAACGAUUGGUCGAUGAUAAUAUCUUUUAGUGACCAAAUUUGGUUGGUCGGUGGUGGCCAUAUUUUUUUGUAGUGACAAGAGCAUGCAUUUAAAAUGAUUAAGGAUAAAUUGUGUAAGGCACUUGUUUUAGCAUUACUUGAUUUUAGCAAAACUUCCGAGAUUGAGUGUGAUGCAUUAAUGAUAGGUAUUGGAGCUAUUUUAAUGCAGGGCAAAAGACCGAUAGCCUAUUUUAGUUAGAAGUUGAGUGGAGCUGCAUUGAAUUACCCAACAUACGAUAAUGAAUUGUAUUCACUUGUUCGAGCGUUAGAGACUUAGUAGCAUUAUUUAGGCCAAAAGAAUUUGUUAUUCACACCGAUACGAGUCAUUGAAGCAUUUACGGGGUCAUGGAAAGUUGAACAAGAGGCAUGCCAGAUGGAUGGAGUUUACUGAAAUGUUUCCCUACGUCAUCAAGUACAAGCAAGGUAAAAAAAAUAUAGUGGCAGAUGCGUUAUCUCGGAGGUAUACAUUGCUAACUUUUCUUGGUCUAAAUUGUUUAGUUUUGAGCAUAUUAAGGAAUUUUAUGAAAAUGAUGUAAAUUUUUUUUGAAAUGUAUAAAUCUUGUGAUAAGAGGGCUAUUGAUAAAUUCUUUAAACACGAGGUUAUUUAUUUCAGGAAAAUAAAUUAUGUGUACCAAAUUGUUCAAUACACGAGUUAUUGGUGAGAGAGGCUUGUAGUGGUGGACUUAUGGGAUACUUUGGGAUACAAAAGACCUUGGAGAUGUUAGGUGAGCAUUUCUAUUGACCUAAGAUGAAAGUAACACUGAGAGGGUUUGUAGUCGAUGCAUAACUUAAAAACGUGCUAAGUCUAGAGUUUUACCUCAAAGACUAUACACACCAUUACCUACUCUUAGUGAACCUAAAAUAGUGCUAUCUCUGAAAGUCUACCCAAAAUAGUGCUAUUUUUGUCAAAUGUUUCGAUGCCAGAUUUCAAUAUACAGAAAUUGGUGCCAAAUUUCAAUAUUUUGAGAUUUUAGUGAUGUUUUUGUCAAAACUCUUAUUUUUUAGAUUUUUAAAGGUUUGAAUGAAUUUAUAUGACAAAUAGUGAAGUCUAUGUAUUAGAUAAAUUAUGUAUAGGGGUCGUAUAUGUAUAAGGUAAUGAUUUUAAGGAAGUGUGAGUAAUUUAAUAGAUUUGAUAAUGUAUGGUAAUUAGUUGAUGAAUCAUUAAAGAGAAUAAAAGUUGGGGAAUUGCAGAUCUAAGAGUAAAUAUGGAAGUUGAGAAGUAAAAUGGUGGAUUUGUAUCAAUUUAAUUGUCAGGUUUUAAUUCGAGUAACUAUACCGUUAUUUUAAGUAGUGACAUGAAAGCUUGGAAAUGCUCGUCAAUUUAGCCAAAUUUCUAUUCAUAGAUCUGCGAGUAGAAAAACUUAAAUAUUUUAAAAGUUUUUGUAAAUUAAGUUUAUUAUUAAAGUAUGAGUAAUUAAUCAUUCGAUUUUAUGAUUAUCAUGGAAAUCUCUUUUUAUUAUGAUACAUGUGAGAUUUCAAAGAUUACUUUUUUUUAGCAAAUACCAUUAAUGUAGCUCAUUUUAUAUCAUAAAAAAUGAGAAUACACAUAAAGAGGGAGACGUGGACCUGACCUCCAGUAGGUGAAAAAAAUUAUAAAUGUCUCAAAUGAAGUGCAAUUGACAAUAAAUGAAACGUGAAUCAAAACUAACGAAGAUUACUCAAGGAUACUCCUGAGGAUAAAUCAUUGGGUGUAGUAUAUAGACAUUGAACAGGUCAUGCGUCUGGUGUGAAACAUUUCUGGGUCAUGCUUAAUGAAGAGGGGUCCCUCCUGGGUGAAGGGGCCCUUCUAGGUGAAAAUUGUUGUCCAAGCGAUGGCGUAUUGAAUGUCGGGCAAAAAGCAGAUGCAUCUGAUCUCAUGAUGCUAUUCAUAGGUGCUACAAUAUCUAACGCAUGUGAGAGUGGCUCGUUGAUUGAAGGUACAUCUGCCUUAAUAUUCUUCGAGCAAUCUCCGAGAUCCAUGCCAUCCAUGUCACUCUCUGAAUUUGAGCAUCCACCUUAUCCUGUCUAGGCAGUAGGGCUAGGUGAUGAUUUGUCAUUAAAGAGCUUGCUAACCAAAUCAUAAAUGGCAUCCCUCAUAGAAGCUGCCAGCUUGAAGCCACGGGUCUCCUUGAAGUGGUUGAUCAACAUCUACUUCGCCUGAGGUUUAGCUUUAAGGUCGGUCAAUAUACCAUCGGUACCUGACAUCUGUGGUGAAUGAGAGCCCUCUGAAUGUGUCUUGAAAAUUAGGAAUCGAUUUGUAUAGGCUUAGAGGGUAUUAUGGCACCUAGACUAUCAGUAGUAAUAUUAGGGGGUGGUGAUACCUCAGUAGGAGCCUCUAAAAUAGGCUGAGCAAGUGGUUGAUCAAUGGGUACUAUCUCUAUUGUAUCUUCAACCACUAAGGAAGCAACUAUUUAAGUCUGAAUAGGAACUCCUAGGGUACUCUCAUGGAUGAUAGGAGGGAUCUCUAGUGUAGACUCUACCAUUGGGAGACCAACUAGUGUUACCCCUGUAGCACCCGUGGUGGGAAUCAGGGUAGGAUCUGCAAAUAUAGAAGCUGACUCUGCCACAACUGUAAUAGGGAUAGUGUGAAGCAUAGGAGGCACUGCCGAAAUUGGUACUCACCACUUCCUUAGCUCAACGAAAGCAACCUUACUUUGCCAUUGUCAGCCGUAUUAGUGUCAGUCUCAAUAAGAGGAUGAGGCUGAAUUGGGAAAGGCACAACAACUAGAGGAGGAGGUGGUGGUGGUACCCUCGAAGUACACCGAUCAAAUGAGUGGCCGAAGUGUUUACAAAAAAAAAAUAAAAAUUCGAUCGCUUUUCAUAUAUGACUUCCUACCGGAAGCCGCGAUUAACAUCGCACUCAAUCCAUACUCUAUUGGGCAACUUAAGCCCCAAGUUUACCUUUAUACAUAACCUAGCCUCGCUAGGUCGUCUCAGAUCUGAGGUGGCCUCAUCAAUCAUUAAGGAAAUUCCUAUUGUCCUAGAUAAAGUAAAAAAGAACCCCUUGGCACGCAAAUGUACCGGAAGUAAAGGAAAUGAAACUCAAAUAGGAAAAAUUGGAGUCUCCUGCUUUGGUUUGAAAUUACAUGUCCACUUAAGAACCCUCAUUGGACAUCUAUCAAGCGGCCUUGGUCCUGUUCUAUCCUACACGAAGGGGUUUUGACCCGACAUUGGUAUAUAAUUCAUAGAAAAUCCUAGGCCAUGUUCUACAAUUGAUUAUCAGAGGUCAUUGAGACCCACUUUUGUUCACAGAGAGGGCCAAAAGCACGUGGCGAAAAUGCUUGGCCCUAGGGACGGAUUUCAUUUUUCAAUCAGUAGGUACAUUUUUUAUGGAUCGCAUGUGAUGUGAUAAGAUGAUCAUAUAGAUAUCAGCUAAUGGUUAUAUCGUGAUUAUGAGAUGAUAUUUACAUAGUUUUGGGAAUGUCUCACUUUUUAGCUAUAAUUGUAUAAAUCCAUCAUGUGAAUAUUAAGCGAUAUGAACUUGAUGUUUAAUAAAAGAGUGAGUCUACAUGUACAGACAAAUAUUUAACAGAUGUUGUACAGAAUACACACAAUAAGGGGGUGGGUGAUUUUUUUACAAUAAAAUAUUCAUGUGGGGUCCACCACCCCUUUGUGAGAAUCUGUACACAUUCUGUGAAAGAAUUUUCUGUACACUUAGAAUUAUUCUUAAUAAAAAUGUUUAAAUAAGAAAGUAUAACUAUUUUCGAACUCUUCCACUCUUAGCUAUCAACUCAUAUUUUUCUAAAAUUUUCUUUACAGGAAAUAAUUGAUUCUUGAUAACUUGAAAAGCCAGAUAAUUUCAGAGUUAUAAUCACACAACAUUGAAGGAUAUAAGUCAAUUUGAUAAAAUAUGAAGUAUUGACAUUGGGCCCAUUGCACUAUGUUUUUCAUAAACAUUUGAUUUUGACGCAUAGUUUAUAGUAACUCAUAGUUAGCCUUGGUAGUGGAUCUGGCAUCUAGUCAAUAUGUACCAUUGGCGUACGUCACGUAUUGGGUUUAUAGGGUGAUUAGGGACGGGUCAUGUCAUUCAUAUAUAUAUAUAUAUACAUAUAUAUGUAUAUAUAUGUACAUAUAUAUGUAUAUAUAAUGGUUCUAUUUUAUCAAUUAGUAUUGGCUUCUUUUUUCUAUAUCUAUGGAUCCUAGGUUUUGAGUUGAUUUGAAUUUUUAUGAUGUUGAACUAAUAACUUAGUAUUGCUAAUAUUGGAAUUAUUUAGCAUGCAAGUCUUAUUGUUUGUAAUUUUGAAGUUUUUGUAUUACGUGUGACAUAGCAUGUCAAUGUUUUAGACUCGCUUAGUUUAACACCAUCUGUGGCAUUUGAGAUGAAGUAUCAUGCUGUAACUUUUAAAGUUUUAUAAUUGAUUCUAAAUGUCAUAAGGCAUUAUCAGAGAUAUAACACAUGCAUAAAUAUGUGACAUCUUUGAUUCAUAUCUUUCACCCUUUGUUUUAAAUGUAAAUACCCAGUUUAUUUAACAAUUGCACUUCUACUUUUCAAAUUACAGAAAUUCGAUUGCUUAUGGAAGUGAAACAUGCCAAACCAAACCGAAACAUGAUUUAAGAUUGCUGAGAAUCUUUUGAAAUUUUCAAUUGAGAAAAAUCUAUAUGUUGACUAGGUUGAAAUGCAUCCAUUUGGUACAAAUAGUCUCACUGCAUGCCCUAUCUCAAGUGAUAUCUUAUCAAAAUAAGUAUCAUUCAUGACACGUAGAAAUAUAAGAGGUCUUAAAAGUUAGCCACAGAUACGUGAGGUCUUACAGUUUUCCUUGAAUAAUAAAUAUGAUGAUCAAAAUGAGCUUUUGAAUAAGAGAGAUCCAAACUACGUAUUUUGUCUAGCACUUGUAGGAUUUCCCAUAAUGGGGAGUUUUUUCUUUCACAAUCCAUUUGACUCUGGUAACAUAUUUAAUGUCAUGUUUGCAUCCGUGAAUGCUGGGUAUAGGGAAAAUCAUGUUGUCAUGAUUACUAGAAUCUUCAAUUAUGGAUGCAGACUGUGACCUUUUAAUGAGUAGGUAGCACUUACAGCCCAAAGAAAGAUAUGAAAUCCACUUGGGACAUUUCAUUCGGUAUCUGUCAUGCACAAUUAUAAUUCCCAAUUUUCAUAACAUUUUGAAUAUGGUGCAAACCAAAAAAUAGAAUCUAUAUUCGCCUUCAAGAAAUUUGGUAGAGAGGUCAUCUGAACUAUAUUUACUGCCAUCAAAUUCAAUGCAAGUGUAGAGGAAUAAAAUUCUGAUAAAAAGAAAAUUCUAAUCCACCAUGUAAAAGCAUAGCUAAUUAACUCUUCCCAAAUGAUAACAUCAUCAAACUCAAGCUAAUGAUCAUAGAAACUGUGAAGCCAAAUCAAAUCCAUCGCUGAGAUCCUCAAAAUAAACCUCAGGUAUAUGAAUUCUCCAUCCUCAAUUACAAGAGUGGGUAUGAAUUUAUUGUAGCCUAAAAAUGAAGCCAAGUUGCAAAAUUUGUGCCAUGAAAAUAAAUCUAGAAGUUGGGAUAAAGUCCAGCCAACUAAAUUUAUAGGGGAAAUUCCACCAGCUACCUUAAAAAUUAAAAAAAUUCCUUUUUUACAUAACCAGGUUUUUUUAACCAAAUUUACUGCAAUAUAAGUAAGUAUAAGCAGAAAUUCAAAUUAUAAACACAACCCCUCAAAUAAUCCACAUAAAAGCUGAAAUCAUUCCUCCAAAUACGCUCAAUAAAUCAAGCCCAUAAUCUCGCCCCAUUUAUGCCCAAUUACUCUUGCCACAUCUACCCCCCCAAUUGCCCAGGUCAUCCUGACAUCCAUCCUUACAGCAUUCAAACCAAAAAUUGAAAAAUUAAAACCUCAGAAUCUCCAUUACACAUCAAGAAAUCCUCAAAUCGUAUCUCAAUCCAUGUUUAUGUAAUUUCUAUGUCCACAAAAUCGAUUUCGAGCGCUAAAAUCUCAGCAUAUUGCGAUUCCUGCGUUGUUAUUUCAACCAAGCGUGAACGAUUCAUCAGAUUGGUGUGAUGGUGGUGAGGUGGUUGGGUGUGGUGUGGUAAUGUGAAUCUUCCAGCCCUCAAGAAAUCAGAUGCAAUGCUAAUUGGCAUCUUGGAUGGGUUUCGUGGCAUUAAGUUUUACUAUUUGAGAGUGGGAUGAAUGUUGCUGACUCUCACGGAGGCGUUUCAUAUCUCUUGAAGAAAAAUGGUGGAUGCCUUUCCCAGAGGUCCCACCCAAUUGUUUGUCUGAAUUUUCACUUGCAAUCUUCAACUCGACAUGUCAGCAUGUACUCACGUUUGUCGGACCAUACUGGGAGCUAUUGUGUAUGGCAUAUAACGCGACUGUCUUCUUCAUUAACUUCUUGUCACUGAAGACCUGGUUCUCUGUAUCUAUGUAGUCGCCUGCCCUUGAAUCUCCAACAUGGUACUCGACACUUUCAUCUUCUUUCGACUGUAAUUCUAUUAUAUACAUGCUUGCGACAAACUCCGUUAUGUGUCUUCUUUUGCGAAAUGUAAAAAAUGUAUCCCACUCCUACAUGCGACGUUAAUUGUACAUGUUACAUUUCAUGGGCACGUGAUUUAGUUCUAUCAUUAUUAUACGUCUCUUAGUAUCACACACUUUGUUACAUUUUGGCAUUUUACCUACCUGUCAAUGUGCACGAGUUCAUUUAAACUAUAACUACGAAUAUUAACCAAAAUCAAGCUUUAGAUUCACACAAUCACGAUUACACAAUCACUUGUAAUUGUUGAUUAUUGCAGAAUUAUCACUUCACACAUUAUCUCACACGAUCCAUUCUACAUCAUGGAUGAUGUACACUUCACAGAGGAGAAUCUCGACCAAGUGGAAGAGAUGGUAAACUGUGCCCUCAAGCUAAAAAGAAAGUGCGUCACUCAAGUAACUUAUAUCAGUUUCCGAGUUUUUCUCACCAUCCAGGCAAUUAUUUUGACAUCAUUUUUGCAAAGCAAUAUGCUACAUCGUUGUACUGAUCAAAAAAAUAUAUAUAUGCUACGUCGUUGCAAUAUAUUUACCAAAUUACCAUGUGUCUUAUAUGACAAAGAGCUACAAUAUCUAACACUUGUGAUUUGUACUCAUAUACUUCAAUUUCUACGUUAUCUAAAGACUAUAAUGUUGGUUUAUUAUUUUUUAGAAUGAUGGAAGAACAUGGUCAUUUCACAUGUUUAGAACAAGGAGGACUUGGGCUCAGACCAAGGUGUGCAAGGGAUGUUCCGACCUGAUGCGCGACCAAUCAACACUAAUCUGAAUUCUCCCACAAUGGUGCUGAUAUGUUAAUAUAUUUUGCCCAACUGCUUAGUAACUUAAUUCAUAACACUAUCAUUUUAAGUUGCGCAAAUCACAAUGAUGCUUGUCAUAUAUUCUAGUAUAUUUGAUAUGUUACUUUAAGUGCAAAUUUCAGGACAUAAUAUAGUAAUACUACACAAUAAGAACAAUGUCAUAUUUGGCACAGAUCACGCAACCAGCCAUCUGAAUCGACAUUUUUGAGGCACGACCAUUUGUUUGUACUGCUGUGCAUAAUGGUGAAUUUAAGUGCAUGACAAGCCAGCAUCUUUGAUGGAACUGAAAGUGUCGAUCCACUUGUCGUUAAUAUAGUUAAUGACAUUCCACUAGAUAAUAACGAGUCUUUUACCAUUCUUGAACUUGUUAUGUUAAUCAAUCUAAAACACACUAAAAGUGUUAACUGUCUUUCAUUCUAUUACACAAUUAUGUGAUUUAGUUAUUUAUUUAUUUAUUUACUCUGUGUGUGUCAACUAAUAUGUUCAUUGCAACUAAGAUUUACAAAGUAUAAUGAUAUAAUUGCUUUUCUUUUGCAGCCAUGAUGACGAAGGUGUAUUUGUGACAAAGUAUGUGGAGUUCAUUAUCAAUGAAAUGAUACAUGAUAUGUUAGAAAACGUGGUUCCAAUGAUCACAAGGGCAUACCUGGCUUGUCAACUAUAUAAAUAUGAAAUCCAAAAGAGCAACGGAUAUUAUGAAUCAGAUGUUGAUCUCGUCCCAAGGAGCAUUGGGAAAGCGAUGAAGGCUAGGAAUGUCGAUAAUAUCCAGAAGUCAAUCAAGGGGAAAAAAUUAGUCUAUUUUGUUGAUACCCAUCAAACAUUUGUUGACGUCUUUUUACUUUUUUAGCCAUGUUAGCAAAUUUGUGCCUGAUUUGAUGGUGUUUACUUGAACAACUUUAGUAAUCAUGCAACGUCUAUUAUAUGGCGGUUUUUUUUAAUUGAAAUUCAAUACAAUAUGUUGGAACGUUAACUUUUUUGUUCCUUUAACCUGUGUAACUAUUAGCCACAAAGAGAUCAAGUGUCAACUGAAUAACAAGGAUAUUUAUACUGACAUUUUGAUACAAAUCUAAUAGUUGGUGAUGAACAUAUGAUUACAAAUCACAUUGAUCCCAAAAUCAUAUGAAUCAUGAUUCGGAAUUGAUAAAAAUAUCUCAAUAAAAAACGUAAAAUUCACCACGAUACACUACAACACAUAAUACUAUUCGAUAUAUUGAAAUGAUAACGUAAAAACUAUUUAUUGUUUGUGGUCAUUAAAUCCGUCGCUCUUUUACUCUUUUAUACGUGACUCAACAUGAUACGUUGCUUAUAAGUUUUCCUAUUGUGUCACUUUCCCCCACUCCUUCCACACAUUGUCAGGUACAAUGCCUCCAACUUUGUUCGUCUCCUCGUCUUCCUUGGCCUUCCCGCCUGCCUCUUAGAUUUAGGUGGAAAAGUAUCAUCUUGAGUAAUUUUCACUAUUGAAUGUCCACUAUGAAAGGUCUCCAAGUGGAACUAUGCACCUAGUGUAAGUAUCAAUGUAGGACACUUCAGUGUGUCAUCUGAAGCAAUAUUUAUAUGGUUGAUAUCCUUUCUCCCGGAUUACAGCAAACACGUGUGGUCGACACAAAACUCCAUCAAAUUGAAACCUGUUGCAUGUGCAUUUCGUUUCCAGCCAAUCAACGAUAUACUGCGUGUUCUCGUCCGACACUUGAUACAUAAAAUCGUUUAGAGAUGAGACCUAAGAAAAAUGCAAUUCAAUUUUUAGCAACGAUACGAUGACAAAGAUAAUGUUUCUCCAUGUGAAAUGUAUCAAUAUACUAUAUUCUGUCAUGCUAGAGAAAGAAUUAGGUAUCAAAAAUAGAAAGGCGGUCGCUAUUGUAAUUUAUCAUGUCACCUUUUUAUCUCAUUAGUGAAACAGAGCACUUGAAUUCCAAUCCUGCAUAUCUAUGGUAGCUACAAUUAAUGAAUAGCGUAAUCUAUGUGAAAUUAAACGUGAAUUCCAAGCCUAGAUAUCUAUUUACCAUUUCUUUUCCACUUUGAAUAAAUGACCGUAAUUUCUGUAAGAGUAAUGCUAUUCGUAGUGAAAACUGCUAGUAGUCAUCCUAUAUGACAUACACUUGAUAAUUUGAUACAUAUAUAUGAUAGUGAUUUUUUGAAUUAUACAUCAAAUGAAAAACUGUCAAGUAUACGUCACAUAAGACGAUUGUCGGUAUUCUUCACUGCAAAUUACAUUAUUCUUUCUGUAAUGUUGAAUUUCAGUUACAUAUGAAUAUUUUUGGAAUUGUUAAGGACAGUAAAUCUGGAAAAAAUAUACCCACUAUGUAGUAUAAAAUGGAUUUAAAUAAAGAAAGUAGUAUUUCAUGAAAUAUUUUAUUAUUGAUGGGUAUAUAUGAAUUUUAUCCAAUUUUGUAACCAAUGGUUUCUAAUAUGUCCAAGUGGGUAGCAUUAAUUUAAGUGGGACAGAGAAAGUACCACUCUAACUGUGAAUAUUUGUUUCUUUUGGCAGACAAUAUGGCUUGCAAAAGAUGAGUGGAUCUUCACACAUGCAAGGGCCCGCCCUUUUUGAACCACGCUACACUACCAGGCCUGUAAAAGACCUGGUAGUGCAGCUCUCUCACAUCGGGGUGGGGUGUGGAGGUUGGGGUGGGUUUUUUUAACAUGGGGGACCCAGCCGAGGUGAGAGAAAUGAGAGGAAAGGAGCUCUACCAGGCCUAAAAGGCCUGGUAGAGAAGCUUAAUUCUUUGCUUUUUUCAUACCCAUGCGCUGUGCAUAUUAUCAGCCAACCAUCGGUUACCGGAGUUUUUCUUUAUGAGAUGCAGUGACUGUGUUCGGUGGCUUCCAAAGGCUUGGAGAACUCGACCGUCUCAAUGAUGACCUCGACUGUGGUUGCCAGAGUGGAAGUUGACCAAGGCCUUUCAUAAAAUAGGUGGAAUGCGAAAUAAAAUUUUCGAGCCCAAUGAAUAUACCAGAACAAUGUUUUUUUUGACCUUUUGUAUCCACUUCUUUGAUUUCUUCAUUUAUACCCAAAUCUGACCCAAGCAAAAUGGCCAAGAAUAUCAAUAACUAGCUCAUCUGUAUGGGCUUUUAACUUACAAAGGCCAGUGUUUUUUUGAAAUGGGCAACUUGCAAAAAUAUCUUUAAAAUUAGAUGUGUUUUGAAAAAUGAUAUGAAAAGUUUUUAGGAAGUAAAAAAUGCUGUGUAAAAAAAGUGACACAAUGUUACUUUUUUAUAAAAAAAAAAUUGUCACUUUUUUUCACAAACUCAAAAAAAGUGACAAAAUUNNNNNNNNNNNNNUUUUCACAAACUCAAAAAAAGUGACAAAAAUAAAAAAAAAAAAAAGAAAAAGAAAAGUGACAUGAACACUAAAAAAGUUAUACAAACUCAAAAAAAGUGACACAAACUUAAAAAAAAAAAAAUAACAAACACCAAAAUAGAACCAUCCAUUUAUGCAGCAUUAUUAAUCACGUUCUCAACAUAAUCAGCAUAUUCAGGACAAUUCACGUGAACAUAGUGGCGGUUCUUAAUCAACAUGUGCAUUGUCCACACGCUAAUUAUGUUAGGAAAAUAUAUCAUAUUAUGUCUCUUUUUUUAUCUUCAAAAAGUGACAAAUAUUAAAAAAACGUGACAAAAACUUAAAAGGUGACAAAAAACUCAAAAAAAGUGACAAUCCAAAAAAGUGACAUAGUGCCACUUUUAAAAGUUUACUGUCACUUUUUUAUUAAAAAAAAUGACAUACAAUUUCUCUUUUAUUACAAAAUGAUGUUUGCCACUAAAAAUGUGAUAAAAAUUUCAAGAAGGCAACUGAAAAAAAGAAGAAGCAACUAACACUAAAAAAAAGUGACAAAUACUAAAAAAAAAAGUGACAAAAUUUCAAAAAAGUGACAAAUUUUAAAAGUGAAAUGCACAAAAAAGUAAUAAACACUAAAAAAGAAGUGACGAAUUUAAAAAAGAGAUAGAAAUCAAGAAUGUGACAAACAUUAAAAAAGUAACAAAAAUUCAAAAAAGUCAUGGAAAUUUUAAAAAAGUUACACAACUUCUUUUAUGUGUUGUCUUUUUGCAAUUAUAUUUUACUUCUAUUAACUAAAAUAUUAACUUGACUUUGGAAGACAAAAAUUCAAAAAAAGUGACAAAUAAAUCAAAACAUUAUAAUAUAUAGAUCCAGUAGAUAGUUUAAUUUCUUUUGCAUAUUGUCUCUUUGUAAUUAUAUAUUUUACUUCUAUUAACUUGAUUCAUCCAGGAAUAUAAAAUGUAAAGAACCUUCUGAUCAAGAAGCAUGAAUAAGUGCAUCAGCUUACUUAUAAAUUAAGUAAAAAUGUGUGUAUUUCAUGGCCCUGAUUUUUGAAUAGACCCAAAGCCAUACACAAGAACUACAUAACAGCCCUACAUAACAACAUGUGUUUAAGGUAUCAUGAUCCCAAACCCAAUACAAUCAACCAACCUAAUACAUAACAGAAUAGUUUAGUCUUCACUCUGCCCCCUAGCACAAACUCAAUUCUUCACUUCCAAUAUCCUGUUUCCUCACCUCGGUCAAGCUUCACACUAACAUCACUUUCAUUUUCUUUAUUAUAGAGGCAGACAGAAUUGCAUUCAUCAUCAUUUAUUUCUAUAGUUCCUCAUACGAUUUAAGCACACAAACAAGAUCAAGUAAUGCUUACAACAACAAUUUACAAAUUUGUUAUGUCAACUAUAGAAUGACUAAAAACUUAAAAGAGCAAAUUUCAAGUAUUAUUAAGUUCAAGAAGGUGGAGGAAAGAAAUAAUCAUUUAUACCAACAUUGCUUUUCAACUUUUACUAAUAGGGCCAAAAUUUCCUCACUAAAUUUCCUUCUAUUUCUUUUAUUUACAACUUUCAAGCUGUGAAAAUUUCUAAAAAGCAUAACAUCACAUACGAAUAUCAAAAUCAGAAGAAAUAACCUUCUGAUCCCAAUCUUACAUUCAUCAUUUGCAAAUGGGCUUAAGGGGCACUUAAACCUUUGAAAAGAAUGAACAUGCAGCAAUGGAUUUUGGGAAUAUAUACCAGUUCAUGCCAUCAUUAGUUUUACACCCAAAUCAGAAUCUGAUAUUUCCUCAGCCAUAAAAUAUAUUUUCAAGAUAGGAACCACUUCAGAGCUAACGAUUGCUCGCCCAAGGCAAUGCCACUCCUUAAAAGGCCAGGCAGUCAGGCAAAGGAGGUUUCUACUACAAUACAAGUCGAGGAAAAAACUCUUGACAGUAUCAUCACAGUAGUCUCGAAACUAAGCACCUUGGAUUUCCCUUCAUCUAUCACUUUGGGUGUCCACACACUCCUUGUUUUGCUUUUGUUCCGCGAGAAAGAAGAUUAGAGUUAUCAGCUUCUCAAACAAAGGGAUAGUUCGAAUGUUCUCAAACACCCAUGGAAAUGCAUUGAUAUAAAUUUCCAUGGUUAAAUCUGAAUUUGAUUGGAUUUUCUGGGUUUUGAUUUUGGUUUAAUUGGGUAUUGUUGAUGGUGGGAAGAAGAUGAAGUGGCCUGGGAAUCUGGGGACUGGGAUGGAGUGGUUUGGGGAUUUUUAUAACGUAUUUAAUACGUUGUUAAUUUACUUAAUUAAUUAUUAGGGUAUUAAUCAAUUUAGUCAAUUUUUUAUGGUAAUGGACCUAAUUUAGCCUUUGAAAUUAUAAGUUGGUCGAGUAUUUUUAACUACAUAUGUCAUUGAAUUCACAAUUUUUAUUAACUUUUUAUGGGAUUACCAACUUAUAAUCUCAAAAAGCUUUAUCAAAUAAAGGUUUAAUUUAAUCUUAUUCAUAUUAAAUCCGACGUACUAAACACUUUCAUACUCAUGAAUUGAAAUCUUCACAAAUAUGAAGGCAACAAAAUUGCGCUCAUAGACGGAGCAAUUUGUUGACCUUUUGUACGAGGUAUAACAUGUUAGUGUCAUGAUUCCCACAAAUGGUGCCAAUCUGUUGACCUUAAAAAAUGUGCCAACAGAAUCCCGACCUCAUCCCCUUUGCAUAGGCACACGGAGCACCCUGUUAGGAAGCAAAGGCUGUCGUCGAGAAAAAGGAUCGAUGAUCAUUUGCAUUCCGACGAUUGAGUCAAUGACUUGACAAAAAAUAUAAAAAGUACAAAAGACGGGAGAGGGGGUUUGGUUCGGGUUAAAAUAACAUACAUUAAUUAUGAAAUAAGUCCAGAAAUAAAUGGAGAUGGCCUGGUGGGUUAAAUAAAUGGGCCAAGUCCAAUUAGGCCUAAUAUGAAAUAGGUAUGACAGAUGGUAAGCUAUUAAGAAAAAGAAUAGUCAAGGAGGAAUGGUCAACACCAACGUAGGGAUCUACUCCACCAAGACACAAAUCACAGCAUAAGAGGAAUGAAGAGAGGUGACAUUCCGUUAUUCCAAUAAGUUGUAGAACCUAAUGACCUUGUUUCUAUCAAAUAAAGUCAAACACUUUCCAAACGAACAAAAAUUAUCACCAUGUUAUAACAUCAUCAAACUUUGUAUUUUCACUUGAAAGGUUACAAUACACUUUGCGGAUAUAUAUACACACACACACACACUUAAACGUGGAAACAUGUACGGAUGACGAGCCUCUACUCCAAUGAUCGUCUACAUUAUUUAAAAGAACUCCAUUAGUACAACAUUAAACAAACUGGACCAGUCAUCAAUAAAGUACUUGUUAAUUAAAAAAUUCAAAGCCAUUGAUUGAAGAACCAUGUGGACGAGCUACAUUUGGUCUAAUAGUUACAUCAUUAACUAGGCUAAAUUUUACCUAUACAUUGGACAUAUUGUGCUUGGAAAUUAUUUUAUGAUUACAUGUGUAUUAAGCAAGUUAAAAAAAUUUGUCGAAAUUUAUGGUGCAAAUCAGUUUAGAAUUUUCUACUUCAAGCAGAGGCAACUUAGAUGAAUGUUAACAAUCACAUUUGUCAGCGAGAUAAUCUUAGUUACUAAUCAAUUAUAAUCAGUUCAGAUUAUUAAUCCAUCUCAGCAUUAAGUAUAAUUAUGAACUCAUAUUAUACAUCGAGGUGUCAAAACUUGUAUAUAUUGAAAAAUUAUAAUAGUACAUAGCUAAAAUACAGAAAAUCUGUUCAUUGCAAAUAAAAGGUGUUACAAAGGCAGAGUGCCUCAAAGCUAUAACACAGUAUAAAGAAACAAAGAAGCUAAAACUCCCAAAAGGUGGCAUCUUCUUGCUGGAGCUCCCGUUGGUUCUUCAAGGUCUUCAACAGAGUCUUCAAUAGCAUCGUCUUCUGGGAUGGCUAGCUCUUUUGGGAAAACUUAUCCCUUAUUGGAGCCAAGUCAAAAUGUGGCCGUCAUACUCAGCCAUUUUAGUGAAAUUCUCUAAGUACUCAGUAACUACUAUUUUCCCAGCCCUUUCUAACUAUUGCAUCAGAAUUACAACUUCAGUAGUCAACUCACCAACUUCGGAUUUAAGCUCUCAUUUUUCCUUCUUAGCCUCCUCCAAAGCUAAUGAAGCUAUUUUGUGCAAGUUGUCAAAAAUCUCUACCAGCUACAUCAAAACAUUUACUUUAGCCUUGCAAAGGUAGACCUCCAUAUGCAAAUCUUCAUUUUCAAAAGUGAGGAGACCCAACCUCGACUCCGUUUCAACAUAUCUAAGCUUAAAGGCUUUGAUAACUUCAUUGGAGGUAGAGGCCUCAACUUUCAGGCUUUUUACUUUCUCAACUGCAUCAAUCGCCUUUUGGUAAAAGUCUCUAUUUAGCCUCUGCAGCCUCUUUAUGUCUAUUUGGGCAUUCAGGAAAAAGUCUUGUAAGCGAGCCUACAGAGCGAUAGGUCUCUAAAUAAGAGGCAUGCUUUUCAAUCCAAUACUUGUGAUGGACUCUUGUAUUUGCUUGGACCUCGACGAGAAGCAUCUCCUGAAGCUUAGGAGGCAACUCAUCUGAUCUCCUCCAAGGAAGUUCUUAGCCUUCUCUUCAGCAGGGUCAUGCUCUUCGACCUUCUCUUUUCAAUGAGGCUCUCUCCGUCAUUAGCCUAGUCUUCAAGUUUUAUCACUGGGAUUGAUGAGAUAGGUUCAACCAAAAUGUUGGGCAAUUUCAAUUAUUGCAAGAAUAAAUUUAUCAAUCCAAGCAACCAACUAGCGCAAUUAAAUAUGCAAGCAGAUGAUCAAAACAAAAACAAGCAAAACGGAACACCAAAUUUUACGUGAAAAAACCCUCCAGUGUAGAGGGAAAAAAAUCACGGGCAACUCCGGUCAAAAUCCACUAUAAUAAAAUAUAGAUUACAAUUAUUCAAGUUUAUGCCCCUAAACAUGAAUUCUCCACAAAUUGGAAAUACCACAAUAAACCAAUCUCUAAGACUACAAUUAUCUCACCACAAAUCAACACUAUGAUUAAACUUGUGAGAACCCACUUUGAAUACUACACCCACUAGAGUAUCCAAAAUACACCUUAGAGAAAUUCCAAUUUGUUAUUAAAUAGAGAAGAAAAAACCUGUGUGAAAUCCACACCCAAUUGAAAGAAAACCUUUCUCUGGCAGUCACAAUUUUUCCCUACAGUAGCCGCCGUUAUUUUCUUCUUCUCUAGCCGGUCUCUCACAGCGCAGCCCCUUGUAGAACAAUUUACUCUUCUAGCAACAGGUAAGUUAGGCCCUGUUUGGCACCCAUUUUUAUCAAAAUGCAUUUUUCAACCACACAUUCUUUAUUAAAAUAAUAUUACACGUAAAUCAAAAACUUUUUCUUAUUUUUCAACCACACAUUUCCCAUCAAUUUACUAUUCAAAAAUACAUUUUCACAUAAAAAUUCCUACCAAACACCCUCUUAAUGUUUCUCACAAUAGGGGCCGCCUUUUUUGACCAAUGAAUUUGUCUCUUACUUUAACAAAUUCAGCAACAGUAUUCAUCUCUCAAUUCUACCACGGUUUGGAGACUUCCAGUAUAAUUCCUCUCUGCCACGGUUUGGAGGAAUAAAUUCUUCUACCACCAAUUGACCUAAUUAAACAACAUUAAUUACUUGGGCCAAUUAAUUUCCUUUUAGGCUGCACGUUGAUUUUAAUUACCACACAAGUGGGCUGGACCCACUUCAACAAUCUCUCCCUCUAGCCCACUGAGAAGGAGAUUAACCUCUAGCAAAUUAGUUAGAAUCCAUGCCAGCCAGUUCGGCACAAAGCUCAAGCUUUUCUCUGGUCACAACCUUUGUCAUCAUGUCAGCUGGAUUUUUCUCAGUAUAAAUCUUUUCUAACAAUAUUAAUUGUUUUGCCACUACCUGUCAUAGCCAAUAAUAUCUCACAUCAAUGUGCUUCGUCCGAGAAUAAUAAGUAGCAUUCUUGCUCAAGUCUAAUGCACUCUGACUGUCACAAUUAAGUACAUACACAUCUCACUUCAAACCCAAAUCUUGAAGAAACCGUUUCAUCCAAAGCAUUUCUUUCGCUGCUUCAGUCGCUAUAAUAUACUCAGCCUCAGUUGUAGAUAAGGCAACACACUUUUGUAAUUUGGACUGCCAUGAGACAGCUCCCUCUGCAAAAGUAACCAAAUAUACUGAAGUAUAUUUUCUACCAUCAAGAUCACCUACCAUAGCUACAUCUGUGAAACCUUCCAAAACUGGUUUUGAACUUCCAAAUGUUAAGCACAUCUUUGAAGUACCUCUCAAGUAUCUAAAGAUCCAUUUAACUGCAUCCCAAUGAUCUUUACCUGGAUUAACAAGAAACCUGCUGACUACGCCAACUGCAUGAGCAAUAUCUGGCCGUGUACAGACCAUAGCACACAUCAAACUCCCAACUGCAGAGGAGUCUUUUCUAGAAGAUCUGGACGACCCGAUCAUGGAAAAUCGAUAUAUUUCUCCAAGAAAGAGAAGAUGAAUGCAAGAGAUAGAAAGGUCCCUGACCCUAUCCUUCUUCCAUACCAUACUCACCACGAUUCCAAAUGUACCUCGAGGUGUUGCCGAGGAACUGAGGGACCUUCUCGAGCACAGGAUAGGUAAUUGAGAGAUUCGUUAUAGGAAAUCAAUGAUCCGGACCGAAUAGAGCGAGAUCUUCCGGAGAAUAUAGAUCUACUGGAAAAAAAAAUAAGAAUACGUUAGAAAACAUUCGAUCCACCCUGGCAACGUGCUUCACCUUUAUGAAGCUCUGCUAGCUCAUAAAUAUCAUUCUUCUGCGAAGAAUUCAUCUCUUUCUGCAUAGCCUUCAUCCAGCUUUGUUUGUCCUUAUGAGAUUCUACCUCUUCAAAGCAUUCUGGCUCCCCCUUAUCAGUUACCAAUACAUAAUCUGAUACUGGAUACCUAGUUGAUGGACGAUGCUUCCUGUUAGAUCUUCUGAUCUGAGGUUCUGAUAUAGUAGGCUGCUCCCCCUGCUCAACAUCCUCUAAAUCAUCCUCAUCAACCCUUGCUGGCUCAUCAGCAUGUCUGUCUACGUAUGUCUCUACCCCCUGAGUGGCAUUGUCUGAAGGUAAAAAAACAGGUGUAAGGUCAGUGACACCUUCAGUAACACGUCUCUGAUUUCCAGAUUUCUCAAAAUCUGCCAACUUCUGAUUUUUAUGAAAAAUCACAUCUCUGCUUUUGAUAAGUUUCUUCUUUUCUGGAUCCCAUAAUCUAUAGCCAAAUUAUGCACCUCCAUAGCCAACAAAAAUGCAAGGACUAGAUCUAUCAUCUAGUUCCAACCGUUGUUCCUUUGGCACAUGUGCAAAUGCUUUGCACCUAAACACCUUCAAGUGAGAAUAAGAAACAUUCUUUACUGUCCAUACUUUUUUUGGAAUCUCAAAAUCCAAAGGAGCUGAUGGAGACCUGUUGAUUAGAUAGCACGCUGUUCAAACUGCUUCACCCCAGAAUGACUUAGGUAACCCAGCCAUCCUUAUCAUACUUCUGACCUUUUCCAUAAUAGUGCAGUUCAUUCUCUCUACCACACCAUUGUGUUGUGGGGUACCAGGAACUGUCUUCUCAUGUCUAAUACCGUGUUCUGAACAGUAAUCUUUAAACACUUUAGACGUUUAUUCCCCUCCGUUGUCAGUUCGGAGACACUUUAAGAGCUUUCCACUUUCCUGUUCCACUAUGGCAUGGAACUCUUUGAAGUACUGAAAAACCUGGUCUUUUGAUCUCAAAAAGAACACUCACAACUUUCGUGAAGCAUCAUCAAUAAAAGUAAGAAAAUACUUAGUGCCACCUAAAGACUCCACCUCAAUGGGACCAUAAACAUCAGAAUAAAUCAAAUCUAAAAUAUUUGACUUUCUACUAGAGGAUUUCUGAAAUGAAACUCUAUGUUGUUUACCAAAUAAACAAUAAUCACAAGAGUUUAAUGAUGUACCUUUGGUAAAAGGAAUGAGGGUCUUCUUUGCCAAAGUUUGCAAUCCUUUCUUGCUUAUGUGAGCCAGUCUCUUGUGCCACAAGUCUAGUGAUGAAUCACUUUCAACUGCAUUCACCGCUUCACUACACAUCUUUACUUGUGUCUUGUAAAGUGUGCAACAAACCUUUCCUCUAGCACAUACCAUCGACCCUUUUGUUAUCUUCCAUUUCUGCUGCCAAAGUAAUUAUCAUACCCUGCUUCAUCAAAUGCAUGUGUGGAUAGCGAAUUCAGGCGCAUGUUUGGCACAUGUCGCACAUUUUUCAGUGUCAAGCUACAUCUAAUAUUUGUCUGAACACAAAUAUCACCAGUUUCGACAAUGCUGGCAAAACUGUCAUUACCCAUCUUCACCCUACCAAAGUCACCUGAUUUGUUUGAAGUGAAGAACUCCCAUCUUGGAGUAACAUGGUAAGAAGCCAUAGAGUCAAUAACCCAUUCAACAAAUGAAUCUGCAACAUGACAACAUUUUUCAUCUUCAGUAGAAAAAACAGCUAUCACUACUUCCUCAUCUGAAGCGCUAGCUGUUGUAUUCUAAUCAGUCUUCUUCCGAUUCUUCUCAUCUUUCAGUUUGUUUUUCCAAUCUAGGCAAUGCUUCUUUAUAUGACCCUCUUUGUCACAGUAAAAACAUUUGACCCUUCCUCUUGCCUUUGAGUGACUUCUGAAGUUACCACGUCCCUUGGGACCUCUGCUUUUACUCCUUCCUCUGUUCUCUGUAACAAGAGCCGGUGUGUCAUUCCUACCCAAGUCUUUCCUUCUUAUUUCUUCAUCAAACAAGCUGUCUUUAACUAGAGUAAGUUCAAGCACACCAUUCGGAGCAGAGUUACUAAGUGAUACCACCAAAGUCUCCCAACUAUUAGGCAAUGAACUAAAAAGUAAUAGUGCUUGCAUCUCAUCAUCUAGCACUAUUUUCAUUAUGGUCAACUGAUUUACCAAGUCUUGGAAUUCACUCAAAUGCUCAGCAACCGAUUUUCCCUCCUUUAGCUUCAGAUUCACGAGCUUUCUAAUAGCAAAAGCUUUAUUUGAGCGGUCUUCCUCUUAUAGAGACUUUCCAAAUUUUCCCAAAGGCUAUGGGCAUCUGUCUCUUGAGAUAUAUGAUGGAACAUAUUAAGGUCAACCCACUGUCUAAUAUAACCAAUGGCUUUACUGUUCAUCUUCUUCCAGUCACCGUCACUCACACUGCUUGGCUUAGCACUAUUACCUUCAAUAGGUUCAUGUAAAUCUUUACAAUAAAGAAUAUCCUCCAUCAUAAGCUUCCAAACAGAAUAAUUUGAAGCCAACAAUUUAAUCAUAGUGCCCGAAGAAUUCUCCAUUUAUUUCACAAUAAAACCACACCCACACAACCUCAGCUCUGAUACCACUUUGUUGGGUAAUUUCAAUUAUUGCAAGAAUAAAUUUACCAAUCCAAGCAACCAACUAGCUCAAUCAAAUAUGCAAGCAAAUGAUCAAAACAAAAACAAGCAAAAUGGAACACCAAAUUUUACGUGAAAAAAACCCUCCAGUGUAGAGGGAAAAAAAUCACAGGGCAAUUUCGGCCAAAAUCCACGUAAUAAAAUAUAGAUUACAAUUAUUCAAGUUUAUGCCCCUAAACUUGUAUUCUCCACAAAUUGGAAAUACCACAAUAAACAAAUCUCUAAGACUACAAUUAUCUCACCACAAAUCAACACUAUGAUUAAACUUGUGAGAACCCACUUUAAAUACUACACCCACUAGAGUAUCCAAAAUACACCUUAGAGAAAUUCCAAUUUGUUAUUAAAUAGAGAAGAAAAAACCUGUGUGAAAUCCACACCCAAUUGAAAGAAAACCUUUCUCUGGCAGUCACAAUUUUUCCCUACAGUAGCCGCCAUUAUUUUCUUCUUCUCUAGCCGGUCUCACAGCGCAGCCCCUUGUAGAACAAUUUACUCUUCCAGCAACAGGUAAUUUAAUGUUUCUCACAAUAGGUGCCGCCUUUUUUGACCAAUGAAUUUGUCUGUUACUUUAACAAAUUCAGCCACAGUAUUCGUCUCUCAAUUCUGCCACGAUUUGGAGACUUCCAGUAUAAUUCCUCUCUGCCACGGUUUGGAGGAAUAAAUUCUUCUACCACCAAUUGACCUAAUUAAACAACAUUAAUUACUUGGGCCAAUUAAUUUCCUUUUGGGCUGCACGUGGAUUUUAAUUACCACACAAGUGGGCUGGACCCACUUCAACACAAAAUAGGUUUCUCCAGCGACUCUUCAAUCGUCUUUUAUUUACUUAGAGAUGGAGGAGAUUUGAUAUUCUUCAUCAUCGUCGUCUUUCUUUUUGGGCCCUCUAACCAGGGGACUCCGUUUACUUUUUCCCCCUUAUAUUGGGAAGACGGAGGGUUUAGCUUCGACAGAUAAGAUAGUUUAUCCCGCUGAUGUUUAUAGGAAGAGAUAUUGGUGUUUAAGAGUUUGUUCUUUUUUGGCCUCGUCUAAUUGUCUUAGAAAACAAGUUAGGAUUGACAUAUUCUUUCUUCUCAUGUUGAUUUGCACAAAUAAUGGACAUUAUUCUUCAUAUUUGGUUUAUGAGGGUUCGAAAACAAAGGAUAAAUCAGGGGAUAUACCUUUGAUGGCCAUUAGUAAAUGAUUAACAAAAGGGAUUUGCCUCAUUAUUACCUUUGCAAAGGACCUCUUUUUGAUGGAGAUUUUGUAGAUCUUUAGAACUAUAGCCCAUUCUUUUGGUUCGAGCUUGAAUCUAUUACUGCAAAUAAACAAAAAUCAAAUUAGCAAAAAAUUAUACGAGUGUAAGUGAUAGACUUAGUCUUCCUAAAGUAAAACUCACUAUACUCAUGAUACUGUGUCAAAAUAGUGAUCUCAAGAAUUACAUUGCCUUCCAAAAUUUGCCAGUGACCCUGUAAGCAAAACCACGAAGACUUCAAAAUUUUUAUGGACGUAAGGAUUCUUCGAAGGGAAGGCGAAUACGAUUCCCAAUAGCUCAUACAGUACAAACAUUUAAAAUUCUCCAUCUACUACUGGCUCGGGACUGGAAUAGGGUCUAAAAAAUGUGGAGAGACAUAUCCUCACCAAGAGUGACAUCCUUCCAGAGAAGAAAAGGCCCUGUCAAUUGGCUCCAUGGAUUUGGUAAAAGUUAGGUGGGGAUAAAGUUAUAGUGCCUAAGUAUAUGCCUAAAGAAAGGAUGAAGAGGUAGCCUCAUCCCUCCACACAGAAUUACCCCACUGAUAGCAGCUCAACCUUGCUUAUGGUAAUAGGCUCAUUCAUUGGUGGUUGUCACCAUCUUGGAUCCUAAACAUGUCCCUAAAUCCCUCAAGUUUGGUGUGUCUUUAAUAUUAGUAGGCCACAUAGAGGCCCCCACCUAAUACUAUGGUCAAUAGGGCUCUCUUGCAUCAUCAAUGCACUAUGAGGACCACCCAUCGCCUCCAUAAUCCUCUCAAUAGGGAUUAAAGGUGGUAAACCAGCCUCGACACAUAUCAGUGCUAUAUCAACCUCCCCAGACGACCUUGUUUGGUGACUAUUUUAGAAGAAGAAGCCAUUUAAACAGUGUUCAAAAAAUCAGAGGAUGAACUAACUAAUAGAUAACGUAUGCUAAGGAUAAACAACUUAAUCAGAAAGAAGAACGCAAGUUACUCCCUGAAGAAAUUUCUACAAUCGCUAGAGAUUUCACAAUUCAUUUUUGUUUUGAGUAUUUAAUAUAUUUGCAAACCAUAUCAUGGGAAGUAAAAUGUUCUUACAGUAUACAUGAUGUGAUCUGGGCAAAUUUUUAGAUUUUGGCAAGUUUCCCAGUUUAAGUUGAAUUUUAAUAUUUUAGCAUCUUUAAUUUAUUUUGGACGUGUUUUGCUAAUUUAAUUAGGUUUUCUAGAUCUAGUGUAAAUACUUAUUUCUUUUCCAUUGUAAUGUUAGAACUUUUAUCAUGAAUUAAUGAGAAUGUUCUCUCGUGAAGCUUCGUUUCAAAAUUAUUGUUCUUCAAUGGGAAAAUCCGAACUUAUCAAGAUUUAGCGAUCUUGUGGCAUUCAAAUUCGGGUUGUGAUUUAUAUAAUUAUUUGUAAUCAAAGGUCCUUCACAACGCCAUUCUUGUUAGGUUGUUUGGUUCGUAAUUAUUGAGUCAGAUUCAAAAUUUCGGGUGAUAUUCAAUUAAUUUGCGUAAUCAAGAGGUCUGCACAUCAUCGGUGAUUCGGGUUGCUUGGUUCCAGAUUUAUUGAAUUUAAUCCAAAACCUUGCUUUGGCUUUCUUGGGAAGAUUUCCAUCUUGUUCGUGGGUCGUAGCGUUUGCCUACGUGGGUUCAUAUUAGUUGGUAUCAGAGCUUAGGCACCAAUCCAAGGUUAUAUUCCUUUUACAUUCUUGUUGAGUCAAUUGUUCUUUUUAUAAUUGUUCCUGGUGUUCUUUGAGUCAGCUAUUAAUUUUGAGUCUUUGAUCCAAAAAAAUUCCAAAAAAUUUCCAAAAGUUGUUUUUGGAUUCAAUCUGCAUCCAAAUCAACUUCCGUUUAUUGCCUUAGUGUCGUUUUGUAUUUUUCUAUCCCUAGAUUAGAAAAAAUUAUUGUAUGGUACUAUUCAUUUCGUACAGUACCCGAAAAAAUUUUAUGUGUCAAAAAAACAAAAUUUUUUUACCGACUAUUCCUUUGAAUCAAAUUAUAUUUUUUGUCGAGUCAAAUCUCAAUUCAAAAACCACUUUCUUGAAUUUAUAAAUUUCCAAUCAAGUUGUCCAGUUCAAAAUUCUUUUGAGUCUUUGAGUCAUAAUUCUCACACAUCCCAUUUGGAAUUAAAUUCAAUAUGACUAAAGGGGUGAUUCGGCGAUUGGAGAGGUUGUUGGUAGAUAUGGAUGAAAUGGGAAAUAGAAUGGAUAAGCUUGAAAGGAGGAGUAGAAAUUUUAUUGGGGACGGUGUUGAUAAGAGUUUGGGACUUGUGAAGUUGACAAUUCUACAAUUUAAGGGAAGGAACGAUCCCGAGGCAUACUUGGUAUGGGAAGAAAAGAUUGAAGUAAUGUUUGAGCACUAUAAUUAUUGCGAGGAGAGAAAGUUGAAAUUGAUUGUGAGCUCAUUUGUAGAUUACGCUUUAAUCUGGUGGGAUGAGUUGACAAAAUCUAGGCGGAGGAAUGGAGAGAGGUGUAUUGAAACUUGGGAUGAAUUGAGAACUAUAAUGAGGAAGCGAUAUGCACCUAAUUAUUUUUAUAAGCGGGAUCAGCGUGAGCGGGAAUUUAGAGAAGAGCCUAGAAGAUAUAGUGGAGUUGGAUAUUCAAGGGGAGAGAAAACACCAUUUGUGAAGUAUGUUGACCAUACAUCUAGCAGGAGGACUGGAAUGGAUUAUAAGCAUUAAUUCUCAAAGAUUCGUGAAUUGUUAAAUUCUCAAAUUAACCACGUGAUAGAAAAGGAGAGUACAGGAGAAAUUAGUGGGGUGGUUAGUUGCGAGUAAAAAAUGAGAAAAGCCGCAAGAGAGUGAAAAGAAAAUCAAGAGUGAAAACAGCGAAAUGGUUGAAUUGGAAGUGGAGGUACAUGAUGAAAAUGAGGAAAAGUCUUCGGAGGUGAAAAGGGAAUCGAAAGUGAACUUGCACGAAGAGGAGAUUAAAAUUGAGGAGGCGUUGGCAAUAACUAACAAUUCCCUCCCUGUUUUGAAUAAUUCUAUUUUGUAGGUUAUCGAAUAUUUAAUUCCAAAAAUUUAUCAUGUUGGAAUACCACUCGAUCCAGGAAUUGUGCUUCAAUUGGAUUUCUUUUGUUUGCCAGAAAUCGACUUUUUGAUUCCCGAGAAGACAAAGAAGUUUCAAAGGUAUUGAAAGGAUUUCAUAUGCAGAGGGCUGAGUGAAGUAGAUGAUCUGAAGGGCAACAUUGGAACAAUGGAAGUGACAUUGUUACAAGUGCGUAGGCCAAGUAGAGCAAGAAAAAAACAUGGUUAUUCAUCAGAUGGAAUUGUUAUUGGAGCAUUCCAUACUUGCAAGAUUAAACAGUCAAGGCAAGCACACUUUAGUCCAUGUGAAGGUGAUUGGGUUUACUUAUAAAAAAGACGAAUACGAAGCCAAAAGAGGUCCAAAUUGCAUCUGAGGGAAGACGGACCAUUUCAUGUUCUUGCCAUGAUUGGAGAUAAAAGUUACAACUUGGAACAGGAUUCGAGGACAAAUCCUUUCAAAGAGAGAGGGUCUGAUGUGAUACAGGCGAAUUUUCAGAUUUUGGCAAGUUUCCUAGUUUAAGUGGAAUUUUAAUAUUUUAGCAUCUUUAAUUUAUUUUGGAUGUUUUUUCCUAAUUUAAUUAGGUUUUCUAGAUCUAGUAUAAAUAGUUAUUUCUUUUCCAUUGUAACGUUAGAACUUUUAUCAUGAACUAAUGAGAAUUUUCUCUUGUGAAGCUUUGCUUCAAAAUUAUUGUUCUUCCAUGGACAAAUCUGAACUUAUCAAAAUUUAGCAAUCUUGUGGUGUUCAAAUUCGGGUCAUGAUUUAUAUAAUUAUUUGUAAUCAAAAGGUCCUUCAUAGCGCUAUUCUUGUUGGGUUGUUUGGUGCGUAAUUAUUGAGCCAGAUUCAAAAUUUCAAGUGAUAUUCAAUUAAUUUGCGUAUCAAGAGGUCCGCACAUCUUCGCGAUUUGGGUUACUUGGUUCCAGAUUUAUUGAAUUUAAUCCAAAACCUUAUUUUGGCUUUCUUGAGAAGAUUUUCAUCUUGUUCUUGGGUUUCAUAGCAUUUGCUUAUGCGGGUUCACAUCAACACAUCCCAUCAAUGUUAUAUCACCGGAAUGAUUUCAACCUUAACACAAGCUUCAAGUCAAUCAACAAGCUCGCCCUUAGUGCAAGGGAAUCACCUUAAUGAAUUUCAGCCUUAACACAUGCUUCACUUUAAUCAAUAGGCUCGCCCACAAUGCAAGGCCAUCAUUUUCAUGAAUUACGGCCUUAACAUAGGCUUCACUUCAAUCAACAAGCUCGCCCUCAAUGAAAUGACAUCGCCUUCAUGAGUUUCAGUCUUAACACAGACUUCACUUCAAACAAAAGGCUUGCCCAUAUUGAAAGAAUAUCGUCUUCAUGAAUUUCAACCUUAACACAGGCUUGACUUCAAUCAACAAGCUUGCCCACUAUGCAAGGGCAUGACCUUCAUGAAUUUUAGCUCUUUACUUCGACCAACAGGCUCACUACAGCAUAAGGACAUCACAUUAAUGAAUACUUUAAUAAGCUCAAAUCGACAAGAAAGCUUCGACCACGAUAAUGUUCAUAUAUUACCAUGAGAGUCUUCUCAUGUUACACAUUAUAUGUCCACGCAUUUUAUAAAUAACCUUGCUUCGACAUAGGGGUAGAAAGGCACAUGGCUACACAACAAGUAAACCUAGCUAAUCAACAUAAUACAGUUCGUGCAAGAAUCUCGACAAAAUAUCACAUCUCAACCUAAAAGUUCACACAUUAUAUAAAUAAUCAUAUGUAAACUUGAGAAAUUAUUGUUAUCCCUCUGCCAACGAGACUCAAAGCUUGGCCACAUAGCCAAACCCAAGCUCGUACUCCUCAUCACUCUAUUGUCGAUAAGGUAAUACCAGUAGAACUUUAUAAAGUUCGAACUUAUUUGCCUUAACCGAACCCCGUAGAAAGAGCCAGGUUGUUAGGAGUGGAAGAUCUUCCAUGAUCUUUGAUGAAUGAUUGAUGUGACAAUUCAUCGCCACAGUCGCCUCAGCAACCAAAUAAGUCAAGUCUAGAUCCUAUGUAACGGACUUAGAGCGACAAAUUGUAUUAGCAUUAAAUGUACAUGAUUGAUUGAUGCAUGUGAUGAGGGACCUCAGUCGUUGAGGCCGUGUUUUUAAUCAUCCAGUGGUUCUUAUUCAUUCAUUUCUACUAUAAAAGCUAACACAUGGUGCCUUCCAAAGGUACUACAAGUUUAGACUUUCAACUUAAAUCUACUCUCUGUUUUUCACAUUUAUUUUUUGAAAAUGAGCCCCUUUUAAAGAAGUGGCUUGCAUUUAAAGCUCAUCCCAUACUUAAACACAUAUAAUAUCAACUGACUUCACCGUCAGAGUGUAUGCAACUAACUCCACCUUCAUCGGAGAAGGUCACGUGUAUCUAACGGUUUUUCCUAAAUGUACAGGACCAAGCUUACGUAGAUGAGAGAUGUUAUGAGAUCUGUUGAUAAUGUUGGAAGUACAAAAAUUGAGGUCAACAUAACUAUCUAUUUCAUGAAACUCAAAGCUUAUAAUAAAAAAAGUUAAAAAAAACUGGAGUAUAAUAGUUAAGAGAUUAUAUUGAACAAGGUCCAAUCAAAAGUCAGGAUGAUAGUUAACAUUGGGAUAUUAGUACCAGUAAUGAGCAAACAUUAUUUUUUUCUAUCAGCAUGUGCGCACCUUUUAGGAAAACAAGUAGUUUAGAAUGCCCUAACAUUUAUAAAAAGGUCUACCUAAAUUGUUUCUCAAUUGAUUUUUUUUUUUUUUUGGUUAUUAGGUCAUAUAACCCUUCGUUGUUGGAAUUAAAUCAUUAUUGCAAUUUUUUUUUGUGGAAAUUGUUAAAGACAUUAAAAGUUCACUUGAUAGACGGGUAAAGAACAAUACUAUCUAUCAUAAUUGUGAUUAUCACUAUAUUGAGGUGACAUUGAAUGAUAGGUCUAAUAAAAUAAGUUGCAUGUCCCUAUAUUUAAUUAGAUCUAUUAUUCAAUGCUAUUUCUAUUGUCACAUAGAGUGAAGAUAAUAACUAGUAAUAGAUACCAUUACUCACGUAAAACAUCUUUUGAUUAGAGCCUAUGGUAGUCUUAUUUUAGAUUCCAUAAUAAUAAUUCAGAAAAUUAUCUUCUCUACUUAAUGCCCUUCCUAUGCAUCCUAUUUAAUUCUCCCUUUCAUUCAGUAGUCUCGUACAAGAAAUUAUGUAUACAAUUAGAAGAGAUAGCACUAAGUAGAUAUUAAGGUAGAUUAAGGUGGAUAGUAUUUUUAGAUUUUUUAUUUAAAUGAAUAUUAUUUGGAUUGUCAUUCUUAUCUGGCCUAAACCUAUCUUUGCAGCCCUAAUUAUAGCCCUUAUUUGACAACCAUUUUAAUGAGAAAUUUGGGUAAAAUGUAUUUUGGAAUAGUAGUUUUUGGGAAAAUGUUUGGUUGAAAAAGAAUGAAAGAUUUUUAUUUACGUGUAAUAUAUUUUAUUAAAAAAUGAGUGGUUGAAAAGAAGAAAGGGAAAAAUAAUUAAAAAUUUUAAGUGAACUAAAUAAGGAUGUUGACCUCGAAAAAUGUGUCAAAAGGUGUCAUUCAAAACAAUGUACACGUGGACAUUUUCUUCAAUAAAUUGAUUACGAUCUUAAGCACCGGUUUGACUACUGAUCGAACACAUUUAAAUAAAUGGGCAAAGUAUAUGUUUGUAGAAGAAGAAAGUAUAAAACAAUGAAUGGGUCUUUGUAGAGAAAUAUGCAAUGCUCAUUUAUAUGACCAGGCCGACAUGGUCAUCAUUGGAUCCAAUCCACAUGGCCUGAUUUACUAGACCCUGGUGUGCAUCAAUUCUAUCUCACAUUAAUUACAUUGACAUAAAAGAGAAGAGAGAUAGUCCACGAUUAAAGGAGAAGAAACCUCCAUGAAAGGAGGGAUUGGAAUUCCACAAUCCAAUGAUUUAUUAAUGAAUACAAUGACUCUUAUUUAUAGGGAAAACGAAGAGCAAUUAACUGACUAAUUUAAUGAUUAAUAGGCUAAUCACUAACUAAUUAACAAUCACUAACUAAUUGACAACCUAAUAAAUAUAGCUGAAAUAUUCUGGAAUUAACUGGAAUGUAUUUCUAACACGCCCCCUCAAGAUGGACUAUGGAGAUUAACAAUAGUUCAUCUUGAAGAUUAAAGAAUUUUAGCUCUGCUUCACUUGGAGGUGAUGCCUCUAGUUCUUAAUUCCAGCCAUAUGUCACCAGAUCUGAUGGAGAAGCAAGAAAUAGUGGAGGCUCUGACCAUCCAUAAAGAUUUCUGAAAGUUCAGAGAACCAAAAUAUGAAAGAGAAGAAAUUUUAUUGUAGAGAAUCAAUGAAGGAUUUUGAUGUUGUUGCCGCCAUUUUUUGAAGACGGGAACUGAACUUUUGCUGGAAUAACACUUUCCAGAAUUAUGCUGAAAUAGAGGAAAUUAGAGAUAUGCUUUCAUUUUGUAGAACACAGAAAGAGAAGAUGAAAAACUUAGAGACACACAACAGCAAGAAGAACUCUGCUCUGAUACCAUGAUAGAAUUCAUUAAUUGAGAAGAAAAAGACACUCCAUGGAAGAAGGGAUUGAAAUUCCAUAAUCCAAUGAUUUAUUAAUUGAAUACAAUGCUCAAUUUAUAGAGAAAAGGAUGAGUAAUAACUGACUAAUUGCCAGAUUAAUUUAGUGAUUAAUAGGCUAAUCACUAACUAAUUGACUACCUAACAAAUAUAGCUGGAAUAUUUUGGAAUUAACUGGAAUGUAUUUCUAACACCUCAAAAUGUUACAAUUAUAGUGACCAGGCCGACAUGGUCACCAUUGGAUCCAAUCCACGUGGCCUGAUUUGCUAGACCCUGGUGUGCAUCAAUUCUAUCUCACAUUAAUUACAUUGACAUGCAUUUGACAAGGGUUUAACCACCAUAUAUCCUAGGUUGGCAUUCCUGACAUCAAUUUAACAAGAACUUCAAAUCAAUCAAUCCUAAAUAUAAGCCUAUCAGACCCUCUUCUGGGCAUUAGGGACUUCAAAUGUUGAGGGGUUCGACAGACACGAGUAACCCCACUUCGGGUGAACAAGGGCGAAAACCACUUCAAAGAACUCCAGUACAACGACCUCAGCUAUUAAUGAAAUUACUUCCAUAACUCUUUCUUUACUCUUGAUUCAAUGCCACAUGUGUGGACAUGGAGUUCCAUGUGGCCCUCAAUAAAGCACUAUUUAUGAUCAGUAAUGAUAGUCCCCCCAAGUCUGUGUAUAGUCAUUCAUGUGAUACAUAAAAUUUAUAUUUCAUAAGAAAAAAAUAAAAAUUUUUGGUAGGGGAAAAAAUCUCUGAUUGUUUAACAAUAUACUCCACCAAAUCUAAUUUGCAAACAUUCAUGUGGAAAUUAGAGUUCUUGAUUAACUAAGGUGACCUAGAGGCUACAUUUAGGGAGAGAGAUAUCUGAACCGAUGCUCAUCAAUUCUGAGGUUGUAGUUAUACGUAUGUGCCAACGUGCCAGGCUUUAGUAAUGUAGAUAAGGUAGUUAGAGAUUGCAGAGGCUGUACAAGGUCAGCGUUGGAAAGUCCGAGGCGUUAUCGAGUGUCGUGCUGAAAUGAUUAGCCAUCGUCUGUAAUUUUCAAUAAAGACAGCUGACAAUGGUUCAACUUUCAAUACAUGCAAUCGUCGCAGCAUUUAAUGUUUCAUGAUAGCUAUCGUCGGCAUGCCUCCACUUGCCCAAGCAAAUUCGUGCGCGUGAGGGUUACGGUGUAAUCUGGGCCUCAGAAUACGAAACGGCAGAUGUUGUGAGUGGUUCAAAUUUAAUUGCCAAAUCAAUAGCUGGGGAAUUUGAUCUUGAAUCUAACGACUAGGAUCAAACCUCAUUGCCUACAAAAGGCCAAGGCCUUAGGAAAAAAUCAUUUUUUGCCUUUGCAUUAUCUUCUUUGUGCUCUUGUGUUUUUUGUUUUUUUUCUUUUUCUCAAUUUGUUUUCCGGUUGUUGAGCUCUUUGGAUUGUGAUUUUCAAAAAUCUUCUACCUUUUUCGAGUGAUUUAAAAAUUUUCUAACUUAGAUAACUCACAUGGUGUCUUCUUCAUCUUAGGCAAGGGUAGAUCUAAGAGAAGCAGCUGCUAAGAUGGGGGUUAAGAUUACAAACACUACCGACCUUAUGGAGGCCAUUAAAAUCGGCUGAAGUUGCCUUCCAAUAGUAGGGAGAGGGGCUGGGAUGAGGGUUGAGAGGCUGAGAAAAUACCACGCCUUCUACUUGGUAAGCCUAAUAGAAAAAUACUAUACACCUUAUGAUAUGGAACUCUUAGCCCCUUCCCCUGAUGAGCAUGCUUGUUAUCGCGGUUGUACACCUUAUAAUUACCUCACAUGAACUUUCACUUUAUUAUUCACAUAAUUAUAGGUUACAGUAUUAAUCAAAAUGUCCUUUUCUUAAACAAUUUUACAUAUUAUAGUUCCUUGGAAAAGGGAGGAACCUCUUUAAAUUAUUUUACUUUUGCAAUCCUUAAUGGAAAAGUAAUAAUUUCACUAAGAUAUUUUAAUAAAACAAGUUCCAACCCAAAGAAUGUUCCAAUCUAUUACAGGUUCAAAUAUAAUGCCCUUUCUAUUUCUCUAAGGGUCACAUGUCAAAGAAAUCCUCUCAAAACUUAGGGUCUGUUCUCUUUGAUUUUUUUUGGCCGUUUUCUAUUUUCGAUUUUCCAAAAUGAUGAAAACGCAUUCUCUUUUCCAUUUUUUGUGAAGAAAAUACUUGAGUGUUUUCAAUUGAAAAUACUAAAAACAUGUCAAAAACCUAAAACACGCAAAAUAGGAGAGAAAAAAAAGAGUGGAUGGUCGUGAGACUUCCAGCUUCAUUCUCUCCUUUAGGUCGUCACCUCCUUCUCCCUUCUUGACACUGACAACGAAUGAGUGGUUGAUGGUGCUGGCCCCGGCGUGGGAGGCGAUGCUGCUCUAAACCAUAGUAGCGUUGCGACCUAUUCAUUGCGAUGCUGCUGUGGUUGGGCCCAUCGUCGCAACGUUGCUGUGGUUGGGGGAGGCGACAUUUGCAGCACAACGAUGGGUGAUGGGUGUUGAUGGUGGUGGCGAUUUGGUUUCUUCUCGCUCUUCUCUCUCUCUCUCACUAUUGGGAGUUCUUUGGUUUUGGUUGAUGGUGGUGGCGAUUUUGGUUUUCGUUGAUGGUGUUGAUGGUUGUAUCGACAGUCAAUUUUAGCAGUGGUGUUGAUGAUAGUGGUACUGACGAUCGAUUUUGUGGUGAUGAUUGGUUGUCUUGGUGACUGAUUAUGGUGGUGAUUGGUUAUGGUGGUUGCGAUGGAGGUGGUGACUGGUUGGCAGUGGUGAUUCAAGUUAUGGCAGCUUUGUGGUGGUGUUAUGGUUGUGGUUUUUUUUUUUUUUGAAGAAAAUGUUAUAAAAAAUUAUUCUCAAAAUUUACAAGUAAAUGCAUUCAUCAUGAAUUGAAAAGCCAAAAUAUUGUUUAACCCUUUAUUGGACCACAAAUUUAUAAAGGGCAACUACAAAGAUAUUGUUGUAAACUUCCAAUGUGAGAUAAGUGAAUUACUUUUACCAACGGCUAAUUCGUUCCUAAUUACCAAUGGAAUAUCCAUUGCUGAAAGAUCAAAAUUUUAAACGGUUAUAUUAGGCACGAAAUAUCCGUUGGUAAAGAAAUAUCAUUUUUACCAAUGGAAAAUCCGUUGCUGAUUAAUGUAGUUAAAAGAUCAAAAUGUUAAACAGUUAUAUUAAGCACGGAAUAUCCGUUGGUAAAGAGAUAUUAUCUUUACCAACGAAAAAUCUAUUGCUGAUUAUUGUAGCUAAAAGUGAAUUAUUUUUACCAACGGAUGAUCCGUUUCUAAUUACCAACGGAUGCAAAGUGAAUUACUUUUAUCAACGGAUAAUCCAUUUCUAACAUUCGUUGGUAAUAUUCGAUACAUCACCUAUGAAAUAUCCGUAGGUGAAAGAGUCAAAUGUUAAACGGUCACAUUAGGCACGGAAUAUCUGUUGGUAAAGAGAUAUUAUAUUUACCAACGAAAAAUUCGUUGUUGAUUAUCGUAGCUAAAAGUGAAUUACUUUACAAACAGAUAAUCUGUUUCUAAUCACCAACGAAUUGCAACCGUUGGUAAUUUUUCGUAGGUGAAAAGUUGUUUUUAAGUAGUGGAUUGAGCUUCUUUGUUCAUGUUUUGGAAUUAAUUGAUGACUGUAGGUGUUUAGUCAAGAAUGGUUGUUUGGUUUUACCAUUCUUGAUUAAUCUUUAGCUUCAAUUGAUUUUCUUGAUUUUGGGUUUUUUUUUCAUUAUUAAGCAAAAAGAAAGAACAUUUUUGUUGUUUUGAUUAUAUGUCAUAAUUUAUUGUAUCUAUUUAAUGAGUUAAAACAUAUGGUUUUACCUAAUUGUUUCUAUGCACAACUGAAAAACAAUGUAAUUUCGUUCUUCACAUGUCCUAUUACUAAAUAGUAUUUGACCUUUUUCACUUAGCUUGCACUUUAGUGACAUGGAUUUUUGUUGACUUCCUUGAAGUGAGAUGUGUUUGAUGUUACAGGUGCCUUCUAGAGUUUCAGAGACUACAUCAAAUUUUGUGAUUAAUAAACUUGAUAUUUAAUUUAAACAACCUAAUUUCCUGCAGUUUAUUGAGGAAGCUAAGGAUAUGGAUCUAGAUUUAUGGUAUUGUUGAACAAAAAGAACAGAUAAUAACCAAUAUCGAUUCUCUAAUAAUUUAUAUUCCAUUUCUGAUUUUUAACAAGAGAACUUUUAUAGCUCUUGUAAGAGGUUUAGUACUUAGCACAAUAUUUCAUAUUUUAUCGAAUUCUGGUUUUAUAUAUUUGUGAUGAUUCAAAUAAAUAUUUUCCACCUGUGUUGCAAAAUAAUUUAUAACUUUAGAACUUAUAUGAAACUAGAACUAAAUACUGCUGUUGUCGUUGAUGUUUGCCCUCUACCUCUGCUUUUGACUAGUUGUGUUUGCCCUUUCACCAUUCUAGGUAUCAAAUUUUUGUUAUAACGUGCUAUGAUUUUGGAUUCAUUUUGUUUUUGUUUUAUUUUAGAUUUAUAUGGUGCAUUAAUGUUGAGUCCGGGUAUUAUGAGUGAAUUUAGUUCAAAUAUUACAUUUCUUGUUUAUAUAGCUAUUUCCAUUUCUCUUUCAACACACCAUGGGCCAAUUCUCGAUGAGGAGUUAGCGCUACAGCUCAUUAAGUACGUGGUAAGGGUGGCAUGGGAGGACGACAUACAGCUCCAUUCUGGGAGAGGUUCACUAAAACUACCACACUUGCCAAUGGCUUCUCCAACUUGUAGGCCAUGGUGAUAGUCGCAUUCCAUCUCUUGGAAGUUCCCUGCCAUCCAUUGAUAGAAAGCAACAUUCAUUGAGUGGAAGAUGGCUUAAUGGAAGUUGUAGUGUCUUAGGCCAUGGUGCGCAUAUGAGCUCUUAUUUUUAACUUAGUUUUACUUUCCAAAAUUUUUUUCUUGAAUGUCAUUGUGGAUUCUAGAUUUUUUUUUUGUAGGGUAAUUGGUGCAAAAAGUCCCUCCUUAUCCAGGUGAUUGUGAAAAACGUCCACACUUUUCAUUUUUUGGCAUUUUUGCCUUUAUUUCCAUCUUUCAUUGCGCUGAACGUCCUUUUUACCAAUUUUUGAUGUAAAAUGACCAAAAUACCCUCGUAUUAAUCAAAACAAAAAAAGAAAAGAAAAAAAUUGCAACUAUAGGCCCAAACUUUUAAAAAGUGCAUACGAGUCCAAAAUUCAAAAAACCCAUCACCUUCAUUUCCACACCUCCCUCUUCUCCAAUCGCCGGCCUACGCCUCAGCUACACCAUCCAAUCGUCACCUAGAACACCGAGGCUCGAACCACAAACAAUUUUCACCAACCCCAAAUACUUUUCCAUAAACAAAUCAAUCAAACAACAAAAUUAUUUGGGCAAUAUCAAACAAAAUUUAUCCUUGCAUGGUUGGUUGUUUUUGAGGUCAAAUUCAAAAUUGCUUCUUUUUAAUGGUGAAUUGCAAGAAUUGAUUCACUACCUAGAGUCAUUACACCUUAAAUUAUAUGCUAGUUUGAUAAAUUUGUUGAUUGGAGAUGUGGAGGAACAUCAAUUGGAAGGGGAUGGAUACGGUGGAUGUGUCUCUACGUUUUCUGAAUGAACUGCCAUGUCCAGGCAAAAUUGGGGAAGACCAUAUGUUUAUUGGAUGCCCCAUGAGGUGUAGGUACCUAAGGUAGUGGUCCGCGAUCAUGGGUCCCACCAUUUUCGUUUGAUUGCAUGCAUUAAAGGACAUUUGAUGACCAUGGAUAGGGACAUGUUGGUAUGUAGAUUCGACUGGAAUGUUGGAAAUGGUAUGGGUAUUGUUGGAACAGGUGGUGCCGCCAGUUUUUGCAUUUGCAAGUUUGAUAUUUUGGCUUGCAAUUUCUACCAAAUCUGUUGGCGUGGUGGUUCGAUGUUGGGUGGUAUGAGUAGAGGAGAAUAAGGGCUUUCCGGCGGUAUGGAGAUCCGAUGGUUUCGGAGGUGGUUGGUUGGACUUUUUUGGCUUCAAAGGUGGCAAUCCCAUUUCGAUUUUAGGUGGUUUGGUGACGAGUUUUUUGAAUUUUGGACUCGUAUGCGCUUUUUAAAAGUUUGAGCCCAUAGUUACUGUAGAAUCCCCAAUUUUUUAGUUAAUUCACAUAUAUUUUAUUUGCCUUUUGAUAGGAAUGCAAUGUUUGGUUAAGUCCUUAUGCAAGUGAAUUGGUUAUCGCUAUAGUUGAUUUGGAUCUAUAUGGAUAUCUUUAUAGUUCAGGGACCGAAGUAAAGAUAAAUAUCGAAAUUUAUACUUUUAUUAAUUGGGCAAAAUAGUUAACUAUUGAAGGAACUAGAAUUACCCUAUCAAUAUUGGGCUCAUUUUGAAGCUCGCAAUAAAUGGCGAAUUAUGGAUUCAAGAAAAAUUUAAUUUGGUCAAGUUAAGCUUGAGUUUUAGCCUACUAAAAAACUUUAUGGUUAUGAGAAUUUUUAAAGGAUUAGUUUUUAGUCAGUUGAUUGCCAUCGCAAGUUUAGCUAAAUAAAUUAGAAUUUUAAGUAUUGGUUAAACAAAGUCCUUAUGUUAAGUAUUAAUAAUUAUAAAUUUUAAUUAAGAGAUAAUCAAUUAAAACAUAAUCCUUGCUUACAGAAAUGUUAAAAGCAAAUCAUGUGGAAUUUGAAUUCUUUAAUUGAAUCUAAUAUUGGAAUAAAUUAUGAUUCAUGCAUGCAAUUCUUCUUUUCUCACGUGUGAUUAGAAUUAGGCAAUCAUGAUGUCUCCAAAUUGGACCAAAUUUUGGGAAGAUUGGACUGAAAAUCUUGAAUUUAAAACGCCAUUGCUGUGAUUAAUUCUCACGUGUUUUCACCACACCAUGUCUUGGUCUACUACAUAUAUGCCAUCAAACCUUAAGGCAUUAUGCAAUACACUCAUUUUGCAAUAUAUUUUUGUAUUUGUCCAUUCUCCUUCCCUCUCUAAAUUCUUCUCUAUAUUACAGGAAAUCUAAAACAUUAUAGUAUUCUACUAUAUUUUUACCCUUCAUUCAAUUUCACAAAUGGCCAAGUGCUAAGACGAAAUUCAAAAAAACAAGAUCUCACAGUUUGCUUUUCAAGUGCAUAUUGUACACGAUUCAUUAUGUAAGGUGAGAUGGUCAGUGCUAUUAGUGGUUUUUUCACAUCUUUUCAAAUACAUCAUUAUGUAUGAAUUUAAUGACAUCAGUUCAGGGCUCCUUCAGGAAAAACCAUGAUAUAUUUUAAGGCACAAUUUAGCCUUCACGUUAUUUUGCAACGCUUGCUAGAAUUAUCAUUCGUCAUGGUGUGAUAAUUUUCAUUUUAUGUUGGUAAGAGAAUUUAUUCGUAAUUUUACAUUUGAUUUGAAUGUGGAGUAGCAAACAUCUCAUUGAAUAUAAUUCAUUAUUAACAUCCCUUUUAUUUACAAUUUUCAGGUAAGAAUUAGUAUGCUGGAUGGCAGUGGAUGAAUUUGUUAUUGGACCAACGGAUCCUCGUCAUGAAGUACUUUAAUUUUUAAAAACACUAGAAUUUUAAUAAUGUUUGAUUAUUUUUCUGACUCAAUUGUGAGAACUUUAAAAAUUUCAAUUAGUUCUAAUUUUAUUGUUCAUUAGAACUAUUUUGAAUAAUGUUUGAUGAGGGAUUUGAUUCCAAGACGUUCGGGUUGCUAGAAUUCUGGGCGUGACAACUACAAUUUUUUUCUUUUCUUUUUUUGUUUUAUUUAAAUGGAAGGGUAUUUUGAUCAUUUUACGUCAAAAAUUGGUAAAAAAGACGUUCAUCGCAAAGAAAUGUGGAAAUAGAGGCAAAAAUGUCAAAAAUGAAAGGUAGGAACGUUUUCCACAAUCAACACGAUAGAUAGGGACGUUUUGCACCAAUUACCCUAUUUUGUAUUACUUUGACAUUCAAAGCAUUGGUGAUGGGUGAAGGCAAAGAUGACCAAACUCGAAGUUUUUUACACAUAUAGGUUAGGUUUUAGCUCAAAAUCAAGUUGUAUUGUAUUAGCCUAUUAGGCAAACAUGGUAGUGUAUUAAUUGAUAUCGUGGUAAAUGUGUGGAUUUUCACAUUUCUUCUAUCUUGGAUUUUUCGUUAAUUGCAAAUUGCAAUUUUACCAUACAGGUUAUUGAUCCUAAUGUGGAGAAUCAAGACACAUUGGGCCUAUAUAUUAUGGAUGGUUUUCUAUCUAACUUAGCAAAUGCUAUUGUUGGAAUGGAUGUCAACUAUAAUUUCCACUCUAAAUUUUAGCACAGUUCAUUCUAGACACAAGUCACAAUUCUUAGUCGUCAACUAUACCAACGUCAUUUAAGGUUUUCCCCGUUUCUUUUCAUUCAACAUCUCCAUUGAAUUGGAAAGAAAAAGAAAUUAAUAAAUCUUAAAAUGUUUCGUUUAUGAAAUACUUUUUUACUUGAUUUCAGAACCUGUGGAAGGAGUUAUGUACUGCAAAUUUAACUACAUGGGUGAUUUUUCUUAAUCAUUUAGAUUUAUCUAUCAAUAUAAUGUUUAUGUUUUAAUUGGUUAAUGUCACUUUUAGUCUUAUUUCCUGUUUUAAUAGCAUAUAUAUGGUUGUGUAUAGUUGAUUGUUUAACAACUUCGUCUUCGGUCAAUGGAAAAAUAAUAAAAGAUGAAGAAGGAACACAUGAGUUUUGGUCAGUAAAAUUGGCAAAAAUUGCAGCUCAAUUAGCAGUUUGUUGAUGGGCUUCCGAAUAACUAUACUAGAACAGAAAUAGGUCGUAUCCUUGCUAUUUAUUGCAGUUAAUGUUUUUCCUUGUCUCGUUAUUUUAUUUGUCAGGGUUUGUUCAUGUAAGUGAUAAAGAUCUACCUAUAAAAAAAAGUGAUAAAGAUCAAGUGUUAUGUUGGUUUUAUUCUUUGGUUUGUGGACUUAUUUAUUUGGAAGAAGAAUACCAUGAGGUUGUUCUUGGUACGUUUGUAAGAUCAAACUUUCCCGUGUGGUUGUAAUGUUCUCUCCUAGUAGUUAGUUGAAAACAGCAUUUCGAGGGAUUUUUUUUUCCAGUCAGAAUCUUGUAGAAGCUCCUACUUUUCUUUUAUGUUUAAUUUAACACUAGACUCUAUGAUGUGAAUAUAGGUUCAGUAUUGAUGUUCUUUUUCUAUAUAUUUCAAGUGGAAGGACAAAUCACUUUAGUAUUCCACUUGCUGGCAUCGAUUUUUCCUUAAAGUUUGCAAUUGAACAAAAUGUGUAGUUGUUCAAACUCAACUAAAUGGUUCUAAAUUGUUCACCCCACAUAUAACUUUUGUAGGGGUGACAAAAUGUAUUAUUCUUGUAGCUUUUAUUCUGUUCAUCUUAUGUAGAUCAGCAAAGUUCCUUGCCUAUUUCACAAAAUUGUUUGUUAUCUUCAUGUUUCAAUGGAUGCAUUUCUUUAAAUAAAUGGGGUAAUAUAUAUUUGUAGAAGUUCAAAAAUUUAGAGAAAUUGGAAAGGAAAAUGCUCAUGUGAAUUAUUCAAUUCAAGACUUCCCUUCAAAGUGCACUCUCCACAUAAUGGAGAGUGUAAUAGCUACCAAUUCUGACCAGAAUGGGAUGGUGAGGAAGGAGAGAUUGAACCAAUGAUAGAUGUUAAUUACAUACAAGCAAGGAAUUUUCAUAUUUUCGUGAUUUUAGAUUUUCUUAAUAGUUUUUCAUUUUUUAUGAUUCAUUUGAAUUGAAAGAUGCAUCUUAGUGAGUUUUAUUUGUGAUUUUUUACCUGUGUUGGUGAAGUGACAAGAGCUCAGCCAAUAGUUUUUGUUGUUUUUGGUUGCAAUUCACUUCCUCGCAAGGGACUUGCUAAUAAUUUCUUGGGUUUUCCUAGGAAGGAGAUUUGAGUACCAUAUCACUGGGGAUAUUGUAUGUAUCAUUUGUGUAGUUUUCCUUUUGAGUUGCAAGUUCAACUUGGUGUUUUUCUAUAGUCUCUUGCAGCAAUUUCACAGUUGCUCCCUUGUCACUUUUUAUGCUUUCCACUUUGUUCUCUUCAACCUAGGAAGAAAAUAGUACAUUAUAUACACACUGUUUUAGUAAAUGACAUGGAAAAGAGUAAUGACAUUGAUCCACAGGUAGCUCAUCAAACUCUUGAAAUAGCCAUACUAAAUCAAUUUGUAAUUUAGAUCUCUUCACCUAACAAUAUGCUGUAGAUGUGUGGCUACCUUGGUUUAAUAGUUUCUAAUGCAAUACUAUGUUUUUUUCACUUGACUUCUUCUCAGUUUUCUAUCGUUGAUGGAAAUCUCAUGUUUGUUAAUGAUUUCCAUCUCUAUUUGAUGUAGAUUUUCCCCCCUUAUAUCAUCCAUUUUGCAUUAAGCAACCUAAUUUGUCCAAGGAUUGUAGUUUAACACAAAAAAAAAGUCGAUAAAGUCUGAGUCAGAAAAAAAAACCUUUUGUUAAAUCGAGGGUAAACCUUGAGAAAUGGUACUGAAGGAAGUAUUCCACUGGAUACGCUCUCUUCAGGCCUUGCAAUGUUUGGGAAGGUAUAAUAUGUUUACAAUUAAAUCUAUUCUUGAAAAAUUAGAACAUGAUUAGUUAUAUUGUCAUGGUACAGGAAGCUAUGCAAAGGAGAUCAGUUGCUUCCGCACCUGCAACCGAAGCUAUAGAAGAGGUCAUUGACAUAGAGUCUGUUGUGAAGAGCCUAAGGUGAUAAUUCAUUUCUUUCAGUUUGUCUUUUUCUCUCUCCGAACACAAAGUUCUUCUUGGAUCAAAUGUUUAAAAGUUUUGUACAUACAGUUGUUCAUAGAAAAUCAAAUGCAGAUCAUAGAUGAAUUUGGUUUUAGACUCUAGUUAAAUUAAUAUGCUCUCACAUCUGCUGCUACUAUAUGUAACUCCAUUGCCUUGUGAACUAACUCGCUCAAUUUCAUUAGCACAAUUUUAUUUUAUUUUCUAUUGAUUUCAAGGUCCUAUUAGAAAGUGUUGAGUUUAUAACUAAAAGAUCAUCGAAUCAAUUGUAAUUUAAAAUGAAUAGAAUUCCUUCCCAGAUAUGAAUUUAGUUGAUAGUGUUGUUACUAAUUAUAGAUAUAACAAGUCAUAACAUAUGAUACAUUUCACAAGUCAUAACAGAUGUUUCUAUUAUCAUGAACUACCAUGUUCUACAUACACAUGAUGUCUUCAAUUUUAUUUUUUGGUGAGUUUCUUUAUGCAAUAAUAUCAGCUUUUGAAAUGAUCACUUUGUUGGAUAGAGCAUUAGCGAUGCAAUAGUAUGAUCCAAGACUCUUGAAUAAUGGGCAAUAAAUCUUCAACGACUUUUUUUUCUUUAGUAUCUACAAUUUCUGUACUAAUAAAAACACAAUAAAUACAACAUUCGUACAAUGCACAUUCAACGACUAGUUAUACAUGAAAGUUCGCAUUUGGUUUAUUGGUUCUGAUUUUGUUUAUAUAAAAUUGAUCAAUUUCGAAAAUGCAAAUAUAAAUUAAAAAUCAAGCUCAUGCUUUGCAUUAGAAAGUGAUAUACUCUGUCACUUUUUCAUUUGCAUUUUUUUAAUGCAGCAUUUUUACUUAAAUUUAUAAAAAAAUUUGAACUAAAAUUCAUAUUUUACUUUCUACUUUUUUGAGUUGGAUAUGAAUUAAGGUUGCCCCAUUUGAAAGUGACAUGUUGUGUCACUUUUUUAAUGAAAGGGUCACACAAUAUCUAAUAUGGUUGUUUCAUUGCAUAAAGAUAUCAUGAUGGUAUCAAAACCUCACAAAACUAAAUUUUUUUAAGACAUGCAACUUUUUUAGGUUACUACUUUUGAAGAUAAUGACAUGAUACAAUUACAAAUUGUGAAAUUCUUUAUUCGAUGACAACAUCGGUUAAAAUUCUACCAACUAUAGAAUAAUUUGCUGUUGAUUUUCAUAAAGGCAGAUCGAAAGUAGAAAAAAAAGAGAAUGAAAUAGAAAGUGAAAUCAUUUCAAUUGUCACUAUGAAGAAGUCACAAAAGAAAAGAAGGUGGAAAAUUUUAUGAAACUUGAGUGUUUUGAGUUUUUUAUUUUGGAUUCUUUCAGUUUUUUUGUUUUUUUUGUUGCUAAUAUUAUUAAAAUACAUAAUAAAGAUUUCUAUGCAUCAUUUUCAUGUUUGAAAUAAAAAUUCAAGUAAUAUAUCAUUUUUGAAACAAAAAGUGACAUCAUGUCGACGUUACAUAAAGAUUUAACUGUAAAACAUAGAAAUGUUAAAUGGAUUAAAAUGGCUUUACUAACCUCCUCAUUCUUGUGUCUUAGCUAUCACAUGCAAAGCAACAUAUGUUUUUCUAGAUUAAUUUGGAUCUAAUUUCAUUCCUAACAAUUAUUAUGUACUUUAACGAGCUAAUUAUUGAUGAAAUUAGGGAAUUUCUAUUCACAAUUGUGUAAUUGUGAUUUUUGUAGGCUAAAAUCCCAAAAUUGGAAGAGAAUAAAGCUAAAGAAAGGAAAAAGGAUCAAAUGUGCACAAAAAUAUAAAUAUUACUUCGGGGAUCAAAAUGUAUAAAUGUCAAAAGUUUCAGGACCUUGGGUUGCAAUUUCUAGAAGACGUGAUUGAAAGGAAAGUUAAAAUUUGAGGAUCAAAAUGGACAAUAUAAAAGUUGAGGGACUUGAAGUGCAAUUACACGAUGGAUUGAAGCUGCAAAAAGAAGAAAUUGAAGUGGGGGCACCAUGCACUAGAGCUUAGGCCUCCCCGUCUAAUGACUAGGGCAUUUUCAUUUAUUCUUCAAAGUUCAGGAGUAAGUCUACAAUUAAUUGGGAUGGUUUUUGGGCCCCUUUUUAAAUGCAUAUUUCAAAUCAUUUUUACCUGAUUCAAUCUUUCAUCUCUUUCAACACACUUAAACCCUAAGUUCGAGGGAAAAAAAAUAGAAGAAAAGGAAGAAAUACAAAGCAAAAUUUGGGAUUUCAAAGGAAGAUUCGAGAUUUCAACACUUCAUUUCCUCAAAAAUACAUUCAAGGGACAGUUUUCUUCUACUAUCUAGUAUCUUUUCAUCAUCUCCCUCAUUUUUUAAUUUAUUUCAUCUCUAUCUCCAAUUCCAUUUCUAUUGUGUAAUGGGUUAAGUGUUUAAAGUUGGGAUUCAUAAUUUAAUUUGACCUAAGUUUCAUUAAGACCAAUAUUUACCAUUUAAUGCUAAAGUUGCCAUUGUUAUCGUGUAUUUUUAAUUGUGUUUACAUUUUCAUCAUUUAUGUGCCAAAAGAUGAUUGGGUUAGGUGGUUUGUAAUUUUAUUGUGAGAUUGUUGCGCUUUCUAGUCUAAAAUAAUUAAUGUCGUAGGUUGUUUUAAGAGAUAGAGAUAUAUACUCUUAAUCCUAUGUGAUUCAUUAAGUUAUUUUUCACUACGAUUUUACGUGGUUGGUUGGGUAUUUACAUAAAUAUAUAGUGGGUAAAACUAACCAACUAGAGUUAUUUUCGAUCGGAAGAGCUAACUAACUAAAAUUGAAAAAUCAGGUCUAACAUUGUAAUUAGGUGAUUUACAUUUCUGAUUUAUUGAGAUAUUAAUGAAAUGACGGUUAAGUAAUAUCAUAAAUCUUAACUCAUUUAAAAUCCAAAAUCUUAUCACUUUCACAAUUAUUAGUUCACUUAAACUCUAAAAUUAUUUUGUUUUCAUUUCUAACUUCAAACUAUUACCGUUGUAUCUCUGAUUCUGUUCUAUAAAUACAAGGCUUUGGUUAUUAUUAUAACACACACAAAUCUAUUGACUUCUUUCUAUUUUCUUAUCUUUUUCUCUCUUUUCAUAACAAGUUAUCAGCAUGAUAGCUUAAUUUUUCAAAGUUUAGUAAAUGUGGUAAUUUUUUUAUAAGUAUAAAUAGUUAUCAUGUGUACCAAAAUUGAUUUGGUGGCAUGUGAAUUUUUUCGAUGUACACAUACAUUAUAACUAGGUUGCUUAUUCUCCUCUGCUUUUCAUUAGUGUGCAUAUUAAUUUUAAUUCACGUUUAUAUGUGUAAUUUGUACACUUAUUAAUUCAUUUAUUCUGAUUCAUACACAAUCAUCACAUAUUAUUCAUGUAUUAAUUCAGUCUUUUGAAUCUGUUACAUAUUUGUAAGGUGUCGUGCUUUUUCAGGGUAAGAAGGAGUAGAGAAAAUGCCUCGAGCCAAUGUUCAAGCACCAGGUACUACGACGUUGAAGUAACCCACGCCAUACUCCCAUGAAAAGCUCGAACGACCUUUAAACAAAAUGUGUAAAAAAACAAAAUAAUAGAAAAGAGAGGGUAAUGGAACUUCCUUGGUUAGGCAUUUGGGAAAGAGUGCCAAUGCUCGGCUUGGACUUGUGAUGCUCUUGAAUAGUUCAUUUCUAAUGCACCCCCAAACUUGUGAUCAAGCCUCGACUUGAUUUCAAAUCAUUUCCUUCAACAAGCAUCUCAUGGAACAACUUGUGGUGUUCUACAAAAUCACAAGAAAGAAGUAACUUAAAUAGGUUAAAAUCAAAGUUGUUAAAUGUCACCAACAUAGUCAAAAUGAACUAUUGAGCUUGUUGAGAACCAAGAUCAACCUAAGACUUCAAAAAGUUAUAUAACUAGUCGAAUUAUAUCUAAUGACAAAAAAAUAAAAAUAAGUAGAUUAAGGGUAAGAAAAUUGGGGCCUCCUAACAAGCAUUUUUUAAAGCUUUUAGCUCGACUUCAGCAAUUAAAUCAUCGACAUCUAAAGAAGGUUUUAGAUGCCUUGCACAUCUUUCUUCUUUUGGCUUUGCUCCGCUCUUCAUUUGUUCUCUAAAGCUUAAGAUUCUCUAUUUCAAUAUAGUAUGACUUGCUUAUCCUAUCCGAUUUAAAUUCAACUAUAUCAACUUUUACCUCCUCAUAGGGCUUAAUCACAAAAUCAAUUUUCGGGCAAUUAAUAAAGUCAGAAAAAUGUUACUUUUAUCUUCGUUUAUUGCUACACCUUUGUUAUGCUCUAUCUAUUAAGUUGUCAUUCUAUUUGAGCUCUCCGUCACUAGUUGAUGUUUCAUCAAAUUGAAUAACUGGUUCGUAGUCUAAAUCCACGGGUAAUGACAAGUCCUUCUUAUAAGCUUUUUCAAGUGGAUUAUAUCCCCACUUUUGAAAUCUGUCCUAGUACAUGUAAUCUAUCAUAAGCAUGUCGUUUUCAUCCAAUUUGGUAAGUUCAUUAAAGUACUUUAUCAUUUAGUAGGGAAGGACCAUCUCCCAAAAGCUUGAUGUCCUCAUCCUAACCAUCAGGUACAUAAUCUCUAGCGAGCAUGUAACUCUUAUCAAAAUUAUCGAGUUCAUACCAAUCAUUAGGUACAUAAUCUCCCGCGAGUAUAUAAUUCUCAUCAAAAUUAUCAAAUGCUUGUUUCCUUAAGUAUUGUGUAAACCAAAGAGUUUUGACAUUAAUGCAUUGGUGGACGAAUAUAAACAUUGUCCAAUACAAUGCAACGUGUAACAAAUUUAACUUGGAUCUCCUUUAAAGCAUAUAUCCAUAGUCCAUAUAGAGAUUAGCCAUUGUAAAAAAAUUUGUUACUAUACCCACAUCAGAAUCAUGCAUGUAUAGCUGAAAAUUACAUGGGAAGAAUACCUAACGUACUGCAAGUGAACUGAUCACAUUCAAGCAAUAAAGUGCAAGAUAAGUUCGAGUCAAUCCCUCAAGGAAUAUUUAUUUUUAAUUACACUAGUCUAGUCAAUUUAAUUAUAACAGGCAAACAUGCUACAAAAUAUGAUUUUGAAAAUAAGAAAAAUAAUAACUAAAAGCUUCACAAAAAUAACAAAUAUAAAAAGUAAGGGAGGAUAAAGUAGUUGGAAUUCAUUUAAUCGUCACUUAAUUAAUUUCUCCACAAGCAAAUUUACAAAUUAAUUAUUAAUCAUGUUAGAUUCGAUUUUUCAAUUUUAGCUAAUUAUCUCUCGUGGGCGAAAUUAACCUUAAAACCUAGAAAAUGUCCAAAACAUUCCAAAACUCUCCCCCAAAUUACAAAAAGGGCCUCGAAAAGGACGGUGCAAUAGCAACAGAGUUCCUAGCAUGGCCUUGCAGGCAGUACGUCGCAUCAGCUUGUAAUCCGCAACUCCGACACCUUGCCAUCGUGUCUUUACGGCUUUAGUUCUCUACCUGAUUGCAUGUUAGGUCCCUCAACUUUAAUCUUAUAUAAUUUGAUUCUCAAAAUUUGAUAAAUGCAUCAAAAGUCCUUCAACUUUCAACGUUUGUACAAUUUGGGCCCCAACUUCAUACUUUUGUAUGCUUCUAGUAUUUUCCUUUCUUUUGCAUUUUUUCAACUUCAAUUUGGGAUUGUUUCCUACAAAAGCGACAAUUACACGAUUAUGAGUAAAUUUUCACUCUUUUGAUCAAUAAUAAGCUUAUUUUAAGUAUGAAAUAAGUGUGUAAAGACACAAUUAUCACACAUAGAUAUUCAUUAUAAUAAAAAAAAUGUAAAUUGAUAUAGAUGUGAAUCGGCGUAGUCAAUCACUACCAACCCCAAAAUCAAGAUUGCGAUCAUCCCCAAGAAAGCUAAAACAAGGUUUCGGAUUAAAUUCAAUAAAAUUGGAACCAAGCAACUCGAAUCGCCGAUGAUGUACAGACCUCUUGAUCACGCAAAAUUAUAUAAAUCUCACCUGGUUGAUUUGAACGCUACAAGAUUUAAAUCUUGAUAAAUUCGUAGAUUGGUCGAUUGAAGAACACAAGAAGAAAGCAAUUAAGAGCCUCUUAAUUGAUAAGAAUAUCAAAGUUCCAAAACAAUGACAUAAAAAUAAAAAAAUAAAAAAUAAAAGUGCACAAUCUUUUAAAUAUGGUAGGUAAUUGAAUAAAUAUAGAAUCCUAUCAAAUAUGGAAAAUCUUGCAAAAAAACAAAAACUGGUCCAACUUUUACGAUUCAGUCCCCCAUCUUAUACCUCGUGUAACGUGUUGAUCCAAUUCACUUUGGCUUUCGACCCGAACAUGAAACUUGUCCCAAUUUGAGUCUCGAACAUGGUGUCAUCAAUGGUCGCCUUGAUGAGCAAUCCCAUCGCCUCUUUCACUCGCUUUACCCUAAAUCGCAUCAUCAGUCCACUAUUGACUAUCAAUGGAUCUUUACCCGAGCUUGACUUCGACGCUUGCAUGUCCUGGAUCACAUCACCCCUUCUUCGAAAGUUCAUCCUCGAAUCUGAACCUACAUCAAAGGGAGAGAGAUUAGACACAUUAAAAGUUGCUGAAAUGUUAUACUCACCUGGAAGUUCCAAUUUGUAUGUGUUGUCAUUGAUCUUCUCAAGGACUUGAAACAGUCCAUCUAUUCGUGUUUGCAACUUUGAUUUUUGCUGCUCUGGGAAUCACUCUUUCCUGAGAUGCACCAAAACCCAAUCUCCUGGUUCGAAUGUAACAUGUUUCCUGCCAUUAUUUGCUUGCAUUGCAUAAUGCUUACUCUUUUUGUCAAUUUGCUCCCGCAUCUUUUCAUGGAGUGACACUCAGUCUUCCUCUUCCCAUCCAAGUUACCUCGUUCAUUCACAGGUAAAUGUAUUAAAUCCAUAAGUGUUAUUGGAUUAAAGCCAUAAAGGAUCUCAAAUGGUGAAAAUGACAUAGUAGAAUGUAUGUCCCUAUUAUAUGCAAACUCUAUGAUAGGUAAACAUUAUUUCUAUUAACCACAGUGUCCAAUAGUUAUGUCAUGCUCCUAUUUGCUACAUUGGUUUGACCAUCGAUUUGUGGGUGACAAGUUGCAGAAAAUAACAAUUUCAUGCCUAACUUAUUCCACAAGACCCUCCAAAAGUGAAUAAGAAAUUUGACAUCCCUAUCCAAAAAAAUAAUCUUAGGUAUCCCAUGAAAUCGCGCAAUUUCUAUAAAGAACAAGUCUGCAAUAUUAGUGGCAUCGUCAAUUUUGUGACAUAGAAUAAAGUGUGCUAUUUUACUAAACCUAUCCACCACAACAAAAAUCAAAUCUCGUCCAUUUUUAGUCCUAGGAAAACCUAACACAAAAUCCAUUAAGAUGUCUACCCAAGGUUCACUGGGUAUUGGCAAGGGUGUGUAAAGUCCAUGAGGUAAGACCCGAAAUUUAGCCUUCUUACAAGUUAUGCAUCAACUACAAAUCUGAUCCACAUCAACUUUCAUUUUAGGCCAAUAAAAGUGUUCACUCAAUAUCUCCAAAAUCUUUGCUAUCCCAAAGUGACCCAUUAGUCCUCCACCAUGUGCUUCCCUAGCCAACAACUCAUGCAUAGAGGAAUUAGGGACACAUAAUUUAUUUUCCCGAAACAAGUACCCCUCAUGAUUAAAGAACUUAUCUACCGCCUCCUUAUGACAUGAUUUGUAAAUGGUGGAAAAAUCAAGAUCAUUUUCAUACAUGUUCUUAACUUACUCAAAACCAAGUAAUUUUGCACUCAAGGAAGUUAGAAGCACAUACCUUCGUGACAAUGCAUCUGCUACCACAUUUUUCUUACCUUGCUUAUAAUGGAUGAUAUAUGGAAAAGCUUUCUAUGAGUUCCAUCCAGUGUGCAUGUCGUUGGUUCAACUUACCUUGACCUCGCAAAUGUUUCAGUGACUCAUGAUCAGAAUGAAUUACAAAUUCCUUUGGCCAUAGGUAAUGCUGCCAUAUCUCCAAUGCUCGAACAAGUGAUAAAGCUCCUUAUCAUACGUAGGAUAGCUGAGAGCUGUACCACUUAGCUUUUCACUAAAGCAGGCUAUCGGUCUGUUAGCCUACAUUAAGACUGCUCCAAUACCUAUUCCUGAUGCAUUAUACUCAAUCUCAAAAGUUUUGUCAAAGUUAGAAAGUCCUAAAAUCGGUGCUACAAUCUUUGAUAGUAUUUGAAUGCACACUCUUAUUCUGUCCCUACUGAAAUCCCAUAUUUUUUUCAACAAUUUCAGUUAGUGGUGUGAUAAUUGUGCUGAAAUCUCUAACAAAAUGCCUAUAAAAGCAAGCAAUACAUGAAAACUCCUAACCUUAAUUACGUUUUUAGGUGUUGACCAAUCUUUGAUAGCUAUUAUUUUCUCUUUGUCUACCUCUACACUGUUAGCACUAACUAUAAAGCCUAGAAAGACAACCCUGUCCAAGCAAAAUAUGCAAUUUUUAAAAUUGGUAUAAAAUUGUUAUUUCCUCAAAACCACAAGGACAUACCUCAAAUGUUCUACAUGCUCAUUAAGGUCCUUACUAUAGAUCAAAAUAUCAUCAAAAUAGACCACCACAAAUUUUUCAAUGAAAGAACGCAAAACAUGGUUCAUUAAGCGCGUGAAGGUGCUCGGUACAUUUGUAAGCCCAAAUGGCAUGACUAACCAUUCAUAAAACCCGUAUUUAGUCUUAAAAACCGUUUUUCAUUCAUCGCCCCUCUCGCAUGCAAAUUUGAUGAGAUCCACUUUUGAAGGUCAAUUUUACUGAAUAUGCAUGCACCAUAUAGCACAUCAACAUGUCUUCUAGCCUAGGAAACGGGUAAAGAUACUUUACCGUGAUGUUGUUAAUGGCUCUACAAUCCACACACAUCCUCCAUAUUCCAUUUUCUUUGGCACUAGCAGUACAGGUACGCUGCAUAGACUCAUGCUUUCCCUCAUAUAACCCUUACUCAUAAAGUCCUCUACUUACCUUUGAAGCUCCUUUGUCUCCUCCAGAGCUCCAGGUAUGAAGUCAAUUUGGUGCUCAAUCCCUCUAAUGGGUCGCACGUCCUCCGAAAAUACAUCUUCAAAUUCCUACAACACGGAAAUAGCCAAACUAGGGAGGGGUGUGUUAGGUUCCUCAAAAUUAAGGAGUGACUCCUUAUAGACCAACAAUAUCAUUUGUUGCCUCUCUAUUAUUGCCUUUUUCAAUUCACUCCCUCUCUCGAAGAAAUUUUAUUUCGACUUUUCUCUCCUCUCGGAAGACUCUUUUUCUUUUCUCUCAUGUGGCCCCACUCUCUUUUUCUCUCCAUUAGCCACCUCAUUCUUUUUUCUCUUUUUCUCUAACUCUCUUACUCUUAUUUCCUCUUCAUUUUCCAGUUGUAUUUGGUCUUCAUAUACUUGUGCCGGUGUUAAUGGCACAAGAGUGAUAGACCUCCCAUAUUUCACAAAGCUAUACUUAUUUUUAUACCCAUCAUUCAUUGCUUUUCUAUCGUAUUACCAUGGUCUCUCCAACAAGAUAUGCCCAGCAUGCAAAGGUACAACGUCACACAUCACCUCAUCUUGAUAUUUACCAAUGGAAAAAUUAAUUAACACCCUUUUGUCACAUUAACUUCCCUACAUUCAUUUAACCAUUGUAAUCUAUAGGGCCAAUGAUGUUUUAAUAAUGUUAAACCCAAUUUUUCCACCAUAUUAGUGCUAGCCACGUUAGUACAACUUCCACCAUCAAUUAUUACACUACAUAACUUGUCAUUGAUGUGACACUGCGUGUGGAGUAUGUUUUCUCGUUGUUGCUCCAAGUCAUAUGCCUUGAUUUGAGCGCUAAGAGCUUGCCUCGCGACCAACAGCUUACUACCGACCGCAUACUCAGUGGUGUCUUCUUCAUCAACAUCUUCCAACUCCAACAUGCCUACAUAAUCACUUUCACUUUCAGUUUCCACUUCUCCGCUGUCCCACAGAAUCACUGUUUUCUUGUUUGGGCAAUGAGAAGCGAUGUGCCCCGUUCCCAAGCAACGAAAACAUUUGAUGUCCCUGUUUCUUGAUAGCUGGGAUUCUCCUUUUAGUGUGGCCCUACUAGCACCUUCUUCCUUGCCUCUCGGCACUUCAGCUCUUCUUCUUGCAAUAAUCCCAUGUCCUUUUUUGUUUUUCCCCUUCGAUUUCCAAGAAGGAAUAAAACCCGAAGAUCCCAGUUGGUAUUUUACUGUCCCAUUCCAUUUCAACUGCCUCUCUACCUUCAUGGCUACAUGUAACAUGUCUUCAAUUUCCACAUAGUGUUGUAACUCCACUACAUUUGCAAUGUCCCUAUUCAGUCCAUUCAAAAAUCGAACCAUAAUGGCUUUCCUAUCCUCCUCUACAUUCGCCAUAAUCAUUAGUAUCUCCAUCUCCUUAUGGUAAUCUUCCACACUCCUAGAGCCUUGAUACAGAUUUUAUGUUUUUGAUGAAGCUCCAGUAAUAGUGAUUAGGUACAAAUCUCUUCCUUAUUAUAGUUUUCAAUUCCUCCCACAUAUCGAUAGGUCGUUCCCUAGUUCUCCAUCUCGUAGUCACCACUUGAUCCUACCAAGUAAUGACAUAAUCUGUGAACUUAAGGACUGUAUUUUCACAUUUUUCUCCCCCGAGCAAUUGUGAAUAUCGAAGAUCCAUUCAAUCUUCUUCUCUCACUCCAAAUAUGCCGGAUCACUCAUUCCUUUAAAUGAAGGAAUGGUCAUUUUAGUGUUACCCAAAUUUCCAUCCACCUCGUCUCCACCAAGAUUCCUACCCCUCCUAUCUCGCCUAACUCCUCUAUUUCUAACCCUUCCGAUCUCCGCAUUUACAAUCGCAUCUUCAUCUAUCCCAUUGUCAACCUCAAAUUUACUAUGUUCCUCCAUCCUAAGUUCCCGCCUACCUUAUCUUGGUGCAUUAGGACUGCCCCUUCGUACAUUAGUAGGUAUUGGAUUUAGCCUUUCCAACAGUGCGUCCUGCCUACCCAACCGAUCCCUCACAUCUCCAAACAACCUCUCAAUUCUCCACACCGAAUCCUCCAACAUAGUAAUUUCAUCAUCCAUGCUACCUGAAUUUGAUCCUUCCCUGACAUUCUAAAUCUAAAUUAUUCUUUUUUCUACCUCACAAAUUUCACUCAAAAUUCACUCAAUAUGGCUUUUUCCCUCAAUUGUUCUCACCACUGUGCCUUUUACCACUCGUUGCUCUCACCAAGUGCUUCAAAAACAAACUGGAACUCAAUCAAAAUUUAGUCAUGUGGAAUCCAAAUUGAAUGUGAGUGAGAUUUUGAGACUCGAAAUUGGAUUUUUGGACACUUCAAAGAAAUAAAUUAAAAAUAAAUUGGACACAAGAAGUAGCUGGUAAAAAAAAUUCCGAGAUCUAAUACUUUUUUUAAAAAUUCUAUUUUUUUUACGUAAGGGUGAACAGUACUGUAUGAUGAAAAGUAAAUUUUUUUUUUAGGAUCCUAAAUACAACGACAAUACCGGCAAAGAAAAGGAAAGUUGAUUUGGGUUUUAGAUUAGCCCAAAAAUAACUUUUGAAGUUCUGAUGGAAAAAUUAUAAACCUAAGACUCUAAAUAAAGUAUGGGACACAAGAACACGAAGAGAACUAAUGACACAAAAUAAACACUCAACAAAAAUUUAAAAAGGGAUGUAACCUUGGAUUGGGGCCUAGACUCUAAUGUGAACCCUCCUAGUCAAUCAUUACCAAACCCACAAUCAAGAUUGAGAUCGUCCCCAAGAAAGCCAAAACAAGAUUUUGGAUUAAAUUCUAUAAAAUUGGUAAAUACGAGUGGCCUAAUUUCCUCUAAUGGACCUAAUUCAUAGAGUACAGUAAUAUCAAGAAUUUUUAGUAAUGGUGCAAAUAAUAAUUUUAAUUUGGUAUCUAUAUUUUGGUUCUUGAUCAAAUCAAUGUGCACCAGCUAAGCUGGCACCCAGCAAGCACCUGUGACUGCCUGUGUUGGCUCCAUCGUUAUCAGAAUUAAGAUAGAGUGCCUCAAGGAAACUUUUCCAAUGCUGGCAUUUUCAAAUCAACAUUUACCACAGCCUUUGCAUACCUGAAAGAAGGAACUAUAUAUAUGUACACACACACACAUAUAUAUAUAUAUAUAUAUAUAUACACAUAUAUAUAUGUACAUAUAUAUGUAUAUAUAUAUAUGUGUGUGUGUGUAGAUAUAUAUGUAUAUAUAUAUAUAUACACACAUAUACAUGUAUAUAUAUGUACAUUACUGUGGUCGUUGACGUACAAUCGUCAACGGUUAACAAUCACCAUCGCUCACUCGAGAUCUUAGAUAUGUCAUUGACUACACAUCGCUAAUUUCUAAUUAAAUGGGCAAUUACAUAAGUAUGAUAGACCACAUAUAUGCCAACCUAUUCAUACACUCGAUAAACACACUCAUAAGAUUAGUUAUGUUACGAAUUAUUUAGCAAGCAAUAUUCGUCAUAUCUGUAAUCUAUGAAAAAUUGUUGUGGAAGCUCUCUCAAAAGGAUCUUCAAACGAUGGUUUUCCAGGCUCAGUCCAACGUACAUUUCUCUACCAACAACUAAUUCAAACGGCUCCAAACCACAACCAAUUAAUUCACCUUGGUUGCUAUUCAAUCUUAUCCACGUAAGACAAGAAAGGAUGAUGAUUUAUCGCCACAAAGGCUAAGAGAAGACACCAUAAAGGUAUACUAUGAAAGAACCAUCAAUUGCACACGUUAUACCAGCGUUCUGGACACCUUUUUUCUCACACAAAAGGGAGCAACCGGGAUUCUCUUGUUUCUUCUCUCAAAAUCACACAAUCAUCAUAUCAAAGUAGCUAGGGUUAUAGUCAAAUAUAUACUCUAGGGUUAGGCUUUAAGUUGGGCCAUUAAAGGGGUAAACGGGCCAAGAUUCAAGCCAUCCAUAAGGAAUACAAUUGGGCCGAGUGUAGCUCAUGGACUUGGUUGUUGGACUUAUUUCAUUCAUCGGCCUAUGCCUAUGAAAUAAUAUUAACCCAUGUUAACAUCAUAGCUCGGGAUUUAUUGGGUAUCAAAAACCCAACAAAACUCCACCUUGAUGCCUAAUAAAUCUGCAGGCAAUCAAAACACACAGUUAACACUUGCAUAAUCAAGGUAGCCAAUAAAAUUGGAUUACAGACCUUACCUCGUGUUUCCAACUUGAAACACAUACCAUACCUGCUCCAUGUACUCACUGGGGCUAAGGUUAAAAAACACCCAAGUAUAAACAAAUAUUUAACAGUAAACAAUCAAGAGCAAAUACAUAUGCGAUGAUGAUAUACUAUAGGAUAACACACACAGAUCUUUUCAGAAACACGUUCACAUAGAACCAUAGAUUAACACCAAGUCAAUCAAACCACGGUCAACCACAUAUGCAACACAUGCAUAAAUGACCCUAAGAAAAGAUCUCACCACACUUAUCCUAUCCCAUUCCGUGUUGCUCACACCUCGAGAACACAUAUCUCCUCUCAUCGCCCACCAAGCUCACUAGACAGAUCACUCAACUCAUGUAUAACUGGUAAGUCACAAUAGAUCCUAAGUCCACGGGAUAAUCCUCUAUCUCCACAUCACUUCUCCCAACCUACAUGGAUAAUGGGUCUCCACCUAACAGAAGUGAUAGAAGUGUCUCUCUCACACUCCACCUGAUCAGGGUCUCUUUCCAGAUAAAGGAUCCUAGACAUUUGAUCACAUCUCCACUCAUGAUCCAAAUGUCACACUCUAUAUCCCCGAUACAAACCACCAUGUACCCCUAGGCAUCUAUACUCCACCUCACCAAAAGACACACAACACACUGCUAAUGCAUCCUAACCCACUAUGCAUGUAAGCAAUUACACCAAUUAAUCCUAAUGUCUCAAAUUCAUGCAAAUGCACAUAUCAAACACAUUGAAAUGUAGCAGAUAAUCAUGCAACAAAAUUUAGACAAUCACACACAUGCAGAAAGGAUCACACACAGAUGCAUAUGAAGUAACUAGAUUUACACUUAAUAAACCUCACUGGGGUCAUAACUCAACCCCUCAACCAAAUUCGCCUCACCUCUCAUCUUACCCUUCAGCUUAUCUUUCUUCUUGGGACAGUCCCUAAUAAAGUGUCCAGACUUACCACAACUGUAACACCUUUUACCACUAGACUUGUCUCUUCCCUUGCCUUUCUUCUUACUACUCUCAUCACUCGAGUCACUACUCGAAUCACUACCGUCUUGAGUUCUACCCAAAUUCAUUUGCUUAAACUUCAUCCUACUCCUCAUCAUAUGUAACUCGCCACUCCUGUUAUCCUCUUUUUCAACCUUAAUCUCCAUCUCCUUACUCCUAAGUGAGUCUACGACAAUCUCGGGUGUUAAGAUAUCCCUACCAUACUUAAUUGCAUUCUUAACUUCCCUAUAUGAAUCAGGCAUGGAAUUAAGCAAGAUAAUAGCCUUAUACGUUUCAGAUACCUCUUCAUCACAAUUAACGAUGUCUUGAACUAAUUUGUUAAAGACAUCCAGAUUAUCAUCAAGAUCCUUUGAAGGAUCCAUUUUGAAGCUGAAAAAUCUUUCAAGCAAGUACAAUUUAUUAGGAGUUGACUUAAGCAAAUAUAAGUCCUCCAACUUUUCCCAAAGUGGUUUUGUAGAAUCCAGUUUUCCUACUUUUCUCAAAACAGUAUCAGACGGGUGUAAAAUAAUUGAAACGUAUGCAAGUUCAUCAUACUCUUCUUUUUGUACUUCUGUUAAAUUUGCAAGAAAUUUGCCAUCUAUGGCCUUUGAAACUUUUUGUUGGACCAAAAUACCCUUCAUCUUUUGUUGCUAAAUUGAAAAAUCCCCUUUCCCAUUAAAAAUUUCAACUUCAAAGCAUGAAGACAUUUUUAAAAAACUAGAACAACCAAAAGCACAGAUAGGUCACACAAAGUUAUCCUACGACCGCAAUAUACACCGUUCUAGAUUCCCCGAGUUUCGUAAGAUUCACGAUCUUAGAUUAAGGGAAUGUUCGAACGGGUCAAGUCCAGGUGUUCUAACAGGAAAAUCAGAUCAACAUGAAGGUAUGUAAACAAAAGUUCGAAUUUCCAUGCAACAAGUCUCACACAGUGACUAUAUGACAGGUUAAGCACAAAAUCAACUACCAACUUGCAAUCAAAACUCAACAUUUCAAAAACAGAGCAAAUAAUUCCUAAAUUUUCUAGCACAAGCAAUGGUUGCCAAGCAAUGACAACCCCCAAUCCUAACGAUCACCCCACACGAUGAUCUGCUGAUGCUGAAUUUAAAACUAAGUUAAGCCAAUAUACCAGAGCUGACUAUCUGAGUCCGUAAAUUAUGAGAGUUGCGAAUUUAUCACUUUAGGACCACCAUUAUUCGUCCUAAAGUCUCUGGAAACUGCAGCAACCCAAAAAUCACGAUCGAAUCUCGAACGCCCGAAGAACAACGCUAUCCAGAUUCUUCUGCGUACCCUGAAACAAAAAACUUUCAACACGAAAAAUGUCAGAAAUAGUAUAAGGAACAAACUGCCUAAAGGGACCGUAGCCAAACAGUUCUCCACGCGCCCUCAUACGCGGCUCCUUCCCUUUGCGCGUGGGAUUCACGCGCCACCACACGCACCGCCUUCGCCGGACACGCGCCUGUCUGAAGGGUUCGCCUCCUCCUGCACGUCACGCCAGUGGUCUUCGUUUCCCCAAACCCCUUCUGGAUUGAUCAGAAAACGCAAAAAAUGGAGAUUGAUUUUAACAGUUUUUGGACAGCUUCUUCGAUCUGAUUUUUGCUGCGUUUCUACCGAUUUUCUGGACGAUUUCUGAUAGAUUUCACGAGCCAAAACCUUCACCUUGAAGCUCUGAUACCAAUUGUUGCGGAAGCUCUCUCAAAAGGAUCUUGAAACGGUGGUUUUCCAGGAUCAGUCCAACGUACCUUUCUCUACCAACAACCAAUCCAAACGGCUCCAAACCACAACCAAUUGAUUCACCUUGGUUGUUAUUCAAUCUUACCCACGUAGAAUAAGAAAGGAUGAUGAUUUAUCGCCACAAAGGCUAAGAGAAGACACCACAAAGGUAUACUAUGAAAGAACCACCAAUUGCACACGUUAUACCAGCGUUCUGGACACCUUUUUUCUCACACAAAAGGGGGCAGCCGGGAUUCUCUUGUUUCUUCUCUAAAAAUCACACAAUCAUCAUAUCAAAGUGGCUAGGGUUAUAGUCAAAUAUAUACUCUAGAGUUAGGCUUUAAGUUGGGCCAUUAAAGGGGUAAACGGGCCAAGAUUCAAGCCAUCCAUAAGGAAUACAAUUGGGCCGAGUGUAGCUCAUGAACUUGGUUGUUGGACUUAUUUCAUUCAUCGGUCUAUACCUAUGAAAUAAUAUUAACCCACGUUAACAUCAUAACCCGGGAUUUAUUGGGUAUCAAAAACCCAACAAAAAUAAUAUGAAUUCUACUUUUUUCCCCUUCUUUAAUUAUGAUAAGUAUUGCCCACAUCAAAUCAUCAAACGUGUGAUCCUGAAUAGCAUAAGACAUUGUAAUAUUGAACGCGUAUAACUAUAUGAGUUUAAAUAGACAUUGCUUGCCAAAUUCUAAUUCAUUCGAAACUAUGUAAAAAUAGGAAUAAAUAUAAUGAAAAAUUGCAUUUGAGGUCUUUAACCUUUUUAGAAGGUGCAGCUGGGUCCCAAACCUUUCAUUUUGGCAGCAAAAUCCUUAACCUUUUGGUUAAAUAGGCGGUCAAAGGACAUUUGGAUGAUUUCCAUCCAAAUCUCCUUAGUGCCUUGAACUCCUUUUGACCCUUGAUAUAAAUGAUAGUUUUACCCCUAAUUAUUUUAAUUGUUUUAAAUGAGCAAAUAAAUGAAAAUUGAUCCCUUAAUAUAAAUGGUUAAAAGAAGAUCAAGGGCUGAACAAAUGGAGAUUUGGUUGGAAAUGAUAUAAAGUCCUUUGGGUGCCUAUUGACCAAAGAUUAGGGACUGUGCUACCAAAGAUAAAAGGUUAAGACCCAUUUGCACUUUUUAAAAUGGUACAGGACCUUAAAUACAAUUUGUCGUAAUUGUAAUACAAGUCUAUGGCCUAUGCCCCCAAGUCAUUAAAGAACAGCCCACAUGAACCCUGACUAAAAACGAGUUGCAAUAAAAUACAAUAAUAAAAACAAUACCAAUUGUUAGAAUAUGAUAAAUUGUAUAAAAUAAAUUUGUCUUUCAAUUACAAAGUAAAAGAUCCUAUUUAUAGGGCUAUAAAUAACUCUGAAAAAGAAAGAUUGUAUGAUUGUAAUAAUCAUACAUCAACUAUUAAGAAAGAUAAUCCCACACAAUUGGGUAAAUAUCAUAGAGAUUAUUCUUUACUAUAUUUUUAUAUAUCAAAACUGCUCAAAUCCCUAUUCUUGAUACAUGACACUCAAUAUUGAACGUUUUAUCAAAGUUAUGAAAUGCUACAAUACGUGUUCUACACAAUCUAUCUUUAAUGGUAUUGAAAGCAUGCUCCUAUUCAUCAUCCUAAUGAAAUCCUAGGCUUUUCUUAACUACCUCAGUGAGUGGUGUAGUGAUUGUGCUAAAGUCCUUCACAAAUCGCCUAUAAAAACUAGCCAAGCCGUAGACACUUCUUACUUCAGUUAUGCUUUUAGAUGUUUGCCAAUCUUUAAUAGUUUUUAUCUUUUCUUCAUCUAUUUCUACCCCGUUAGCACUAACCACAAAUUUUAGGAAGACAACCUUUUCCAUGCAAAAUGUACAUUUCUUAAAGUUAGCAUAAAUUUAUUAUUUCCUUAAAACCACAAGCACCCUUCUUAAAUGUUAGAAUGCUCAGCAAGGUUUUUACUAUAGACUAAAAUGUCGUUGAAGUAAACCAUAACAAAUUUCCCUAUGAAAACACACAAAACAUGACUCAUUAAGCACAUGAAAAUGCUCAAUGCAUUAAUGAGUCCAAAUGGCAUUACCAACCAUUCAUACAAGCCAUAUUUAUUUUUAAAUGUAGUUUUUCAUUCAUCACCUUCCCUCAUUCGAAUUUGAUGGUAACCACCUUUAAGGUCAAUUUUACUAAAUAUGCAUGCACCAUGUAAUUCAUCCAGCAUAUCAUCUAACCUAGGGAUGGGGUGUUGAUAUUUUACAAUUAUGUUAUUGAUGGCUUUACAAUUCACGCACAUCCUCUAGGUUCCAUCUUUCUUUGGCACAAGUAGCAUUGGAAUGCUACAUGGAUUCAUGCUCUUCCUUACAUAUCCCUUGCUCAUCAGUUCCUCUACUUGCCUUUGUACCUCCUUUGUCUCCUCGUCUAGGUAAGCUGGUUGGCUUGGAAUAACAGCUCCGAGUAUGAAGUCAAUUUGGUGAUCAAUGCCUCGAAUGGGUGGCAAUCCACUAGGCAUGUUUUUUGGGAAUACGUCUUCGAACUCCUGGAUAAAGAAUUAGCCAAACUAUGGAAGGGUAGGUUAGAUUCCUCAAGAUUGAGGAAUGAUUCUUUAUAGACCAACAAAAUCAUCUUUUGUCUCUCGACUACAGCUCUUCUCAACUGACUCCAUUUUGCAAAGAAAUUCGCUCUAGACUUUUCUCUCCUCUCGAAAUACUCCUUUCUCUUCGCUCUUGUAACUCCACUCUCUUUUUCUCUCUACUAGCCGCCUCACAAUUUUCUCUCUUGUUUGCCACCUCACAUUUUUCUCUCUUACUUGUCAUUUCAUUAUUUUCUCUCUUUUCUCUAACUCUCUCUUUCUCUUCUCCCUUCUUCAUUUUCAGUUUAAUUUGGUCUUCAUACACUUGUGCCGAUGUUAAGGGUGGAAGGGUAAUGGCCCUUCCAUCCUUAACAAAGCUAUAGCAAUAUUUGUACCCGUCAUGAAUGACUUUCCUAUCGUAUUUUUAUGGCCUCUCCAAUAAAAGAUGUCCCGCAUGCGUAGGCACUACCAGUGACGGACCCAGACUUUUAGAGCUGUGGGGUCAAAAAUUAAAAUAUAAUUUUUUUAGAAAACGACAUAAUAUUAAUGAAACUAAGUCAAUACGUAUUUUGAUACCAUAAGAACAUCGUAUAAUUAUAUCAUUAUCAAUAUUAUUAAAUAAAUUGUGUUACUUGUAUAAUUUUGUUUACCAGUUCAUUGACAAAUACUGAGCCAAUAGUGAAUAAAUCAAAUUGAACGUGGAAUGUAAAUUAAUGGAAAUAAAAUCUACAUUUAAUUCAAGAAGUAAAUUAAAUUCAAACUUAAAGCAAAUAUAAUUCGAAAGUAAUUCAAAUUACAUUUAAUCAGCAACGAUCAUUAAAUUAUUGUCUUCAUAUUCCAUAUAAAAUUUUCUAGUAAAAUGAUAUAAAUUAGAUUUGAAAAAUUUAUCAUGCAAAAAUAAAAAACGCAAAUGAAAUAAUUGAAUUUUUUUAAAAGAAAAGACGAGUUAGACGUCCAUUUUGAGACGUACAUUUUGACGUAUAAUUUAACUAUUUUCGAUGUCUGUUUGGACCAUUCAAUAUGACAAUAACGCAGUUUUCGAAAUGAGCAUCUACAUGAGAUAAACGAUUUGUGGAUUCGGAUGGCAUACGAUUUCCGACGAAUUUUGAAAGUUAACAUAUUAUCAAAAUUCUCGAAAUACUAAUUUCAAGUGGCCGAGUUUGACGUGUCGUAAAUUUUUCUAUGAUUGGCCAUUUCAAAUGCCUUUAGUGAGCGAAAAACUAGACCAUGAGUACUUCGAAAUGAUAUUAAGAAUAUAAUAUUUCAACUUCAUUUGACAUCACAUAAUGAGUGCAUCAAAGUUGGUUGUAAAAGGGAUCAAAACAACUAUUUUUUGGGAAAAAAAUCAGAGGCAAAAAAUUUGUGGGGUCAAAUCAUGACCCUAUGUCGGUCCGGCUGUGGGUACUACAUCACACACCACUUCAUCACGAUAACUACCGAUUGAGAAAUUUAUCAAUAUCCUUCUAUUCACUUUAAUUUCCCCACACUCAUUUAACCAUUGUAGCCUAUAAGGUCUAGGGUGUCUUAAUGAAGUUAGUCCCAGUUUCUCUACAAGAGCCGUGCUAGCUACAAUUUUGCAACUUCCUCCAUCAAUGAUCAUUCGAUAUACCUUAUUGUUAAUGUGGCAUCGAGUGUGGAAUAUAUUUUCUCGCUACUGCUCCGAGUCAUCUGCCUUAGUUUGAGCAUUAAGAGCUCACCUCGUGACUAAUAGCUCUCCAAUAGCACUUUCUCCCCAUCACUAAUCUUCUCCAACUCCGGCAUGUCGCCAUAAUCACCUUCACUCUCACUCACCACCUCUCCAUUGUCCUUCAAUACCAUCGUCCUUUUGUUUGGGCAUUGAGAAUGUAACGCCCUGAAAAUUUUAGAAUAAAAAUGUAAUUGUUUUAUAUGUUAUAUUUUUAUAUUUUGAAAAAAAAAUUGAGUGCUCAAAUGAAAUAGGUUUUAAAUUCAAAAUUUCUUUGCGUCAAAUAUUAAAUAUUAAUAUAGUAAUGACAAAUAUAUUGAUAUUGGGCUCCUUGAAUAGCUCGUAAUUAAUCAUGCAUUUUUUACUCGAGAAAAAGACGAUUUGGAUAAGUCAGCACCAAGAAAUUGUAGUUUGAAAAAGUUGAUAAAAACUAGUUUUCAAAUUGAAUUAAAACUGUUGUCACGUGUAUGGGAUUAUUAUAAUUUUUGAAUUGUGUGGUUUUGUGGACACGUGUAAAAAUGGUAGAAAAGGUAAGUUCCGUUUAUGAGAUUUAUUUGCUUAAUUUUGGGAAUUUAUAAGGAUAGCAUUCCACGUGUUUGUUGAAUAGGAAAGGAAGUGAUUUUUGUUCGUAUGGAUUAUCGGGAUUGAGACUUUUUUUUUUUGGGUGGACGUAUGACUUUGUAGCGAAUUUUGAGGCCUCCAAUAUUCCCUUUCAAGUUUAAAUACCAUACAAAGUUUCUUAUCAUUUACCUUAGAAAAUAUAGACACACAUAUGCGAUGGUAGCAGCAACACAUACAACAAUGAGUUUGGAACGUGAUUUUGGAUUUUGGUUUUCAAAAAACUGUUUUAUCUCACAAGGUAGGGUAAUGAGGUGUUGUUGCUUUUAUUCUGUUUAAAUUAUUUAUUUCAUGUUGUUGAAUUAUUAUACUUAUGAAAAUUUAAAGAUAUGAUAUGUAUGUUAUGGCCAUUCGGUACCAAAGAUAUGAUAUUUAUUGAGCUCUUAGCGAUUUUUAAAGAUGUGAUGACGGUAUGAUAUUUUUGACACAUAUAUAUAUAAAUAUUUUUAUUUGGGAUUGCACCAUGACUUUUCGUGUGCUACUGAAUAUUCUCAUAAACUCAUCCAUUUCCCUACUUUUACAGGAUUGAAUGAGUCGUUGCUUGGCGGGCAAUGAGAUUCGAUCGUGAACACGAAUUGUUUUACAAUUAAUGUUGAGGAUAAUUGUUUGUUGCUUUUAUCUUGAUAAUAUAUUUUGUGAUUAUGGUAACAUGGCAUUUAUAUUCUAGAUACCGAGUAUUCUAUAAAGAGUAUAGACAUUAAAAGGCAUAAAAGUGUUAGAUCUAAAUAAUACACAUCUCUGGCGUUGUAGUCUGGGUCAGGGUCAGAUAAAUGAGAAACGUAUUUUCAAAUUACAUAGAGAUGAAUAUUUAAGUUUAACUAAUUUUGAGUCAUUUAACAAAUGCAAAUUAUGUCAUAAGGCAAGAUGACCAAAUUCCCUUUUAUUAAAAAGGAGAACGAACUUUACAAUUACUAGACCUAAUACAUAGUGAUAUAUGUGGAUCCAUUACCGCUAGAUGAGCUUCUCUAAUUUCAUCAUAUUUACUUAUGAUGAUUUAAGAAAUGGUUAUGUAUACAAGAUGAAAUUCAAAAAAUGAAGCUCUUGAAAAAUUCAAGGAACGCAAGCUAGAAGUAGAGAAAGAACUAGGUAGAGGUAUUCUUACACUAAGAUCUAAUCUAUGUAGAGAAUACUUAAAGGUGAAUUUUAGAUUAUCUAAAAGAGAAUAAGAUUCUCUUGUAGUGGAUUCCAUCGCGUACAUCACAACAUAAUGGUAUAUCUAAAAGGAGGAAUCACACACUAUUAUAUAUAGUGCGAUUAAUAACGAACAAUGCAAAUCCCUCAAAAUUGUUUUUGGGUCAUGUACUGAUUGUCGCAUGCUACACACUAAAUCAUAUCCCAUCUAAAUUGGUCAACAAAACUCCAUAAAGUUAUGGAAAGGCAGUGGGCCCAAUUUGUUUCAUAUUAAAGUUUAGCACUGUGACGCCGAAGUGCACUGAAUUGGAAGCUUGAGGCUAUAUUCGAUAAAUGUAUGUUUGUGGAAUAUCCAAAAGAGACAAUUGAAUAUAAAAUUUUACAAUUCCAUUGAGAAGAAAGUGUUCAUCUCAAGACAGAUCAUAUUUCCAGAAAAAUAGUUCAUUCUAGGAGAGGACAAUGGUUAAAAGGUUUUAUCACAAAAUUCAUCAACUCUACUAUAUUCGAUGUCAUUGUUAAGUAGCGAUUUUUAAACAUCUGACAUCUCAACCACUUGUGGAAACGAAUAUUCUCCUAAAUUUCACAUAUAAGACCCUAAUGCGGUUAGUCAUCUUAUUUGAUCACAUUACACAUUCUUUUAUUUUAUACAUCACACAUGCGAAAUCGAGUUUUUUAAAUAAUAUAAUCCAUCCAAGGAGACAGCACAUAGUCAAAUAUUUUGUCAAUUAACACUGUAAAAUCAUGAGAUGCAGAAUCAAAAUCAUGUUAUGAGAAAACAAAAUGCCAAAACUUCUUUUUUCAACGCAAUAUUGACACAUUGCAGACAGAUACAGCCUUAACAAUACCACUUAUGCAGAUUUUAAGAUCCUAUCUCGGCCACAAAUUAUUGCAGAAGACACCAUUAUCACUGACAAUUUAGCUUCUUUAUUACAAAUCCACACAAUCAAAUCGCUAUCCAUGCAACAUUUCAAAUCUCAAAACUCCUCUAUUGCACUCAAAAACAUAUGGAAAAAGAGAAUUCUCGAAAACGUGUCGAAUUGUAUUUCAUAAAAAAUGUUAUUGAUAAUACGUUAUCAGUUACAUAAUUAAGACCAAACCCAAAAGCCAAAUUACCUUCUCCAAAUUAUUAAAAUUUCUCCAGCGAUUGCCAACCAAGAGAUAUAUCUUGAUCAAUACAAUUGGAAGAUGAAGAUUCACUAUAGCGACCCAAAUUUUAAAUAUUUGAAUCGCUAUCAAAUUUUUUUUUAUAAAAUGGUCAAUUUUAUUUUAAACCACAUAUGAUUUAUCAAUUUUAAAUUUCUAACUGGCACAUUCUUUGAAAUUUAAUUUACUAGAAGUGGAUAACUGUAUUUUAACGUAUUCAACAGCCAACUAAACAUUUAAUUAAGAAAAAAAAAAUGGCAGGAGACAAGAAUACAACCAAAAGCGCCCUUUUUAUUAAAGAAAUCCACACUUUAAAUCUCAUUAUUUUUAUUAAGUGCAUGGAAGUGACCACCGGUCAAACAUAUAUUAUUUGGCGUGAAUUUGUUAUUAAGGACAUAUCCCAUUAUUUUUAAACAGUGAAGUUGGUGAAAGAAGUAACAUUCACUUCAGACUUUAUUAAAAAUGAAAUAACACUGCAUGUCAACCAGAUUAUUAGUGCUUCAUCAGGCAGUGACACAGAAAAUAUAAUUUCGAAUCAAGAUUCCCAAUUUUUCUUCACGAAAACAUGGAGAUUAAGGAAAUUGACACGCUAGAUUUAGUCAUUUAGAUGAUGCAUGCCUAUCGGAUUAAUAUAUUAAUUCAUUCCUUUUUAGGAAAGUUACAUUUUUGGUAAAUUAACCACUGGAAAAGUAGAUUUGAUGAUGGAAAUUUUGAAUGGAAAUGAAAACAAAUUUUUAAAAAUUAUUGUAAAAAAAUAUUUUCCUUUAAUUGAUAAUUUUCGUAUAAAACAAAGUCAAAUGAACACCUUAUAUAUGAUUUUCCUGAAUUUUUUUUUUUUUAUUGGCAAUGGAAACAAAUUUCAUUCCCAAUACAAGUAAAAUCUAUCUAUUUAAUUGACAAUUUUAAUGCAAAACAAAGCCAAACGAAAACCAAAAAAUACUUUUAUUUCAACAUUUUCCACGUAAAAAAUUAUACCAAUCAAACACAAUAAUUUACAAUUUCCAGAAAAACAAAUUCUAGGCAAUUAAAUUCCGUAUAAUUUGUUUUUAAUUCAAUUCAAUUCUAUCUUUGCAAUCAAACGGACCCUUAAGGGAAAUCAAACAAUUUAAUUCAAACCUUUAAAUAAAAGCUCAAUUUAAAACUAUACAUGUAACAAAUAACAUAUACGAUAAUUCAAUUAAAAAUAGUGUCUAUGGUAACAAAAUUAAAAGAAAUAAAGUUACGUGCUAAAUUAUUUAGAUUUCGUCCAGCGAAAUGAAGCACAACCACUCAAUGGAAUCGCCACGCUCCGACACGACCUGUUCUAACCUAUGAGGAGUAGGAAAAAUAGUAAGUACAUGAGAAUACUCAGUAGGAUAUAAAAAUUAAUGAUGCAAUCCCGAUUAAAAAUUUUAAAACAUGUAUCAAAAUAUCAUACUGUCUCACAUCUUUAAAAAUCGGUAAGAGCUCAUAUCAUAUCAUAUCAUUUGCCUCGAAAUGGCCAAAUCAUUCAUAUCAUAGCAUAUUAUAUCAUAUCUUUAGAUUUCAUAAGUACAACAAUUCAUCAACAUGAAAAAAUAAUUAAAUAUGAUAGAAUACAUUGCACAUCGAUAUCUUACCUUGUUAACUUACUUUAAUUUUUGGUUUCAUGACGUAACUGUAUACAUAGACAAUUAUACAAGAGUUAGUACAUUGUGGGGAAUCGUGUGGGAUGGAAUCGAGUUAUGGAUAAAAGUAUUGGAAACCAAAAUUUGACCUAAGUCUUCUCAACAACCAAACCACUCAAUAAUCAACACAUUCCAUACAUGUGGCAGUACACCUAGUUAAGAUGAAAGGAAUUAGUUUUCUUCUAACAACCACCCACGUGACUUCCCUUAUCUCUCUCUCUUUUCUUUUCCCCCUUCUUUUAAAUCUUUAUUUAAUAAAAAAAUUCAAUCACUAUACCUACCCAAGAAUCUUGUUCCAUACGUGUCACUCCUAAAUAAUUUAAAAUUCAUUAAAUACUCAACUAAAAUAAUAUUUUAGGCUAUAUCUUUCGACCUCAAUAACUUGAACUCCGCUAAUCCAAAUUGACUUUUUCUCGAACCUAAUAUGCAUGAUUAAUUACUAUCUAUCCAAUUAGUUCAAUAUUCAUAUACUAAUUAUUGCCCCGCCAAUUUCUACAUGUUAACCCAAAUAAAAUUGAAAUUUACUAUAUAUAUGCGCGCACACACACACAUUUUAGUCCCUAACCUUUUAAAAUAUUAAAAUAUAGUAAAGAAAAAUUAAAUUCUAUUCUACAAAAAUUUUCGGGACCUUACGUUUUCUGCCACAUAUGUGUGCAUCUCUCCAACUUUAUUUUUAAAUUUAUCUCUGAUUUGAAGAUGCAUUAAUCGAAAGCGAGAUAUUUGCUGAAUUCAAAAUUUAUGAAUAUAUGGUGUGAGAUAUAAUUAUAGAAGUAAGUAUUUAUAAAGAUAAUUAUCAUUAUGAUUAGUAUUUGUAACUAUAUUUACCAUUACACAGUAAAAUGUGAAAUUUUAUUUUAUAUCGAGACAUAGAUGAAUUUUUCCGUUGCCCUAAUGGUUUGAGUUGGCUGAUUGUUUCAUUUUAAUAUUGAUCCCAGCAGCUUUUUGCCCUUUUUGUGCCUUCCCCUUUGUGAGGUGGCUAGAGGGCGACGGUUUUCUCUCUUUGGCGGUGGCCGGUUGGAGUUGUUGGUUUCUUUCUCUUUGUGAGAGUAUUAUAUAUUUGUAGGAUUCUCUUAGUGGAACUGAGAUGGCUCUUGUUCGUGUGAAACCUGCAAGCGUACGAGAUCGUUGACAAGUAAUAGAUAUGAUGAGUUAAGAGUUAUCGUCCCACAGAGAAUAAAUUUAUUUCAAGUUUACUAGUUUCGUAUAGAAUUCGAAUUACGAAAAACAAAAGUGAAUUUUUUAUUUUAUUUGUACUAAGCUAAUCUAAGAAAUAUGGAAAAGUUGGGUUUUUGUCAAAUUAUGGACGAUUGUAUUGGAUUUCGACCUCGCUUAUUGCUAUCUAUUUCAAUUCGUCAUUCAUAAUCUAGUUCCGUUCACGUGUUUUGACAAUCGGCAACGCUAAUUUAUUCAAUGAUCUUUUUCAAGACACACAAACAUAUGAUUAACACGAUCCGAUCCUAUUUUUAGUCCGAAUUCAUAAGAAAAUUGCGCAUUUAGUUUAGUUUAUCUAAGUUAUUGCAUAUGUGAAAGAGAUUAUUCUUAAUUCUAACUACACAUAUUAAUUUUGCAACGUUCUAAACUUAAUGUGAAUCUCUCAACACUACAACAACCAACUAAUUAUCUAAUUGAUGGUCAAUCAAUUAAAUAAUGCUAUGGGUAUGCAAAAUUAAUCAACAAACAAAAGAAUUAAGCUAAAUGACUUGUCUUUAAUUAAAAAUAAAUAAAAAUAAGGUCAUCUCAUCCAAUAUAUGAAAGAAAUUAGCUUAACAUGAUGUUGGAAUCAAACAAAAAGGGUUUAAACGAUAUCACCAAGUAAUUGACGGAACGUAAUUAAUUCCAAUUAUAUUCCAGUACUCCGUGUCUUCUUCGUGGUUGUCGUCUUCAUGUUUGCCGUAAUGUUUGACUACAAUUUCUCCUUAAAGCUGCUGCCCAAUUGCCGUGUGAUGUGUAUAUGUAUAUAAAAUUCAGCAAAAGCUCCAAUGUUUUCCUUCAAAUUCCAGCCCAAUUCUUCUCUUUCCGUCUUGUAUAUAUAUUCAGCAAAUAAAGGCAGCCUCCUUUUUCUCCAGCCGGCAGCCAAUUUGUAUGUAUCUACCCCUUUUUCUCUCGGUAGGCGUGUGUAUAUAUAUACUAGUCUUGUGCCAUGCAAUGCAUGGCUUGAAUUUUAUAAAAGGAGAUAUUAGCAUAUUAAAUAAGGAAACAAAGGGAGACUGCAAACAAUAAAAAAUUGAUUCGAUUAAUUAAACGAUUUAAUUAUAUCAAUUAGAUAUUCAACAAUAAAAAAAAUGAUUCGAUUAAUUAAACGAUUUACUUAUAUUGAAUAUAGUAUUAUCAAAUACAUCAUUUAUAAGUAAAAUAAUCACUUAGACUAAAAUAAUAAUGUUUGAAAAAAUACAUUUGAAUUAUAGCAACAAGAAAUUGAGCCAACAAAUUUUUCAUCUUAAUUAUUUUAACAUCUAAAAAAAAUUCGAUAAUUUUUAGGAAUUUUUUUUCUUAUUGUUACUUUUUCUUCUUAAUAAAUUAAUUUUUAAAAUAAUCUAAUACAAUUUUUUGUAUAAAAAAAUGAUUAUUAAAAAAUUUUACGUUAAAACCAAAAAAAAAAAACAAAAAACAAAUUUGACGUCAAACAAAAAAGAAUUAAAAAGGAAUAAAGAAAUAAUUUUUUUAAAAAAAAUGUAUUUUUAACACAUACGUUUAAUCUCCGUUUAACUAUUUUUGAUAUUUAUUUAGAUCAUUCGAUAUCUCUACGAUAUAGUUCUCAAAAUGAGUUUCGAGAGAAUGUAAACAUUUACCGAUUCGACUAUCGUACAAUNNNNNNNNNNNNNNNNNNNNNNNNNNNNNNNNNNNNNNNNNNNNNNNNNNNNNNNNNNNNNNNNNNNNNNNNNNNNNNNNNNNNNNNNNNNNNNNNNNNNNNNNNNNNNNNNNNNNNNNNNNNNNNNNNNNNNNNNNNNNNNNNNNNNNNNNNNNNNNNNNNNNNNNNNNNNNNNNNNNNNNNNNNNNNNNNNNNNNNNNNNNNNNNNNNNNNNNNNNNNNNNNNNNNNNNNNNNNNNNNNNNNNNNNNNNNNNNNNNNNNNNNNNNNNNNNNNNNNNNNNNNNNNNNNNNNNNNNNNNNNNNNNNNNNNNNNNNNNNNNNNNNNNNNNNNNNNNNNNNNNNNNNNNNNNNNNNNNNNNNNNNNNNNNNNNNNNNNNNNNNNNNNNNNNNNNNNNNNNNNNNNNNNNNNNNNNNNNNNNNNNNNNNNNNNNNNNNNNNNNNNNNNNNNNNNNNNNNNNNNNNNNNNNNNNNNNNNNNNNNNNNNNNNNNNNNNNNNNNNNNNNNNNNNNNNNNNNNNNNNNNNNNNNNNNNNNNNNNNNNNNNNNNNNNNNNNNNNNNNNNNNNNNNNNNNNNNNNNNNNNNNNNNNNNNNNNNNNNNNNNNNNNNNNNNNNNNNNNNNNNNNNNNNNNNUAAGUUUUGCUACAGUUAUCGAGCCCAUGACCCCAAUUCAGAAAGCUCUUUUCGACACGCAUGUCAUGGCCACCUAGCUUCGCUUGGUGGACAUUGUUUUCGAGGUCAAAUUUCGCUGUUUUCCCUUCCAAAUCCCCAAUUAUAGUUUGACGUCAAAUUUAAAAAAUACGUAUAACUCGUCAUUUUCUUGUAACGCAACAGCUAUAAAAAAUAUAUUGUCUAUAUUUUAUCGAACUCGUUUCGAGAACUAUAUUAUGGACUCAUCGAAUUGAUUUAAAUGAAUAUCGAAAAUAGUUAAAGUUACAUCAAACGCGUUUCUUAAAAAAUUUACAAAAAAAAUAUAUUAAUAGUACAAUUAAAAAAAUUAAAAUUAAAAUUAAAAAAAAAACUUGUCUGUGAAACGAAUUAUUCAUAUUUUUUAACACAUACGUUUAAUAUCCGUUUAACUACUUUUGAUAUCUAUUUAAAUCAUUCGAUGUCUCUAUGAUAUAGUUCUCAAAAUGAGUUUCGAGAAAAUGUAAAAUAUUUAUCGAUUCGAUUAUCGCACAGUCGUCGAUAAAUUUUUAAAGUUAGUUCAUUAUCGAAAAUUUCGAAAUAUAGUUUGAACAUACCUACUUUGACGUCCGAUAACAUUUGCUAUGAUUGACCGUUUCACGCAUCGUGAACGACGUGCAAUACUAUGUCGCGAAUACUUCAAAACGAUAUUAAGAAUAUAAUAUUUCGACUUCAUUUGAUAUUCCGUAAUGAGCCUGAAAAUGAACACAAAAACAUAAGUAAAAAAAUUUAAAAAUUUGAAUUCAGGCAUUCCGCACAGCGCGGAGUGCUCACUGGCAGACACUCCGCGCAGCGCGGAGUGUCUAAUUUUACUCUUUUUUUUUCUUACGGACUUAUUUUUUUUCUAAAUUUAUUGUUAUUAUUUUUUUAAUUUGGCUAUAAGUUUUGCUACAGUUAUCGAAAUUGAGCCCAUGACCCCAAUUCAGAAAGCUCUUUUCGACACGCAUGUCAUGGCCACCUAGCUUCGCUUGGUGGACAUCGUUUUCGAGGUCAAAUUUCGCCGUUUUUCCUUCCAAAUCCCCAAUUAUAGUUUGACGUCAAAUUUAAAAAAUACGUAUAACUCGUCAUUUUUUUGUAACGCAACAUCUAUAAAAAAUAUAUUGUCUAUAUUUUAUCGAACUCGUUUCGAGAACUAUAUUAUGGACUCAUCGAAUUGAUCUAAAUGAAUAUCGAAAAUAGUUAAAGUUACAUCAAACGCGUUUCUUAAAAAGUUUACAAAAAAAUAUAUUAAUAGUAUAAUUAAAAAAAUUAAAAUUAAAAUUAAAAAAGAAACUUGUCUGUGCAAAGUCAACAACUGUGGGCGCAAGUGACCAUUAAGCCCUCAAUGUGUUAAUUAGUGUAAGGUGGGAUUUUCAAGGGUAAAGUGGGAAAACAAUGUAAAUGAGGGGAAAAAAAAGGAUAAACUAUUGUAGCAAAACCGGAUAAAUUGGAUUCAAGUGUGAAAACGGCUGUGACAUAAAUGAAUAGUAACAAAAGCCUCUCUUUUAAGAGAGUAAAGAUAUAUUAGUUUUCUCUGUAUGUUAGUUUCUCCAAGCUGCCCCCCUUUUUUUUUUUUUUUUGCUCUCCUCCCCCCGGCUGCCUUUUCAAUGUGUGUAUAUAUAUGUGUAUUUAUAUAUUAAAUCUGGGCAGCCCUAUAAUUUUUUUACUCCAAUACAAGGCCCAAUUAUCUCUCCUAAUCCAAUUCCAAUUGUUCCCUGAUUUCUUUUGCGUGUGUUGUGUUUUUAUCCAGCCAAGGUAACCGCCUUUUUGGUAUAUAUAAUAUGUUCCAGCGGCCAGCCCACUUUGAGACACCAAAAAGAACUCCCCAUUUGAAGUCAAACUUUCGGAUUUUGCUAUUUUUCAUCAGUUUUUGUUUCUUUCCUUCACUUCCUUUUCAUUCAUGGAAAUUCACCUAUUAAAUGUAAAACACAACAAUUUAGGAUAUAUUUUAUCAAAAGACUAUCAAAUAUCGCUAUUUUAGAGCCCCAAUAAACGUAUAAAAUACCCUUAUGGCUCUUUUGUGAGCAUUUCUUCUUGGGUAUUUAGAGUGGUUUGCCCCUUUGGGUCAAGCUAUUGUGUGGUUUCAUUGUGGUGUAUUGAGUUUAAACUGAGCCCACCCGCCGCCAAGAAUGGAGAAGAAGGGAGUUCUCAUUUCAAAUUUCUCUUUUUAUUAGUUCUCCAUUUGAUUUCUUGUAUUAAUCUUGUUUUAUUUUGUGUUUUGCAACUGUUUUAACCCAACAAAUACUGUCACAAAAUUGAGUUGAACUGUGAAGAAAUCAUCUUCUUCAAUAGCUCCAGUACCAGUGUACCAGUACACCCUGAGUUCGCUCUCAUGAGAUGCUGACGAAUGAUGAAGAAGAAGGUUUAUCUUUUACCUAAUUUUUUUCAUUUCAGCCACUGAAAUUGACACCGAAAACGAAGAACAAAAGAAACCCUAGAAAUUUCUGAAAAUUUGGAGCAUAUAGUUGUGCUACAUGUAAAGAACUUACACAAUAUAUUUGGGUCAUGCAUACAGCAACAUUUAAUUGAAUCAAAUUCUUAUCAAUCAAAUAACUUAUCCACUUACAUUUUAACACCUCAUCAUUACGUAAAACAUUAUAUAAAUACUUACAUACAACAAGCAUUUUUCAUAAAAA